CCAAGGUAGAUCAGUUGCCAAUGGGGCUCACACUGGAAAAUACAGUAGAUUGGGGGGAAGAAUGAGGUGAUGAUCAUGACCAUGAUGCCAACAUAGUCCGUCCGUAGCAGUUGGAUGUUCAAGUAGUGUGAGUGGCAUGAGAAAAGGUGGCAAAAACUGCUUGAGAGGAGGCAGAAGAUGGAUCCGCCUAAGAAGACGAGAACGGCCACCAUGUAGCAGCAGAUUGGAGUGAACCGAUCUUCAAUUCUUCUUCUGAUAUCUGAUUCAAGUUCACCAAAGUAUUUGUGCCCUGAAAACUAUGUUGUGUUAGAUGCAUCUGUAGACUUCAAAAGACAGCAUUCUUUUCGUAAGUCGAAUGAAACAUUGCUGCCGUGCCACUCACCAAAAGCAAUUUCUUUGAGUAAGAGAUAUUGGUCCUGCACUAGUAGGCCUUGACCUGCACAAGUGGAUUUGCACAUCAAGCAUUGCAUAAUCUAUGAAUCUGCCAGAGGGAGAGACGAGGCCAAAAUGGUGAAGUGAAUGGGCAGAGCACUAACUGAAUAACUAUCUAGCUUGCUUAAGCUGAUACUUUCAAAUUCAAUUUGACAAUCAGUAAACUACUCUUCACUAUAAAAGCUAUUUACCACUAUAAUUAGGUUCAGAUAAUCUCAGCAGCAGUCAACUUCCAGAGCAUUCUGCAAUAGUUUAUUACAAGGUCCACCAUGUGUGAACUUUUUCUUGACACGCACUGUGCUACUUGCACGGAAAAUGAUUAUCCAUUGACGGUGGACUGAAUCCAUGUUGUACUAACAGGAACAGAGAGAUUUUCAAAUGGAUUGGAUCUUCAAUUUCUGUUUGAAAAGAAUAGAAAUUUCUAUUUAUACUUUGAUUCCAUCAUGGUAACUAAUUACAGAUGACCCUCGCUAUCCAUCUUAAUUUUGCACUUGCUGUUUGAACAAAGACUGUGUUGACUGUCAGGCUACUACUCCUGAAAUUUAGCAGUAAUUGGCGAGCACGACCCUUGCAUAUUCCUGUGAAACAAACUUUCGGAGUUUAAUUUUUUGUGCCCUGCACUUAAUUUCACAAACUUGAGUUAUUCAUCUAUGGCACCUGCAAUUUCGAUACAGCACCAGAAGAAAAUGACAGUUAAUGGCGAUUUUGGUGGCCAGUUGCGAGAAAGGCCAGCUCAUGAAAAUGGCCGGUUGCUCAGUAUGGUAACAAGCCACGAAUAUCACAAUACUACAUUGACUUGUACAUAACAAGAGCGCCUUUCUGCCAAUAAACAGGUAGUUAAUAUCUAAGCGAAUGUGAAUGUGAAAUUUGACAAUUUUAAGCUGGUUAUGGAGGAUUUGAUCAAAACAGGGUAAUUCAAACAUCCUCACCAAAUGAGCAAUUCAGCAAGCUCUCUAGUGAGCUAUAACUUGCACCUACAAGCCUCAUCUCAGAUUACACUUGAGACGGUGAAAUCGAGCUAUGACAAUCAAAUACAGAUCGAGCUGCUACUGACAAAUUCCCCACUAUUUAUGUACAGCCACCGGAGGCACCUUGAGAAUAGGCCGAGAAGUUCCGCCACCUGAGGCACCUCCACAAAAUUGGCCACCGUCAAUCCCAAUCAAAUGCCUGCUCGCCAUCACAUACAGGACGCAAAGGAGAUCGUCACAAAUCACCAAAAAAGAAAAGAAGAUAAAAAUGAACUCAAGAAGAAAAUAUGAACAAAGAUGGCCUCGCAUGAAAAAAACAAGUCGAACUAAAAACACAUCAUUCAUCCAUACGUCCAGACGUCGAGCGUCUCGUUGUGCCAACUGAACAAGCUGAGGACGGCCUCGGCGAGCGGCCAGCUGGCGCGAGCAGUGGCCGAGGAUGAACUCGUUGUCCUUCACGUGCUCCGGCAGCUGCUGGAACGACGCCAGCGCGUACCGUGAUGCCGGCGUCAUCCCUCCGCAGCAGCUGGAUGUUCAAGCAGUGCGAGUGGCGUGAGAAGUAGAAGUGUCGGUGAGAAUCGAUGGCCCAUCGUCUUCCCCCAUUGCCAUCACUCCUUUUUUCCCCUUCUCCAUAUCCUCCUCCUCCUGCUCUUUCGCUGGUCGCUUCCUUAUCGAUUUCUGCUGAAUUUGGUGGUCUUCUUCCUCUCCUCCUUCGCUCCAUCUCGCUGUGGCCUUUUACCUUUCUGUGGAGAACUCAAGAGGAGGAGGCCUUUUGCUUUUGUUGGUAGGUCGAUCGGAGAAGAAGAUGAAGAAAUCGCGGAGGCCUCGUUUGGCCCAAUAUCAGCGUCCCCUUUGCAUCUCUUGAUAUAUGUUUUUCAAGAUUAAGAUUUAAGAUUUUUUUAUUUUGUGAAAAAAGGAUUUUCGCAAGUUUUAUUAGGAACUUAUUAAGAAAACAGGUAAUAAAAAAAUUGAAAGUUUCAACGCUAAAUCGAAAUGUUUUUCACUAGAUUUAACCAAAAGGAAAAUCAAGGUUCUUAAUUUUUAUUAUCCAGACAAAACUUAAUCCAUUUACUUAUAUAUUUUAGGAUAAUGUCAGUUAUGCUAAAACUUAUUUAAUAAGAUAGAUUUGCUAGUUGACAGUGACGAUUAAGAUUUGAAUUGGUAACUUUAUGAAAAUCACGAAAUAUCUAAAUAAAAUUAUGCCAUCGAAUCAAUCGAUACCUAUAUUUGAAUAAACCUCAUGUCUUUAUAAUCAAUAAAUCUGUCAAAAUCUUAUCAAUUUUGUUAUUUAAAAAAAUCUAGGACCCUCUAGCAAUGUUUGUAAGAAUUUAGUCUAUUUGUGGUUGGUGAAGUGUGUGGCCCAGAGCCAAAGAGAAAGAAAAGAUCUCUGAUGAAGCAGAGAUAUUCGGAUGCACCAUAACGGUGGAAGUGGCCUAUGUAAAUAGGUCUUCGUGCGCUAGUAGAGAGCGUAGAACAAACUAAGUCCAAAGCCUCUUCCCACGCAUCAAAUUUUGUAAAUCACUUUCCAUUAACUACUCCCUCAGCUCGUCCCUGAACUUAUACGGGAGUUCUACUUUACUUUUACGAAACCUAAUAACUAGCCCUUUAUCCCGACUACAUUAAUAAAUAGACAAAAACUAUCAAAUCUUUGGAUCAUAAUUUUCAGAAAAUGGUUCAAUCAUGUUUGCCGAAGGAAAAGAGUAGGCCAAAAUGGUAAAAGUGAAUGGGCAAAGCCGUAAUUGAACACCUAUCUUGCUUGGUUAAGUUGAUAUAUUGCAAAUUCAAUUUGACACCUAAUAAGCGACUCUUCAUUAUAAAAGCCAUAUACCACUUUAAUUUCAUUCAGAAAAUCUUAGCAGCAAUCAACUUUCAGAGCAUCUAUAUCAGUUUGUGAACUUUUCUUUCUGAAUAUAGACGGAGCUACUUGUGUUGAAAAACGAGUAUCUGUUUACAUUGGACUAAAUCCAUGUUGUACUACUAGAAACAGAGAUGGAGGUUUUCCGAUGGAUUGGAUCUUUAAUUUCAAUUUUAUUUUUGUCAAAAGAAACCUUUCAUUUCAUCAUCCAACGAUUUAAUUUCUAUUAAAAAAGAAAGGUAAUUUCUAUUAAUGCUUUGACCCAUCAUGCUAUCCAAUCAUAGAUGAACUUCGCUAUCCAUUUGACUGUCAAGCUACGGCUCCUAAAAUUUAGCAGCAAUGAAAAUGGCAAGUAGGACCUUGUAUACUCCAACGAAAGAAAUUUUCCGAGCUUAAUUUGACAUGCCUGCAAUUAAUGCCACAAACUCAAGUAAUUCAUUUUGUGGCACCUACUAUUUCGAUACAACACCAAAAGAACAUGAAGUUUUAAUCUAGUUUCGAAGUCCGAGUGAAAAUCUAAUUUUAGCUAUAAAAAAAACCUAUUAAAAGAUAAUCACUAAGUAAAACUCAAAAAAAGAAAAGAAAAAAGAAGGCCUGCAUAAUUAUAGUCCCUAGAUAUAAAUACCCAUUUUUCUUAUCCUUUUAUUUUUAAUAUUAAUUUUUUUAAGUGAAAGAGAAUUCGACACCUACCAUAGCAUUGAUAUAGCAUUGAUAGAGUAAGACUAAAUUCGAUUGUUCAUUUGAAGUCGAGCAAACAAUGUCAUCAGGCCAAAACAUCAAAACAAGCACUCACGGACAUUAAUCAGUCGAAUCUUUUAGCCCAAGUUCACUCAUCGAAAAGACCGAUCAAGCAAGAUUUGUCCACCAAACAGCCACGAAGAAGAGAUGCAACAGAGUAGUCUUCGACACCUCCAGCAUAUUUCCAUUCCCAUAAUAUCCAAAACAUUCGAGUUCCAGCAUCAUUCAACUCCAUCCGCACAAUCAGAAAAGAUGACAAAUCCCUCAAAUCCUAAUCAAUUCCUAUUCAGACAGAUCCUCCCUCUUUCAGACACACUAGAAUUUCAAAGUAGGGAAGUCAAACAAGGCUGGUUAAUCAUCGACAUAUGCUCUUUCGGAACAAUGAACCAGAAAAGCCAAAUUCGAACUCUCUCGAAUAAUCCGAAUCAUAUUCGCCUUCUCUCUCUUGGGAAACAAAUCCGGUGUACAUAAACUCAAGGCAAGAGCCAAGAUCUCAACAUGUACAGAAGCAACCAGACAAUCAAAGCUUUGACGCCAAUUACAGAAUGACCGAGAUUGGACUGGCCUCAUGCAUGACGGUUCUCGACCAGCAAGUAACAAAUCAGUAAUCAUACCUUAGGGUCGAAGCGUCAAUUAAUAACCAUGCAAACCGCACUGGAAUACUCUCAGAUUGACUAAUAAUAGAAGCAAAUCGAUACUGGAAGUCACUUGAGCAAAACAUCGAACACCUGAUGAACAUGAAAUUUGAUGUGCUCGGGACAGAACACUCAACAAAUCAUCUAUGAGCAGCGUAGAGUGAGGUGUUCAUUCAAACAUUAUCAGAGACAAAAUCGACGAAUAGGAGGACAGGCAUGCACUGAAAUAUGCUCGGCUAAGCCAAAACAGAGCAUAGGAGAGGGAUACAUUGCCAGAGCCGUCGCUGGUUGAGAAUGAUGAUCGCCCGAAGGACAAAGAUCGUAAUGGACAGUAAUGCCGAGACCUAGAACCGUCAAAGGGAGGAAGAGACAAGGAUUGUGUACUUCGGCAGCGAUGGCUCUGAAUUAAGGGCGGACAGAGCCUCUUCACGAUGGUGGAACUGGUGGCGAUGAGGGAGCUACCGAUGGUUGUGAUUGACAUGACUGGAGGGAAUGAAUAUGGAGAAUCCUCCGAAAACCGACUUUAUGAGAGAGAAUUUUCUCUCCCGAGCUCCCCUUGUGCGCCUACUAUGUUCUUUGGCUAUGUGCUCUCUGUGACGACAGCGUGCGUCGGUGACCCGUGAUGGACGGUUGACGGUGGCCACUGAUGCCCUGAGGGCUAUGGAGAGGGAAAUCACCAUGAGAAGCUACAUAACCCCGAGAGAAUCGGACUGGCUUAAUGGGCCUGCGGUUUUAAUGGGCUUGAUCUCUGAGCCGAGGCUUCCUCUGAUGAUGGGCUUGGUAUGGCCUAGGCUGUUAUUAUGGAUCAGGUCUGGGCUGUGCAAAUUAGACAAGGCCCUUUCAAUUGUGACCGAAUUGGAGCCUUUUUUUUUAUUAUUAUUUCCUUUCUUUCUUUUUUAUAAUAUAGUUCUUCUAAAACGAAACAAAUUUGUUUUUUUGAAGUUCAAAAAAAAAAAAAUCCCAUCUUGUUCGACAAAGUUGACAUUCAUAAGUCAUGGGAUGUUCAAAAGUGCAUUCAAUACUAUAAUUUAAGAUAGAAGAAGGUUGACUGCCAUAUUUGUAUAGCAUCAAAUUCACUACGACAUUUUGAAUAUAGUGAUGGGUAUUUUCGUAUUGCUUGGGUGGAUGAAUGGGAAGAAGUGAAGUUUGUACUUGCAAGAGAGAUUUUUUAGCAAUAUGAUUUGAAUGAUUAUAUAUUAAAAAUAAGAUUUACGGAGCUUUUGUUUUUUUUUUUUUUUAUAUUCUUUUGUUGCUCACUAGCAUAAUCAUGUGCAUAAGAUAGAAACUUGAAUUUGUAAAAAUAAGUUUGAGGAUUAAUAUGUUGUGUAGGAUAUUAUUAUUAUAUACUCUAAGAUUAUACCAUUUUUUUUGUGAACUGAACAUGUUAAUGGCAAAAUUAACGCCUCUAAGAAUGUUUACGUGCCAUAGGUGUUCCAUGUCCAGGCCCUAUUUUAAAACUCUCUCAAGUGUUUGUUAUAAGAAAAGCUUAACGAAUAAGUACUCCAAGAACCAUUGCAAGUCCAAGGUAGCGAGGGGGUUUGAGCCUCAACGUAGAGUGCAUAAAUAAUUAAAUGUACAGCUAAUGGGCUUGAGGAGUGUUCUGGAAACAGCCCAAAGCCCAGGAAAGAAGUGAAGUUUUUUGGGUAAAAAAAUAACGGCAGUGGCUUCUUCAUUUGAGGUGAUUAGGGCCCUUAAUAAGCCUUUGACAUUGGAUUGUAGGCUUCAUAACCCCACUUAAAUCAGAAUCUAUGGCACGUCAAAGCAAUCGCCGCUAUUGGAUUUUUUUUUCAAAUUUAAAUUAUCUAGAUUCAAUAAAAGUUAGAGUUAAUAUAUUGGAAAACCCCAAACUAGUACACAUAUGACGAAUUUGCUAAAAACUAAUUUUUUUUAUUAUUAAAAACUUCAAACUGGUAUACAUGUGACAAAUGUACUCCAAAUGAUCAUAAAAAACCUCAAAUUGGUACUUUUGUGACAAAUUUACCCCAAACUAAUUUGUUCAACCGCCAAAAAUCCUAAAAUGGUACAUUUGUGAUAAAUAUCUCCUCUGUUAAAUUGGAUUAGUACUACAAAAAAACCACAAAAAUUGUGCAACUAUAAUAUAUGAAGAGCAAAAUCCCAAAUUAGUACAUUGUCAACUGUUACGUAACAUCAAACUUAGCUGUAAAAUUUAAUAAAAACUAACAAAUGGUAAAUUUAUCAAAAAUGUUUUAGUUUGGGGUAAAUUUGUAAAAAAUGUAUCAAUUUAGAGUUUUUGGUGGUCAAAACAUUAGUUUUGGGUAAAUUUAUCAUAUGUGUAUCAAUUUAGGUUUUUCAAGGUAUUAACUCUAAAAAUUAUUAUGAAGGCAUCAUGUCCUCUCAACUUUCCAUGUGCCUAAAUCCAUCCCAUUUGAUAAAAAGAGAUAAAAUUGCCCUUAAUCAUCUCACAAAGUUUAAAGUGGUGGACCAAAGUUAUUCACUUUCCUCCUUUUUCUUUAUUUUUUUUCUAUUUCUAUGCUGGAAGAAGUUGCCAAAAUUAAGAAUAUCAUGUAUAUGUUUUCUUAAAAUUUUUAUGUGUGUAUUACGAAGAAUAUUUAAAAAGCACUAAAUUUUUCUUUUAAAAUUUUUCCACUGUGCAUAUUAGCUUUUUUGAAGAGAGAAUUUUCUAGAAAACCUACUUCUUUUUCACAUUGUUGAGCAAAUUUAUGAAUUGAUCGUGAAGAAAAAUACAAAUAAAAAUUGAACAUCAACAACUAUUUAAGACAAUUAAUAUUCAUAAAGCUUCGUUUUUAUUUUGCAUAUCAUUGCAAACUCUUUCUCAUCAGUUAUUUUUCAUAUUCACAUGAGAUGAUUGGAUAAAAUAAAUAGAAGGAAACUCUCUUAAAGACUGGACGUGAUAAGAUCACUGUUACAUUCCCUAAUACGGAAAUUUAAAGAAUGAAAAUUAAUAAUAGAAUACAAUUUGCAUAAAUAAUUUAAAUGAUGGUUGAAUUUAAUUCGUUUUGAAUUGACAAAAAGAAGAACGACAACGACAAGAAGACAAAGGAGGAAGUAAUUCCACAGCCAAUCGAAAAGUCCCAACACUUUACCCAACUUCUUGAUUUUGAUAAUUCAAAAAGCAAAAAAAAUAACUUACGACUCUUGUAAUAAUCGAGCGUGCUUCAAUCAAAUGCGAGAAGCAGUGAAAGCAUUGAAAGGCAGAGAAUUAGAAUGGCAUGGUAAUAGUAUCAUGUUUUUUUUCCCCUGAAAAUUGGAGGAAAUAUAUGAAUUACGUUUAGCUAAAAAAUUCAGACCAACGUAGAAUUAAUAUUAAGUUCUUCAUCUUCAGUUUAGCUUUAAAAAUUAUCUCAAUAAUCUAGCUAGAUGAAGCUUUCCCAGCCAAGGUUAAGCUCGACGAAACUGGAUUGGCUGUGACUGCGAGCUUGAAGAAUUUUGGAAGCUAGAGUGCUCAUGGCUGAGCUCAACGAAAUUUGAGCACAGCUACGGCCCAUGACCAGAAGCUAGACCAAUCUCGAGCAGCCAUGGCCGCAAGCUCGAAUUGUAGGCUAUGAGCUUAAAGAAGCCUGGAGAAUGAAGUGGCCAUGGAUGCAAGCUGACGAACUUAGAGCAGCAAUGGCCUAAAUCUUGAGAAGCCUGGAAGAUGGCGGUCAUGGUCAAGCUUGAAGAAACUCGUGAGGCAAGGUCUUGCCUCUCUCUCUCUUUUUUCCACAAAAGUUUCUAGCUUUUUUAUUUAUUUUAAUGCUUGUACUCUUUCCUUUAUCCUAUUUUUCUUUUAAAAAUAAUAUUGUUAUUCUUUUUUCUUUUUAAAAUUCAAAAUUUUUUUCAUGAUGUGGUGUUUGGUGGACACUGCAUUUUCUUAGGAAAGUAAUAGAAAAAAAUCACAUCGAUAUUUUUCACUAAUGAAAUGAGAUAGAGUUAACUAAGAGAUUUAACUGCACCAAUUUAACAAAUUUUAAGACUUGAUUGUAUUUUUUUAAAAUGUAGAACUUAAUUGCACUUUUGCAAUAAAUUCAAGACUCUCGGUGCACUUAUUCCUAUACCAAUUACUUUUUAUAUGGAUUUGAAACAUGUAAAAUCAAUGCCUUUCAACUGAUAAAACAAGUGACUACAUAAUAUAACAUAUCACAUCCAUUGAGUACAAGUGAUCUGCGGACCACGCAAUAAACUAAAUAGAUUUCUACAUACGCUCUUGCGUCCACCAUUAUUAUUGAACAUUCAAUUUCCAUGAAGAACUUGAUUGGUUUUAUUCAGCAGUGGUGCCCGCCUUUCUCUCCAUCAUUUCCAUAUCUUCAAUUCUCAACUAACUUGAAGAAUGGUUUGCAUACUUGGAAAAUUGUCAUGACAAGAUUUAAUGACUGUGUGGGAGUAAGAGAUGUGUUGUGUCUUUGACUUGAAGAGGUAUCCAGCAGGAAAUUAAGUGUCCUCCAUUAGUACUGAACAUGUGCGUGUGGACUGGGGCAAUGUCGAUGUUGGAGGGAAAAAAGUCAAGUCGGUAUUUUUCGUCAGUGAAAUGAGAUGGACUGAACUAAGGGAUUUGAUUACACUAAUGCGACAAAUUCUAAGAUUUGAUUGCAUUUUUUUGAAAUAUAUUUAAAGAUUCAAUUGCACUUUUACAACAAGUUUAAGACUCUCAGUGUACUUACUCCUAUUUGUGGAUUAGAUUUCUAAUAACUUUUGCACAUGGAUCCAUAACAUACAAAAUCAAUGCCUUCCAAUUGAUGAAACAAAUGGUUCAAUAUAGGACCCACACAAUGUAACUAAUCACAUGCAUUGAGCACAAGUGAUCCGUGCCCCACACAAUAAACUACAUAGAUUUUCACAUGCACUAUUGCAUCCACCGUUAUUAUUGGACAUUCAAUUUCCACAAAGAACUUGAUUGAUUUUAUGUCAAAGUGGCGAAUCAGGUGUGGUGCCCGCCUUCUUCUCUAUCAUUUCCAUGUCCUCAAUUCUCGGCUAACUUGAAUGGUUUGCAUACUUGGAAAAUUUCUGCGCCAUGACAAGAUUUAGUGACCGCCUGGGAGGAUAAGAUAUGUCGCCUCUUUGACUUGAAGAGGUUCCCGACAGGAAAUUAAAAUGUCCUCCAUUAGUACCAAACAUGUGCGUGUGCACUUGGGUGGCGUCGAUGUUGGAGGGAAGUGGAAGUUGAAGUAAAAGUCGUUUAAAAGAUUCUUAUAACACUAACAAAAUAUUCUUUACCAAAAAAAAAAAAAAAACAAAAUAUCUGUGUAUCGCACAAAUUAAAGUGUAUACUUUUCAUAUUAUUGUAAAUAGUGAUAGUUAACCGAUUCCUUAUUCAUUGGUACUUUAAGUGAAAUAUAAGAUAUAUUGAAUGUUGAUCGGUAUUGUGUGGAUCAGCAUUAUCAAAUUGAACGAAGUUGUCUUAUCAUUUCUUCAAUGAGUCCACACAAAUACCAAUUUAUGUGAUAUUUCUUGGCAAGACAACACCUAUACUAAAACUUAAUAACAUCAAAUCUUAGUUAUUUAUCUUAUUUUUCUUGAAAACGAUACUUGGAACGGUUUUUUUUUUUUCCUUUUAUAACUUUGGUGAAUCACCGAUAACUUUUAUUUUUUUCGGUCCAUUUGCUAAUACUAAUUUUUUUUUUUUAUCAAUUUAUAAUAUCCGUCUUAUAAUAUUCACCUUUCUCUUGAGGACAAAACUCGAGAAGCUACUGCAUGGCCAGGAAGCUCAAUGAAGCCUGGAAGCUAAAUUGGCAAUGGCUGCAAGCUCGACGAAAUUGGAGCAGCAACGGCCAAAAUCUUGAAAAAGCCUGUUGGUGGUCAUGGCCAAGCUUGAUGAAACUCGCGAGGCAAGGUUUUGCCUUGCCUUGGUGGACGCCACGAAAUUAGAGCAGCACUCAUUUUUUCUUUUUAAAUUUUCAAAUUUUUUUCUUGAUGUGGUGCUUGGUGGACGCCAAAUUUCCUUAAUAAAGUAAUAGAAAAAAAUUUCACGACAGCAUUUUUCGUAAAUAAAAUAGGACGUAAUUAACUAAGAUAUUUGAUUACACCAAUUCAACAAAUAUCAAGAUUUUGUUGUAUUUUUUUUUUUAAAGAUUAAGGACUCAAUUGCACUUUUAAAAUAAGUUUUAAACUCUUAAUGCACUUAUUCCUAUUUGUGGAUUAGAUUUCCAAUAAUUUUUGCACAUAAACCCAGAAGAUAUAAAAUCAAUGCAUUCUAACUAAUAAAAUAAGUUACUCAACAUAGGACCCACACAAUGUAACUGAUCACAUCCAUUGAGCGUAAGUGAUUUGUGGACCACGCAAUAAACUAAAUAGAUUUCCACAUACGCUCUUGCAUCCACGGUUAUUAUUGAACAUUCAAUUUCCACAAAGAACUUGAUUGGUUUUGGUGCCUGCCUUCUUCUCUAUCAUUUCCAUGUCUUCAAUUCACAACUAACUUGAAGAAUGGUUUGCAUACCUUUACUUCGAAAAUUUAUGGGUCAUGACAAACUUUAAUGACCGUGCGGGAGGAAAAGAUGAGUCGCAUCUUUGACUUGAAGAGGUCCCCAGUAGAAAAUUAAGCCCUUCAUAAGUACUAAACAUGUGCGUGUGGACUUGGGUGGUGUCGAUGUUGGAGGGAAGUGGAAGGUGAAGUGGAAGUUGUUGAGAGGAUUCUUAUAACACUAACACGUGAAUCGCACGAAUUGAAGCCUAUAUUUCUAUUUUAGCUUUUUUUAUUUGUUUUAAUGCUUGUCUUUUUUCCUUUAUCCUAUUCUUAUUUUUUCAAAAUCUUCUUAUCACUUUUUCUUUUUCAAAUUUCAAUUUUUUUUCCAGAUGUGACACUUGGUGGAUGUCACGUUUUUUUAGGAAAGUAAUAGAAAAAAAAAAAAAGUAGGUCGACAUUGGAGAUGGAUUGAACUUAGGUAUUUGAUUAUACUAAUUUACUAAAUUUUAUGAUUUGAUUGCAUUUCUUUUUCUUUCUUUUUUUAAAGUUGAAAGACUCAAUUGUACUUUAACAACAAGUUUAAAACUCUUAGUUCACUUAUUCCUAUUUCUGAAUUAUAUUUUGAAUAACUUUUGCACGUGGAUCCAAAACAUACAAAAUCAAUGCUUUCCAACUGAUGAAAUAAGUAAUUCAAUAGAGGAUCCACACAAUAUAAAGGAUCACAUCCAUUGAGCGUAAGUGAUCCACUCCACGCAAUAAAUUAAAUAGAUUUCCACAUGCGCUCUUGCGUCCACUGUCAUUAUUGAACAUUCAAUUUCCCCCAAGGACUUCAUUGGUUUUAUAGCUGUGGUGCGUGCCUUCUUCUCUUUCAUUUCCAUGUCCUCAAUUCUAAUCUAAAUUGAAGAAUGGUUUGCAUACUUCAAAAAUUUCUGGGUCACGACAAGAUUUAAUGACGUGUGGGAGUGUAAAGAUGUGUCGCAUCUUUGACUUGAAGAGAUCCCCGACGGAAAAUUAAAGUGUCCUCCACUAGUACCGAACAAGGAGGGCAGAAAACUAAAGUGUCCUCCACUAGUACCGAACAUGUGCUUGUAGAUAUGGGCGGUGUCGAUGUUGGAGGGAAGUGAAAGCUAAAGUGGAAGUUGUUUAAAAAGAUUCUUAUAACACUAACAAAAUAUCAAUGUAUCGCACGAGUUAAAGCUUAUAUUUUUUAUAUUAUUUUAAAUAGUGAUAGUUUACCGAUUUUUUGUUCAUAGAUACUAUAAGUGAAAUAUAAGAUAUACUGCAUGUCGGUCAGUAUUGUGUGGAUUAGCAUUAUCAAAUUGAACGAAGUUAUCUUAUUGUUUCUUCAACGAGUCCACACAAAUACCAAUUUAUGUAAUUUUUUUUCACGAAACAACACCUACACUAAAACUUAAUAGCAUCAACUCUUACUUAAUUAUCUUAUUUUUCAUGAAAAACGAAACUUGGAAACGUAUUUUCCCUUCAUAACUUCAGAAAAUCAUUGGUAACAUUUCUUUUUCUUUUUUUGUGGAUUUGCCAAUAAUAAUUCUUUUGCACUAAAUCUUUCUCUCUAGGAGAAGUUCUAAGUAGUAUGGAAUUGGCCUCAAUAGAUUUGACCUUACUCAUUGCUAUUUCGUGGAGUUGGCCCAACCGUAAUAAUCAAUGAAAAGGGUAAUUCUUGUAAAGUGGCAGAAGGAAAUUGAGCCGAAGAGCAGUCAAGGGAUGAUGCUCUAAAUUUCAACAUGAUGUCGACUGUGAGAAGAUUACGAGUUUUUUAUAGACUGUUAAUCAAUUUUGCAUUCAUUGAUACUUCAAGUUAAAUAUAAGAUAUAUUGAUUGUUGACUUGUAUUGUCUUGAUCACUUUAUCAAAUUGCUCAAAAUUGCCUUAUUUUUUGUUCAAUGAGUCCAAACAAAAACUGAUUCAUUUGAUAUUUCUUGGAACAACAUCACUUGCACUAAAAAUUAACAAUAUCAAACAUUAGAAAUUAACAAUUUCUUGAUCCUUGCCUCAUGCAAGGACCGCCCUCGCUGGCUUGGGGCGAGGGACACCGAUGCCUAGGCCGACGAGGAUGGCCCUCAUUGGAUCGUCCACUGGCCACCAACCGUUAAUGGUUGGCAAAGAGAAAAAAUAAAAAAAAAAUAAAAUAAAAAGAAAAUGAAAGGAAAAAAAUUCAGUAAAUUAAAAAAAUUGCAAAAAUAUUUCACGUUACCGCGACGGUGCUACUUAGGAUGACUGAUGUUGACUAGACUACUACGUUAGCUAUUUCUUGCAAAAAUUGUCCCUAAGGACUAAAUUGAGAAAAAUUGUCUAGAAGGACUUUUUGGAUAAUUUUUCUAGAUUUAAAAGUAACUUUUGCCUAUGGGUCCGGAACAUAUAAAAUCAAAGCAUUAUGAUUAGUAAAUCAGGUAGGACUACACAGCACUCGCCUGGAAUUUGAGGGAAUACAAUAAACAGAAUAAAUUUCCACAGAUGUUAAGCUGGAUCUGGGCCAUCCAAUCUCGUGGAAUCCACUAUCUUUAGUAGUCUCGAUUCAAUUUGGUAUAUACACACACACACUACCCUCAUAUGGUAGUUUCUCAUAAUCACAAAAUACCAUAUAUAUUAAUUUUAAAAAAAAAAUUGGACUCGAGAGGUGUCGAUAUUGGAGGGAACUGGAAACUGACGGGGUGCUUGGAAGAAAGAUGCCUUGCUUAAGAUUAAAUCUGCCUUCUGUCGUGGCAUGGUGUUUAAAAAGAUUUUCAUCAAAUACUAGUAAGUAUUCGAGCGAUGCCCAAAUUUAAGACUAUAUUCUUUUAUAUUAGUCUAUAAAAUGAUAAUUAAUUUAUUUUGGGUUUAUUGAUGCUACAAUUAAUUAUGAGAUAUACUGAAUGUUGAUCUGCACUGUCUUAAUCUCUUUAUUAAAUUUGAUGGAAAUUGCGUCUUUUUGUUCCCUCAAUAAGUCCAAAUAAGUACCCAUUUAUUCGAUAGUUCUUAGAUAAAUAACGCUUACUGAAAAUUAACAACAUCAUCUAUCUCUCUUUUUUUCUUUUUUUCUUUUUUGUGAAGCAAUAUUAGGGCACAUGUUUUUCUUUCAUAGCUUUGGUGAAACCAAAUCGUAACUUUUUUCUUUUCUGAUUUGCUAAUAAUAAUUUUUUGUCAUUUUAUAAUCUUCAUCUCUCCUCUUUUGGAGAAGUCUUGGGUCAAGUCAACGGCAAUGAUCACGUGUUCCGAGGAGUUGGCCCCAGCAGACUUGACUUUGCCCACGGUUGUUUCGUGGUGUUGGCCCAAACGUGAUCGUCACUCUAAAGGGAAAGACAUUCCAUAUAUAAAUUAAGGAGAUGACACUCGUAAGUUUGCACAUGGUGAAGCAGAAGAAACAGAUAACACACAAAACACCAUUAUAAACAUGAAGUGUCUUUUACUGGGUAUGUGGACUUGGGUGUUGUUAGUUUUGAUGGGAAGUGGAAGGAGCAUGGGGUGCUUGAAAGAAGAGAGGAAUGCGUUACUUAACAUUGAGGCCGCCUUCUACCCACCCAAUGGGUCUUCUUUGCUGUCGUGGCGUGAUAGCCAUGGUGACUGUUGUGGCUGGGACUUCGUGGAGUGUGAUAACACCACUUCGCGGGUGACUGGACUAUAUCUGUGCAAGGGUCAUGAUGAGUGUCCGCCUUGGGUGUGCAGGGAUCGUGAUGAGCGUCGGCGUUGGGUUAUUGAUGCCUCUUUAUUCCUUUCUCUGGAGGAAUUUCAAGAGUUGGGUCAUAAUUAUGAGCGUCCGCCUUGGGUUAUUGACGCCUCUUUAUUCCUUCCUCUGGAGGAACUUCAAGAGUUGGAUUUAAGUCAUAAUUAUCUAUCAGGUGAAUCUCUCUCUCUCUCUCUCUCUCUCUCUCUCUCUCUCUCUCUCUCUCUCAAUUAUGUUUAUAAGUAAUUAUUUAGUUUUUGAAAAAUGAAAAAAAUGUCAUACUAUGGUGCCAUAAAAUAUAAAAGUAUGGCCCUAGGCAGGUCCUUAAAAGAUCUAUAGGAAAUAGGGAAAGACCACAUCAUGCAUACAAACAUGCAAGAAAAUCAAAAAACCCCUUAUGAGUGCUCUCUGGGUCAACCUUUAGUCUAUUUAGAUAAGAAAAGUCACAUUUAGGUACGUGUUUCAGGGGAAUGAUUUUUCAAAAAUUAAUUUUCUGAAUUGAUCAAUGAAAAAGAUAAAAAAAAAAUCCAAAAUUAAUCCUCUAAGUUUUUUUUUUUUAUUUUCUUUUUCCUUUACACUACUCUGGUGCUGGCGACUAACAAGGCUCGACCUCACUGAGAUUGGGCAAGCUUGAGCUCGCUAGUCUCUAACUGAGGUCGUUGAGGUGGAACCUCGCCAACUUGUGCCUGUGGCUGGUUUCCGGGGCUCUGGGACUAGUGGAGGGAGAAGGAAAUGAAUAAAAAAAUGAAUAAAAAAUUAUUUAAAAUUUCAAAAAAAAAUUGCUUAAAAUGAAGUCAUGAAAUUAAAAUCGUUUUUUCAAAUGCAUCCAAACACCUAAAAACGUUUUUCGUCACAUAUCAACAAAUAAAAGGAAAACUAAAUAUUUUUCCUAAAAAAUAGAAAAAUACUUUCUUUUAUGUGAAGUUUUUCCCGAAACAAAUACAUUACACAACUAAAAAAGGAAAAUAGAUUACACUGGAUCGAUGUGAUCUAUAUAUUUACAAAUCAUACCCACAUUCAAAGGAGAAAAUAUUGUGUGGGCCAACCUCUCCACGUCACUACGGGGUCAGCCCAAUCAAUGAUCAAAAUGUGGCGUCUAGGACCCAUUGUCUCUCCCUCUUCAGUGACGCCCCUGCAUUAUCAAUCUCUUCAAUUGUACGACGCUCUUUCUCCUCUCUUCUGCGCCGUUCUAGAGAAAGAUUGAAGCCUAAUUUUUUUUCAAGAUACUCUUCGCUCCCAAAAGCCUCCAUCGAUCACAUCCUCAACUCAGAACUGCCACCUUCGCCUAUGACACUCUCUCUCCUCUCCAGUUGUCCGUUUAUCACCACCUCGCUCCCUUCCACCACCAAAGCCAAGCAUCCUCACUUCCGCCGAGCUGCAGCUCGUCCUUACCAUCGUCUACCUCGAGGUCAGCUAGCACCCUGGAACCUCAUAUUUUGGAUCUAAGCUCGAGUGAGCCCUAGACAUCAGAUCUCAAUUAAUUCAAGGUCGAGCAGGGAAUAUAGCAACCACAUCUGGAUUUUUGGAGGUCAACUGCCAUUGUCGACCCCUAGUGGACGAGUUCUCAUGGCAUGGAGGCGACGGUAAAGAGAGACAUGGGGGUUGGGGCGGAGGCAAAGGCGGAGUCGUCCAAGGCUGAGUGAAAGGGAGAAUGAAGAAAGGAGGUAAAAAAAUAAAAAAAAGAACAAGUAGAGAAAGGAAUUAAUGAAGAGAGAGGACCCACGAGGAUAAGAGAAGAGAGAGAAAGUGGGAACCAACUGGAGCCACGUGUUGAUGUUUGAGUGGGCUUGGACGUGGAGGGUCAGCCUACACAAUAAAGUGGGGUCCAAUUUUUCUACUCCCUUGGUGUAUCCAAAUCUAAAAAGCCGAAAACAGAGCCGAAGCAUUCGGGAUGAAGUACUCCCAAAUGAGUAAACAAGCUCUCUUCCCAAAUUUUCAUCACCACUAGGAACACGUGUCGUCAUCGUUGCCUGCCAUUACUUGUCCCGCCACACUUUGUCGACAUAACCUUGCCUCCGUUCGAGCCAUACAAUGUUGCUGACAACUUAGCACUUGGCCUCUGAACUCAACAAGGCCACCCAAGCGCCCUCCUUGCACCCAAUCUGCACCUUCUCUCUUCCACUUUCUCGCCAUUGCACCAACGCCUAUGCCAGGGAUCAAUGGCGAUUGUUGGACAAAAGACCCAAUUGCGGCUGUAGCUGACCCCUUUUGACCUUAGAUUGACCCAAAUCCUAGGUUGAGUCGAGGCUUAGACGUUAGAUCUAUAGCUUGGUCGACCUCAGAUCUGAAAUGUGAGGCUCAAUUGUGCCAACGGACUUCGAGCUUGAAGACACCAAGGAUAAACGAUGAUGAUGCUAGCAAAGUUGGAGGCAAAGGGUGUUGACCUAGGGCAAAGGUCUCUAUAACAAUUCGUGUUUGUCGUUAAAUCUAUCUAAACCACUCUGGAAUUCACCGAUGCCUCCACAGAGCUCCAUGAUCUCUUUAUCCAUUCUCCAAAUGAAGUUGUUAUCGUCCUACAGCCAAUUUCUGGGUCAUCUUGUACACCACCACCUAGAUGAACCUCUUGUCUUUGGAUGCCACCAUAAGAUAAUUGGUCCAUGAGAUGCUGUUGGGAAGCUUCUUUCUUAUAAGGAUAAUUGUAAAUAUACUUUUUUGAAAAUUUGGUACUUCAGCACAAAGUCAUAUCAAGAUUGAUCUCCAAUAUUCUUUUCCUUCUGCUUUUCUUUAUUUAUUUUUUUGUUUUCCCUCUUUCCACUUUUCCCCUUCCCCUUUAUUUAGGAAAAUUACCAAUUCAAUUUUGAGCUCAUUACAUGAAUGCCAAUUUAAACCUAAAUUUUUCAAUUUUGUUGAUAUAUUCCUAUGCCUUUCUGUGAAAUUUCAAUGAAGUUUUUUCUAUCAAUUGCCACUAAAAAUUGCUGACGCGGCGGUCUAUCAUUGUUGGUCAUCCUACGCGACACGAAAAGUGAUUUGACUUGUACAAUUCUUGAUAAAAUGACGUUGUUUUGCAUACUUUUUAAAAUUUCAUGUUUUUCUUUUAUUUACUUUUCCACUCUACUAUUUAUCUGCUUCCUUAGAGAGCUGAGACCAUUGAGUUGCUCCAUCUCCACAACACCAUAUGUCCCUACAAGAUCUCGUCGGAACCCUAGUUAUCUAGGCUAGUAGCAAAGAAUCCUCUAUUUAUUUAUUUAUUUAUUUUACCGGCGAGUAUUGUCAAGUUUCUACUCAUUCAAUGUCCCACAAAAUAUUGUGCUCUGUAUUAAAAGCCUCCCAGAUCGGUCGAUUCAAAAUCUAUGCUUUGUGUUUUCUUUGACCCUUUUGCUUAAGAGCAUGAAACUAUUGUUUCAAGACUCCUCUCUAUUAUGAAGAAUCCUGCUAUUUUUAGCUCCGACUUUUUUAGAGCCUAAAAAGUUUGUCUUUUCUUUCCCUCUUCAACUAAUGCAAGCAUCUUGUUGUCCUUCAACACCAUUGCUCAUUGUUUCCUCUUCUUUCUUCAAAUUUCUUGGUUUUAGUGAGUGGUGAAAGUUUGGUACAUGGCUUUCUUGACUCACAAAUGCACCCUUCAGAGAGCUUUUUUUUUUUUCCUUUUGCUUGUUCUAAAAUUUAGAUGGAUCUUUAAUUACUUUCACAUUUUUCUCAUUGCCACAAGUUGAGAGCAAGAAGUGCCGAAAAUGCUAAGAAUGUCGCUGAUUUUAAGGAGCACCAAGAUCAGAGCCCUUGGAUCCCAACAACCCCAACCAAGCCAUUUUUCCCUGGCUAAAACAUUUUGCUACCAUGAUCAAUGAAUAGGAGCUCUCUAAGGAAGAAGAUGAACACCAGCACAUAGAAGGAAAGAAAAGAAAAAAAAAGGAAGAAAAGAAAAAGGGCAAAAUCAGAAAAUAUAUGCAAAACGACGUUGUUUCAUUAAGAAAAUAACAUGUCAAAACGUCAACCGUGCAAUCUAAAAUGACCGCUGAUGAUUGAAUAUAACAUCAACAAUUUCUAGCAGCAAUUUGCUAGAAAUAUUACGUUGGAAUUUCAUACAAAUGUUUAGGAUUAUUUAGAAAUUUGAAGAGUCCAGGACUAGUUAGUCUCUGUACAAUAGGUUUAAAAUUAAUUUGGUAAUUAUUCCCCUUUAGUCUUUGUUCGGUCUCCCAUUUCUUUUCUCACACACAAACCCACCAUAGACGCUCAUAUGAACCUUGUGACCCUUGAGUUGCUGUUACCUGGUGGAGUUCCUCUCUCUCUCUCUCUCUCUCUCUCUCUCUCUCUCUCUCUACUUUGACCCCAAAUCCGGAUAGCCUGAGGCUAAGCCGCCAUUUCAUGAGGUGGCGGUUACCUUGCACAAGCAAGCCAAAACUAAUGCUUAUUAGUCGAAUGCAAGCCACAUGACAAUACUAUGCCAUGUAUGUUGCCAUGUGAUAAUUACAGAUGUAAAGUAAAGAAAUGUCAGGUGGGGAGCACAUAGCUAUCUCAGCUUUGCUAGUUAACUAAAUAAAAUAAAUACUGUUACAAGCACAAACUACUCGCUUAUGAAAUUGGUUUGCAAACAAAGCGAUAGAAUUUUUUUUAUGCUUGGAUACAUUGGAAUAAUUGAUUUCUACCUAUUAAUAAGUUAUCCUCAUCAUGAGCAUAUAGUUAUUCUUGGCGUAUUACAGAUAGUUAGAUAUAUGAUAUCUAUAAAUAAUUAAUUAACCAUAAUGCAUGCAUGAAUCUUUCUAUAAUCAGAUUUAAAUGGAAUGCUACACUUGAAGAAAUUGAAGAGGCUAGAUCUAUCUUACAAUCAUCUGCAACGAGUCUCCUCAUUGUACAAGCAAACUUCAAUGGAGGCCCAAAAUUUGUCUUCCAGUCAGCUUGAAGGUAAUGUAAAAUAGAAGACAAUGCCUUGAUAUGUAAAGUUUGAUGUUGAGAACCUUUUGUCAAUCACAGGUGUGAAACUUGAGGUGCUAUAUCUUUGGGGGAACAAUUUGGGGAAUGAUGCUUUCACGGACAUUACGAGGAUGACAUCUCUUAAGGCCCUAGACAUCGGUGAUUGCAGAUUGAAUGCCUCUUCGAAGUUAUUGGAAGGUACUUCUAUGGAAAGGCUUUUGUUUAUCAUUAUUAAUAACUUAUCAUAGAAGCACAUACAGUUGUUUGACCAUAAGUAAACCAAUAUCAUGCUUCAAUGUGUUAUGAUGUCAGUGAUCCUUAAAAGUUUGAUUUUUUUUUUUCAACUUUUCCCUGAUCUUUGAUAAUUGAAAUUUAGUCCCCAUGCUUUUAGUUUUGUGCAACUUUUUGUGUGGGCCAAUUUGAAUAAUAGUGUAACAACAUAACAGAUUCAAAGAGCCAUAGCUAAGAAGAUUAAAUACUGACAUGACAGUAUACCAGAGGAGUUCAAAUAUUAUAUAGGAAUCAUAACCAAAUUAAAUGCAAAAGUUAAUGAAAUCAACAUCAAACAAUAUUUAAAGUUUACAAAUUAAACCACAAUGGUGGUCAAACUUCAAGGAUUGCAAGUGUCAAUAAAUUCAACAAAGCCAUGAAGCCUAAGAAAUUAAAUGACACUAAAGCUCAAACAAAGCAACCUUAAUGGACAUACACAUUUACAUUGAUUUUCACUUUAUUCUUUUUGCUUAUUUUAAAUGUCGCAGAUCUUUCACUUUGACUUCUUCUUUUUUUCUAUUUUGAAACACCCACAACAUACACAACUAUGGAGAUAUAGUUUUUUGUAUUAUUUUCAAAUUAAGUUAUAUUUUAGAUUUUGAUAGUAUAGUAAAAACCAAAUUAUUUUGUACUUUUCACAAAGCAAAGAAAAAAAAAGACGCACAUCAUAUGUUGUCUAUGGUAAUACUUCUUGAUUAAAUUACCUAUAUAAAUGAAAGUAUAAUAAGGGAGUCAAUAACCUUAAGUUGUGAGUUGAGAGAGAGUGAAGAAAAUAUUGUUACCGAAUGGUAAUUAACUUAUAAGACUCACGCUAAGUUAUUUUUAAUAAUAGUGCCGUUGCAAAGUAAUAAACUUUGUGAGAGAGAGAAUCCGUUGCGUGCAAAAUAUGAUAACAAGACAUUAUUUUAUAAGUGGCUACUAGCUCCAAGAAUGAAGGCACUAGGGUUAGGAAGCAAUAGAAUGGCCUAUCUCAAAAAGGAUAAGUGCAUCAUAAAUUUUAAAACAUAUCACCAAAGUGCAAUCAAAUUUUCAAAUUUAUCAAAUUGAUGCACUAUAAUUUGGCUAACUAGAAAACUCGAAAUGUUUGUUUUUAUUACUUUCUUAACAUGCAUAGUAAUAAUGUAGCAUGCACUAAGCUCCACAUAAAAGAAAAAAUAUAUAUAUUUUUAAUUUUUUUAAGAAAGGAAAAAAAUUUUAAAAAGGAAAAAAUGAUGAGAAAUGCAAAAUAAAAAAAAUAAAAAUCUAAAACCACCAUCAUAGCCGCUCAAGGCGGCCAUAUAAAUUGUCUAUCAAGAAAACAAUUUAUAAUACUAGUUAAUCAUGAAAUUUAUUCAAUUUGAAAUUAAUCCUACAACAUAUAUUGUUUAAAUAUAUUCUAUUUAUUGUUUCAAAUUUAACUUAUUUCAUCACAUGAUUAAACUUAGUAAAUAAGUUUUUAUCUUUUUGGUUUGUCAUUGAAGAUAUUAUCUCUUAUUUGGACAUAUAAGUAGGCUUUCCCUUAUCUAUCAAUUUUAUAUGUAUAUUGUUAAAGUCGGAGCUACGUUUGCUCCUAUGCUCAACAUAUGAUACUUCACCUUGACUUAGAAGCAUUGGCUUAUUGAUUUGUCAUCAACAAGCUUUAAUAUUUAUUGAGUUAAAUAUAAGUAAAAAGACAAAGCACCUCGAAUUUUUUUUCCAACCCUCAUCUUUUUUUACCUUUAUUACUCAUUGAUUGUAUAUUUGAAAAAAAAAAAAGUGAGCAAAGUAAUGUAUCUUGAAAUAUUAAAUUUAACCGUCUGAUUUAAGUUGACUCCACAUAUGCCACUUAACUAAUACAUGUGAUUGCCAUGCGGCAUAAAUUGCGGCAAAACUUUUCCUCAUGGGAUGCAUUUGGUUAUUAAGUUAUAAAUGAUUGUUGAUACUUAAAUUUUGACUAAAUAUUUAGGAUUAAAUUGCAAAAAAUAUUAGGAGUCAAUUAGGAGCCAAUUCGGCCCUAACAAAGAAGGAUUUUGCACAUCACCUAGGUAUUAAUAUUAUUUGCAUUUAAUGAGCUUUAUUUUUAUUUUAUUUUCCCUUAUUUUACCUUAUUUCGGAUAAAUAAAAAAUAAAAAAUAAUAUAUAUUUAAAAAAAAAGGGGCUAAAAAGGAGCUUAGGGGCUGGGCACGGGCUUAUCCUAGAUUCCCCCUCGGCCCAUCCCUCUCUCUCUCCCUUCUCUCUUCCUCCGUUGCACGCCACCAAGGACACUACUGAGUAGAAGCAACUAAGGGUGGAGUAGGUAGGAGACGGUGCAGGAGAGAGGAGGCGCAGAGCUAGCCCUGCUGCGGAGUGGAUGGUGAGGGUAACCUUGCUCGGCCAAGAGAGGGCCCGGUCGGCGUGCUAAGGACUGGCGGUCGGAGCACCUCCGUCGACCGGGCUCCUCGCCUAUGAAUAGGGGGCCACGAGCUCGAUUGAAGGAGGAGGAAGAGGGAAAUCCAAAAAAAAAAAAAAAAAAACAAAGAAAAAAAAAGGCAUCUGUAAGGAGGAUCGAGGGCAGUGGUCGAAGAAAGGGAAAUUGGAGAGGCUAAAGUAGAGAGAGAAGUCAGCUAAGAGUGAAAUCGGAGGAGAUCCGAGCGAGAGAGCUUCAGCCGACACCUCGGCCAUGUGCGAGCUCCGUCCAGCAACCUCGCCCAGCGGACGCUUCCGAGAGCCAAACCAGUGAGCCUUCCCUGACUAUGUUCCGUGCCCUUUUUUGGGCGUGUUGCGUCGGAGACCGCGACUGUCUAGGUCACGCGAGCUCCAGCCACUAGCCGUCCCUCAUCACGCCGUCAUGCGUGUUCUAGUUUGUGUUGAAAGCGUCGGCGCCGGUUCUGAUCCCAUUCGAUCCGAGUCCCUCGUUCCAGUUGCGCGCACCACCCGCUCGAUGGAAUGUCUAAACCAAAUCUCAGCUUGUGUUAAGAGUGCUCGUCUCUGAGAUCGUUAAUUCGUCAUUUGGUCUUAUCCUUGGCCAUCACUACCUCCCUUUCUUGGUCAAGGUCGACACGAGCGUCACCGAAGCAUGGUUUACGGUUGGAGGGCAGGCCAUUUUGGCGAAACAUCGAGGAGGAGGAGCUCUCGGUGAGGACCAAGGAAUAAGAUAGCGCGAGGGCAAGAGGGAGCUCGAGUUGGGUCGGGUCCGGAUCAUUCUCGGGUCGCAGGUUCAACUGGCCUGGGCAUGAGGGCUUUCUUUUUUAGUCCACGCACGGGCCGGGCCGAUCGCGGGACCAAGCUCAAUAAAUGAGCCCAAUCCGGUUGAAGCCCUAGUUGGCCUUGGCCCGAGUCGGGUUUGGAUAUCCGACCCGGAUUUAGUUGUUUAUAUUAUAAUAUUAUAAUGUUAUUUUAAUAUAUUUAAAAGUAUUUUUAAACUAUUAAAAAUAAAAAAAAAUCGAAAAAUGUUUUAUUUUUUCCAAAAAUUAGAAAAAAGCUUAAAAAAAAGUUUCUCAAUAAUUUUCUCCAAAAAAAAUCCAUGAAAUAUCCUUAAAAAAAAUCAAACUUCAAGAUUUAAAUAAUAUUUAACCACUGGGAGUUCGCCCCAGUGGCCACUCUUCCAACUUGGAAGGGGAAGGUAAGGGGUUCAAAUCCUCAUUUUCUCAGGAGGGAUUGGGAUGGGGACGAUUUCAUUUCAAGAGUGGGUUUCGACUCCCACGCCCUGCAAGGAGGCAAGACACAAGUUUGAGAGUGAGUGUUAGAGUAGGAUUAGCAUAUGACCGACCAAAAAAAAAAGAUUUAAAUAAUAUUUGAUAUCAAAAAGGUAUUAAUUGAUUAACUAGUGUAAUCAAAUUCAUGAUUUCUUUAAUAGCGGCUGCUACUUGAAAAUGACUUACAAUUUAAAAAAUUGAACUAAAAGUUGCGAAUUGUGGGCUUGAGAGAGCUCAGGCUAAGCUCAUAUUUAGCAAGCCAUUAGCCUUAACGACCUGCAAGAGGGCACAAGGAGGUCGCAACAUGAUCGAUUUAUUAUUCUCGAAAUUCUAACUCUUUAGGAUAAAUAUGCACAUUGUAGAUGAAGAUAAAAUAUAUUGAAAUAACUUAUUCAUGUAAUCUAAAAUUUAAAUUAAAAAGAGAAAUAUGUCUUAUUAGAUAUUCAUUUUGUAAACAUGCCUUUUUCAGUGUAGUCAUAAAUACAAAUUUUAUCUAGUUUUCUAAAAUUAAAAUAAAAUGAUUUGAAUGGCAGCUUACUUUAUCUCUUAUUUUACUUAAUAUUCUCUUAUUUUAAAUAUUACAAUAACAUUGAUUUCUUAGACGUUUAGGAAAUUUGACUUAUUUCACACAUACAUAUUUGCAAUUUAUUUAGUUUUGCUUCCUCUGAAAUUCACUUAUCUAAAAUAUAGCUUAUUUCAUAAGUUCUACUGAAAUUUUGUUUUAAUGGUUCAAUUCAAAUAAAAUUUAUUUAAUGGAUAAGGAGAAAAUGAUCUCAAGUUUUGAGUUGAAUGACAAUCACAUUUAAAGAAUACGAUGUUAAUAAGGAAAUCCACAUAAUCUAUAUAAAAAUUAUAAUUAAAUCGAAUUUGUGAAGAAGCUAUUACUCUUAUCUAAUUAUUUUUUUGUACAUCUAUUUAGUUACAUUUUUUAGAUUAAACUUUUCUUCCGUGUCUUAUACGCCCAGUUUUUGUGUACAAAACAAUUUAUAAUAGUGUAAUAGAUGUUACAAAUCUAUAAUAUACAUAUAAAGGUAUCUUUUAAAUACUGGUGUCCACUGCCUAAAUUACUAUCGUACACUUUCAUAGUUACAAUCCCAUAAUUUUAGGAUAACUAAGUUUGAGAAGAACUCGGCAUCUUCAUUACCAUUGCCCAUCGCUGCAUCCGCCCACUACGUUGUUCAGACCCAUCAUGACACCAUGAAGCUCAGUCGCUAUUACCACCACUAGAGUCAAAAUCACUGCUGCAAGAGAACCGUGCACGGCCUUCGACAUGAGCCACUAUGACUUCAGAUAUGAAGUAUGGCCUCAUGGAGGGGAAGCGAGCUGGCAGUAUGCAUAGCGAGCUGGGACGAUGGUGCAAAUGGUAGUGGAGGAUGGGGGGUGGCGAUGGUGAGUUGCUGCGAAGGACAUGGAAGUGGAAGGGUGGAGAAGAAGAAGGGAGAAUAAAAAGGAGAAAGUUAGCACCAUUAAAAAUGUUGAGAGCAGAUGCAAAAAAUAAAAAAUAAAAAUAAAAAUAAAAGGAACAAGAAAAGCACAUGAUCUCACACUGCACUUAAUGUGGAGGAUCACAUCAAAUCCUUUUAGCAAUAAAGUUUCGAAAACUACAAUGAAAUUAUCCUUAAAUCUAGUAUUAAUAUCAACUUUAGACUUGAUUUCCGAUCUAAUUAAAAUUUGUCAAAUUCCUAAAGUAAUUAAGUUUCUUCUUUUUUCAUUCUAUUAAUGUAGUGUAAAGAAUAGGGGAAAUGAAGCAUUGUGCUGAUGUGACUCAACUACAAAGUUCCAUCUUAUCAAAUUUUUAUGUUAAGUGAUGAUACUCAUAGUUGCAACAUCCACUUCAACAAGCUUGUGUAGAUUGAGGAAUCUUGAAGAGCUAGAUAUUGAUGGAAAUGGACUAUGGGGUCCUCUUCCAUCAUGCUUUUUCAAUAUGACCUCACUCCAUGUGCUCAAUGUCAAAAAUAACAAUUUUAGCGGGGCCAUUCCUUCAUGUAUGCUAUCUAAUCUCAAGUCACUUGAAUCUAUUGACUUUUCUUGUAAUGCUUUUGAAGGCUCACUUUUGCUUGCUUCCCUAGCCAAUAAUCCAACAUAAAAAGAAAAAGAAAAGCACAUGAUCUCACUUUGCACUUAAGGGAGGAUCACAUCAAAUCCUUUUAGCAAUAAAGUUUAAGAAACUACAAUGAAAUUAAGCCUUAAAUCUAGUAUUAAUAUCAACUUUAGACUUUAUUUCUGAUCUAAUUAAAAUUUGUCAAACUCCAAAAGUAAUUAAGCUUCUUCUUUUUUCGUUCUAUUAAUGUAGUGUAAAGAAUAGUGGAAAUGAAGCAUUGUGCUAAUGUGACUCAACUACAAAGUUCCAUCUUAUCAAAAUUUUAUGUUUAGUGAUGAUACUCAUAGUUGCAACAUCCACUUCAACAGGCUUGUGCGGAUUGAGGAAUCUUGAAGAGCUGAAAAUUGAUGGAAAUGGACUGUGGGGUCCUCUUCCAUCGUGCUUUUGCAAUAUGACCUCACUCCGUGUGUUCAGUGUCAGAAAUAACAGUUUUAGCGGGCCCAUUCUUUCAUGUUUGCUCUCUAAUAUCAAGUCACUUGAAUUUAUUGACUUUUCUGGGAAUGCUUUUGAAGGCUCACUUUCUCUUACUUCCCUAGCUAAUUAUUCAAACCUUGAGAAAUUGUAUCUCUACGACAAUUGGCAUCGUUUGGAAGUAAAUACAGAAGAAACCACUUGGUUUCCUUCAUUUCAACUGAAGGAGUUUAUAUUAUCAAACUGUGCACUCAACAAAAACGCAAAUAGCACAAUUCCCAGCUUUUUGAAAGAACAAUAUGCCUUGAGAUGGCUUGAACUCAACGACAAUGGAAUGACAGGAAAUUUCCCAAAUUGGCUAUUGGUCAAUAAUGGGAACCUAAGCCAUUUGAAACUCAAAGGCAACCAUUUAUCAGGUGCUUUUUUUUUGCCUUCCAAUUUGUAUCUUGUUAGCAUGGACCAGUUAGAUGCGUCUGCUAAUAUUAUUGAUGGAAAGCUUCCAUCUUGGAUUGGUUCUAUCCUCCCAAAUUUGUGUGGUUUCAACAUGUCAAACAACUUAUUGGAAGGUAGAAUCCCUCCCUCAAUGGGCAAUAUGAGCCUAUUGCGUUUAUUGGACUUGUCAAAUAAUGGGUUCACGGGAGAGAUACCGGAGACACUAGCUAAAAAUUGUCCGGAACUUAAUCUAUUGAAAUUGUCAGACAACAAUUUGCAAGGUCAAAUCCUACCGAGGAAUAUUAAUUUGCCAUAUUUGUUAAUUUUGGAUGUGGCUAGCAAUAAUUUCACAGGGGACAUAUCACCUAGUAUAAUGAAUUGCUCCUACUUGGCAGUCUUGGAUGUAAGUAAUAAUUACUUAUCUGGAACGCUUCCCAAUCGGAUUGGAGAUUUACAAUACUUGCAAGUGCUUAUGUUGUCAAGUAAUUUAUUAGGAGGUCCUUUACCAUCGAGUUUUUGCAACAUACAUCGGCUCAUCCUUUUAGACCUUUCAAGUAACAACCUUGGGCCAAAUAUACCCCAAUGUGCCAAUGUUACAUAUAUGAAGUUCUUGCAUUUAGCAAAUGACACGCUUGCUGGCCAUUUUCCUGAGUUUCUCCUUGGAGGUUCAUCGAUUGUCACAUUGGAUCUAAGACAUAAUGCAUUGUCAGGUGAGGUCCCCAAUUGGAUCAGUUCACUUCGGAACUUGAAGUUUCUUCUACUACAAGGAAAUAAUUUUGAAGGUUCAAUCCCUCUGGAUCUGUGUCUAUUGAAAAAUAUGAGCAUAUUGGAUCUCUCUACUAAUAAUCUUUCUGGACAAAUCCCUUCUUGUUUAAAAGAUUUGAAAUUUGGAGAAGGUGAGGUAUCUGCACAGUUUGAUGAUUUCUUUGGCAUGUAUGAUUUAGAGUGGGCAGAGUCAAAAGAUAAAGAUUUGUUGAAAUUAGAAGAAGUAAAGUUCAUGACAAAGAGGAGGUUGGAAGCAUAUAAGGGUAACAUUCUAAAACUCAUGUCGGGAAUGGAUCUCUCGCACAACAAUUUGAGAGGCUCUAUUCCUCCAGUGGUCGGCUACUUGAGUGAACUUCGAGCAUUAAACUUGUCACACAAUCAUUUGACGGGAUUGAUCCCAAAAACGUUUUCCAAUUUAAAGAACAUAGAGAGCUUAGACCUAUCCUACAACAACUUAACUGGUCUCAUACCUCCACAACUAACAGAGCUCUGCUUCCUAUCGGAUUUUAAAUUGGCUUAUAACAACUUAUCAGGCAGGAUACCAGACCGAAAAAAUCAAUUUGGAACUUUUGGUGAAGAAAAUUAUGAAGGUAAUCCUCUUCUUUGUGGACCACCAUUAACAAGAUGUGAUGGAUCAAAUUUGGGACAUGGGACACCACCAUCUGUUAAUCAUACUAGGGAGGAUGACUCUUGGAGAGAAGCCUUCUUAUGGAGCUUUGCGGGAUCAUAUGUGGUAGCAUUCUUUGGGGUGGUUCUUUUUCUCUAUGUAAACUCGUAUUACCAGUUCAUUCUAGUUGAGCUUGUUCGUAAACUUAUACCAUCGUUUCCCUAGGUUGAGAUUAUUCUUCUUAGCAUUUUAUGAUGGAAAAUAUGAUGAAACAAUGGAGAAAUUUUGUUUUAUAGGAUUAUAAGCAUUUGAAUCUUGACUGCAUUUGAAUGGUUGACUCCCACAGUGUUCCUAUUGGAUUCCUUGUCCUGCUAAUGUGAAUAUUAGGAUAUUUGAUUUAUUUCAUAAUUUAAUAUUCAUUAAAUUGCAUCACAUACAGACAUUAGGAACAUUUGCAUUACUAGUACUAAAAAAGGUUAACUAAAAUUAAAAUUAAAAUUUAUUUUUUUUAAUUUUAAAGGAAAAAGAAAAACGAAAAAAGCAAGACUAGGUCCGGCCUCCUUUUUCCUUGCCCUUCCUUUCUCUUUGCCUGAGCCAACCCUUGUCUUUUCCUCCUUCCCCCCUCUCUCCACAUGUGCGACAAAAGAGCACGGAGGAACGACGACACUGAGAGGGAACAUGAUAGAGUGAGGACAUCGCGUGCGACGCUAAGGAAGGACGUUUAGUCGGGGCAGCUGGCAAGGCGAGAAUCCACGUGCAUCUAGCCACCGUCUCUGAGCCUGGUAAGGGUCCCCACGGCUGAACCUAAUUCCGCAAACCUCUUUACCUUGCUUGAUCUGUCCUAUCUUGAGUGAGGUGAGUGUCGACUCCAUUUCUUUAUCUCUUGCUCGUGCUAGACCUGAAUGAGUUGGUUUUUGUUGAAUUGGAACGUUGAGUGUUGAUUUCUUUUAAGGUUGGGUGUGCGCUUGAGCUCCGAACUGGUCAAUGUUUUCUUCCCCACUCGCUGCUCACGAUAUGUUCGUUGGAAUGCCCGAACCAAGUUAGCGUACAGUUCAUUCUGUUUCUGGGUUCAUUGUUUUCUUGGAGUCUUAUGUUCCAAUGCCAUGUGAGAGCUAUGCUGGAAUGGAAAUAACAUUGCUGAUCACUCAUGAAACAUAUGAGUCUAUUUCCACAUGUUUCUCUUUUUUCAAUGUCCUCGGGUUUUUUGUUCGUUUCGUUAAGUUGCAGUAAAAGGGUAGCAUUCGACAAGCAGCAAUGGUGAUGGUAUUCGCCCACGGUGGCAAUCACAGCUGGUGGUGCGGGUGUUUAGUAAAGAUUAUGAUGUGUUAGUGUGAGGACCGUUGAUUGUUGUAAUCCUCGGGCAGUGCAUUUCGGUCAUGCGUUUUUGGUGUGUUCUGAGUUUGUCUCGGGGUAAGCCAAGUGGGAAGAAGACGUGGGAAGGCUGUAGAGAAUAUAGAAAAGAAUUAAAAAAUAAGAGGGGAAAUGGGCUCAUUUGGACUAAAAUAGCAAAAAAGACGUGAGGGUAUUUUGAGUGAGUUUGGGCUUAGUUCCGUUAUAAGAUUAGUAAGUUGUUUGGGUUUGAGUUGAAGCGAAGAGAGUGUGGCGCAACUUUGGUGAUGGUCUGUUUGGGUUUAGUCUGUUCUAAUAGAAACUUUGGUGGGCUAUUGGUGAUUUGGGCUUAACUUUCUUUUAGAUCGGGCUUGAGUUAUUGAAAAUGGAUUUAGUGUCAAGCCAAAGCCCAAUCCGAGUCCCUAUUUUCUGGGUUUUUUUAGUAAAAAAAAAAUCACAAAAUUUUUUAAUAUACAUGGAAAAUUCGAAAAUUCCUAAAAAAAUCCAAAAUUAUAAAAAAAAAGUUAGAAUUCCUAAAAAAAAAAAUGAAAAUAGUUUUCUUGGGUGAUUUUCCUUUUAAAAAAAGUGAAGGCCUAUUGACUCUAAAAUUUUGUUCAAAAUUAAACAAGUCCUUACUGUUUUACCGUAAGUUUCGAUUGUUCUUAAAAAUGAAUGCCCUUUAAUAUAAAGAAAAUUAAUUAAUGAACUAGGAGCAUUAUAAUAUCUGAGACCUUGAGCCCAUCAAUCGAAAUAUUGACCAAUAGAAGCCCCACUAACCGUCAAUGCGAACGUCCCGAUUUGAUUUUCAAUGAUAGAGGAGCUCUAUUGUUGCUUUAUUAAAAAAAUUGCUCUCGGAAGUUCUUCAUUGAGAUCGUCAUCUCUCCGGGGACAAGCAUCUCCAUAAAAAGGUAAAACAAACGAGCAAUAGAGGAUCGGAUAUAGGGGAUUUGGUCUCUCUGUCGGAUUGAAUUCAAGAGAUCCCCCGAUUUCUCCCAUUCCAUCGUUGUCAUCUCCAUCUCCUUCCAAUUGGAGCGCUCGCGUGACGGCUCCCCUCCUGUCGACUUCAUCGUCUCUACCUCAUUGGCAUCUCCCCUCCUGUCGACUUCAUCGUCUCUACCUCAUUGGCAUCUGGCCAUUCAUCCACGAAUCGAUAGAAGAAGAUGAAGACUUGAUCUGGUGGUUCUCUUCUUUAUGGAGCCACCGACGAUGGAGGUCCAUCUCUCUCUCUCUCUCUCUCUCUCUCUCUCUCUCCUCCCGCAUUCCAUUUGGCCAAAACUGUGGCCAGCAGGAGGAGCUCGGCUUCUUCCUCACUCCGCCGCUGUUCCUCCCUCCAGUUUGAGAUCACUACUCAACUCAUAACUGGAAGCUCACCUCUAGUUCAUCGAGAGCCGCCUCAGCCUUACCAUCCUCUCUUAUGCUCUAUUUCCAUGUCGCUAGCUAGAGUUUGUCAAAUCGUAAUGUUCCCUUUGUCGAGCGAAUUCGAGACUAUCUUCUCUAAUUUGGAUGAAGCUGGUCCAAAUUUUCGAGAAAACAAAGCCGAGCCCCACUCCUCUCUUCAGCUCGUUUGAGAAUCCAUUUUUCUGGAGAUCUUGGUUCUAUCGUUUGUAGCUCCUCUUCAUUGCUCCAUCAACAUAUAGGCUCUAUUUCCUGUCCAAGGACACAAGUUUUUCUUGGUUUGGUGCAUCUCAUUUAUUCCAGGGGCUGGUUUUGCCUGUUCUCCCUUGUCCACGGAUCAUUUUGUCAAACCAAAACGACCCAACAAUGCCGAGUUUUAAUCACUGUCCACACCAGUCUGAAAACACUAUCCAGCAUCCUCAUGCCGCUCACUGGAAUUGCUUCCUGUUUACUUAAGUCAGACCUGUUUAGAUUGCUGAAUUAAUAGUUGCUGAUCCAUCACCUUCGAAGUCCAAAAUCAGAGCCAUCUUCCAUUGCAAACCCAAUGACAACAUCACUAGCCCAAUGCUGUCUCGUGCGAGCAAGAGCCUAUCUUCGUCCACUUUAUACAUGGCUUGCUGGAAUGUUCGUGCCUGUAUCUUAAAGCGCUUAUGGAUGCUGGGCACAUUCUCACAUGAGGCUUCUCAUCCAAGAACAAUCAACUCCCGGUGAAAUUGGACGAUUAACAACGAGGUUACUCUUGUUCGAUUAAACUUUAGAAUCAUUUUCGACUCAUUCUCCAUCCAUCUCUUGAUUUUUUAUUUUGCUCUGCUUCUUUUUUUUUUUUGGGUAAGAUGCUCUGCUUCUUUUUUGUGUGGGCACUAGCUAAUAAUCCUCAUUGGCCUUGAGGUAUACUCCAUUCAGUAUCUGAACUGAUAUUUGGCAGCAAAUUUGGAGAAAUAGUCUUUCACGUAGUUUCUUGAUUGUCUACAAUUUGUUAGGUUCACUCAAAGUCUGGGAGUUAGGCUUGCUCAUAAGAAGUUCUAUACUAGGGCGAUUAAGUACUACGUGGGCUUGCAUGUGAUGUCACGGUAUUAUCCCAUUGCCCGUCACUUUUUGGUAGAGUUGGCAAAAUGGCCAAUUGAAAAAUGAGUUAUAAAUGGGUCUAUCCCAAAUUUAAGUAUAACCUAUAUUAUAGCUCAACUAAGAGCCACUGUUACUUUUUAAUUUUCAUGACACCCUACUCCCUAUGUAUCUCCAUCAUCAGCGCCUUUGCUCUUGGUGGAUGCCGUCGCCUUCACCACCGUAGUCUCGCCUGCUUGUCACCAUCCACCACCCCAACUGUGUCGCGCUCGCCAUCGUCUCUUCAAGGUUCUGCCGCCUCAAUGGGCAGCUCAGUUGUUACAGCUCCCCCGUAGCUAUGGAGGUGAGAGACUUGGGGAAGGAAUCGAGGAAGGGGCUAGGGUUGAGGGAUUUUACGGAGAGGGAAUCGGAGGUAGGAGGGUCGGCAGGGAAUCGGAGGUGCCCACAAGAAUGCUGGCACAGCCCCACCAGCUACGACGGCGUGUGCGUUACGUCGCUUUUACCCUUUCAGCCCAUCUGUUGGAAUUUUGUUUGUUAAAACAAAAUAAGUGCCUUUUACUUUGUUCCACAUAGAAAAGGUGGGAGCAGGAGGAUUAGUUUAUUAAUGAGAAAUUUCCUUUUGUAGUUAAAGGAGUGAUUAUUCCGAAUUUUAUUUGUGUCUUUUCAAGACAACUUUUGGAAAAUUACUUAUUCGGUUUUAAUUUUUCCGAAGGAUUGCAAUUGUUCGUUUUUUUGACUUCUUCCGAAGAGUCGCAUUUGUUUAUCCGAACAAUUUUCUAAAGACGUGUUUGUUCGCAAUUUUCACGAAGAGUUGUAAGACUGUUUUCAUAUAAAUACUUGUCAUUUUCGGAAAGAAAAGUGUGGUCAUUUUCGAGUCUUCUUUCUGAAAAAACUGCAGCCAAUUUUCGAUUGUUUCUUAGAGAGACCCUGGAGAAAUACUAGAAUUGCUAGUUAGUAUUCUCAUCCGAGACUUUGUUGUAUUCUGGAGGAUUUUUGCCGGUGACCAUUAGCAACGUUGUGGGGCAAAUAAAUCCUUAAAGAAAGUGAUAUCACGCCUCAAAGUCCGAGUUGUUUUUACUCGAUCCGAUUUCAUUGUUCAACCCAUUUCGAAGACAUAUUUUACCAACACCAUCUUCUCUCUCUCGGCCUCCCGAAAGUCCCUACUUUUCUCCGGCGGAGAGGCGCGUUCUUGAUCCGACGCGUCGCGCGAAAGAAUGAGGGAGAGGAUGUUCGGAUGCGAGUGCUUGUCUUGGAACGGAGCCGCUAGCCGCCCCGUUCCCCAGCCCGAGCCCUUCUCUCUGCCCCGUUUUGCUUCGUUUUGGUAAAACCCAAGACCGAGAUUGUUGUUCCUCAUUCGUGCUUGUGCUGAAUGUGAUUGGGUCACCGCCUAUUGAUUUCCAGUCCUGAUUGUUGAUUCUUUGUAGAUUAAAAUGUGAGCUCGAGUCUUGAAUGAGUCCAGGCUCCUCCCCCAAGUUAAUGCCCGCUGGGAUGUUCGAGAAAAUGUCUCAGCCAAACCCUCCGGUCAUGAUUGGCGAUGAAGGUAUAAAGUCGGUCGUGGCGCUCGCGGAUAGUGUUGGCGUUAGACAUUAAGGUCGAUAAAAAGGGUUCCGGCAGCAGAUUGUCUGUGAAGAACGGCGCGUCCUCUCGGAAAGAACAGCAGGCUCUCGGUGAAGAAGGAGGUGAAUGGGAAAGAAAUAAAAAAUAGUAAAAGAAAACAAAAGAAAUAUUUUAAAAUGGGCUGGAUGAUAGGCCAUGCGGAGACAUUCGGGAGAAGCGGGGUUGGAGUUGUGCGUGAGGCUUUUGCUUAGGAGACCUUGGGCUUAGUUCUGCCGAGUAGGGAGUGGUUUGGUCAGGUUUUAGUUUUAGUUUUAGUUUUUUUUAAAAAUAUAUUUUUAAAUAUAUUUAUUAAUUUUUUUAUUGUUUAAUUAACAUUUUAAAUAUGAUGUGAAAUUUUUAUCUAAGUAAUAUAUACAUACAAAAGGCUUAAAGUGGGUUAAAUGGGUUCUCCCAAAGUACAUUAACUAUUAAUACGAUUGGGUAAUACGAGUCUGGUACAAGUCGAUAAAUUUACAUUACAUGAAAAUAUGUCAAAACGGGUUAAAUUGAUCAAUAUAGGUCGGAUCAUUUCUGAUCCGAUCCAAACCCGACUCAACCCACUUAUUUGAAAACUCUACUUUUUGGUAAUAGUUUAUGAAAGUGAAUCAUUAGACUUGAUAUAAGAUGGUGAUUGAAGACUUUGAAUGCCAAUUUUUGUUGUGAAUUUCAUCAUGGAAUUGUGCAAAAAUAAUCAUAAACACUUGCUGUCCAAAUUUAAAUUGCAUUAUUCGUAAACGAAAUGGAUUGAGCCCAAUGAAGCCCGAUUAUGUCCCGGGAUGUUAAUUGUGUGUGCAUGAUUGGUUUGAUAUGUGUUUUGAUUGUAAAAACUAACGAAAGGAGAGGGAUAUUAAGGUAAACAUCAUGCUGCUACUCAUACCUGGUAUUGUGCCUAUUUUUGUGAUUUUCACUUGAACCGCAUGUUUACUAUAACGAAUGAUUUGCCCAAUUCACUUCGCAAUUGAUAAGGCCCAUAACUCUGUAUUUUAUUUCUAUUCCAAUAACAUAAAAUCAUUGCUUAAAGAAAAUUCUCACAUUUGAAUUGAUAUUAGAGAUAUUCCUGAAAAGUAGGUCCGUAUAACCCUAUCCGAAAAAUUUCACAAACUCGACUUAUGUAAACCUUUUCAAAACUUGAUCCAUGUGGUCUGAGCAAUGUUAUUAGCAUUAAAUAUUUUGAAGGGGGAUUACUUAGAAAAAAAAUUCCAAAAUGACCUUUAGUAGUUGAAUACAAUCCAAAUUUGCAAAGUUAGCGACUCGGGUUUUCCGUAUUUGUGGUGCCUUGUUUCGAGACCCAGCAAACCAAAUCAACAAACUGAUUAUAUUUGCCUUCAACCCAUCUAAAUUAAAUAUUUUACCCCUGUACCACGUUUAAUGACGUAUAACACAAUAUUUUUAAAAUGUUAUGACACUUGAGUGAUCAAUUAAAAAGUUAUAUAGCACACAAAUGAUUGGAAAAAAAAGUCUACAUUUGAUCUAGAGAUUAUUAGUCGUUGUCUUGGAACAUUCAAUGUCUGGGAUUUGGGAAUUUGCCUAGGCUCGGAGAGUUGUUCUAAGUUUUAUCUAUUUAAACCCCUCUAAACCUUUUUUGAGGGAUGGAGUGUUUUGAUUAAUGAACUUCAUAAUUGAAGAGUUUUAUCUUAACUCCGCAUUGUAGACGUUCGAAUUUCGUCGACCAUUUUUAAAUGCAUGAUAUAAAUUGAAUUAAUUCAUGAACUAGGAAAAUUACAAUAUCGAGACCUCGAAUCCGUCAAUCGAAAUUUUGACUGACAGAUUCCAACACAUUCCUCUCUUCCUCCUCAACGAACACCAUCCGGCUCUCUUCAGAUUCCUCUCUUCCUCCUCAGUGAACACCAUCCGGCUCUCUCCUCUCUCUCUCUCUCUCUCUCUCUCUCUCUCUCUCUCUCUCUCUCUCUCUGUUCAGCGCAUCUCUCACCUCCUGCAUUCCAUUCGCCCAAAACUAUAGCCAGCAGGAGGAGCUCGGCUUCUUCCUCUCAGCUUCGUCCUCCCUCCGUCGCCGUUCCUCCUCCAGUUCGAGAUCACCUCCAGUUCAUCGAGAGCGCUGCCUCAGCCUUGCUCUCCUCUCUUCUGCCAUGUCAGCUGGCCAGAAUUUGUCAAAUCGCAAAGUUCUCCUUGUCGAACGGAAUCGGGACUAUCUUCUCUUGUUUGGAUGAAGCUGGUCCAGAUUUUCGAGAAAAUGAAGCCGAGUCGCUCUCCUCUCUUUAGCUCAUUUGAAAUCCAUUUUUUUGUGGAGAUGUUGGCUCUAUCGUCCGUAGCUCAUCUCCAUUGCUCCAUCAACAAACAAGCUCUAUCUCCCGUCCAAGGACGCCAGUUUUUCUUGGUUUGGUGCGUCUUAUUCAUUCCGAGGGCUGGUUUUGCCUCUGUUCUCCCCUGUUCACGGAUCCUUUUUUUAAACGAAAAUGAUUCGAUGAUGCCAAGUUUCGAUCACUGUCCAGACCAGUCUGAAAACAUUAUCUGGCAUCCUCGUGCCACUGUCCAAAUUUAAAUUGCUUGAUACCUAAUCAAAAUGGAUUGAGCCUAAUAUAGCCCGAUUAUGUCCCCAGAUGUUACUUGUGUGUGCAUUGGUUGGUUUGAUACAUAUUUUGAUUGUGAAAACUAAUGAAAGGUGAGGGAUUUAAGGUAAUAAACAUCAUGCUGCUACCCAUACCUAAGAUUGUGCCUAUUUUUGUGAUUUUUACUCGAUCCAUAUGUUAAUUUUUGUGCGCUUGUGUUUUCCCAAUGACAUAGUUUGUUAAGUACAACCAUUGAUUGCACAUUUUCAUACUUGUUUUAUAUGUUAAGGCAUCUUGGAUCACUUGUCAUGUGUUUGAAAUAUUGCAUUUAGGAGUUGGCUCUUAAGCAGCCCCUAAUAGGGUAAUGGUGUCUCUAAUUAGAUAAAAACAAUUUCAUAAAUUAAUUGAAUCCCUCAACGUCACAAUCGGUUAGGCAUUGGGAGAACUUGCGAACAAGAGUGUGCACCUUAAAUAGAUGGAUCGUCCGUUCCCGUUCGACAAACUGUUAAGACUUCGCUUCACCUAAGACGCACCAGUGGUGCGGCACCACAUGGGACAAUCAGCAAUUACUAGACUACCACGUUGGCCGUUCCUGGCAAAAAUCAGCUAGAAUGACAACAUUUCUAUGAGGCGAGCAGCCUCUUUACGUUGCGUGGCGAUUGAUCAGGUUUCCAAGCCACGAUGUUGGUUUGGCCGACCGGCUGGCUCUUAAUCAGGCCGUUUCUUGUUACCAAGCUUGCCAUUUCAUAGGGAUGCCAGAAUGCAACGUGGUUCUUGCACGGUGCGUCGCCUACUUGGCUUUGCUCCAAAAUCAAUUGCCAUUUAUCGAGUGAUAGGAGCUGCACAGAAGGUAGUGAGAGAAUCUGUUGGGCAAAAUGAGGUAGUCCCGCUGCAUCUGAGAAAUGCGACUGCCAAGCUGACGAAGGAAAUCGGAUAUGGAAAAUGCUACAUAUAUACUCCUGACGAUCCUCAGGCAACGCAAAGCUACAUGCCACCCUCACAUCAAGGAUACAAAUUCCUGGACUGGCAGAGUACUAAUACCCGAGAAACCGUAAGCUCCCGAAAGCAGUCUUUGGAGCUCUAACUUUUGCUCGUUAGGCACUUUUGUCCAUUCCCAAAUUUUGUUUGGUCGAACGAGUUAAUAGCCUCUUUUGCUGUCGCAAUUAUAAUCGCAUUGUUUGUUUUGAAGUAGGUCGAUAACAAGCACUGUAAAGUAUCUUAAGACCGUAAUUAUGAAGUUUAUGAGGACGAGUAUAGGAUGCUGAAUGUGCGUACUCUUUUCCUAACUACAGUGAGCGCUCAUAUGCUAAUACUACCCUACUCCUUUUAAGACAGUUUGACAACUCAGACAUGACAUUUAUCUUCUAAUGCUCUGGCACCAAGAGAUUGUCUGGUUUCUUGCAUCUGAUGUGUAUUGUUUGCCGAAACGAGACAGAUGCAUCCUCAGUGUUUGAGGUGACUAUUGGCUUCAGACAAUGUUGAUGCUGAAACAAGAAGCAAUUGAAGCAUAGCAUUGGAAUUCUCGGAGUUUGAAUCAGGGGAGUCUCAGCUCGCUUGACAGAACCUUCUUCUCAAAAUAACAUUAAAGCAGAAAAAGAUUAUUACCCACAUAUGAUCACAUUGUAAAUCAAAUCAUCCACAUUGUAAAUCAAAUCAUCCAUGGAUAAUGAGAAAAACAUAACAUAUACAGUGAGCAUUCCACUUCUUUACAAAUGGAGGCAUCUUCUCUAUCAUGGAGCGCCAUCUCUUCUUGAGGCUUCUUGAUUUGGGGUGUACACACACUAACAAUGGAAUAUCACGAACCCCCAGCAAAUAGCUCACAUCUGUUCAAUCAAACCAAAUCAAAUAUUGACAAAUUUUAGUAUUGUUACACAGUUCUAUCAAACCCAACUUUAUCUCACCAAUGUAAGAGCAACAGAGUAGCGCCAUAAUGAGCUAACGCACCCAUGAUCACAAAGACGUGAAACAUCUGAUGGCUGUGACCAGCAAGGUCCAAUCAACCUGCUUUUAGCCUCUCAAGAAUCCUGCUAACAUAUAAAAAAAGCCACCUGCAAUGUAAUACACUGCCAUGGCCGACUCAUAAGCAAGCGUGAUCGGGCACUGGGGAUUGCUCCAGUUCACAAUAUGGGCAUGGAUCGGAGGUAUGAUACCGAAAAACCCCAUGGAUGAGAAGAGCAUCACCCAAAACGCCUGGAAUUUCCCAGAAGAAAGAGAAGGCGCAAGCAGUGUCACGAAAGUGAACAUCCCCAUCGCCAUUAUUUUUGCUGAUGUAGAUCAGUUGCCGUUAGGUGAUGAUCAUGACCGUGAUGCCGACAUAGUCCAUCNNNNNNNNNNNNNNNNNNNNNNNNNNNNNNNNNNNNNNNNNNNNNNNNNNNNNNNNNNNNNNNNNNNNNNNNNNNNNNNNNNNNNNNNNNNNNNNNNNNNNNNNNNNNNNNNNNNNNNNNNNNNNNNNNNNNNNNNNNNNNNNNNNNNNNNNNNNNNNNNNNNNNNNNNNNNNNNNNNNNNNNNNNNNNNNNNNNNNNNNNNNNNNNNNNNNNNNNNNNNNNNNNNNNNNNNNNNNNNNNNNNNNNNNNNNNNNNNNNNNNNNNNNNNNNNNNNNNNNNNNNNNNNNNNNNNNNNNNNNNNNNNNNNNNNNNNNNNNNNNNNNNNNNNNNNNNNNNNNNNNNNNNNNNNNNNNNNNNNNNNNNNNNNNNNNNNNNNNNNNNNNNNNNNNNNNNNNNNNNNNNNNNNNNNNNNNNNNNNNNNNNNNNNNNNNNNNNNNNNNNNNNNNNNNNNNNNNNNNNNNNNNNNNNNNNNNNNNNNNNNNNNNNNNNNNNNNNNNNNNNNNNNNNNNNNNNNNNNNNNNNNNNNNNNNNNNNNNNNNNNNNNNNNNNNNNNNNNNNNNNNNNNNNNNNNNNNNNNNNNNNNNNNNNNNNNNNNNNNNNNNNNNNNNNNNNNNNNNNNNNNNNNNNNNNNNNNNNNNNNNNNNNNNNNNNNNNNNNNNNNNNNNNNNNNNNNNNNNNNNNNNNNNNNNNNNNNNNNNNNNNNNNNNNNNNNNNNNNNNNNNNNNNNNNNNNNNNNNNNNNNNNNNNNNNNNNNNNNNNNNNNNNNNNNNNNNNNNNNNNNNNNNNNNNNNNNNNNNNNNNNNNNNNNNNNNNNNNNNNNNNNNNNNNNNNNNNNNNNNNNNNNNNNNNNNNNNNNNNNNNNNNNNNNNNNNNNNNNNNNNNNNNNNNNNNNNNNNNNNNNNNNNNNNNNNNNNNNNNNNNNNNNNNNNNNNNNNNNNNNNNNNNNNNNNNNNNNNCCCACAUUAUCUGAUUCAAGUUCACCAAAGAAUUUGUACCCUGAAAGCUAUAUUGUGUUAGAUGCAUCUGUAGAAAGCUAUAUUGUGUUAGAUGCAUCUGUAGACUUCAAAAGAGAGUACUCUCGUCAUGAGUCAAAUGAAACACCGCUGGCACUCCACUCACCAAAAGCAAUUCCUUUGAGUAAGAGAUAUUAGUUCUUGCACUAUUAGAGUUUGACCUGCACAAGUGGAUUUGCACAUCAAGCCAUUGCAUAAUCUAUGGAAAUACUAGUCGGAGUCCAUUCAGAUCACAAUUGAUUGAAAAUGGUUCAAUCCUCUCCGUCAGAGGGAGAGAGUAGGCCAAAAUGGUGAACGUGAAUGGGUGGAGCACUAACUGAAUAAUUACCUAGCUUGCUUAAGCUGAUAGUGUCAAAUUCAAUUAGACAACCAGUGAACUACUCUUCACUAAAAUAGUUAUUUUCCACUAUGAUUUGGUUCAGAAAAUCUCAGCAGCAAUCAACUUUCAGAGCAUUCUGCAAUAGUUUACAAGAUCCACCAUGCGUUAACUUUUUCUUGACACACUGUGCUACUUGCAUGGAAAAUGAUUAUCCAUUGACGGUGGACUGAAUCCAUAUUGUAUUACCAGGAGUAGAGUGAGAUUUUCCAAUGGAUUAGAUCUUUAUUUUAUGUUCGAAAAGAACGGAAAUUUCUAUGAAUACUUUGAUCCCAUCAUUGUAACUAAUCACAGAUGACCCUUGUUAUCCAUCUAAAUUUUGCACUUGCUGUUUGAGCAAGACUGUCUUGACUGUCAAGCUACUACUCCUGAAAUUUAGCAGCAAUGAAAUUGGUGAGCACAACCCCUUGCAUAUUCCUGUAAAACAAACUUUCGGAGUUUAAUUUUAUGUGCCUGCACUUAAUGUCACAAACUCAAGUUUUUCAUCUGUAGCACCUGCAAUAUCGUUACAGCCCUUGAAGAAAAUGCAGGUUUUAAAUGACAAUUUUUGUUGCUGUUUGGAAGAAAGGUCAGCUAAUGAAAAUGGCUGGUUGCCUAGUAUGGUAACAAGCCACAAAUAUCACAAUACUACAUUGACUUGUACAAACUAAAAGUGUCGUUCUGCUCAUAAACAGGUAGGAAGAAUCUAAGCGAUUGUGGCUAUGAAAUUCCACAAUUUUAAGCUGGUUAUGGAGGAUUUUUAUCAAAAAAGGGUAAUUCAAACAUUUUCAUCAGAUGAACAAUUUCGCAAGCUCUCUAGUGAGCCAUAACUUGCACUUACAAGCCUCAUCUCAGAUUACACUGGAGAUAGUGAAAUCGAGCUAUGACAAUCAACACAGAUCGAGCUGCUACUGACAAAUUCCCCACUAUAUAUGUAUAGCUUUGAUUUCCACUCCAACAGAAAUUAUGUGUUCCAUUCGAUAUCGUCAAGACUCACUAAAAUAUCCACGCAAGUAUAAGAUUGAAUGACACAAAACGCACCUUGAGAAUAGGUCGAGAAGAUCCGCCAACUAACCAGACGCUGAGCUUCUCGUUGUGCCAACGGAACAAGCUGCGGGCGGCCUCGGCGAGCGGCCAGCUGGCGCGGAUGGUGGCCGAGGAUGAACUCGUUGUCCUUCACGUACUCCGGCAGCUCCCGGAACGACGCCAGCGCGUAUCGCGAUGCCGACGUCGUCCAUCCGCAGCAGCUGGAUGUUCAAGCAGUGCGAGUGGCAUGAGAAGUAGAAGUGUCGGUGAGAAUCGAUGGCCCAUCGUCUUCCCCCAGUGCCGUCGCUCUUGUUUUCCCCUUCUCCAUCUCCUCCUCCUCCUGCUCUUUCGCUGGUCGCUUCUUUAUCGAUUUCUGCUGAAUUUGUUGGUCUCCUUCCUCUCCUCCCUCGCUCUAUCUCGCUGUGGCCUUUUCCCCUUCUGUGGAGAAUUCAGAGGAGGAGGCCUUUUGCUUUUGUUGGUAGGCCGAUCGGAGAAGAAGAUGAAGAAAUCGUGGAGGCCUUUUUUGGCCCAAUGUCAGCGUCUGCUUUGUAUAUCUUGAAAUAUAUCUUUUUCAAGAUUUAGAUUUAAGAUUUUUCAUUUUGUGAAGAAAGGAUUUUUUGCAAGUUUUAUUGGGAAUUUGUUAAGAAAUCAGAUAAUAGAAUACUUGGAAGUUUUGACGCUAAAUCGAAAUGUUUUUCGCUAGAAUUGACCUAAAACAAAAUCGAGGUUCUUAAUUUUAUUAUCUAGACAAAACUUCAUCCAUUUACUAUAUAUUUCGGAAUAAUGUUAGCCACACUAAACUUUUUUAAUAUGAUAGAUUUGAGAAUUGACGGUGACGAUUAAGAUUUGAACCGGUACCUUAAUGAAAAUCAUGAAAUAUCUAAACAAAAUUAUCCAUCGAAUUGAUACCUGUAUUUUAAUAAAAUCUCACAUAUUUAUGAUCAAGAAGGAGUGUCAAUCUGAUCAAAUUUCCUAUAAAAAAGAAAAAGAAAAUGUAGGACCCUCUAGCCAUCUAUAAGAAUUUAGUCUACUUGUGGUUGGCGAAUUGUGUGGCCUAGAGCCAAAGAAUAAGAGAAGAUCUUUGAUGAAGAGAGAUUUUCGAAUGCACCAUCUUGGUGAAAGUGGCCGAUAUAAAUAGGUCUUUGUGUGCUAGUAAAGAGCGUAAAACAAAUGAGUGAUUGGUUUUUGAUCCGGUACCCUAUUCCUUGGAAUCGAAUUGAACCGGGAGGACCGGUUCCCCUUUUUUGGGACUAGGGAUUGGAACGAACAAUCCUAGGAGCGGGAAUAGGAUCCAAUCGGCCAAUCCGAUCCAAUGGAACCAGCCACUUAACAAAAAAUUAUUAAAAAAUAAAAAAAUACUAGAGUUAUUAUAUAUUUAUGGUUUAUUGCUAUUUAAAAGAAAUUAAAAAAUAUAUAUUUAAAAAAGAAAAAAGAAAAAAGGUCAAUCUAGUUCGUCGAUUUGGUUUGGACCAAUUCCACCCUAGAACUAGGAACCAAAUUGAAAAUCAUCAAUUCCAUUUUUAUGGAACGUAACUGGGAAUUGGAUCGACACCUUUGGAAACCGGACCAAAUUGGCUAGUUUGGUCCGAUCUAGAUGGUUUCCAGUCCGAGCAUCCAAUAUGCUCACUCCUAGAACAAAUUAAGUGCAAAGCCUCUUCCCAUGCAUCUAACUUUGUGAAUCACUUUCCAUUUACUACAGCCUCAACUCGUCCCAAACUUACACAAAGUUCUCCUUAUUUUUACAAAACAAAAUUACUUGCCCUUUAUCCAAACUACAUAAAUAAAUAGAAAAGAAUUGUCGAAUCUUCAGAUCAUAAUUUUCCAAAAAAAAAAAAAAAAAAAAGAAUGGUUCAAUCAUGUUUGCCGAAGUGCAAGAGUAGGCUAAAAUGGUAAAAGUGGAUGGGUAGAGCACUAAUAAAAUAUCUCGCUUAAUUAAGUCGAUACAUUUCAAAUUCAAUUUGACAUCCAAUGAGCGACUCUUCACUAUAAAAGCUAUUUACCACUUUGAUUUCAUUCAAAAAAAUCUUAGCAACAACUAGCUUUCAAAGUAUUCUACAAUGGUUUAUUAUAAGGUCCACCAAUUUAUGAACUUUUUCUUAUACAAAUGGACCUACUUCCAUUGAAACAUGAGUAUCUAUUGACAUUGGAUUGAAUCCAUAUUGUAUUACCAAACAGAGAUUUUCCGAUGGAUUGCAUCUUUAAUUCCUUUUUCUUUUUUUGUUGAAAGAAACAUUUUAUUUCAUCAUCCAACACUUCAAUUUUUAUUCAAAAAGAAAGGUAAUUUUUAUCAAUGCUUUGAUCCACCAUGCUAUUCAAUCACAGAUGAUUUUUGCCAUCCAUUCGACUGUGAAGUUCUUUCGACUGUCAAGCUACGGCUCCUAAAUUAUAGCAGCAAUUAAAAUUGCAAGGAGGACCCUUGUAUACUCCAACAAAAUAAAUUUUCCAAGUUUAACUUAACGUGCCUGCAAUUAAUGCCACAAACUUGAGUAAUUCAUUUGGGGCACCUGCAAUUUCGAUACAACACCAGAAGAGAAUGAAAUUUUAAUCUAGUUUCGAAGUCCAAGUCAAAAUCUAUUUUUAGCUAAAGAAAACUACCCACUAAGAGAUAAUCACUAAGUGAAACUCAAAAAAAAAAGAAAAAGAAAAGAAAGAAAGAAUGAAAAAACAGAUGGCAUGCAUAAUUGUAGCCCCUAGAUAUAAAUACCCAUUUCUCUUUUCAUCCUUUUAUGUUUGUCAUUAUUUUGUUAAGCGAAAGAGAAUCCAGCACCCAUCGUAGCAUUGAUAGAAUAAGACUAAAUUCAAUUGUGCAUUUGAAGUCAAGCAAACAAUGUCAUCAGACCAAAACAUCAAAACGAGCAUUCACUCACGGACAUUAAUCAGUCGAAUCUUCUAGCCAAAGCUCGUACAUCAAAAAGACCGAUCGAGCAUAUUUGUCCACGCAAACAAUCAAUGAAGAAGAGAUGCAACAAAAGAGUCUUCGACACCUCCGGCAUAUUCCGUUCCCAUUAUAUCCAAAACAUUCCAGUUCCACAGUAUCAUGUAACUCCAUCACCAGUCAGAAAAGAUAACAAACCCCUCAAACCCAGAUCAAUUCCUAUUCAGACAGAUCCUUCCUCUUUCAGACGCACUAAAAGCAUCCCCCAUCCCCCACCAAAAAAAAAAAAAAAACAGUAGAGAACUCAAAACAAAGCUGAUUAAUUAACAACAUAUGGUCUUUCAGAACCACGAAGCCCCAAUCUCAACUCUCUCCGCUGCUGCAAUUUGCAAUCGCCUUCUCGCUCUUCCAAAACAAAUCCAAGUGUACAUAUCAGGGCGAAAGGCAAGAUCUCAACAUGUACCGGACAAGUAGACAAUGAAAGCUUUAACGCCAAUUAGAGAAUGACCGAGAUUGGACUAGCCUCAUGCAUGACGGUUCUCGACCACCAAGUAACGAAUCAGUAAUCAUCUCUUAUGGUCGACGAGUCAAAAAAAAAAAAAGAAAAAAAAAAUGCAAAUCACACUAGAACACUCUCAGAUUGACUGAUAACAGAAGCAAAUCAACGCUGGAAGUCACGUGGGCAAAACAUCGAACAUCUGAUGGAGAUGAAAUUCGAAGUGCUCGGAACAGAGUAGUCAACAAAUCAUCGGUGAGGAGUAUAGAGUGAGAUGUUCAUUUUAAACAUUACAAGACACAAAAUCGACGAAUCGGAGGACAGGCGUGCACGGAAACAUGCUCGGCUAAAACCAAAAUCGAGCAUAGUAGAGGGAUACGUUGCCGGAGCCGUCCCUGGUCGAGAUUGAUGAUCGCCCGAAGGAGAGAGAUCGUAAUGGACGGUAAAGCCGAGACCUAGAACCGUCAAAGGGAGGAAUAGACCUAGAUUCUGUACCUCGGCAGCAAUGACUCUGAAACUGGGGCGAUCGGAGCCUCUUCACGGUGGCAGAACUGGCGGCGAUCGACCGCGGAAUUGCUGAUAUCUUUGCGACUGUGCUCUCUGCGAUGACUGCGUGCGUCGGUGGCCGGCGAUGGACGAUCCGCGGCGGCUACCGCAGGCCCGACGGGGAUGGAGAGGGGUAUCACCAUGAGAAGCGGCAGAACCCCGAGACAGUUAGACUUAGGGGUGAGCAGCGGUCUAGGGUCGACCCUGGACCGACCCUGGACCGGCCCAACCUUGCCGGUCCUGGUCCGGUUCCCAAGGGGACCGGGUCGGUCCUUGGUCCUGAAAUUCCAGGACCAACACUGUGCGGGUUGGUCCUCGGUCCUGAGAGUUUUGGGUCGGUCCAACCCUGGACCAACCCUGUAUAUUAUAUUAUAUUAUUUAUAAUUAUUUUAUAUAUUCAAACCUAAGUAAAAUGUCUGUUAUAUUAUAUUAUAUUGAGAUGUUUUAUCAAGAGCACUGAUAGUAAUUUCAAUUUAAAAUUUUUGUUAAGUAUUAAUUAAGUGUCGUUUGUUUUGUUUUCAGGUGUUUAGAAGUUCAAGUGAAUUAACAAGAUGUGAAGUUAUAUAUUCAUGGUUUAUAUUAAGUAUUUUGAACUUUUUAUGGUUUAAUUGUAUUUUACUAAUGAAUUUCAGCUACACUUUGCUUUUCAAUUUGUGUCAAAUGGUAGAAGUUUUUGAAGAGUAAAGUAGUACUGCAGUUGCUACGGUGAUUUGCUAGUCAAGUGGUGGAAUGGACUCUACAUGAUCAAAUGCAGGAAAACGCUUUUGCAUAUGGUGUUAUGAAUAUUAAAGAUAGAUGAUUACAAGAACAUUUCAUCUUGUCUCAUAUUUCGAUGAGCGGUUAGCAGGUACGAAAUUUCUAUUAUUGUGUCAUCUUAAAUUUGCUAAAUAUGUAUUGGUAUUUAUAGUUUAGUUGCACAAUGUUGCAUUGUCGAUGGAUGUGUAAUUUGAAUUUGUAGGUUUGCUUUUUUAGGGAGUAUAAAAAAUAAGACGAAAAAAAUUAUCGAUCGGUCCCGGGUUGACCCUGGAACCUGACCGAACCCAUUGGGUCGGUCCGGUCCUUGGUACUAGGCUCAAUAGGGUCGGUCCUCGGUCCUAAAAAUUGAGGACCGACACUGUACGGGUUGGUCCUAGGGUUAGGGGGUGGCCCGGACCAACCCGGACCAUGCUCACCCCUAGUUAGACUGGCUUAAUGGGCUUGUGGGUUUAAUGGGUUUGAUCUCUGGGCCGAGGCGUCCUCUGAUGAUGGGCUUGGCGUGGCCCAGGCUGUUAUUAUGGAUCAUGUCUGGGCUGUGCGAAUCGGACAAGGCCCUUUCAAUUAUGACCAAAUUGGAGCCUUUUUUAUUUAUUUAUUUAUUGUUGUUUUCUUUCUUUUUAUUAUUUAUUUCUUCUGAAAGGAAACAAUUUUUUUUUUUGAAGGUUCAAGAAAAAUCCCAUCUUGUUUGAAAAGAGUUGACAUUCGGAAGUCGUGGGAUGUCCAAAAGCUCAUUUUAUAUUGCGAUUUAAGAUAGAAGAAGAUUGACUUGCAUACUUGUAUAGCAGCAAAUUUACUAUGACACUUUGACUAUGGUGAUGAAUUUUUUUGCUAAUAAAAAUCUCUUAUAAAAAAAAUCCCAAGCUAUUAAUUUAGUUCUCAAGUCUAUGCAUAAUGAGUCUACACACAAAUAUUAAAUUCCUUUGCCGGUUAAAUACACAAAAUUUCCAAUUUUAUACUCCCAAACGACCUCAAAAGAAAUUGUAGCAAAUAUAUAGAUAGAUAGAUCAAUCAUACAUUUGGAAAAGUGGUUAGUACUUUAUAAUAUAUUUAUUAAUCUUUAAAAAAUUAGUUAAACUAUUGAUACAUAAAAAUGAGAGAACAUGGAUGUCAGUCGUACUUAGCCUUUAGUAGGAUAGACCACUUAUAAAGGCUGAAGGUAUUCAAUGGCCAAAAACGAGAAAACAAAGCUAGCAGCAAUAGUCAAAAGGUUGAGUUCAAAAGUUUAUUAUCGACGUUCUUUUCAUUUCACGAAAAACCAAUGAUUUGUAAAUAUUUUUCUAAAAAUAGUUAUUUCUAUUGGUUAGAAUUUUCAUUGUUAACAAUAAUCUUUGCCCAAAUAUUUUCUUUAAUGAUAAAGUGCUUUUCAUUAAUUAAUGUUUGCAAGCAAUAGAAAUAAAUAUUUUUGAAGAAAUAUUUCAAAUUUUUGAUUUUUCAUGAAAUAUGUACAUAUAAACAAAUCCAAGGUUUUACCACCACCUUGGUAGCCGCGAUAGUUUGGGCUCUCUCCUCCUAACGCAAGGGGAGGGGUUCGAAUUCCCUCACAGUCGCUUGGGGACUUAAGUGUGACGCCGGGGGUAGUGGGUCCUCCCGCUUACAUAUCACCCCAGGGUUUACUCUCCGGUUGCCUAUAUGGGGGUUCCCUAGGUAACCAAAAAAAAAAAAAAAAAUCCAAGGUUUUCAUCAGAUUGAUGAUUUUUUCACACUAGGUUUUUCCUUCCGUCACUUUCUUUCUCCAAAAUAUCUUCUCUUUUUUCUCUCUCUAAUUAAAGGGUUUAUAUCAGUGCCACCAUUUUGUAGCCAUUAGUGUGGGUGACGAAAGCCACUAACAACCAUCGGUAGCAGCUCCAACUCAUUGAUAGGGCCUUGCUCGGUUCAUUUUGGACAACUUUUAUGGACAAGCCCAGCCCAUUCGACAUCCAAUAUAAUAAUAAUAAUAAUAAUAAUAAUAAUAAUAAUAAUUAAAAAAAAAGAACUCCACCUCUCCAGCACCAGGAAUGCUAAAGAUGAGAAAUAAAAAAAUAAUAGAAAGUUAAUAAAUUUCAUGAGCCAUCAAGAGCUCAAAAACCCGGUAAUUGACCCUCGCAUUUCUCAGGCACGACUUAAAUGGGGUCAGUCCUUGGACAUAUUUUUCUAAUUUUGAUUUUAGGCUUGUUUAGGCUACAAACCUCAGGGACCCGAGAUGCUAUUACCAAAAAUAAGCGAAGUAGAGAAUAUAAUUUGAUGCAAUGAGACGUAAAGGGCACAUAGAGAUAUGCAGAUAAGAAUGGAGGCAAACCAACGUCGAUGAAAGCAUGGUGUAAAGUAUAUUUUGAGUUUAGUAACUGCUUUCACUCUAUUAAUAUGACACUUUGCAAUAGUUAUAUGUAUAAAAAAAAUGGUUUGCUCAUUGUAUAUUUAGCUAUAUACUUCCAUUAGAAAUUAAAAUUUGACAGGCCAUGAAAUCACUACAAAGUAAAUUUCCACAUAGGACCAAUCUAGUGCUCCCUCGUCCAUAAAUUGCCAUAAGGGAUUUGGGAGCAAAUGAGAAAUAUGAUUAGGAAUAUUAUAAUGAAAGAUGUCAAGUUUUGAAGCUCGUGUCAGAUUUGAACAAGCACAAAGGAAGUUGAGAGAGGAGAGGAGGGAUCAAUAAUGAGUUAACAUGGAGAUACGUUGGAGUUAUAGAUUUCUUCAUAUUGGAAAGCCAUUGACAUCAACCGUUACCUAUAAAAUGAUUAAAUAUGAUUUUAUCAAAUGGUGUUUACCAAUAAAUUUAGACCUUGAAGGAAUUUAGAUGUGGAUUUAGCCUAUAUAUAUGGAAGGAAAAAGAACUUCCACUGUGUCUCUAUUUUCAUCAACUCAAUUCAAAAAUAAAAAAAUGGAAAGAAAGAAACUUCCAAUUCAGUGUCUAUUAAUGGAUGAAUUACUAAUUACGAAAAUCCAAUUAUAUAUGUUAAGUUCAUUUACGGUGUUUUGAACGAAAUUUCUCAGAUGAAUUGAACAUAUUGAUUUGGUAGUUGACAUUAUUGGAUAAAACUUCUCCAGAUUUUAAAAGAUCCCAAUCCAUUUUUCCAAUUCGCGUAAGCACAGGGGUCAGUCCGCGUUGCUUGACCAAUUUUCCAAGUCGUUAGGGGGAAGCCAUCAUAUCGUGUGACUCAUGAGGAAAUUAAACGGAGCAAGCAACUGUGGGACGGACCGGUUACACAAGCUCUGUUAGAAUAACUGGACACGUAGGAUUCAUUGGGUAACAUUUUCGUUAUCGAGAACAAUUUUUGUUUAGAAAUGAUUUUUUUUUUCAAUUUUACUCUCUGAAUGAUUUUCUGAGCAUUCGAACGCGUUUGACAACUAUACAAAAUUUUUAUUUUUGGAAUAGAAAAAGAACAUAAAUGCUUGGUAUGACCCUCAAAAAAAUUUUAUGACAUAUAUUUUUUUUAAAAAAAAAUUCAAUAAUUUUUUGAGAUUUUUCUAAUUAUUUUUCAUUUUUUUCUUCCUUUUCCUCCUCUAACCAGUUGUUAGGCUAGUCGCUGAGUCUCAGUGAUAGACAACAACCUUGUCUAGCAACAACAAGGUUAGCCUCGCCCUGACCGGGCAAGAGCGAGGAUGAGUGCCAACACUCCUGAGGCCGGUGAGCUGGUGAGGUCACCAGACCUUGUCUCUAGCGAGUUGCCAACCAUUAUUAAACCUUGGCAAUUGGCUAGAGUAGUAAGAAGAAGGAAAGAAGAAAAGGAAAAUGAUCUAUUUUAGAAAUUUUUCCCAUGAACAAAGAAGCAUAUUUCUUUUAUUUCUUGUUUUUAUUCCAAAUUUAUUCAUUGUCUACUUUUCUAUUCUGAAAAAUAGAAAAAUUAAUCAAUAUCACCAAAUAGAUUUUUAUUCUUUUUCUAUUCUAGGAAAUAAAAGAGCAAAAAAAUAGAAAAACAGAAGUGUUACCAAAUGGAGCUUUAAAAAAAUCCAAUAACUUACUCACCCUAGUCAUAAAAAUUGAAAGAACUAAGUAAAUUUGGCGAGACGUUAAUAAUUUAAUAACUAGUUACCUAAUAAGUAAGUUAUUAGUCAUACCUUUUGUAUUUAUCAACAAUGUUUAAAAAUUACUAAAAAUUUGAAAAAUUUAUAAAUCCUGGAAAAUUUUCAACUUUUUCUCUAAUUGGAAGCUAGAUUCCUCUCUUAAGUAGCAAAUAAGCAACCGCUAAUCUCGUUCGAUUCUAAAACUUACGCCAUGUAAGCAUCCUUUUGAUAUGGUUCAAUGCGUCACUUAUCACCAUGUGAGAGACAAAAUCCAGUUGAGCAGCAAUUCAAACAAGAAAACGGUCAACUAGACUCACAUGUGAGUGAUUUUGUUCGAAUGGAUGGACAGCAUGAUUUAGGCGCCUCAAACAGAGAGAUAAGUCAAUGGUCGUUUUGGAAUUCAACGCUCUCCCUUGUCUCUUAUAGUAGGUCAAGGUGCAAAAGAAUUUAUGGAAUUCCAUUCCUUUCAAACUUAGAAUCAUUCUUGGAUUUACCAACUAGCCAUGUCUUUGCGAUUUUAAGUAGAGCUAGACAUAAAGGUGCUGCUCUGGAGACCGAACGAGCUCAAUUAUUUAGCACUAUUCACGACGCUAAUUGUCUCCGGUAUCUCUCCUUUGAACCUAUCAUUUGACAAGUCCAAUAUGUCAGAUCAUUUCAUAGUGCCAAUUGAGGGAGGGAUUUUAUCUCUAAAAUUGUUGCUUGGGAUAUUCAAAUAUUGCAAAUUGGGGAGGAUAGAAAUAAUUCAAGAUGGAAGUUCUCCUUCAAUAAUAAUAACAAACACAUUGGAGAACCCCACGCCAACAAGAUUCAAAUUGCAAGGCAAAUGAAAACACCCCGACAAAUUGUUGCUCGGGAGUUAUAACUAUAUUAAAUUUGCAUUGUUGUCCAAUAACCAAUUUGGGAAAUCUCCUAUCCAUCUAGUGUGGUUGAGUAGAACAACUCUCAAGUUGCACUGUUGUUUCAUAAAGCUGGGAAUUAGACCAUUUGCGUCUUUAUUGAGCACACAGUUUGAUAAACUAACUUUAGUUGAAAUGAAGCAAACCAAGGGGCUCUUCUAUAUUUACUUCCACAAAAUUAUGGUUGUUGAUGAGGUAGGAUACCUCAAGGUGAGAAUUAUUAGUCAGGAAAGCAAGCAAAAGUGAGCCUCCCAAUGCAUUUUCAGAAAACACAAUAUAUCAAAGUGACUUGAGAUUAUAGAGAAGAGAUGAAGGAAUGACCCUGUUAAAAUGGUUACCUUGAAAGUCAAGCACCUGGAGUAAGGUCAUAUUUCAUGAGCAUGAAGCAAGGGGACUCCAAAAUCCAUUUCAUUUUUGACUAAUAUUCAACUCUUCAAGGUUUUCGCAGGGUUGUUAAAGUGGACAUUGCAACUACGAGUACUCUCGCUAAAUUGUACUUGCAUGAUUAAAACACGCAAUAUCAUAAUUGCGUCAAGAAUGGAGGAUAGGAGGGUAUCUACAUAUUAUUUGACCGUGUCUAUUAUAUUCUUUUCACGGCUCGAUUCUUCGGCUCGCACUAAUUAAGUAAGCAGCCCCACCGUGAUGAUGUUAUUAUAUUUCAUGUCAUUGUCAUUACCUUUUUUUUUUCUGCUAAAUUAUUUCAUGCGACACCUAACCCACAUAGAUAACGUAAUUUUUAGCAACUUGAUGCAUUGCAACAAGCAUGAUAAUCAUUAAUAUUCUUAAUCUACAACUCGUCUUCUCUUGCUCUAACAUCAUGGAUUGAUGGUUCCAUAUGAUAUAUAUGAUGAGAUCAUAGUGGACUACGACACAACAUAGCCCUGGCCUUGUAACGUUGCUUUCGCCAAUCCCAUGAUGCUGCGCUAGCAUGAAGCAACUAAUGUAAGUUUACAUGAUCUGUGUUGGAAUUGGGUCCACAUACAUUGUUCAAAUUGACGUUAUAAGCCAAAAAGAAAAAGGAAACGAUUUGGAGAUAAGCCUCUGGAAUACGCAUGACGCGUAGUAAACAACACUAGCACCGAACUAUAAGCCAUCACAAANNNNNNNNNNNNNNNNNNNNNNNNNNNNNNNNNNNNNNNNNNNNNNNNNNNNNNNNNNNNNNNNNNNNNNNNNNNNNNNNNNNNNNNNNNNNNNNNNNNNNNNNNNNNNNNNNNNNNNNNNNNNNNNNNNNNNNNNNNNNNNNNNNNNNNNNNNNNNNNNNNNNNNNNNNNNNNNNNNNNNNNNNNNNNNNNNNNNNNNNNNNNNNNNNNNNNNNNNNNNNNNNNNNNNNNNNNNNNNNNNNNNNNNNNNNNNNNNNNNNNNNNNNNNNNNNNNNNNNNNNNNNNNNNNNNNNNNNNNNNNNNNNNNNNNNNNNNNNNNNNNNNNNNNNNNNNNNNNNNNNNNNNNNNNNNNNNNNNNNNNNNNNNNNNNNNNNNNNNNNNNNNNNNNNNNNNNNNNNNNNNNNNNNNNNNNNNNNNNNNNNNNNNNNNAAAUUAUGGAGCAGAGAUCAGACAACCACGAAUGGCUCCUACCCGAAAAGCGAAAGAUUUUCCAAUCUCUACAAAUGAGACUUUACAAGCUCAUAAUGGAAAUUUGAAGUGACCCGAAUAUUUCACAUCUCUUUGCCCAAUCACAAAGAAGAUUCAUGCUUAAUAUGAUUUGCUACUUCACAUUAUUGAAUCCGCAAAUAUGGAGCACUAGAAAGAAUAUUAUUGGCUCCACGCAAGACCGCAUGGGGAAAAAAUUAUUGGAAGUGAGAAUGGUCUUGAACCAACACAUGUAUUUGGUCCUCCAUUAGGCAUGGUUUCUAUCACGAUGACUUUCCUAAAAUUUUGUUCGUGCAAUGCCGCCAUACCCACAUAAAAGUCUCCAGGUGCAAAGCCCACAAAAUCUUUCUCCAUUAUAUAAGUCCGAAAAUGUUUUCUGGGAUAAAAACGAAACGAGGGACAAGAUCAGGUCCUGUUUAUUCCAUGGUAGAAGCAUAUAAUCUUGAACUGGAAAAUUUUAAGUCAUUAAAGCACAACAACUGUCAUCGGCAUGAAGUUCAUGUCAUGAGAAACUGUACCUUGUUGGCAGUUCUCACCAUUCCCCGCAUCAUGGGAAACAUACCACGGCCAGUUUAGAAGAGUGCUAAACUGACUUGGCGAUAACAUUGGAGUCCAGCAUAUCGGAAUGACAUUCUGAGAUUUGGUCAUAGUUCUGGUAGGCAAUUUCCGACAGGGAUUCAAGGUAGACCUGUAGAACGGAUUAAAAAAGAAAGUUAUCUCGCAUUCAAGAGGAAAGUCAUACCCUAUCAUUGCACUGACAAUAUCUAUGUAGAAAGGAACAACCAAGAAAAUCUAAGAUCACUAAAAUUUUCUCUCUACCACAGUUCACACAUGAAACAAGCUGCAAAUUGUUGUUAAGUCAUACCAUAUUAAGAAAUUUAUGUCAUUUCUUAUCAAUGUGAUUUUUCUUUGUUUGUCUGUUCCUUAGAUCAACGCUAGAAAGCUCUGGUUUCUUUUCAUUUAAGCAUGCUCCAAAAUCAUGAAUGUGGCAGAUUGCGGCAAUACAUUGAGCCUCUAACCUUUUGACUGAGAAUUGUCCAUUACUGAUGAGUCCUUUGAGCUCAUAGUUCCAGUUGAAGCGAAUGCCAAGGGAUCGGCCUACAUCAAAAUAGUAAACAUACUGUUUGUCAUCAGAGACACAUAACGUGGCAUGCUCCAAAGUAUGUUUCCACAUAGCACCGGAGAUUUCGCCGCCCACGAUCUAAAAUUUAGAUGAGUCAUCAAGAAGUAAGUAAAGAAAAACAAAGAUUUAAUGUUAAGGGACUAUUGUGACAGUAGCAAAACAUAGCAGACGAAAAGGCGGACUUUACAUUUCUCAAUCUNNNNNNNNNNNNNNNNNNNNNNNNNNNNNNNNNNNNNNNNNNNNNNNNNNNNNNNNNNNNNNNNNNNNNNNNNNNNNNNNNNNNNNNNNNNNNNNNNNNNNNNNNNNNNNNNNNNNNNNNNNNNNNNNNNNNNNNNNNNNNNNNNNNNNNNNNNNNNNNNNNNNNNNNNNNNNNNNNNNNNNNNNNNNNNNNNNNNNNNNNNNNNNNNNNNNNNNNNNNNNNNNNNNNNNNNNNNNNNNNNNNNNNNNNNNNNNNNNNNNNNNNNNNNNNNNNNNNNNNNNNNNNNNNNNNNNNNNNNNNNNNNNNNNNNNNNNNNNNNNNNNNNNNNNNNNNNNNNNNNNNNNNNNNNNNNNNNNNNNNNNNNNNNNNNNNNNNNNNNNNNNNNNNNNNNNNNNNNNNNNNNNNNNNNNNNNNNNNNNNNNNNNNNNNNNNNNNNNNNNNNNNNNNNNNNNNNNNNNNNNNNNNNNNNNNNNNNNNNNNNNNNNNNNNNNNNNNNNNNNNNNNNNNNNNNNNNNNNCUCAUCUUGAUUGAUCCCAAGGAAGAAGUGGACAAAAUCUCGAACUCUGAUGAUCCCAGCUCCGGUCAAUUGUUUGUGCGCCUGUCCACCCAUCACCACUCCGACCAGUCUCCAUACGUAGUCACUCAGUAAAAGUGGGAAAUUCUUCUUGGCAACUAUAGAAAGCAUAAGAAACAGAAACUUCACAACAAGUACAGCAUUGUAAAUCUCAGAGUUAAAUUGCUUGCUGAAAAGGUUGCAGCAUAAGAAUUACUAAUUGACUUUCGCAUUGUCUUUAUAUGUAGAAAGGUACCAGCCUCUAAUUAAUGAUGGUUUUAGCCUACAUAGCUCUAGAUACUAGCUGUCUUGUCUGUGGUAGUUUCAAAUGAUGUGUUUUAAACAGAGACUAGACAAAUAGCAGUUUCUUUGAAGACUCACAUUCUCCAAGGCUAUCCUCAACAGUAAAAGCCUCAGAUAUGGCCCCACGGAUGUGCAUUGCAGAAUAGCAUCUACAGGCAACCUUUAAGUCCAAGCUUGUAUUUGCCACUCUAUGUCCUGCUUGAAUCCCACAUAAAAGUGAAAUCGCCUAAUGUGCCCAUCCCUCCUUCUAGUGUCACUAGCAAAUUACCAGAUAGAAGUGGCUUUUUCUUGUCAGACCCCUCUGAUAUUAUGUGGCUUUCCAAGUGUUCCCUUGUCCAAUCAACUUCCUCAAUAUCACGAUCAAAUACAACAACAUUCAACUUAGCUGUUGAUCCUAGCCCGCUCUACACAACAUCUCCAGUUUUUGGAUUUAGCAAAGCAACUCGAAUGGCUGCUUCUUGAUCUCCCUGAACCUUUUUCUCAGUGAAUAAGUGUGCUGGUCAUGAAAUGAAGUUGAAAAGAUUUCUCCUUCAGAGAAGGUAGUUUGGGCAUCGUGAACCUGUGACAGAAAAAGUUCAUUCUUAGAGAAAUUUGAGAGGCUCAUGGCCACUGCCAUCUAAUCAUGUAUUGGUCACUAGUGCCCUAUGAAGAGGAGGUGGACUGCUAACCAAGAUUUGGGAAUUAAUAUGAAAUUUAGUUUGUUACGUUUUCUUAAUUAUCUCAAAACAAGACACGAGCUGAAAUAAAGGCAGGGAAACUUGACCAUACAUACUAGAUCAAAGAAAACUUCAAUAGGUAGGAAUUAAGCCGGCGUGGCGUACUGACCAGUCAAAAGCAAAGUACAAACAGAAAACUAAAUCCCACAAAUGACUGCCAUGCGUGAACCUGUAACUCACAGGCAAUAGAGAGCAUUUGAGGGAACUAACACAAUGAGCAAAAACUGGGUGAGCUUACCAUUUUGUGCUUGCUUCGUGGAUGUCCCACGGUACUGUAUUGGGAGAGUUACAUUUCCAGUCUUGCUCAGGAUCAACAAAAUCAUCAUGGUUGUCACUAAGAUGUUCGAAAUCGAUAGGUUUUAUCAGUCCUGACUCCAACUUUCUAAACUUGUCCAUCAUCAUUGCAUUUGCCCUUAUGUAUAGAUAGUCAUCCAAUAUACCGGCCANNNNNNNNNNNNNNNNNNNNNNNNNNNNNNNNNNNNNNNNNNNNNNNNNNNNNNNNNNNNNNNNNNNNNNNNNNNNNNNNNNNNNNNNNNNNNNNNNNNNNNNNNNNNNNNNNNNNNNNNNNNNNNNNNNNNNNNNNNNNNNNNNNNNNNNNNNNNNNNNNNNNNNNNNNNNNNNNNNNNNNNNNNNNNNNNNNNNNNNNNNNNNNNNNNNNNNNNNNNNNNNNNNNNNNNNNNNNNNNNNNNNNNNNNNNNNNNNNNNNNNNNNNNNNNNNNNNNNNNNNNNNNNNNNNNNNNNNNNNNNNNNNNNNNNNNNNNNNNNNNNNNNNNNNNNNNNNNNNNNNNNNNNNNNNNNNNNNNNNNNNNNNNNNNNNNNNNNNNNNNNNNNNNNNNNNNNNNNNNNNNNNNNNNNNNNNNNNNNNNNNNNNNNNNNNNNNNNNNNNNNNNNNNNNNNNNNNNNNNNNNNNNNNNNNNNNNNNNNNNNNNNNNNNNNNNNNNNNNNNNNNNNNNNNNNNNNNNNNNNNNNNNNNNNNNNNNNNNNNNNNNNNNNNNNNNNNNNNNNNNNNNNNNNNNNNNNNNNNNNNNNNNNNNNNNNNNNNNNNNNNNNNNNNNNNNNNNNNNNNNNNNNNNNNNNNNNNNNNNNNNNNNNNNNNNNNNNNNNNNNNNNNNNNNNNNNNNNNNNNNNNNNNNNNNNNNNNNNNNNNNNNNNNNNNNNNNNNNNNNNNNNNNNNNNNNNNNNNNNNNNNNNNNNNNNNNNNNNNNNNNNNNNNNNNNNNNNNNNNNNNNNNNNNNNNNNNNNNNNNNNNNNNNNNNNNNNNNNNNNNNNNNNNNNNNNNNNNNNNNNNNNNNNNNNNNNNNNNNNNNNNNNNNNNNNNNNNNNNNNNNNNNNNNNNNNNNNNNNNNNNNNNNNNNNNNNNNNNNNNNNNNNNNNNNNNNNNNNNNNNNNNNNNNNNNNNNNNNNNNNNNNNNNNNNNNNNNNNNNNNNNNNNNNNNNNNNNNNNNNNNNNNNNNNNNNNNNNNNNNNNNNNNNNNNNNNNNNNNNNNNNNNNNNNNNNNNNNNNNNNNNNNNNNNNNNNNNNNNNNUGCACCCUUUAGAGAGUGAACAUGAUGUUCAAGAAGGAUCUACCGUGAACAUUAACCCAACUAUCUAAAAUUACCGUGCACCCCAUUGAAGCACAUGAUUUCUUGACAGCAUCUACAUACUGCCCGACUUCCAUACUCAAUUUGGCGAUAGACUUUGUGGCGAGCAUGGAAGAAUCCUGCCCACAGUUUGCUGAAAUAUUGUUGCACACGACAUGUUUUGCAAGCAACUCAUCUGGGCAAUCCAAUCCACAUUCAAAAUGUCGAUAUUUACUUCCUAAUACCAAUGCUUUCAAAAUUAUGAGCUAGAUCAAGUAGAUGAUAAAAGUAAAGUUUGUCUUUGCUAUUCUAGUGAUUCAAGUAGCAAAUUGAUAAGAUGACGGCAGCUAUCAAAAUGGCCCUCGCAAAUUUCUCUAAGAACGAGCUUUUGUCUUUUACAGUUUCACAAAGCCCAACCUACCAGCUCUGAAGGAUAAAUCUUUUGGACUUUGUUUCAUGACCAGCAUGCCCUCACACUUAUUCACUGACGCAAAGUUUCAGGGAGAUCAAGGUUCGAGUUGCUUUGCUAAAUUUAGAAACUGGACAGAUUGUGCGGAGUGGACCAGGAUCAGCUUCUAAGUUGAGUCUUGUUGUACUUGGUGGUGAAUCUGAGGAAGUUGAUCCAAAAUGGGAUCAACUGGAAAGUCACAUAAUAUUAAGAGGGUCUGAGGAGAGAAAGGCAAUUUUGUCUGGUGAUCUGAUUGUAAACCUAGAAGGAGAGACAACCACAUUAGGCGAUUUCACUUUCACGCAAGAUUUGAGCAAGACGAGGAGUCAGAAAUACAGGCUUGGAGUUAAGGUCGCUUGUCGAUGCUAUGCUGCGACACAUAUCCACGGGGCCGUAUCCGAGGCUUUCAUUAUUGAAGAUAGCUGUGGAGAAUAUGAGUAGUCAAAGCAACUGCUAUUCAUCUAACCUUUGUUUAAAACACAUCAUCGAAAACUUCUACAGACAACGAGUAUCCAGAGUUGUGUAGGGUAAAAGCAUUGUUGGUUAAAGGCUAGUACUUUUGUAGACUUAAAGAUAAUGCAAGAAAAUCAAUUAGUCAUUCUUAUGCGACUGCCUUGUCUGCGAGCAAUUUAACUUCAUAGGAGACUUAUGAUGCGGUACUUGUUGUGAUGUUUCUACUUCUCAUGCUUUAUAUAGAUGUCAAAAAAUAUUUCCCACUUCUACCAAGUGACCAUGUGUGGAGAUUAGUCAGAGUGGCGAUAGGUGGACAGGUGCACAAACUAUUGACGGGAGCUAGGAUCAUCAUAGUACGAGAUUUUUUCCACCUCCUCUCCUUGGAUGAAGCAAGACUAAGAAAUGUAAAGUCCCACCUCUUAGACUAUUAUGUUUUGCUACUGUCCCGAUAGGGCUUUAACAUUGAAUCUUUGUUUUUCUAUAUUUAGUUCUUGAUGAUUUAUUUCAAUUUCAGAUCGUGGGUGUUGUAAUCUCCGAUGCCAUGUGGAAACAUACUUCGAAGCAUGCCACGUCACACGUCUUUAAUGACAAGGACUAUGUUUACCAUCUCGAUCAAGGUCGAAACAUUGGCAUUCUUUUCCAUUGGAAUUUUGAGCCCAAAAGACUCAUCCGUUAUGGACUCGUCCAAAGGAUGGAAUCACUUUCCUGAGGUGAAAAGGUCAGGCUUGAGUAUUGCCACAGUCCGCCACAUUCAUAAUUAUUGAGCAUACUUAAAUGCAAAGAAACUUGAGCUUUUGAGGUAUAAUGUGACGAUCAGACAAACGAACAAACUUCACAUUGAUGUGAAAUGACAUAAUCUUUAAUAUGGCAGCUCAUUUCACGCGUGAACCAUAUUAGGGAGAAAAAUUUAGUGAUCUUAUCAUUAAACAGACUUCCUAAGCUCUUCGUUUGUACAUGGAUAUGUCACUGCAAUGAUAGGGUAUGACUUUCAGAGAGAACUUUUUCUUUGAAUCCAUUCUGCAAGUCUACCUCAAAUCCCAAUCCAAGAUCGCCUACAAGAAUCCUAACCAAAUCUCAAAAUAUUAUCCCGAUCCAUUGUCCCUUGACCUCGAUACAUUUCCUUAGCACUCUUGUAAACUGGCCACAGCUUGUUUCCCAUGAUGGAGGGAAUAGUGAGAAGAGGUAUAGUUUCUCAUAACAUGAGCUUCAUGCCGAUGAUAGUUGUUUUGCAUUAGCGACUUCUCUUUUUCCAGUUCAAGUUGAUACUCUUCUACCACCGAAAGAACAGUACCUGGAGAGUGCAAACCCCUAGUGUUUCCUUAAUUGGUUUCGUUAUAUGCGUAGAUCACAUAGAGACUAUCGGGCAUUGGAAGAGCAUCCCCCAAUUCCCUUUUACAUUGCACUGAACCAUUCUGAAGUUUGCAUUAGGAAGAACAUCUCCCCAUUCCCUUUUACAUUAUCCCCAUUGGCGGAGUUGCAAAGUAAUAAUGCGGGAGACAACUCAAAUAAUGCUUGAUAAAUUCAUCGAACUUUCAUCUAGAAGGCCAUUGACAAUUGGAAGGGCGUGCAAUGCAUCACUUAUCGCCUUUGGAUUCCAAUGAAUUUGUGCCCCUAUGAGCGACAAGACAUAUUUCGCGCGAGAGUGAUUUUGCUCGAUAGGAUGUAUAGUAUGAUUUAGAGUAAAUUGUAAGCGUGAGCCCCCAAUGGAUGGACAUCACGAGUUCCCACCCUAAUAGAACCAACUGAUUUAGGGUAGAUGACCUUGGAAGAGCAGAGUGAGUAGCAUUCAUAAACAAAGUAUUGUGCCCCCUCAGGACUUAUUUGGAACUACAAAGAGGAAUACUGUCUGAGUGGAUUCGCUGUCCUUGCUUGGCAGCAAUGAUAUGAUUCUUAGGUCCUACUAGAACUUGCAACUUUACAAUGUCCAAUAGUCUUUUAAGUCUCUAAGUGAUCUACGCAUUUAACAAAAUAAAUCAAGAAAACGCUAAGUGGCUGCACUCCAGGUACCAUUCAUUUGGUGGUAGAAGAGUAUCAACUUGAAUUAAAAAAAGAGAAGCCCCUAAUAUAGAACAGUUGUCAUUGGCAUGAAGCUCAUGCUAUGAGAAACUAUACCUCAUUUCUCACUAUUCCCCCACCAUGGGAAAUAAGUUGUGGCCAACUUACAAGAGUGCUAAAGAAAUGCAUCGAGGUCAAGGGGCAAUGGAGUGGGAUGAUAUUAUGAGAUUUGGUCAGGAUUCUCGUAGGCAAUCUUGGACAGGGAUUUGAGGUAGACCUGUAAAAUGAAUUCAAAGAGAAAGUUCUCUCUGAAAGUCAUACCCUAUCAUUGCUGUAACAUAUCCAUGUAGAAACGAAGAGCCUAGAAAGUCUGUCUAAUGAUAAGAUCACUAACUUUUUCUCCCUAAUAUGGUUCACACAUGAAAUGAGCUGUCAUAUCAAGAAUUAUGUCAUUUCAUAUCAAUGUGCAUUUUAUUCGUAUGUCUAAUCGUCAUAUUAUACCUCGAAAGCUCAAGUUUCUUUGCAUUUAAGUAUGCUCAAUAAUCAUGAAUGUGGCGGAUUGUGGCAAUACUCGAGCCUAACCUUUUCACAUUCGGAAAGUGAUUCCAUCAAUUGAAUGAGUCCAUUGUGGAUGAGUCCUUUGGCUCAAAAUUCCAAUUGAAAAGAACGCCAAUUUUUUUGCCUUGAUCGAGAUAGUAAACAUAGUCCUUAUCAUCGGAGACCUGUGACGUGGCAUACUCCGAAGUAUGUUUCCACAUGGCAUCAGAGAUUCCGCCACCCAUGAUCUGAAAUUGAAAUAAAUCAUCAAGAACUAAAUGUGGAAAAACAAAGAUUCAAUGUUAAGGCCCUAUCGGGACAGUAGCUAAACAUAAUAGUCUAUAAGGCGGGACAUUACAUUUCUCAGUCUUGCUGCAUCCAAGCAAAGGAGGUGGAAAAAAUCUCAUACUGUGACAAUCCCAGCUCCUGUCAAUAGUUUGUGCGCUUGUCCACCCAUCCCCACUCCAACUAUUCUCCGCACGUAGUCACUUGGUAGAAGUAGGAAAUGUUUUUUGACAACUACAUAAAGCAUGAGAAGCAAAAACAUCACAACAAGUACCGCAUCAUAAGUAACAAAUAAAGUUAAAUUGCUUGUAGACAAGGCUGUAGCAUAAGAAUGACUAAUUGAUUUAUCGCAUUAUCUUUAAGUCUACAAAAGUGCUAGCGUAUAACCAAUGAUGCUUUUACCCUACACAACUCUGGAUACUCGCUGUUUGUAGAAGUUUAGGUGACGUGUUUUAAACAAAGGCUAGACAAAUAGCAAUUGCUUUGACUACUCACAUUCUCCACGGCUAUCUUCAACAAAGAUAGCCUCGGAUAUGGCGCCCUCAAUAUGCGUCGCGACAUAACAUCGACAGGCAACCUUAACUCCGAGCCUAUAUUUCCCACUCCUCGUCCUGCUAGAAUUCGACGUGAAAAUAAAAUCGCCUAAUGUGGUUGUCCCUCCUUCUAGGUUCACAACCACAUCGCAAGACAGAAUUGCCUUUCCCUCUUCAAACCCUCUUGAUAUUAUGUGGCUUUCCAAUUGAUCCCAUUUCGGAUCAACUUCCUCAGAUUCACCACCAUGUACGACAACAUUCAACUUAGCAGCUUGGUCCGCUCUGCACAAUGUGUCCAAUUUCUAAAUUAAGCAAACCAACUCGAACUCCCUGAACCUUUUCGUUAGUAAACAAAUGUGAGAGCAUGCUGGUGAUGAAACGAAGUCCAAAAGAUUUAUCUUUCAGAGCUGGUAAGUUGGGCUCUGUGACACUGUAAAAGACAAAAGUUCGUUUUUAGAGAAAUUUGAGAGGGCCAUUUUGAUAGCCGCCGCCAUCUUAUCAUCUCCUGAACCAAAACUAGUGCACUAGGAAGACAGCUAAGCAAGAUUCAUCAGAAAUUGAUAUGAAAUUCAAUCUGGUAUGUAUCUAAUCAUCUCAAAUCAGAAACAGCUGAAAUAAAGGUAGGGAAACUUGACCAUACAUACUAGAUCAAAGAAAACAUUNNNNNNNNNNNNNNNNNNNNNNNNNNNNNNNNNNNNNNNNNNNNNNNNNNNNNNNNNNNNNNNNNNNNNNNNNNNNNNNNNNNNNNNNNNNNNNNNNNNNNNNNNNNNNNNNNNNNNNNNNNNNNNNNNNNNNNNNNNNNNNNNNNNNNNNNNNNNNNNNNNNNNNNNNNNNNNNNNNNNNNNNNNNNNNNNNNNNNNNNNNNNNNNNNNNNNNNNNNNNNNNNNNNNNNNNNNNNNNNNNNNNNNNNNNNNNNNNNNNNNNNNNNNNNNNNNNGCGUCGACUUUCUGAAUUUCUGCAAGUGGCGUCGAAGCUGUAGGGUGAGACGGACUCUUAGUUUUACCCUUUUGAGUGGUAAUUGCUGCAGAAGCCUCGGCACGGAUAGGCUGAGGAACAACGGUACAAGGAGGAAUGUCACCAGCUGAGAUGCCAGCUAGGUGUGACUUAAUCUUCAAGAUCCCAUUGGCGAAAUCGGAAUUGCAAAAUUUGCAGCGGAAGCGAUUGCCCAGCUGCUUAGCAUGCUCCCAGAACCUGUCCCUCUUUCUAGUCAUUUUGCCCCUGUCCGGACGAUGCACACACCGUACAAUUACUCAAACUGCAAGCCAGCUCCCAAAUUUAAUUGAAAGUUGAUCACUACAAACUUCAAACUAAAGUCUGAGUUCAGCUGCAAACUAUUUACGAUGAUAUAAUGUACAAAUCCUUAAAUCUUUUUUACAAUAUCCUCGAUGACUGAACAUCCGAACUUAGGUUUGCACAAUCUAAUCUGAAAAUGACAAUAGAACGACGUUGGGCGGAGAUGGAAAUGAAUCUACAGAUGCGUGAGAAUAGGAACCUAGCAUUUGAUGCGCUAUGCCUAAAGACUAAAGAUGUACGAGCAAUCAAGAGCGAGAGAGUUAAACUCGUUUGUGCAUGCAUCAACAUGGAAGCAAGCAAGCAACAGAGAGGGAUCGGUACCUCCACGAAUCCAAAGCAGAAGCAGAAUCCUCCGAUGAGAUUUCUCGAACUGCGCCGCAAUCCCUAAAGACUGAAGACGUACGAACAAUCGAGAGAGAGAGAGAAAGAGUUAAGCUCGUUUGUGCGUGCAUAGCCAUGGAAGCAAGCAAGCGACAGAGAGGGUUCGUUACCUCCACGAAUCCAAAGCAGAAGGAGAGUCCGCUGACGCUAUGCCUGAAGAUGUCCGAGCGAUGGAGCAAGCGAGAGAGCGCGCGUGAGAGGGAGAGGGACGGGACGUUCUGGAUCCCGUUGGACUUGAUGAUGCUGAGGGCGGGGCCGAUCUUCUUGACAGGCAUAUCGGUGCAGGCGAGGUGCAUCAUGGUCUCGACGCAUCCGGUUCGCGAUGUCGAGGUUCAGCUCCGGAGAGGGAGAGGGAGAGGGAGUGAGAGAGAGAGAGAGAGAGAGAGAGAGAGAGAGAGAGAGAGAGAGAGAGAGAGAGAGAUUAACGAGCACGUUGUCGGGAGGCAACCAAAGUACGCGCACAUUUUUGAACUUUUGAACUUUCGAACCAUUGCGUCAGCAGCUCCUCUGUCGACACCCCAAGUGACAGAAGAAUACAAUCCACUUUCACCUCCAUUUCAAUUUAAUGGUCUCUCCAAGGUAUUUUCUUUCUUCUUUUUUUUUUUUCUCUUUCUCCCGGAAUAUGACCUAUUGGUUAAUGAUUCAGAUUUUCCAAUUGUCAACGCAAUACUAUGGAUUGCGGCCCAAAUGUCGCGCAUUUUUUGUCACGUACCUAAAUUACAAAUGAAAUGUAGGGUGUGAUCAUUAUUAUGUUUCCAUCCCUCUCUCUACCUUUCUCUUGUAAAAUUUCGUUCUAGGUGUGAUUUUCAGAAUGAAAUUUGGGUUUAAGCAGUAGUAUUUGAAAUGAAAAAAAAAAUUGGUGGGGACGAACAAAUUUUGUUACUUUCCUAAACCUUAGUGAAUCCGUAAAUUGGAAACGAAUUUAUAAAUCAAAGCUACUAUCUUGACUAGUGAGACUCGCUUUUACAAGGUAAAUUUUGAAAUGGGUCGACAACUUAACACUUGACUGGAUGUUGCUUAAUUCAUUAAAAUGUUGGUGACAGAACAAAUCUAGAAGAAGAGAGUUUCUAUCCGUCCCCGAAGUCACUACUGAUUUUCCACCUUUUCGAAAUGCAAUUGCCAAUCCCACGAAUUUCGUCCUUACGAGUGGAUCCCUCCGAACGGGUGGGUCGAGUUUUGGUCGGGUGAAAAACGGAUCUGAUCCAAAUUAAUCAAUAUUAACCCAUUUUUACGUAAAUAGAAUUUAGGCAAUUUAUACCUAGCCGACCCGACUUGACUUCAACCCGAGCUCCAGUUUUUUUGGUGAUCUUUCUCCUUAAAUCGGUACCCUUGAAGAAUGGGCGACUCGUUGGGCCAAGUCGGGCGAGCACGCUCGUUGUCGGGUUGUGGGCUAUGACUUCGCGUUGCGCAUGGGCACGGUGAAGACAUGAGUGAGCAACACUAUGAAGGACAAGAGUUUGUGGAUUAGGUUAUGGAAGCGUGAAGGUUGUGCCUAGGGGAGUUAAUAUAUACUAAUUUUGUGUUUAUAGAUUUCUCUGUACCUAAAAUUUUACUGCAUAAGAAAAUGAUGCAUAUCAUAUUUGAGAUAUGUAUAGUUCGGUUCACUGGAGAUAUGCCAGAUGCACUAGCCACAGGUUGUAUGUCCUUGGGGAUACUGCAUAGCCACAUCCUACUGAGAUCACCAACUUGACUAGUCUGAAAUGGUUGCAUCUGGAUAACAAUGAAUUCACGGGUGGUUUAUCACCCGGUCAAUUGAAUAGUUCUGGGCUUAAGGAUUUUAGGUCUUAAUAAUAAUUUCUUGUCUAGAGGGAUCCCCGAUUGGAUUGAUGCUUUCCAACAUUUAAAUUCUCUUAUGCUGUCAAAUAACUCAUUAGGAAGUCCUUUGCCAUUGGGGCUUCUUCAAAUUAGUCCAUAUCAGUUUGCUAGACUUCUCGAGUAAUAAUCUAGGCCCAACUACGACCCCCUAUGGUAAUGUUACACCUAGGAGGUUCCUGCAUCUGCAAGGCAAUAGGCUUGCAAGGCUUUUUACCGGCUUCCUCUCCUGAGCUUCGUCAAUUGUGAUCUAAGGGAUAAUGCACUGUUAAGUAGGAUCCCAUUAGGAUUAGUUUGCUUUCGAACUUGAGGGUUCUUUAGAAUAGAAACAAUUUUGAAGGUUCAAUCCCUUCACAAAUGUCAAUUGCAAGACAUGACUAUGGUGGAUCUCUCAUAUAGUUAUCUCUUCGGAGAAGUUCUAUCUUGUUUAAAAGAGUUAGACAUUUUAGGGGAUGCCUAGAAGCACGUUUGAUAUUGCAUUUGAGAUAGAAGACAGUUGGCCACCAUACUUGUAUAUGAGCAAAUUCACCUUUGUACUUAAAUAUGGUGAUGAUUUUUGAGUUGCUUGGAUGGGUGAACUCGAAGAAGUGAAGUUCAUCUUGAAGAGUAGAGAAAAUAUUUAAAAAAAGUAAUGUCAGUAUUUUUCAUUAAUCAAGUUGGAUAGAGUUAAUGAAAUAACUCAAUUGCAUCAAUUUCAUAAGUUUUUGGAUUUGAUUGUACUUAUAAAUUUUAAGACUCAAUUACACUUUUGUGAUAAGUUUUAAGACUUCUAAUAUAUGCAUCCAUUUUUCAUAAUAUUUUAAUAAUUUUUUUGAAAAUUUUAUAAUUUUUUGGUUUUUUUUUUCUUUUGAUUUAGGCUAGCGAGGUUCACCAACCCUUGCUGGCAUUGGGCGAGGGCAUUGUGGCCCUUGUUUUAUCUAGAUGAUGGAUGCCAUACCCUUGCUUGGGGUCGGUGAGGGUUGCAGAACCCUCACUUGGCUCGAAUCUAGGGAGGGCAACACUGCUUUUGCUAGCACCCCUCGCUUUGGCCGACAAGGACUGCGACACCCUCACCUAGUGUUGGCCAAGGUCACCAACCCUCACUUGCGGCCAGCUUGAAUCCAAAAGAGGUAAAGAAAAAAGAUGAAACAAAAAAUAUUAUAAAAAAUAAUAUAAUAUUAUUUUUAAAAAAUCAACAUUAGCAUCAGUCGUGUCACGUAGGAUAAUUAGUGUCCAUAUUAGUAAUUUAUGAGCAAAAUUGGAUAGAUGGACUCAAUUGGCAAAUGUGAAAAUGUUUAGAACUUGAUUGGUACAAUUAAAAGGUUUAUGAUUGAAUGGAUAAAAGUGCAUAGGUUUAAGACUUUUUGAACAAUUUUCCUUUUUCUAUUGAUUGAAAAUGUUUUCCUUGACUAAUUUAUCUUCUAUGGCCAAACGUUGGAAAAUCUAUAAAUCUUUUUUUUUUAAAGUUAUUUUUCGCAAAACGAACGGAGCCUAGGGUAAAAGUCUUCCAUGGCCAAAAUGAGAAAACAAGCUAACUUUGACACUAUGGAGGUUGAGUUAAUGGGAAAUUAGUGAAUUCAGUGAUUUGUAAACAAAUUUCUAAAAAUAGUAAUUUGUAUUGCUUAGAAGAAAUAAUCAGGGAAAUAUAUUUUUGUUAUCAAUAAUAAUUUGUUUCUUAAUGUUUUCGUUGACGAUAAAAUAUUUUUUUGUGAGAUAAGUGCAUCUAAAAUUAAAUGUUUUUAUCUUUUUUUGGUAUCAUCUCUUCUCCUUCCGCUGAGGGUUUUUCCUUUCAUCACUCUGUCCAGGCUAUCUUCCCUCUGCGGGCGUGCGUGCGGGCAACGAAAAGCCGCCAAAAACCGUCGGCAGCGGCUCCAGCUGAUAGACACUAGACAGGGCCUUGCUCGGUUCAUCAUGGGCUCCUAGAAGGGGGGGGGGGGGACUUCUACGGACAAGCCCAGUCCCAUUCAACAUCAAAGAUAAAAAAAAAAAAAAAAAAUCCGCCUCUCCAGCACAGGGAUGCUAAAGAUGAAAAAUAAAAAAUAAUAAUAAAAGUUAAUAAUUCAGGUGCCAUCAAAAGAGCUUAAAAAUCCGAAUCGGCCCGAACGAAUCAACCCCCACAUUUCUUAGGGAUGAGCUAGACAGGGUCAGUCCUUGACGUGUCUUUUUUUAAUUUUCUUUUUAAGUUUGUUUAGGCUACUAACUUCUCUUUGUCCCUCUCUCUCCUUGGAUCUUGAAUUUGGGGUUAACUCGACUGGAUAAAGUUACUCCAGACUUUAGAAAAUUGCAAUCCUUUUCAAAUCCACAUACGUGGUCUUUGCGUUGACCAAUAUUCGAAGCAUCGAUCAAAGGCUUUGCGAGAAAAAUAAAAAAUUAGCCUAGGUAAUGAGAUAACAUCUCAUCCAAGAUGGAAAGAGAAAUUGACUUACUAAGCCGACUUUCUUUUCCAUCAUCUUCAUGUUGCUUUUGGAUGAAAGAAACAUUCGAGGUCUUUUCGCUUUAGUUUCUAUAAUGGACAUCACUAUCAAAAAAGUAAAGCAUUGCCCAGCUUUCAUCGCCAGAGACCGAAGCGACUUGGGAGAAUUGUGGGUCAAGCCAUAAUUAACAUCCCCGUCAAAAAAUAAAGCAUUUCUAUGGGAAGUGACCAAAAUGACUUGCUCAAAUUAUACAUGUUUCUUUCGACCAAAAAAAAAAAUUACAUGUGUCCUACAUGAUGAAGUUGGCAUUUAAAGAUUCAAUGUUUGGUGAAAAAAAAGAAAGGAAGAUGACACAUUGAAUCUAAUUGAUAAGCUUAACUUAUUGAGUUAUUUUGUUAUAUUUGGUUGAGAAAAUUAAUAAAAUUAUACUACAUCCUAAUUGGUAAAUUUUAAUUGAUCCAAUGAAUAUGCAAACAAGUAAUGUGUUACACUAUAAUGAUAUGGCCCAAGCAACAUUGGUUAGCCACAAAAUCGGCAACCCAAGAUCUCCAACUAGAACUUGAAACACAUAUAAUCAAGAGAUUUAUGCACUUUAUUUGAAAUCCAUUAUUCUUUACGCAGAAUAGCAACGAUUUAAAACUCAAACACUUCUCUUCUAUUGCUUUCUAUAUCACUGAUUCAAGCUCAACGUUUUGUAAUCGCUCCUUAUGUGAGGAUAUUUGUGUGUCAAGAUUAGUAGAGAGACUUGAGUACUAUUUAUCGAUAUUUAAGCUACAAGCUCUCUCAUCACAAGUCGGGCUUUACUCAGCCCAUAUUAGCUAGUCCAAUAUUAGAUUAAUUAAGAAUAUUUAUAUCUCACCUUAUUAAACUAAUUUUGUAAAACAGUUAUAACAAAUUUCAAUUAAUGUAGCCUAUGUUAGAAAAACUCUUACAACAUUGGCAAGCUCUUAAAAUAACUAUUAAAAUAUUAAUCAUUUGGAAUUUUCGAUUUGCUUAUCAACAACUAUUAAAUGGAAAUUUUGGACUCCACCAAUUGUCUGCUUGAGGCGAAGAGGUAGACCAAUGGAGACCCAUUUUGAACAUAUGGGGAAAUGUUCAUAAAAAAUGUUCAUGUUUUUAAGGAGCAAGUCAUCAACGCGUGUAGCUCAUGGGCAAAAAUGACAUGAGGCUUUGGAAUUUCAUUCACAUCCUUUAACAAUCUCAUUGCCCUUCAUUAACUUAAUACUUAUUAGGUUAUAUUUGAUCAUUCGGAUUCUGAUUGGAAUAUGAUAGGAUAAAGGAAGAUUUGAAAUUCUCCACGUAUUCCUAAAUUAUAAGAGUGUCUUCUCAUAUAUUUGGUGCAACCUAGAGAGAAUUUGGAAUCUUUGAAAUAAAUCUUCGAAAAUCUGCAAAAAUCUCUGAACCCUAACCCUGUCCAAUCCUGUAAGUCCGUUGUGCUCGGGGCCACUGACUUCUCGUCGAGCUCUCUCCCGUGGCGUUCUCAUGGUUUUGAGCCGAAAUUCACGAGGCUCGUAUUUUGAUUCUCGGUUCGGUUUCGCAUGAUAGCGUUUUCGAGGAUGCGACCUGCGUUUGAUGUUUGAUGCGGAAAUUUGCUUUUUGAGAUUCUUAAUUUUGGUUUGGGAUUUCCAAAUACAUUGUGAAAUUGUCUAUUGUUGCAUAUUCGGAACAGUAGCCUGCUCUACUCCUUUAAUGGAAAAUGCUGGCCAAGUUUCGAAUUUGUUUCGGGGCAGUCGAGCUGUUGAAGUCUCGAGGUCUUUGUGGUUUUUAAUUCUCGAUUGCUGUUGUCGUUCUGUACAUUCGCCGCAUGCGUUACGAAAUUCUAUUAAGUGUUCUUACCAAAAAAAAAAAAAAAAUUCUAUUAAGUGUACUUCAGAGACUGCAGUCAUUGCGUUUUGACGACACAUUAUUUUUAGGCCCUUUUUACACUCACUUGUUGGAACACGAUUGCCAGCUCGUGGUGAUGACUAGCGUGGUUGGAGACGAUGACGAUCGUGCGGCUCGGAAGUGAUGAUGAUCGGUAAUUUUGGUGGUGGUCCUCGAGCAGGAGGUGCUGGCAAAGCAAUAUCCGAUGAUCAUUUUAUCAUUUCGUCAAAAGAUAAAAAUAUGAAUUUUUUAAUUACCUUUUAAAUUUUAUAACCAAUAUGGGGUUUCUUUUUUUGGUAAGGUCCAAUCCGGGUUUAUCUCACCUUAAGGCGGGAUUUCUUAACUGACAUUUUAUCCAAAUGUAUUCGGGUAUAUUUAAUUCGGAGAACAUCACUGAACAUUGGAUCGGAUAAUUGUUAUCUUAUUCGGACUCAAAUCUGAGCUAUCAAACACAAUCAAGAUUAACUUUUAGUUAUUUAACUAAUAAAUGUCAUGAUGCAUGGCCAAGGUUCAGGAAUUGCGGUUAGCUUGAAAGGUGCAAUUGAAAAGAUGACAAAUGAUCCGACUUAAUAAUCAACAUAAAUUUAAAAAGCUCACAUUCUCACAACAAGAACAACAAACGACAAUAAUAACGACAAAACUGAUAAUAGUAACAAUAGAUAAUUUAGUGACGAACAUUAUUUGCAAAAACCUCCCACACCAUAUAAUGGACAAAACCUUUUUUCACGUGGAUAAAUAAUGUAAGAUGAAAGAUAUCAGAUAUUGCAAACUUUCUUAAGAUAGAUGACAGAAUUUACGUUGUAACACAUAUAUAUUGCAAACUUUUUAACCAGCAUAGGAACAUAUAUAAUUAAGUAAUUAUGUGCUAUUCAACAUAUAUAAUUAAUUUAGCAAUGAUCUCUUAUAAAUUACAUGAAUCUACUUUAAAAUAUUUUUUUAGAAACAUCAUCCUUAAGGAUAAUUCAGCCAUUUGGAGUAUGAAAGUCGAUGCGUAAGGCUUUAGUGGUUAUCCUCCGAAGAUAUAAUAAACAUUUUUUUAAACUUUGCACUGAAUAUUAAGCAAAAGGAAAAGGAAAGAUAUGAAAAUCUAGUGUAUCUUCAAGGAUUAUGAUUCGAAAUUUAAUUUAUAUUCAAACAAGAGAUAGAGAGAGCCGUAAAAAAGCCGUUAUAUGACUGUUGCAAAACUGUUACAAAAAUGUCUUUCAUGAUUGUCAUAAUAAACACCAUUACUUUCAAGUAUUCAAAACUGCUAAGAUAUCCAAUAUUAGAUUCAUUUACUCUAUAUACCACACUCAUAUGAUAGUUUCUAAUGUGCCGCAAAAAACCAUAAAAUAUGAAGCGUCCUUCAUUUUUACUGUACAUGUGCUUGUGGACUUCGGGGUGCUGAAAAUUAAAUCCGUCUUACACAGCCCGAAUGGGUUUUUUUUUCUAUCAUGGCAUGAUGAUUAAAAAUAUUUAAUAUUUAAUACAAGUAAGAUAUCGAUACUUUACCCGAGUUUUAGACUAUAUAUUUUGCAUUACUCUAAUAUUGAUAGUUAAUCAAUUUUACAGUCAUUAAAACUUCUAGUUAAUUAUAAGAUAUAUUGAAUGUUGAUCGGUAUUGGCUCUACUGGUUUAUCAAAUCGGUCGAAAUUGCCUAAUUUUUCCUCCAAUAAAUCUAAAAAAAAAUACUCAGUUAUUUAAUAUUUAUCAACUAAACAACUUAGUACCGAAUAUUAACAACAUCAAGUUUUAAUUAUUUAUCUUACAAAGCGAUUCCUGGGAACAUAUUUUCUUUUAUAAUUUGGGUGAAAUCACUGAUAUCUUUUGUUGUCUAUUUGCAAAUAAUCAUUUUUCAUGAUUUUAUAAUAUUCAUUUUUUCAUUUUCAUAUUUCUCUUUUAGAGAAGCCUGAGUAAAGUCAACGGUGGCAAUCACGUAUUCCGUUGAAUUGGCCCCAACAGACUUGAGUUUGCCGUUGAUUGUGUCAUGGAAUUGGCUAAUCAAGAUAAUCACUCGAAGGGCAAAGACUGCAUGUAUAAAUGAAGUACAUAAACCUUGAAAGUUUGCACUAGGUAAAGCAGAGACUAACACAAAAAACACCAUAUAAACAUGAAGCAUCUGCUAUUGGGUAUGUUUGACUUAUAAACAUUUAUAAUGGAUAUGAAUGACCUAAAAAUCUAGUACUACCUAUGAAAGUUACCAUAUUGUUUCGCUGGAAUUUUUCUUGCAACAAAAUAUCUUUCACCAAAAUUUAUUUUUUCGAUUUUUUAAAUUGAAGGAGACAAGGUUUUGCACCAACUCUGACUUUGACUAGAAGAGGGCUAUAUAAACACAAACCAUGCCAAAAUUUAAUUGAUGAUAUAACCUAAGAACAUAAACAUACUAUGCUAGAAUUUAAUCGAUGACACAGCACUUAGAAUAAAUAUGCUGGAAUUAAAUCGACAAUUCGAGUCUGGAAAGUAGAAUUACAAUGCAAGAAAGUAAAGAUACUAAAAGAUAGUAAAUUUGUUUGAUUUGUGUGAGGGGUCUCCAAAGAGUACGAUAUGGCUAUUUAACGCCUACAAUGGAUGGUUAUUCAUGGAGGCUACAAAGGGAAAUCACAAAUAGAUGUUACAAACGGUUACCAAAUGGAGGUUACGAAUGGAUAUUGAAAAAGAUAUACCUUCAUAGUGGUUAUGAUAAGUUACAACAAUCCUAAAAUAGCUGCAAAAUAACCAACCUAUAGUUAUCCUCUCAUUGAUUGCUUGCUUUUGAUAUAGAUGACUUUGUUGGUCAACUUCAAGGUUCUAAUCGAUAACUUCAUAUUUUGUGUUGUUGAUGGCUUUAUUGACGAGCUGCCGAUUCUUUUCAAGUUAUCCAUGAUUCUACUCCUAAAUGACCAAACUCUGCUCUUGUCAAUUAGGUCUAUCAUAUGUUGAUAAUAAUCAAAAGUUGGUUAUUUUUUGGUGCAAACACAUAUAAACAUGAAGUGUCUUUUAUUGGGUUUGGUCAGCCUAUGCUUUUGACAUUUGAAGAGAUUUUUCCAGCCUAUGUUCUCUGACAUUUGUAUGCCUCAAAUUUUGACAAUCUUGCAAAGAGAAAUCUAGAACAUCUUGAAAAUGGUUCAACUGACUUUGUCAGAGAGCAUCCAGAGAGAGAUAAAAAAAAAACUUGUGCAUGUCAGGUCAAGUGGAAGAUCCUUACGAUUUUCAGCGCGAUUACCAUUUGAUGUUAUUCAUGAAUCUAUAAACUGAAGACUUGUCACUAAAAGAUGAAUUGAGGCCAUUGGGUGUCAAUUAUUGUGUCUUGUUGCGAAAUUCACCGUGGAGUCCUGCGAGAAUGAUCAUACCUAGUUCUGUCCAGAAUUAGUUGGUUGCGCAUCGCAUGAUUCGUAAUGAGUUUUGGUCUCCUUUAUGCUUGAUUGUGCCAUUAGUUGAUAUAGGGGGCAUGCAUACUCAUUCGUGUUUACUUGUCAAAACGCCUUUAGUGUUUAAUAAUGGUUGCGUGUGUUUAAUAUCUAAUAAUGGGUGAACCAGUCCUCGAGGAGAGCAUUCGGCUCGAUUUCUCAGAUUUUGGAACCCGGUUGGUUUGGGCUUGAUGGCGCCGAGUCACGAUUGGUUCGGAUUUGAUGGGGAGCAGUCCGAACCCAUUUACAUGUAUGCAUUAGUUUCAUGAUUUGUUGUAUUUCAUCUUGGUUAGUUUCUCAUCGUUAUCAUUUUAGUUAGGAAAUUUCCAUCCCUAGAUUGGAGUAAUUACAUGCUUAUAUUAGGAGUUAGCUCACGCUUGUCCUGUUCUGGAGCUUAAUAGAAUCAUAUAUUCAUAGGCACCUAUCCAUUCAACAAAUAUGAACCGAUGCCUCUAUAUUUACUUUGAGAGCUGCCUUUCCUUGUCCUCUUCUCUUAUAGUUUCUUUUCCAAAUUUUGGUGAUUCGUUACGACUUCUUAUGAAAUUUUAUUUAUUAUUCCCUAGUUCUUUUACGCUAUUAUAUAGCUCAUACUAAUAAAACAACGUGAUGGUCUAUUUUAUGAAUAAAAUAUCCUAAAGUCACUUUGAUUUCUGUCAUCCUCUUUAUAAAUAGUCACUUCUAUAAAACAAUCCUAAACUACUAAUUUAGAUGUCAAGUCAUUGCAUGAACAGAAAGUUUUGUGCAUAAGUCUACACAUAAUAAAUCUUAAAUCUAUUGUUAGUAAAAUUUCCAACAUACCCUCAAAACGCCUCGUAUGAAAUUCUAGUGAGUAAAAAGACAAAUAAAUGAUAUAACUGGACACACAGUUUGUAUAGUGUCAUGCCCUGGACCUUACCCUUGUUGCGGGAACGCAACAUCCUCCUCUUCAUGGGAUUAAAUUGCGACGUCCCAAGGGACAUCAUCAUCCCAUUGAUUUUUAUCUUUCAUUAAGCACAUGCAGAAGUAUGCAAUCUCCAUUCACCCAAUCAAUCAAUAACAGACAAUGGAUAGUUAGGGAGAAAACACAUUCACAUACAUACUACAUAAUUUCCCGGCUUUAUUUAUCUACGUGGAAUGAUUACAAAUUUACAAGCCCAACCUUAGGACUGUUCCGUAACUGGUCAAUCCCUCAUGCCAGAAAUAUAUCAAAAGGGGGAGGGGGGGGGUUGAAGGGGUUUGUCCUAGCUCCUUCUACCAAGGCAGUUACAAAAAAUGGUUCCCAUCUUUCGCUGGUGUCCUCACAGUGAUGGCUCGAUCUCUGGAUCGUGGUCGAGGUUGGACUUGGGGUCGUCCGUAGUACUAUCAAGGGGGGGUAGCACCGACCCGUCACCGUCCCCUGGUGGGCCGUGAAACCCACAGGGGACCGUAUAAUGCACAAAAACCCUUUGUUUAUAUGGAUACAUUAGAUAAUAUUAUGCAUAUCAGAUAUAGAUAUCAGAGACUUUAUAUAUGGCAAUCCUUUUUUUCAGACGAAUAAGCGAAUUUAUAUAUAAUAUAUACAUUGCAAACUUUUCAAACAACAUAAGAACAUGUUUAUAUAUCUUCAAUAUCAAAAGAUUCCACUUUUUUAGAUUUUAUUGGUCAGCAUAUAUGGUUAUGUAGUUACGUAUUAUUCGACACAUAUAAUUAGCAAUAACAGACCCAAGCAUCUUUCAAGGGGGUGCAACACUUUUCAGCUUGGUUGUGAUUAGUUUCGUUGAACAUAUCAAUAAAUUCAACAAUAGACCCAUGUGACCCAACAAUAGAUUUGAUGAGUCUACAUAUUAUAAGUCACAUCUAUUAAGCACAUGUGAUUUGAGGGCCUCACAAUAAUCUGAAUAAAUUUCCACGUACAUUCUGGCAUCCACGGUUAUUGUCCAACGUUCAAUUUCCAUUAAGAACUUGAUUGGUUUUAUUUCACGGCGAUGGAAUCAGCUGUGGUGCUUGCCUUCUUCUCUAUCACUUUUUUUCAUGUCCUUAAUUCUCAACAAAAUUCAAAUUGUUGGCAUGCUUUUCCUUGGAAUACUUCUAGGCCACGGCAAGCUUUAUUGACAAUAAGAGAGGAUAAGAUCUCUCGAAUGUUUGAGUCAAACAGGUCCCUAGCAGAAACAUAGAACGUACGGGCCACAAAAAAGUAUAUCAUGAACAUAUUAUAUGAAGUGUGACCGCCAAAACAACACAUAAAUAUGAAGUGUCUUUUGUUGUGUUUGUGGACGUGGGUGUGGUUGGUAUCGAUGGUUUUGCUUCUGUCUUGGCACGAUGGGUACAAAUAUUUUUACUUAAUACUAGUAAGGUAUUCGUGAGUUGAACGAACUUAAGACUAUGUUUUUUUUAUGGCCUGUUAAUCAAUUUUGCAUUCAUUAAUACUUCAAGUUAAUUAUAAAAUAUAUUUAAUUUUGACCAGUGUUGUCUUGAUCGCUUUAUCAAAUUGAUCAUAAUUGCCUUAUUUUUCCUUCAGUGAGUCCAAACAAAUACCAAUUUAUUUGUUUCCUUUUCAUCUCUUUUUCUGCGAAGUAAUUCCUAUGCACUUUUUUUCAUUGAUUUUCUAGUAAUUUUUAUUUAUCAUUUUAUAAUCUUGACCUUUCUCUUUUGGACAAGUCCUAGGUCAAGUCAACGGUGACAAUAACGUGUUUCGUGGAGUUGGCCCAACCGUGAUCAUCAUUCAAAAGGGAAAGACUCUGCACGUAUAAAUUAAGGAGAUGACCCUCGUAUGUUUGCACACGGUGAAGCAGAAGAAACAGAUAAACAUACAAAACAACAUUAUAAACAUGAAGUGUCUUUUACUGUGUACGUGGACUUGGGUGUUGCUAAUUUUGAUGGGAAGUGGAAGAAGCAUGGGGGGGUGCUUGGGAGAAGAGAGGAAUGCACUUUUCAAGAUUAAGGCGGCCAUCCAAACCGGAUAUGGGUAUUCUUUUUAUGAUUGGAGCAACGGCCAUGGUGAUUGUUGCGGCUGGACAGGCGUGAAGUGUGAUAACACCACUUCGCGGGUGAUACAACUAAAUCUUAGCGGUUGGAAAGUGGAAGGGCUCUAUAUUGAUAGGAAACCAGCUAGGCCUUUAUUUAUUCACGCCUCUUUAUUCCUUCCUCUGGAAGAACUUCAACUGUUGAAUUUACAUCACAAUUUUCUCUCUGGUGGAUCUCUCUCUCUCAGUUAUUUGUUUCUUUUUUCUUAUUUCAAUUAUGUUUCUGAGUGAUCGUUUACUUUUUGAAAAUGAAAAACGCCGUACUGUGGUGCUAUAGACUAUAAAAGUGAAUUGAGUGAAUUAAUAACAAACACAUAAUUGCACAAAUAGUAUUAUGACUUAUUUUCUUUAUUUCCCUUUUCUUCUUUUCUGUAAUAAUUAUAUGUAUUUCUUAUUUUCUUAUAUUUAUCUGGAAAUGAACUCGUGCCUAGUAGGAGAAAGCAAAUGGUUCCAGAAUCCCAAGCCACUCUACCCAUGUAUAUAGACACGCAAGAAAAUUAGAAUACACGUUAGUACUUUCUAGGUCAACCUCUACUCUAUUUAGACAGGGAAAGUCACAUUGUGCAAAUAAGAGGAUGGAACACAAAUAGACAUAAAUAGAAGAAGAAUAUAGAUUACACGUCGAUCAAAUUUAUGUGAUUUAAUCAAUUUGACCUACGUAGACUCAUAAUGAGCAGCAAAAGAUUAGGUUACAAGUCAAGUAACAUAAUAGAGAUGAGAUCAAUGCUUUUUCCACUCUCUCUUUUGUUUUGCACCCUCUACAUUAGUGUUUGGAUCAUGUUAUCCCUGGUGACCUCCCUCGCUUUCAGAUUAUAUCCACACUCAAAUAAUUAAAAUGGGUCCCAAUUUUUGUACGCUCUGUGUCUCAGACGCUCUGUCUCUCUCCACUCCCAAAUUUUGUGUUUUCUUCGACCCUUUAGCUUGAGAACGCGAAACUCCUCACUCUCUGCUUUGAAGAAUAUUGCUAUUUUUGCUCCGACUUUUUUGGCGCCUGACAAGUUUAUCUUUUCCUUACCCCUUCAGCUAAUGCAAGCGCCUUGUCCUUCAACAUUGUUCUUCAUUGUUUCUUCUUCUUUUGUUGAAUUCCUUUGUUUAGCGAGUGGUGAAAGUUUGGUACAUGACUUUCUUGACUCACAAAUGCACCCUUCUGAGAGCUUUGGUUUUCUUAUUUUUCUUUUGCUUGUUCUAAAUUUUAGACGGAUCUUUAAUUGCUUUCACGUUUUUCUCAUUGCCACAAGUUGAGAACAAGAAGUGCCGAAAAUGAUAAGAAUGUCGCUAAUUUUAAAUAGCCCAAAGAUUGGAGCCCUUGGAUGCCAACAACCCCAGCCAAGCCCAUUUUUCCCCAGCCGAAACAGUCUGCCACCAUGAACGAUGAAUAUGAGAUCUCUAAGGAAGAAGAUGAACAUUAGCGCAUAAAAGGAAAGAAAAGAACAAAGGAAUACAAGAAAAGGCCAAAAACAGAAAAAUCAGAAAAACAUUCAAUAUGAUGUCAUUUCAUCAAGAAUUGCACAUGUUGGAUCGCCGGUCAUGUCAUGUAGGAUGGUCAUUAAUGACUAGAUAUCAUGUCAGAAAUUUCUAGCAUUAAUUUACUAGUUAACUAAAUAUAAUAAAUACUAUUAAAGGCACGAGCUACUUGUUUAUGAAGUUGGUUUACAAAGUCAUGUGACACGGACUUUUUGAUGCUUGAAUAUGUCGGACUAACUAGUUUAUGUCUAUAAAUUCUCUUCAUCAUGAGCAUAUAGUUAUUCUCAUUAUAUAAGAUAUCCAAUAUCAAUAGAUAAUUUAUUAACCAUAAUGCAUGCAUGAUUUUUUCUAUAACCAGAUUUAAACGGAACGCUACACUUGAAGAAAUUGAAAAGGCUAGAUCUAUCUGACAAUGAUCUACAACGAGUCCCCUCAUUAUACAAGCAAAUAUCAGUGGAGGCCCAAAAUUUGUCUUCUAGUCAGCUUGAAGGUACAUAUAAAAUGAAAGACCUUGCUUUGUUAUGUAAAGUUUGAUGUUGAGAAUUUUUUGUCAAUCACAGGUAUGAAUCUCGAGGAGCUAGAUCUUUCAUAUAAUUUUUUGGUGAAUGAUGCCCUUGUAGACAUUACGAGGAUAACAUCUCUAAAGGCCCUAAACAUCAGUCAUUGUGGACUGGAUGCAUAUUCGAAGUUAUUGGAAGGUACUUUUGUGGAAAGGUCUUCAUUUAAUAUUAUUAAUAACUUAUCAUAGAAGCACAUACAGUUGUUUGACCAUAAAUAAAUCAAUGUCAUGCUUUAAUGUGUUAUGAUGUUGGUGAUCCUCAAAUGUAUGUUUUUUUUUUUCAACUUUAUCCCUGAUCUUUGAAUAUUGAAGUUUGGCCCCAUGCUUUUAGUUUUGUGCAACAUUUUUUACGGGCCAAUCUGAAUAAUAGUGUGAUAACAGAUUCAAGGAGCCAUACCUAAGAAGAUUAAAUAGUCCGAAAUUACAACAUAUUAGAGGAGUUCAAAUAUUGUAUAGGAAUCAUAACCACAUUAUAUGCAAAAUUUAAUUAGAAAUCAAAAUCAAACAAUAUUUAAAUUUUACAUAUUAAACUACAAUGGUCGACAAACUUCAGGGAUUGCAAGUGUCAAUAAAUUCAACUAAGCCAUGAAGCUUAGGAAAUUAAAUGACACUAAAGCUCAAACAAAGCAACCUUAAUGAACGUACAUGUUUAGAUUGAUUUAUACUUUAUUCUUUUUGCUUAUUCAAAAUGUUGCAUAUCUUUCACUUUGACCUUUUUUUUUUCAAUUUCGAAACACCCACAACAUACACAACUGUGGAGACAUUUUUAUAUUGUUUUUAAAAUAACUUAUAUUUUAGAUUUUGACAGUAUAGUAAAAAACAAAUUACCUUUCACAAAGCAAAGGGAAAAAAAAGACUCACAUCAUCUGUUGUCUAUGGUAAUACUUCUUGAUUAAAUUAUCUGUAUAAAUGAAAGUGCAAUAUGCGAGUCAAUAUACUUAAGUUGUGAGUUCACAGAGAGUCAAUAAACUAUUGCAAUCGAAUGGUAAUUAACUUAUGAGACUCAUAUUAUGUUUUUCUUAAUAAUAGUGUUGCUGUAAAGUAAUAAACUUUGUGAGAGAGAAUUUGUUGCAUGUAAAAUAUGAUAACAAGACGUUAUUUCAUAAGUGACUACUAGCUCCUGGAGCGAGGGUAAUAGGAUUAGCCGGCGAUAGAGGGGCCUUUCUCAAAAGGGAUAAGUGCACCAUAAAUUUUAAAACUCACAACGAAAGUACAAUCAAGUUUUAAAAUUUUUAAAUAAUGUAAUCAAAUUCUAAAACUUGUCAAAUUGAUGUAAUGUGAUUUGGCUAACUGGACAAGCUCACAUGGUUUCGUUUUAUAACUUUCUUAACACACAUAGUACUAAUGUAGUGCCCACUAAGCUCCAUAUAAAGAAAAAAAAAUGGAUUUUUUAAAUGGCAAAAUAAAUUGAAAAAAGGACAAAAAUUGCAAAAUAAAAUAAAAAUAAAAAUCUAAAAUCACCACCAUAGCCGCUCAAGCGGCCAUAUAAAUUGUCUAUCAAAAAAGAAAAUUUCUAAUAAUUAUUCAUGGAAUUUAUUCAAUUUGAAAUUAAUCCUAGAACAUAUAUUGUUUAAAUAUAUUCUAUUUAUCAUUUCAAACUUAGAUUAUUUCAUCACAUGAUUAAUACUUAGUAAAUAAGUUUUUAUCUUUUUGGUUUUUCACUGAAGAUAUUAUCUCUUAUUUGGAUAAUUUUCAAUUAAUAAGUAGGCUUUCACUUAUUUAUCAAUUUUAUAUACAUGAUUAAAGUUGGAGCUAUGUUCGCUCCUACACUCAUCAUGUGGUACUUCACUUCAACUUAGAAGCAUUGGCUUAUUGAUUUAUCAUCAACAAGCUUUAAUCUUUUUUGAGUUAAAUAUAAGUAAAAAGAGAAAGUACCUUGAAAAAUUUUCCGACACUUAUCUUUUUCCACUUCUAUUACCCCUUGAUUGUAACUUUGAAAAAAAAAGGGAAUAAAGAAAAUGUACCUUGAAAUGUGUAAUUUAACCGUCUGAAAGUUUACUCCACAUGUGUAACUUAACUCAUAUAUGUGAUUGCCAUGUGGCAUAAAUUGCGGCAGAACUUUACCUCAUGGGAUGCAUUUGGCUAUUAAGUUCUAAAUUAUCGAUUUUUUAAUUUGAAAUUUUAACUCUUUAGGAUAAGUAUGCACAUUGUAGAUAAAGAUAAAAUAUCUAUAAUAUAACUUAUUCAUAUAAUCUAAAAUUUAAAUUAAAAAGAGAAAUAUAUCUGAGUAAAUCUGUAAUAUUCAUAUUUUGAAAUAUACCUAUUUCAGUGCAGUCAUAAAUACAUAUUUUAUCUAGUUUUUUAAAAUUAAAUUAAAAUGAUUUGAUAGCAGCUUAUUUUAUCUCUCAUUUUACUUAAUAUUCUUUGGGUUGAAAUAUUACAAUAACAUUGAUUUCUCAAACAUUUAGGAAAUUUAACUUAUUUCACACAUGCAUAUUUACAGUUUAUUUAGUUUCGCUUACUUUGAAAUUCACUUAUCUGAAAGAUAACUUAUUUCAUAAGUUGCACUCAAUUUUUUUUUUUUAAAAUGGUACAAUUCAAAACAAAUAUAACUAAUGGAUAAGGAGAAAAUGAUCUCAAGUUUUUAUUUAGUCGAAUGACAAUCACAUUUAAAGUAUACGAUGGUAAUAAGGAAAUCCACAUAAUCUAUCAUAAACAUUAAAAUGAAUUUGCAAAGAAGCUAUUGCUGUUAGAAUUACUUUGUUGUACGUCUAUUUAGUUACAAUUUUUGGGUUAAACUUUUCUUCCAUGUCUUAUAUGUCCAAUUUUUGUGUACAGAACAAUUUAUAAUAGUGUAAUCAAUAAAUUACAUUUAAUUACAAAUAUGUAAUAUACACAUAAAGCCAUCUUUUAAAUAUUGGUGUCCACUCCCCAAAUUACCAUCGGACACUUUCACGGUUACAACUCCAUAAUUUUAGGAUAACUAAGGUUGAGAAAAAUUUGGCCUCUUCGAUACCACAACCCAUUGCUGCCUCCGCAUAUUGUGGCACUCAGACCCAUCAUGACACCAUGAAGCUCAGUUAGGGAUGAGCAGUUUUAGGUUUCGCUUGAAACUUGGAACCUACCAUUGAGUAUAGGUUCAUCAUUUUUUGGAACCUGGAACCUACUUUGUCACUGGUUCUAGGGUCAGUUUCGGGGUCCAACAAGUUCUUUUUCUUUAAUUUUUUUUCAUUUUUAGUUAAACAAAACGAAAAUGAACACAAUAAUAAUAAACAAACUUGUCAUUCAUCAAAGAGAAUACAAAACAAUUAAAACUAUCAGUAGAGGAAAAUGAAUCAUUGGCAAGGAACUCAACUAGAUAAAAGUAGAGAUGAACGGUUCCAAGUUUCAUAUAGAUUCUAGUUGGAACUUGGAUCGCACAAGGAAAGAUAUGGUUGCAUACAAAAUUUAUAGUGGUUCAGCUUAGAUCAAGCUUACGUCCACUCUCCCAUGCUAACAGCCUUCUAGUUGGAUUUCACUAUGUGAUCAAUAAAAGAUUACAACUUUAAGUGCAAACACUUACUGGUAGAUCACACUAUCUCACUAAGUCACUAUUUUAGUAUUUCUCUCACAAUCACAAACAUCUAAGUUCACGAGUGAUAAGUGUAUGAUCGAAAUUUGCUCAGACUUUAGAAUUAUAAAUUCUACGCUCCAUCUCUUACUUGUUUAUCAAUUCAUUUUUUGGAAUCCGAAACCUACUUGCAUCCUCUAAAACCUAAAACCUAUCGUGUCACAAGUUCUAGGGUUGGUUCUAGGUUUACUCAAGUUCCACCUAUAUUAUUAUUUGAAUGAUUAUAAUUCACUAGCCAUAACUUACAUUUAGACACAUGAAAAAUAUGAAUGUUAAUAAAGUAAAAUUCUUAGUCAUAAAAUAGAAACUCGGACUAGUGCUUUUAAAUUAUACACUCAUCAUCAAAAGGCAUAGAAUACCGGAGGAUCGCACGGAGACAUAGAUCAAGAAAAACAUUAAAACUUGUUUUAGAUUUUAGGUUACAAGUUACAAGUUCCAGGUUCCAAGUUCCUCUAACUAAGAACCUGAAACCUACCCGUUGAAAUAAGUUUCUCAUUUUUUGGAACCUGAAACCUACCAUACAUUCAUUGGAACCUGAAAUCUAUAAGUUCUCAUCGGUUCAAUUCUCAAGUUCCAAGUUCUACCUUAAAACCAUACUCACCCCUAAGCUUAGUCACUAUUAGCACCACUAGAGUCAAAAUCACCAUUGCAAUAAGACCACACACGACCUUCAGUGUGAGCCACUAUGACUUCAAAUUUGAAGUGUGGCCUCAAAGUAGAGGCUGCGAUGCCUUAGAACUAAGGUCACGUGCCUCACAUAUAGGGGGAGGGGGUGGUUAGGGGGGAUGGAGAGGUAGUGAGCUGGCGGUAUGGAUAGUGAGCUAGGAUGAUGGUGCAGAUGGUGGUGGAGGACGGCAGGUGGCGGUGAUGAGUUGCUGCGGAGGACAUGGAAGUGCAAGGGUAGAGAAGAAGAAGGGAAAAUGAAAAAACAAAAAGUACAUGCAAUGAAAAAGGUUAAGAGCAGAUUGGAAAAAAAAAAAACAAAACAAAACAAAAACAUGUGAUCUCACGCUGCACUUAAUGGAGGAUCACAUCACAUCGUUUUAGCAAAAAGGUUUCAGAAACUAUAAUGAACACCAAGUAAAGUUUAGAGGCUGCCCAUGCAAUUAAGCCUUAAAUGUAGGAUUAAUAUCAACUUUGGACUUCAUUUUCCAUCUAAUGGAAAUUUGUCAAACUCUAGAAGUAAGGAAGCUUCUUCUUCUUCUUCUUCUUUUUCAUUCUAUUAAUGUUGUGUAAAGAGUAGUAGAAAUGAAGCAUUGUGUUGAUGUGACUUAACUACAAAGCUCCAUCUUAUCAAAAAAAUUUGUUCAGUGAUAAUACUCAUAGUUGCAACGUCCACUUUAACAGGCUUGUGCAGAUUGAGGAACCUUGAAGAGCUGGAUAUUAGCCGUAAUGAACUUUGGGGUCCUCUUCUGUCAUGCUUUUGCAAUAUGACCUCACUUCGUGUGCUUAAUGUUGAAGAUAACAGUUUUAGCGAGGCCAUUCCUUUGUCUAUCCUCUCUAAUCUCAAGUCACUUGAAUUUAUUAACUUUUCUGGAAAUGCUUUUGAAGGCUCACUUUUGCUUGCUUCCCUAGCCAAUAACUCUAAACUUGAGACAUUUAGCCACAUCGACAAUCAGAAUCGUUUGGAAGUAAAUACAGAAGACCCCACUUGGUUUCCUUCAUUUCGGUUGAAGGUGUUUAUGUUAUCAAACUGUGUACUCAACAAAGACGCAAAUGGCGUAAUUCCCAGCUUUCUGAAAGAACAGUAUAACUUGAGAUUUGUUCAACUCAACCACAAUGGAAUGACAGGAAAUUUCCCAAAAUGGCUAUUGGACAACAAUGUAAACCUAGUAUGGUUGGAACUCAGAGGCAACAAUUUGUCAAGUGCUUUUUAUUUGCCUUCCAAUUUGAAUCCUAUUAGCAUGUGGUGGUUAGACGUGUCUGCUAAUAUCAUUGACAGAGAGCUUCCAUCUCAGAUUGGUUUUAUCUUCCGGAAUCUAAUAGGUUUCAACAUGUCAAACAACCAUCUGAAAGGUGAAAUCCCUUCCUCAAUGGGCACUAUGAACCAAUUGUCUUCAUUGGACUUGUCGAAUAAUGGGUUCAUAGGAGAGAUACAAGAGACACCGACUAAAAAUUGUACUGCAAUUUCUAUAUUGAAACUGUUAGACAACAUUUUGCAAGGCCAAAUGCUACCGAGGAAUUCUAGCUUGGAAAAUUUGAGAAUUUUGGAUCUGGCGAGCAAUCGUUUCACAGGGGACUGAUCGCCUGAUAUAUUGAAUAGCUCCUUGAAAGUUUUGGAUGUAAGUAAUAAUUCCCUAUCCGGAACACUUCCCCAUUGGAUUGGAGAUUUACGCUUGCAAGUGCUAAUAUUGUCGAGUAAUUUAUUUAGAGGUCCUUUACCAUCGAGUUUCUGCAACAUACAAGAACUCUUUUUUUUAGACCUUUCAAGUAACAACCUUGGGCCAAGUACACCCUUAUGUGCCAGUGUUACAUAUUUGAGGUUCUUGCAUUUAACAAAUGACAUGCUCAUGGGGCAUUUUCCUAAGUUUCUUCUGGGAGCUUCAUGGAUUGUCACAUUGGAUCUAAGACACAAUGCAUUAUCAGGUGAGAUCCCCAGCUAGAUUAGUACGCUUCGAAAUUUGCAGUUUCUUCUACUACAAGGAAACAAUUUUGAAGGUUUAAUCCCUCAGGAUCUAUGUUUGUUGGAAAAAAUGAGCAUAUUAGAUCUCUCCAAUAAUAAUAUUUCUGGACAAAUCCCUUCUUGUUUGAACAAGUUGAGAUUUCAUCAAGUUGAGUCAUGUAUGAUGUGUGAUGUCUUGUACCCUGGGCCUGUAGCUCUUACACGUGAUAUGAUUGCUUUUGCGUUUGAAUUUGAAGAAGUAAAAUUCAUGACAAAGAGAAGGAUGGAAUUGUAUAAGGGUUACAUUCUAAAACUCAUGUCAGGAAUGGAUCUCUCGUGGAACAAUUUGACAGGCUUUAUUCCUUCAAAUUUCGGCAACUUGAGUGAACUUCGAGCCUUGAACUUAUCACACAAUCAUUUGACGGGACCAAUCCCAAAAAUGUUUUCCAAUUUAAAGGAAGUAGAGAGCUUGGACUUGUCCUACAACAACUUAAACGGUCCCAUCCCUCCACAACUAAUAGAGCUCUACACCCUGUCAACUUUUAGAGUGGCUUAGAACAACUUGUCAGGCAGGACACCGGAUCUAAAAUAUCAAUUUGGAACUUUUGGUGAAGAAAGUUAUGAAGGUAAUCCUCUUCUUUGUGGACCACCAUUAACAAGUUGUGAUGGCCCAAAUCCGAGACAAGGGACACCACAAUCUUUUAAUCAUACCGGGGAGGAUGACUUUUGGAGAGAAGUCUUCUUGUGGAGUUUUGCAGGAUCAUAUGUGGUAGCGUUCCUUGGGGUGGUUCUUUUUCUCUACCUAAACUCAUAUUAUCAGUACGUUUUGUUUGAGCUUGUUCGUAAGCUUAUACCAUCGUUUCCCUAAAUAGAGAUUAUUCUUCUAGUCAUGUUAUGAUAGACAAAUAUGAUGAAAUAGUAGAGAACCUUUGUUUAAUAGGAUUUUAAACAUUUGAGUCUUGACUGUAUUUUUGAAUGGUUGACUCCUAGAGCGUUCGUAUUGGAUUCCUUGUGCUACUAAUGUGAAUAUUAGGAUUUUUUUUUUAUUUGUUUCAGAAUUGACAGAUACUAGCAUUCAACAAUUUUCUAAAUGUCGCACAAAUUAUUUCUGCUCUCUAUGACUAGUAACAUCAAACCAACCAGGUAUUAGCGUCUCAUAAACUACUAACAAAUAAAGGAUUAGGUGGUGGGAAUUGCUCAAUUGACGAUAAAAGCAUGGACUGCUGGACAACUGCUUUGCAACUUGAGCCCCAUCUUUUUAGCUCAUUGCUUGAUGACAAAUUAUCUCAAGAGAACUAAGCCUUGUCCAACAUUUAAUGCAAAAUUGUAUUGAGGAUAAGUUCUACUCUAUUGGCAAAUUUUUUUGGAUAAUGAUAUUAUAAAUGUCAUAAUUUUUGUAUAGUGCUCACAUGAGGAUCAUAACUUCUUCUUUUUUAUUAAUUGAGGGCUAUUACCUUUAAAAAAUACUUACUCGAGUGUAAUAAAUUUUAAUCGAUCAUUUGAAUGCCAUAACGUUUAUAAAAGGUUCACCUAAGUGUUAUGGGUUGAUAGUUCCUUGGUCACGGAAUAACCCGUGUGGAGCCUAGUGAUUGAAAUUCGCCAGGUUAGCAUUCCUUCUAUAGUUAUUCCAAUGAACAAUACGGUAAAUAGCUUUUUUAUACGAGAUUGUACCACGCCCAGCUUUGCUUAGGCGUCUAGUCCAUCGAGCGAGAUAGUAGCCCUCUUUAGGCUCAACAAUUGGUUUCGGCCUCUCAUGGCCUCAUCAAGAGACUGGCAUCAGCUUUUGACAAAUUUGUGUACAAGAGGCCAACCCCACCUUCGGAGCUUCUAAGUAAUAUAAUCCUUUCAUCCUAGUACUCCUAGCACCAACUGUCCUAACGCCAUUCCCACAGACCGGUUGUGUUCAUUCUCUCUGCGUUCUCACUCUUCACUAGAUAACCCCAAGUUUCACUCCCAAACAGGAGAAUCACAGACCGUGACAAAUUCCCUAACUCAAUUCCGCAUUGCAGGUUGUUCUGUCGCUUCCCUACGUUUCCCUAACCAUCAAUGCCACUCCCUUGGACUUACACAAAUGGCAACACUCGCCCAACAAAACAAGUCACUCCACUCCAUUGCUUGCUUCUCCCGAUCAAAGCGGUUCGCGAAUCUCCAGUCACUUGUGCUUCGACAAGUGUGGCACCCCUAGCCAACUGCACCCUAGUAACAACACAUUCUUUCGCCUACUAAGCUCCACCUGAUCUCUGCAAGCCAACAGAGGGUCCCCCUUGGGGGAAACGUGAUCGUAGACCUCUUCUUCAGAUUCGCCCAUUGAUUCAGGAGCAUUAUAUCCAUUUAGCGAGCAAUUCUGUUCCUUCCUAUGCCCUUAUUGCCAUCCUAGAAGCUAGACGAGAGUCACAUGUUUCCGAGCCCUCUCCAACCCAGGCAAUCACUCUCCGCCCUCAUAGGACCAAGAAGACCACAGGCUUUUUCCCGAAUCACCCACCUAUUAGAGGGAUUCCCGCUGUGAUACCAUUUGUCACGGGUUGAUAGUUUCUUGGCCACGGAAUAACCAGUGCGGCGCCUGACGAUCGGAAUUUGCUAGAUCAGCCUUCCUUCUAUAGUUGUUCUAGUGAACAAUACGGAAAAUUUCUCUUUUAUAUGAGAUCAUACCACACCCAGUUUUGCUUAGGCGUCUAGUCAAUCGAGCGAGACAGUAGCCCUCUUUAGGCUCGACAACUAGUUUCGGCCUCCUAUAGCCUCAUUAGGAGAGCGACAUCAGCUCCCGACCAGUUUGUACACAAUAGGUCAACCCCGCCUUCAGAGUUCCUAAGUAAAUUCUUCUAUCCUAGAACACUUAGCACUAACCAUUCUGGCGCCACUCCCACGGACCAAUUGUGUUCAUCCUCUCUGCAUCCUCACUUUUCACUCAAAAACCCCAAGCUUUACUCCCAAGGGUUCACGAGUACGGGUGAAUCACGAAUCGUGACAUAAGCGUCAUAAUUCCAACCUCACAUGGCACUCGUGGUAAAUGUUUUUAAAACAUUAUGGUACUCAGGUGAUUAAUUGAAAAGUUAUAUGACACAAUUGAUUUGAAAAAGAAAAAAGUUAUGACACUCAAGCAAGGGACAUACGAAAGAUAUGUUACUCAAGUAAUAAAAAAAAAAAAAAUUAUGGCGCCCAAAUAAAAGCCAUACGAAAGUUGACACUUGUGGUAUCAUUUUUCCCAAAAUUUUGAUAAUCACUUUCUUCCACAUUUUGAUGAAUAUUUCAUUUCCAAUAUGGUAAUAUUUGGUUUGAAAGCUUUAUGUAUCUAUUUUUAAAUAAGUCGAAUUUAAACAAUUUGGAGUUUUCUAGAUGAAGUAAGUCCCAAAACAUCGAGAGGUGGUAACAAAAUCCACGAUUGAGUCCGAAUGUUUUUAUGUGUUCGUUGAGUCCUAUGCAUUGUACUUCGUUUUUAAAGUCAUUUAGGUCAGGAGUCAAUGCUGUUAUUUAUAUCUUGUCUAGAAAUUAUUAGUCCUUGUCUUCGAACAGUAAAGGUUGGGGAUCUUUGGAACAGUAAAAGUUAGGGAUCUUGUAAUUUGCCUGAGCUCGAAAGGUUGCUCUAAGUUGAAUCUAUUUAAACCCCACUAAACCUUUCUUAAGGGCUGGAGUGUUUUGAUUAAUGAACUUCACGAUUGAAGAGUUCUAUCUUAACUCCGCAUUGCUAACGUUCGAAUUUCGCAAAAUUAAUUCAUGAAUUAGGAACAUUACAAUGUCGAACCUCGAGCCCAUCAAUCGAAAUUUGGGAAAAGUACCAAAAUAAUCCUAAACCUUUAGUAUUGGUACCAAUUUAGUUCUAAACUUUUCAAUUGGACCAAUUCAAUUUAAGCCUAAAAUUGUUGACGUGGACGCCGAUGGUCUUAUGUGGCGCCACGUGGAUAAAUUAUAUAUAUAUAUAUAUAUAUAUAUAUUCGGAUUUUUAAAUUUUUUUUAUUUUUUUCCUUUUUUUUUCUCUUUUUUUUUUCUUUUCUCCAUAUCGUUUGGCCGGCGAGGUUGCCAACCGGCCGACCAUUGCCGGCCACCGGCUGGUCGGGGCGAGGGGCCCCUCCCCCUCCCCAACCAUUGGGAGACAUUAUCUAUUUUAAGGCCACAAGUGAGGGCGUCGAAAUCCUAUCUAAACUUGGGAGAUUAUCUCAUCAUGUAAUUUUAUUUCAAAAGAUAUUAUCUAACCUAGAUAUCAUCUAAAAACUAACUAUUUUAGAAAAAUCAAUUCUAGUCUACAUGAUAUGCUAAUGCAAUUUUUUUGUAUUUUUGAAAUAAAUAAAGCCAUUAAAAAAAACCAAAAUUCUCCACGGUUGUUUCGCUAAUAAAAUCAAUAAAUUGGUCUUAAGCCUUAGAGACCAAAGAUAUUAAUUUUAUUCCCGCGUGAUUAAUUAUUCAUCUAAAGCCUUAUAGAUGAAAUAAACAGAUCAUUGUGCGGUUGCGAAUUGAGUGAUACGUCGGGGAUUUUCAAGCNNNNNNNNNNNNNNNNNNNNNNNNNNNNNNNNNNNNNNNNNNNNNNNNNNNNNNNNNNNNNNNNNNNNNNNNNNNNNNNNNNNNNNNNNNNNNNNNNNNNGAAUUGGUACUAAUAUAAAAAGGUUUAGGAUUAAAUUGGUCCUAUUAAAAAGUUUAGGACUGAAUUAGUACUAGUGCAAAAGGUUUAGGACUAUUUUAGUAUUUUUCCCUCGAAAUUUUGACUGACAGAUUCCAACGGAUUCCUCUCUUCCUCCUCAACGAACGCCAUCAGACCUCUCUCUCUCUCUCUCUCUCUCGGCAGCGCACCUCACCUUCUGCAUUCCAUUCGGCCAAAACUGUAGCUAGCGGGAGGAGGUCGGCUUCUUCCUCCCUCCGCCGACGUUCCUCCUCCAGUUCGAAAUCCCUGCUCAGCUCAUAACCGGAAGCUCACCUCCAGUUCACCAAGAGCACCGCGUCAGCCUUAUUCUCCUCUCUUAUGCUCUGUUUCCAUGUCUCUGGCUAGAGUUUGUCAAAUAGUAGCAUUCGACUUGUUGAACGGAAUCGAGACUAUCUUCUCUCAUUUGGAUGAAUCUGGUCCAGAUUUUUGAGAAAACGAAGCCGAGCCCUCUCCUCUCUUUAGCUCGUUUGGAAAACCAUUUUUCUGGAGAUCUUGGUUCUAUCAUCUGUAGCUCUUCUUCAUUGCUCCAUCAACAUACAAGCUCUAUCUCCAUCGACUCAUUCUCCAUCCGUCUCUUGAUAUAAUCCUCGUUGGCCUUGAGCUAUACUCCAUUCGGUAUCUGAACUAAUAUUUGGUAGCAAAUUUGGGGAAAUAAUCUUUCUCGUAGUUUCUUGAUUGUCUGCAAUUUAUUAGGUUCACUUGAGGUCUUGGAGCUAGGCCUGCUCAUAAGAAGUUCUAUACUAGUGCGAUUAAUUACUCCUUGGGCUUGCAUGUGAUGUCAUGGUGUUAUUGCAUUGCUCGUCACUUUCUGGUAAUUGUUUAUAAAAGCGAAUCAUCAGACUUGAUCUAAGACGUUAAUUGAAGUCUUUGAAUUUCGGUUUUUGUUGUGAAUUUCAUCAUGGAAUUGUGUAGAAAUAAUCAUAAACACUUGCAGUCCAAAUUUAAAUUGCAUGAUUCGUAAUCAAAAUGAAUUGAGCCUAAUGAAGCCCGGUUAUGUCCCCGGAUGUUAAUUGUGUGUGCAUUGCUAACUGAUGCAUGUCUUGAUCGUGAAAACUAAUGACAGGUAAGGGAUGUUAAGAUAAACAUCAUGCUGCUACCCAUACCUGGUAUUGUACCUAUUUUUGUGAUUUUUACUCUACCCAUGUGUUUAUCAUAACGGAUAAUUUGCCCGAUUCACUUCGCAAUCGAUAAGGCCAUAACUUUGUAUCCUAUUUCUAUUCCAAUAACAUAGAAUUAUUGCUUAAAGAAAAUUCUUACAUGGAUUGGUACUUGGAAUUGGAAGAGAUAUUAUUGAAGAGUACGUAAGUAUGACCCAAUCCGAAAGAUCUCACGAACUCACCUUGAGUAAACCUUUUCAGAACUUGAUCCAUGUGGACUGAGCAAUGUUAGUAGCAUUUCAUCCUUCCGAAGGGGGAGGAUUGCUGAGAGAAAUUCCAGAAUGACCUUAGUAGUUCAAUAUGAUGCAAAUUUGCAAAGUCAGAGAGUUGGUUUUGUUUUGUAUUUGUGGUGCCUUGUUUCAAGAUCCAAGCGAAUAGGAUCAAUAAACAGAUUGGAUUUGCCUUCAACCUAUCUAAAUUAAAUAUUUUUUCCAUAUACCAUGUUUAAUAAAUCGGAUAUUUUAAUCAAACUAAUGAGUAAUGAGGAUCUGUGUGGCAAAUGGUACAACAACACGCUACCACGCAGAACCAAAUUCCACGUAUAUAUACAUGAUUGUGCAAACACCAUACUAUCCCGACCAUUCCAUUGGAAUAAAUUUAAGCGGCAUUGACCGAGACAUGCAUUGAUCGUGGACUCUCGAAAGAUUGACAGUAUAACACGAGAGACAACAUCCUUUGUUUGCCUAGAACUGUCGGCUCACAAUCACAAUACUAAACACACAAAAGAUAAAAGCAUCCCCCACCAAAAGAACAGUAGAGAACUUGUUUCUCAAACAAGGUUGUUUAACGACAUAUGCUCUUUCGAAACAACGAACCAGGAAAGCCUCGAUCCCAACUCUCUCGAGUGCUUCACUUCGCAUUCACCUUCUCUCUCUGGAAAAACAAAUCUAGUGUUACAUAAACUCAAGGCAAGAGGCUAGAUCUUAAACAUGUACAGGAGCAAGCAGACAAUGAAAGCUUAACACCAAUUAAAGAAUGGCCGAGAUUGGGCUGGCCUCAUGCCUGAUGGUUCUCGACCAGCAAGUAACAAAAUCAGUAAUCAUAUCUUAGGGUCGAUGCAUCAAAUAAUAACCAUGCAAAUCACACUAGAAUACUCUCAGAUUGACUGAUAACAAAAGAAAGUCAAUACUGGAAGUCACCUGGGCAAAACAUCGAACACCUUCUGAACAUGAAAUUCGAGUGCUCGGGACAGAAAAUUCAACAAAUCGGUAAGCGGUAUAAAGUGAGGCGUUCAUUUAAACAUUGUCAGAUACAAGAUCGACGAAUCGGAGGAGCACUGAAACAUGCGCGGCUGAAACCAAAACAGAGCAUAGGAGAGGGAUACGUUGCCAGAGCCGUCACCGGUCGAGACUAAUGAUGACCCAAAGGAGAGAGAUCGUAAUGGAUAGUAACGCCGGGACCCAGGACCGUCAAAGGGAGGAUGAGACAGUGUGUGCUUCGGCAGCGAAGACCUUGAAAUAGUGGCGGAACUGGUGGUGAUCAGGCGGCUAUCGGUGGCUGUAAUUGACGCGACCGAGAGAGAAUUUUCUCCCUUGUGCCUGUGCUCUAUUCUUUGCGGAUGUGCUCUCUGCGAUUAUUGCAUGUGUCGGUGGCCGGCGAUGACGAUCAGCAAUGGCUACCAGUGGCCUAAGGGCGAUGGAGAGGGGAUCACCGUGCGAAGCUACUGAACCCCGAGAGAGUUGGACUGACAUAAUGGGUGUUGACGCCUAAAUUUUCCUUUUAAUUAAUUAUGUUUUACUUUAUUUUAUUUUAUCUUUUUCGGAUAAUAAAUAAACAAAUAACAAAAAAACGGAAAAGAAGCAGAAAAACAGAAAAGCAGCAGCCCCCCUCUGUGGGCCUCCACGGCCCAGGCACAAGGCCCAGCCCCUUUCGGUCGUCUCCUUCCUUGGCGCCUCUGCAAUUCACGCGCCGGAGACACGACGCCAGAGCAAGAGAGAGAAACAGUGACGCACGUGGAGCGAAGAGCACGAGCAGCGAUGGGACAGGGAGCAGGGGGCAGCUGACGUCAGAUGGGACUCUGGUUCGGUCGGCGAAGGCCGCGGCGACCGAUGGUCGAACUCCGUUGACCGGCCGCCCCUCGGCCUAUAAAUAGGCCCCCAUUUCGUUCUUGGAGGGGCACGCGAGAGGAUUGCAAGCUUGGAAAUCUCCUCCUGAGAGACUUUGGAGGAGGUUGAAGAGUGAGCGAGAGAGAGGCAGGUUGCGAGCUCAAACGGCAUUCCCCUGAGAGACAUCGGGGGAGGCCGCGUGCAAGCGAGCCUGCAGAGAGAGAGGAGUCGGAUUAGGGCUGCACCCUUGGACACCCCACUGAGAGACUUCAGGGGGGUCCGAGGACUCACGGCUGCGAAUCCGAGCUUCGCCAGAGGAGGAAGUUGAGAGAGAGAGAGAGAGAGAGAGAGAGAGAGAGAGAGAGGCUGGAGGAGGUCCGCGUGGGUACCACCACCGUCGCCACCCUCGUCGCGCCGUCGCCAAGUAGUGGGCUGUCGCUGUUAUGGUCGCCGUCGUCCUUUCCCUCUUUGUAGCCCAACCAUUGCUGCCGUCGCCGUCGUUGUCACCGCUGCACCUCGGUCCUCUCCCUCCUCGGCGCUGCGAUUCGAAAACCUAGGGUUCCUAAUUUUCCGAGUCGCGACCCCGGGUUGUCGAGUCGGACCCGGAUCGGGAACCGGGUAGGGAUUCCGUAAAUUCCGGGGGCGGCGGAGGUCGUGUCGCGAAUCGGAGCCAAGUCAGGUAGGGUUCGCCGAGGAGUCGGGUCGUGGAGCUAGUUUUCGGGCCGGGCCGGGCAUCCCCAAAUGCUCGGCCACGGCGUCGUUUCGUAAAGUAAAAAAAAAAAAAAAUCUGAGUCAGGCCCACAACGCAGGCCCGUCCGCGUUCGGGUCGCCAGCCCGGGUCUAACCCAACCCGCGAAUCUGACCCGGGUCAGCUUUUUAAAUUUUAUUUUAAAUAAUAUUUUAAAUAAAUAAUUUAUUUUCUAAAAAAAUCCAAAAUAAAUAUAUUUUCGAAAAAUAUUAAAAAAUAUUUUAAUUUCCAGAAAAUCGAAAAAUAAUAAAAAAAUGAUAAAAUAUUUUAUUUUCCAAAAAAAUCAAAAAAUAAAAAAUAUUUCAUAUUUUCCAAAAAAGCCAAAAAAAGCCAAAAAUUCAUGAAAAAGCCAAAAAAAUUCAGAAAAAGCCAAAAAGACUUGUAUUUUUCCAAAAAAUACAAAAAAAAUCAAAAUCCAAAAACCCCUUUUAUGUCCAAAAAAUUAGAAAAAGAUUCAAAAAAUGUUUUUCCUCCCAAAAAUGCAUGGAAAAUUCCUCGGACAUCCAAAAAACCUCAAGGUUUAAACAAGAUUAGAUACCGAAAGGGCAUUAGUGAUUAACUACUGUAAUCAAGUCCCCGAUCCUAAUUUCUCUGGUUGCGCAGAAGUGAGUAUUUCUCCCGAUACUUCACUUGGGUUUCUAAUCAACCCACCCCAAAUCGAUUAGUGGCGACUCCAUUUUAAAAAUUGAUUUACAGGUUAAAAACUCAGACUAUUAAAGUCGUUAAUUGGUGGAUUUGGGAGAGUCCGAGCAUAAUUAAUUUCAGCCGAGCCAUUAGCCUCCUUAGGCGCCCGUACCCGAUCGCGGGCGCCGAAAAAAAAGAGAUCGCGACAGCUCGGCGACUCCGCUGGGGACAUUUGAGGACUUAGGCCAUUUUGUCUUUGUUUAAAUGCUUUAUUGACUUGGGUUUUUUUUUUCUUUCUUUUGUGCAGGUUAGUAUCUUAGAUUUUCUUUUUAAAUAAAAUGUCUUGUGAUUAUAAAUUGAUAUGCAUGCUUUACUGUUUUAAUACUACAUGUGGCACACACAACCCGGCCGCCGGACCUGGGCCGCCAAUAGGAUUUCUAGGAUGGUGUUAAGAAAGAUACAACCUCGAACGCGAGACUGCGAUGUAGAGGUUGCCUUUCUUUUCCCUGAAUUUCUUAGCCAAGGUUAGGAGGGUAUGCUGCUAACGCGAGACUGCGACAGGCGGAUACCUUUUUAAUUUCAACAAACCUUCUCAGUUAGAAAUCGAGCCGCACAUAUCAUGAGCGUGUCUAUGUGAUUGUCAUCAAUUUUCUCGCGUGAUGUAAGUUUUUUUUCAUGUACUUUGCAAUUUACUUACCUUCCUGCAUAUAUUAAGUGGUCCAUGAUUAGUUUAGGAUUUAAUACCACAGUCAAUUAAAUUUGGAAGUAAUUGUCAUAAAGUUUAAAAUAAAUAAAAAACUUUUGCAAAAGAAAUUACUUUCAGUUAAUGUUUUUAUUCUCAAGCAUGUUAAAAAGUUCUUUUUCGCAAGAAUUUUCAUUUGCCUCAAAAAGGGAUAGAAAUCUUUUUCAAAAUUUGUUGCAAUUCAAGCUUUCUUUGCCUUUCAAAAUUAAAUAUCUUUUUAGCCCAUGCUAACAUGUCACAUGCACUUUUUCAAUCAAUACUUAGGAAACCGUCUACCUUUUCAUGAAUAAACGAAAUGAGUAGGAUUAGGUCGUCAUCAUGGACCGACUCCCUAUUUACGCCUUUUAUUCACACGCGCUUGUUUAUUCAUGGCCAGGUAAUCACGGAGCGUCAACGUUCGCCGAUCCAGACUUGCUCAAAAGCAAGAGCAAGAAUGGCCAAAGAAAAUGUACCAAGCCGUAUUCCGGUCGUGGAAAGUGAAAUGAAGCAAGUCUUCAAUGUGCUUCAACAACUCUCAAAGCAGAUAGACUCCAUCCAGGGCAAACUUACUCCCGCCCCAGCCUCAGUCGAGGUAUUGUUGCCACAAUCAUCUACCAGGGGUGAUCAAAGUAGAGAUAUCAAUGAUAACAUGCUCGAAUUGGAGGAUGAUCCACACCAAACUGCGAUUGAGAAAGCGAAGCCAGACAGUUUGUCUAAAACUGAGAAUGACAAACGCCUCGAAAAGCUUGAGGAGAGGCUGAAACAACUGCAAGGCCUCCAAGAUCCUAUUUUGACAGACCUCUCCAUUUAUUCCAAUGUCAAAAUGCCGGAAAAAUUCAAAAUGCCUGAAUUUGAGAAGUACGAUGGCACGACUUGCCUUAGGGCUCAUUUGCAAAUGUAUUUGGUUCGAAUGACCCAAUACGUUAAUAAUGCACCAUUAAUGAUCCAGUUGUUCCAAUCAAGUCUAAUAGGCCCUGCCCUGAGGUGGUACAUUACAAAGAACAUGAAUCUCUUCGAAACAUGGAGCGAAGUGAGUGAGGCAUUCCUCAAGCAGUAUAAGUUCAUAAUGGACAUUACCCCUUCUCGUGAGGAUCUUGAGCGUACCAAAAAGAAAAAGCAUGAAUCGUUCAAAGAAUAUACUAUUAGAUGGAGGAAUCUGGCCGCCCAAAUCAGUCCUGAACCAACCGAUUUUGAGCUGAGAAAGAUGUUUAUCAAAACUCUCCCUUACGAGUACCGCAAUCGAAUGGUAACCAUGAUCGCCGAAUCAUUUAAUCAACUCAUUCCAGUAGGGGAACAAAUCGAGAUAGGGUUGAGGGAUGGUUGAUUCACUGAACCUGCAUCCACGGGCAGGUUCAGCAUAAAGAAAGAUAAAGAACCCCUGGUAGAUGUCAAUGCGACCUACAAUCAUUCUCCAACAAUUCAGACAAGCGCAAGACAGCAACAGACCACCAGUCAUCAGCCAUCCCAGCAUUACAGCAACAAGAGACAAGUUACUCCUCUUCCUGGAUCUCCGUCACAGGUACUGGCAAUCCUCCAGAAGAAUAACCUCCUUUCGAUUGAGCCAAAACGACCCAACACUAAAAGUUUUUCCAACUAUGACUCGUCAAAAAUAUGCAACUAUCACAUGGAAGAAGUGGGGCAUUCGACUGAUCAGUGCUUCGCCCUCAAGAGUCGAAUCCAUAACCUGUUAGACACUAAAGCUUUCUCAUUCCAGAGCAAUCCGCUCCCUGAUCACACCGACAAAGUAAAUGCGAUAUUCGGUUAUGAAGAUAGUCAGAGCAGAAAUGUCAAAGCACAUACCGCUGACAGCUAUCAGGGGCUGGUAGAGGCCGGGUAUUAUUCAGGCAAUGAAGUGCCACCCUUAGCAACAGAGAAAGAAGGGCCAGAUGACAUAACCACCAUGUUUGGAGACCUUUUCAUGGGCACCAUCAACGAAGGACCAUAAGGGGAAAUGGGUGCAGGCCCACUUAAGUAGAACCCUUUUUAAUUUCCUUUCGUAUUCCCCUACGUGAGAACCUGUACAUCUUUCUUAAGUCUGGCUUGUUUUAUUUUCAACAUCAGUUCCGCUUGAGGAACUAACUUUUGAAAUCACUCUUCCAAAAUGUAAAUCCACCUAUUAAAUAAAGUUGAAAAUAUUUUGAGAGCAUGAGGCGGUAUACCAAACCAACCCGGUGAUGCUAUCCAACCAUAAAAAAAAAAAAAAAUACCAUCCAAGGAGAAUACUGAGGGCUGGGCUUCCUCAUGCUUUAUUUCCCCCAAAGAUAUAUACUUUGGAAAACAAAAAAUGUUUCAAAAACUUUUGUCAAAACAAGAUGAUUAAAUCAUGUUUAUCUUUCUAACUCACUCACUUCCUGUCUUAGAAUAUCAUCCCCAUCCCCCUUGACUUAAUGUGACAGGGGGCAUUUGAAUCUGGCGCAUCAUGUGAACUCGCCAAACUCAAAUACACCAUUCCAAGAAGGCAGUGGGGCAAAUAGAAGAGAGCAUCCAUUUCAAAGAAGGUAAGUUUUAUUCUUUAAAUAUAAUUUUGAAAAUGAUGUCCUCCCUCUUCUAUUUACAGGAAACGAAAGAUAGGACGUAAUAGGUACAAGCAUACGGUUGAAAUCAAGCCAUUCCCAAGAGCUUUGUGCACUCCACCUUGUUCCUAUCCAACUCCUUCUCAAAACGGAGCAGCAUCUUCUUCCCUUAACAUGCCCGAGCAACUAGAUGCUGCGGUUUCAUCAAUGGGAUUUCCGGCUUCGACAAGCCAAGAAGCGUAGAAAAGAGACCUUUUCUCUUUCUUUGAAUUAGCUACUGUCAACAGGGAGGAAAUCUAGAUAGUUGAGACAGUCUCUAGCCCCUUAUUUCAAAUGAUGACUAAGGGCCUAGAAACCUCACUUUGUGCUCCAGACGCAUGCUCUCCCAAGAAGUGAUUGCCAUCAGAGAAUCGGAAGUUUUAAUUGUCCAUCUCAGAUUCCAUAGAAGCUUGAAGUACAUGACUUUGCUCAAUGCUGCCAUAGUCAAAGACAAAAGAAAAAUUCCACAGAAGGAAGGCAUUGAAGAUAAAUAUACAACCAUCAAUCAUGCAUACAUGGUCAUGAGUGAGGAAGGCCAAUCGAAAGAAAUGUCAAACUGUGCUGAGACGAAAAGGCUGUCAUCAAUAUUCAAAUAUCCCUAAGAGUCAGCAAAUACAAACUUUGGAGAAGAGUAAUUUGGUAUCGUUUUCAAUACUCCCCCCCCCCUUUGAAUUCACUUUUUACAUAUUCCCCCUACUAGCUGGAAGCAUUAGGAUUCAAGAGCCAAACUUGAUGGUUAGGUUUGACAAAUCAAUAUUGGCCAAGCUAGUACCUGGAAAUUACCCACAUCAAAUUCACCUAGCUUCGUGUAAAAAGACAUGUCAUCCAGGAGCCAAUUCAGAGAAUAAUUGACCUAACAAAGCAAGGGACAUAGGACUUCGUGUCCCCCUCUCACUUCAGGUUCACCCAAUCAUCUGUAAACCAGUGAAGGGUAAAGUUGUACCGCUUCCAAUUAUUCAACUCUUGAAAGAGUUCAUGACUAACACAUUCCCUCUUGUUUGUUGCAGGAUCACCUGACUGUCAAAAGCAAGGAUAACAAAUCAGUGAGAAGCAUGUCUUGUUUGUUGCAGGAUCACCUGACUGUCAAAAGCAAGGAUAACAAAUCAAUGAGAAGCAUGUUAGACUCUGAAAGGCUCUCCAAAGCGAAAUGGCAUCUUGAGUAAUCGCCAAAGCAAAUGACAGAAAAUUUUCAGGCCUCAACUCACAUUUGAUUUUGGCCAGACUAAUUGAUCUACUUGUACAUCUUCUCUUCUGCAGGGGCAAAAGCAGAGAUGCCCGAUCAGAUUCCCAAUCCUUAGCUGAUCAUUCAUGUGUCAUAUCCCUAAUCAAUAGGGACAACUAUCGACACCCAUUUGUGAAUAACCCUUUUGAUGUUCAAAAUCUAACAUAUUUGGAAACACCACUAUUUUAGCCCCUAAAGUCGUCAAUAGGGUCUUUUUUGAGUCAAAACCAUUCAUUUGUUUUAAGAGUAUAAACUCCAUCACAUUUAAAUGCUGCAUGCCUUUUCCAAAUGGAUUUUGCAUGAUGAUUUUGUGUAUCUAAAUCACUAAUUCUACAAGGAUUAUUAGAAUAGACAACUAAGUGAAGAAUACAAGAUUGAUUGAGCAUGCUGGAUGAGGUGCGUCAGAAUGAUGAAAGGCAAGCCAUAUCCUACACACAGUCCCCCAUCUAUACACUUGUGAUAUGAGUGCAGAAGAUUCCAUGACUGCAGGGUAAAGAGUUCUCUCGCAAAUGGUACGAUAACCAAAAUAGUGAGAGGCAUUCCAUCGCUCACCCCAUUGAGCCCCAUACACUGGUGAAAUUUCUGUCCUACCCCCGUCAAGAACCACCCCACACUGGGGUAGAUCAGAGACGAAGCAGCAUCACAAGGUGAGAAGAGAGAUAGAAAUUUUCUUGCUCGCACUUGCAUCAAUCUUCAGGUGUCUUUAUUGCAUAUGAACACUCGCGUUAAUUUAAGUGCCUUAGAAUGACAAAGAGCAAUUCCCUUUCUAUGCAUUUGUAUACAUUGUACAACCCAAGUGAGUCUGUAAUUUUACCCUCACAUUGAGACAAAGCAGAAGUUAUUGCCAUAGCCUGAGCGCCGGCUGAAGAUGAAGACUCAAGAGUCUAAUAACGGUGCUUCGAUUGAACUUGCCUAGGCCAGUUCCUCCGACAACAAGAAAAAGCAGGGCAUAAAAGUGUAGUGUACCUGGUAAAAGCAAGGUCAAUGCCUAUGAAAGGAGAACUGGAAUAAAAAUAGGGGCAUGAGAAAAGCAGUGUGCCUGGUAAAAGUAAGGCCAAUGCCCCCCCAGUCAAAAAUACUGCCAAGAAAAAGUUGAUGUUGUGGUCCAUAGAACCUCUAUCUAACAGUGAGAAGAAAGACCAGUGACAAAUGUUGAGACAGUCACGAACUCUCACCCUCUUAUAUGUGAGCCAAGUCUACGUUACAUUCUCAUUAUAAAAGUCUCUUCAGACUAGGGCACUUCAAUUAACGUAGGAUUUCAUGCGUAUAUAAGCAUCGCUCAAAGAAGUACGAGCAAGAUUACUCUAUCUUUUUUCGCAGGAUUCUUGACUUGCAAACCCGGAGAUGAUCGUGCGGCACUUCGUUCACGAGCCUUGACCUCGACGGUCCCAUUUGAUGAGCCGUUGACUAAGUCUUCAUCACAAUUUCAACAAAGACCUCUCACAAUGGUAAAGUCGAACCACUUGCAAGAAUACUCGGACCCCUUUUGACAUGAUGACAGUGAGAUACUGUGAUCCUGAUAAAUCCUGCAUUAAUGGUCAGGAUAUUUUUCCAAGAGAGUGAGUGAAAAGUCCUUUCAGAUUGAAAGUCCCUCAUCCGGCAUGCUCAAGACAUCUACAUUCUAAAUGAAGGUUGUCUUUCAAAAUCUUCACCAGUGGAAAUUAGAUGAUGCAAAAUUGACAAAAUUAUCAUGCAUGAAUCUCAUUUGAACUCAUGAAUUUACAGCAUAUACAAUCAUGUGUGCAUAUUGUGCAAAUAGCAGACAUACUCUCAGAGAUCAGAGAUAUUGUCAGGUAAGCAUAUCAUAAUCCCAAUUUGUCUUAAAGUACCUACCACUGUCCAGGUACUCUCUUUUUGACACUCGACCUAUUCGAGUCGUCCCUUGAGUUUGGGUGCUUGUAACUGUCUAAGUAUCCCCUUGUCUUUAAGUACCCACCACUUGCCAAAUACUCCCUCUUAUCGACACUCGCCCUGUUCGAGUUGUCCCCAGAGUAUUGAUAUUUGCGACUAUCUAGGUAUCCCCCUAUUUUUGUGUGCCUGCCGUUACUCAAGUGCUCUCUCUGUUGACACUCGACCUGUUUGAGUUGUCUUUAAAGUUUGGAUGCUCGUGACUGUCUAAGUAUCCUCUUGUCUUUGAGUACCGGCCACCGUUCGGAUACUCCCUUUCCAUGACACUCGACCUGUCUGAGUUGUCCUCAAAAUUGUAUCAUUGAAUACUAGUAGCCAUUCAAGUAUUUCAUCACAUUGUGCGCCAUGGUUACCCAGGUAUGCCUUCUUACACUUGGACCAGCCUGAGUGGUCCCAAAUCGUAUCAUUAAAUACUUAUGUUCAUCCAAAGUAUUCCAGUACUUUGUACACCUGAGGCUAUCCAGGUGUUCCACCCCUUUUAAGUGCCUGCAGCAAUCCAGGUAAGUCUCAUACCACAUUCAAGUUUAUAAUACCAGGAGGUGAGAGACCUUCACGAAUAUGCGGGGCACGCCCUCGAUAUUCCCAUUACUAGGAGGUGAGAGACCUUCACGAAUAUCUUAGGUACGCCCUCGAUAUUCCCAAUUACCAGGAGGUGAGAGACCUUCAUGAAUAUCCAAGGUGCGUCCUCGAUAUUCCAACUACCAGGAGGUGAGAGACCUUCACAAAUAUCUCAGGCACGUCCUCGAUAUUCCCAAUUACCAGGAGGUGAGAGACCUUCACGAAUAUCUCAGGUACGCAUUCGAUAUUCCCAAUUACCAGGAGAUGAGAGACCUUCAUAAAUAUCCAAGGUACGUCCUCGAUAUUCCCAUUACCAAGAGGUGAGAGACCUUCAUGAAUAUUCAUGGCACGUCCUCAAUAUUCCCAUUACCAGGAAGUGAGAGACCUUCAUGAAUAUUCGGGGCACGUCCUCGAUAUUCCCCAUACCAGGAGGUGAGAGACCUUCACGAAUAUCUCAGGUACGCCCUCGAUAUUCCCAAUUACCAGGAGGUGAGAGACAUUCACGAAUAUCCCAGGUAUGUCCUCGAUGUUCCCCAUUCCCUAGGAGGUGAGAGACCUUCACGAAUAUGCGAGGUACGUCCUCAAUAUUCCCCAAUUACCAAGAGGUGAGAGACCUUCACGAAUAUCCCAGGUACGUCCUCGAUAUUCCCCUUUACCAGGAGGUGAGAGACCUUUAUGAAUAUGCGAGGCAUGUCCUCAAUAUUCCAAAUUACUAGGAGGUGAGAGACUUUCAUGAAUAUCCAAGGUACGUCCUCGAUAUUCCAACUACCAGGAGGUGAGAGACCUUCACGAAUAUGCGAGACCCAUCCUCGAUAUUCCCACUACCAGGAGGUGAGAGACCUUCACGAAUAUCCCUGGUACGCCCUCGAUAUUUCCCAAUUGCCAGGAGGUGGGACACCUUCACAAAUAUCCAAGGUAUGUUCUCAAUAUUUUCAAUUAUCAAGUACCCAUUCGAUACUUGUGAAUGUCCAAGUAUCUCCCAAGAAUUCAUACUUAUGAUCAUCCAAGUACCCCUUCAAUGCCUAUGGUCAGCCAAAUACCCAUUUUGACGCCUGCAAAGGCCCAAAUAUCCUUCAGGUUAGUACUUGUGAAUAUCCAGGUACUCUUUGAUAUGCUUGUGAAUGUCCAGGUAUCUUCCAAAAUUAAUGCCCUGAGAAAGGUCGGCGCAUCCUCCUGAGAAAAGUCGGGUACUAGCUGUUGUCUUUGAUAGAGGUCAGACACCCCCACAAAACAGAUGCCCUGAAAAAGGUCGGCGCAUCUCUCAAGAAAGGUCGGGUACCAACUGGUGUCCUCGAUACAAAUCAGGCACCCACAAAUGAGAUGCCCUGAGAAAGAUCGGUGCAUCUCCCGUCAAGGCGACCGAAGAAAGGUUCGGGUCCUAGACAAAUCAUUGAUUGUUUAACAGACGACUGAAGAAUGGUUCGGGUCUUGGAGAAGCAAUUUCCUGUCACGGCGACCGAAGAAUGGUUCGGGUUUGAGACAAACCACUGAUUGCCCCAACAGGCGACUGAAGAAUGGUUCGGAUCCUAGAGAAGCAAUUUCCCGUCAAGGCGACCGAAAAAAGGUUCGGAUCCUAGACAAAUCAUUAAUUGUUUUAACAGGCGACCGAAGAAUGGUUCGGGUCCUGGAGAAGCAAUUUCCGUCACGGUGACCGAAGAACGGUUCGGGUCCGAGACAAACCACUGAUUGCUCCAACAGGCGACCGAAGAAUGGUUCCGGUUCUGGAGGUGCAAUUUCCCGUCAAGGCGAUCGAAGAAAGGUUCAGGUCUUAGACAAAUCAUUGAUUGUUUUAACAGGCGACCGAAGAACGGUUCGAGCCUUGGAAAAGCAACCUCCUCAUAUCACCAGGUAAGAUGACGCCUUGAUACUUGCCAAACUCGGGAUUCACACCCUAUCUUACUCAUUUCCGGUAAGUAACUACAGGUAUCUUCUUAUCUGCCUUAGUAUAUCUAAUGUUAUAUUGCUCUUUUUGCAUAGGAUAAUAGGUCCCAAAUAAAAUAUAAUAUGCCACGCAUGUAUGGAUGAAAUUUAGGCAUCAGUUUGUCUUUGAAUGCAACCUCUGCGAGCUCACCUUCAAAGAGGGGCAGCUGUUGACGCCUAAAUUUUCCUUUUAAUUAAUUAGGUUUUACUUUAUUUUACUUUAUUUUAUUUUAUCUUUUUCGGAUAAUAAAUAAAAAAAUAACAAAAAAAAAGGGAAAAGAAGCAGAAAAACAGAAAAGGUGCAGCCCCCCUCUAUGGGCCUCCAUGGCCCAGGCGCAAAACCCAGCCCCCUUCGAUCGUCUCCUUCCUCGGCGCCUUUGCAAUUCACGUGUCGGAGACGCGACGCCAGAGCAGGAGAGAGAAACAGUGACACACAUGGAGCGAAGAGCAUGAGCAGCGAUGGGACAGGGAGCAGGGGGCAGCCGGCGUCGGAUGGGACGCCAGUUCAGCUGGCGAAGGCCGUGGCGACCGACGGUCGAACUCCGUCAACCGGCCGCCCCUCGACCUAUAAAUAGGCCCCCAUUUCCGUCGUCGAAGGGGCACGUGAGAGGAUCGCAAGCUUGGAAAUCUCCUCUAGAGAGACUUCGGAGGAGGUUGAAGAGCGAGCGAGAGAGAGGCAGGUCACGAGCUCAAACGGCAUUCCCCCGAGAGACAUCGGGGGAGGCCGUGUGCAAGCGAGCCUGCAGAGAGAAAGGAGUCGGAUUAGGGCUGCACCCUUGGACACCCCACUGAGAGACUUCAGGGGGGUCCGAGGACUCGCGGCUGCGAAUCCGAGUUUCACCGGAGGAGGAAGUAGAGAGAGAGAGAGAGAGAGAGAGAGAGAGAAGCUGGAGGAGGUCCGCGUGGGUACCACCGUCAUCGCCGCCCUUGUCACGCCGUCGCCAGGUAGUGGGUUGUCGCCGUUGUUGUCGCCGUCGUCCUUUCCCUCUCUGUAGCCCAGCCAUCGCUGCCGUCGCCAUCAUCGUCGCUGCUGCACCUCGAUCCUCUCCCACCUUAGCGCCGCGAUUCAGAAACCCUAGGGUUCCCGAUUUUCCGGGUCGCGACCCCGGGUUGUCGGGUCAGGCUCAGAUCGGGAACUGGGUAGGGAUUCCGCAAAUUCCGGGGGCGGCGGAGGUCAAGUCGCAAAUCGGAGUCAGGUCGGGUAGGGUUCGCUGGGGAGUCGGGUCGCGGAGCCGAUUUUUCAGGCCGGGCCAGGCGUCCCCAAACGCCCGGCCACAGCGUCGUUUCGUAAAGUAAAAAAAAAAAAAUCUGAGUUGAGCCCGCAACGCGGGCCCGUCCGCGUUCGAGUCGCCGACCCGGGUCGAACCUAACUCGCGGAUCCGACUUGGGUCAGCUUUUUAAAUUUUAUUUUAAAUAAUAUUUUAAAUAAAUAAGUAAUAAAUAAUUUAUUUAUUUUCUAAAAAAUCCAAAAUAUAAUUUAUUUUCGAAAAACAUUAAAAAAAUAUUUUAAUAUCCAGAAAAUCGAAAAAUAAUAAAAAAUGAUAAAAAAUUUAUUUUCCAAAAAAAAUAAAAAAAUCAAAAAUAUUUCAUAUUUUCCAAAAAAUGCCAAAAAUAAAAAAAAGCCAAAAAUUCAUUAAAAAGCCAAAAAAAUUCAGAAAAAGCCAAAAAGACUUGUAUUUUUCCAAAAAAUACAAAAAAAAUCAAAAUCCAAAAAUCCCUUUUAUGUCCAAAAAAUUAGAAAAAGAUUCAAAAAAUGUUUUUCCUCCCAAAAAUGCAUGGAAAAUCCCUCAAACAUCCAAAAAACCUCAAGUUUUAAACAAGAUUAGGUACCGAAAGGACAUUAGUGAUUAACUAGUGUAAUCAAGUCCCCGAUGCUAAUUUCUCUAGUUGCGCAGGAGUGAGUAUUUUUCCCGAUACUUCACUUGGGUUUCUAAUCAACCCACCCCAAAUCGAUUAGUGGCGACUCCAUUUUAAAAAUUGAUUUACAGGUUAAAAACUCAGACAAUUAAAGUCGUGAAUUGGUGGACUUGGGAGAGUCCGGGCAUAAUUAAUUUCAGCCGAGCCAUUAGCCUCCUUAGGCGCCCGUACCCGAUCGCAGGCGCCAAAAAAAAAUGAGCUCGCAACAAUGGGCCUGUGGGUUUAAUGGGUUUUAUCUCUAGGCCGAGGCUUCCUCAGAUGAUGGGCUUGGUAUGGCCCAGGUAGUCAUUAUGGAUCAGGUCAAGGCUGUGCGAAUUAGACAAGGCCCUUUCAAUUAUAAUUGAAUUAGAGCCUUUUUUAUUAUAUAUUUCUUCUAAAAGGAAACAAUAAAUUUUUUGAAGGUUCAAGGAAAACCCCAUCUUGCUCGAAAGAUUUGGCAUUUGGCAAUCAUGGGAUGUCCAAAAGCACAUUUAAUAUUGCGAUUUGAGAUAGAAGAAGAUUAAUUGCAAUACUUGUGUGGAAGCAAAUUCACUACAACACUUUGAAUAUGGUGAUGGAUUUUUUCGUGCUACUUGGAUGGAUGAACUCGAAGGAGUGAAGUUCAUCUCACACAUGGAUUGGUACCGGAAGAGAGAUUGUUGAGCAAUAUGCAAGUACUCAUUUAUAUUAUAUAUCAAAUAACCAUUUGAAUGAUUAUUUAACAUAAAUAAGUUAUACGAAGCUUUGAUUUUUUUUUAAAUUCUCUUAAUGCUUAUUAGCAUAAUUAUGUACAAAAGAUAGAAACUUGAAUUUGUAAAAAUAAGUUUUAAGAUUAAUAAACUUUGUAGGAUAUCAUGGUGAUAUACAAUGGGUAAACUCCGCAGCAUGGCUUUUAACUUUUUGCCCUUGUGAACUUUGCACAUUCCUUACAUUACCCCACUCUAGACGUUAGAUUCAAAUUGCUUACAUCAUUCUUCUAAGUAUUUUGAGAUGGAAAAUAUGACGAAACAACAGAGAACAUUUACAUAAUAGUAUUGUAAGCAUUUAAGUCUUUACUAUGCAUUUUGAACUCCUGACUCUUAGGAGAUUUGAUUUUGUUGUGAAUUGAGAGAGGAUAGCUUAGUUCACAACCAAAAUGAAUCUAGCAUUAAUAAAUUCCAGUAAAUGUUACCCAACUUGUGAAAUAUCUUAUGGCUGCAACCCACAACAUCAAACCAACCAUUUUAGCAUCUCCAGAUAAGAUCCUCCUCACGUAAAUGAUUGGGUGCUGGGGAUUGCUCCAAUUUGACAAGAAAGGCAUGCACUACCUAUCCAACACUGAAUGCAAUAUUGCUUGGAGGAUAAGCUCUAUUCUACUGUUGAAUUUUAAGAGCAGAUGCAUCAAGAUCGAUGAUUUUGUCCACGUUUCUUUUCCCAUUCAAAAUAGAAUAUUUGUCAAGAGUCGAUCCAAUCACAUCUUUUAUCCAGAAGAAAUUUGCGUCAAGCUAAAUUGAUAGCCUUGGAAGCAACAGAUCACAUAAUGCUAAGCUACAUCUAUUACACAUACCAAAUCGGGCAAUGACACAUUGCGACAGUUAAACAUUAAAACAUGGAGUGUUAUUUGCUAGUUUUGUUCAUAUGGUGUUCAAUGGUGUUGAUAUUGGCUAUUGCAAAUAAUGUGAAUCUCGUCAAGUUAAAAUUCAUUGGCAAUAAUUUUAUUGACACUUAAAUAUUGGCAACCCCAAUUAGUUAUUUAUUGCAAAGAAAAAAAUUAGGGGUCAAUAAUUUUGCAUAAUUUUUCAUUGCAUUUGGGCAUUUAGACAUUACAAGGCAAUGUCCACAUCAAAUAAAUUUCAUCUUUGUCAGCCUUAUCAUGCUUGAAUUCAAAUCGAGGAGUAGGAAAGUACUUUUGGUCGGCACAUGCUAAAUGGUGCAAAAUUGAGCAAAUAUUUUAGGAGUAUGCUCAGUCUAAUGAAGGACUAUGAAUCUCGCCCUUAAUAUGAGAAAAGGGACAGAUGGAUUGCGCACAUGAGAAUAAGAAAUUUGGAAGAAAAUCAGAAAUAUAUUUUCUUUAUACCUGAGGUCACCACCUCUACAAAGGGAAAGUGACCAAUCAAGCAAGGAAAUCUUUCCAUGCUUCUCUUCAGCAAAUUUGGGCCAUAAAGUGCUAAAUUACCAGUGGAGAUUGGUGGGCUGAUUCCAUGGAACUAAGAAGGAAAGUCAAGGUAGGAUUUUCAUGAUUCUUCACCCCCAUAAAAAGGAAAGAAAACGCUUGGCAGUACAGAGAGAAGCCAAGAGAGGGCAGAGAGAUGGCCGUAUUCUCUUUUUUUGUCUCGGCAAUUUUCUUUUUGAUUGGUGACUAAUCCCCCUGGAUUGUCAUCAUCAUCUCACGACAUUUGACACCACGCAUGCCUUUGAAUUAGGCCGGAAAGCAAGAAUCCCUAUUGCCGCCCAUCGUUGAAGGAAAUUGGGAGUGGAUUUACAAAAAGAAAAAAAAUGUAAGGAAAAAGAGCUUCAUUGUAUCUCUAUUUUCAUCAACUCAGUUCAAAAAGAAAAAUGGAAGGGAAUAAACUUCCAAUUCAGUGACUAUUAAUGGAUGAAUUAUUCAAUUACGAAAAUCCAAUUAUAAUUGUUAAGUUAAUUUAUGGUAUUUUGAACGAAAUUUCUCAAAUGAUUGGAGCUAUAAUGGGCAUCCCUAUCCAAAAAGCAAAGUAUUUCAUAGCUUUUAGAGCAAGUGACCAAAAAUGAUUUGCUCAAAUUAUACAUGAGUCCCUACAUGAUAAAACAUAGGGGUGAUAAAAAAAACCACCCUAACUGCACUGGAUUGACAUAAAAAACCAUCCUAACCACACUGAAUCGACCGGUUGGAUUCGGUUCCCAGUUUCACUAAAUUGGAACCAAUGAUUUUGGGUCCCAUUCCCGGUCUCAAGAAUACAAUCUACCUAACGGAUGGAACUAGACCAAUUAUUAAUUUUUGAGUGUUUAAUUUUAUUUCUUAUAUACACAUAAAGAUCUAAUUUAAACUAAAAUUUUCAUGGGAUGAAAAAGUGCCUCAAUUCAAGGCCUUUCUCAGUACUAUUGAGGCAUCAACCUCACAUGUGAUCAAAAGACCACUAAAACCAUUUCCUUGUUCCUCGCUAUUUAAAGAGGAAGCCUAUUUGUAAGUUUCUUUUUCCACCUGGGACUAUGGCUCCAAGAGCCACACCCUCGUCUCUCUCUCUCUUCUCACUUGCAAGAGACAAGGCCUUCCAAGCCUCCUAGAGUACCAUAUCGAGCAAAUACAUAGAGAGUACAAGAGAGAUUGCCUAUAAAAACCUAAGGCAAGCAUCUCCUUUAGACAUGUUGUUCACGGCCUUUUUGGCCAAGAUUGAGCGUGAAAUAUAUGAAUUGUGAUCGAUGCUCACAUAAGUAGAGUUUGAUUUUUUUGCACGUAGGAACAUGUGUUUCAAGCACAUGCAAUCCAUUGGACUGCCCGAGAAUUGAAUCGGACUGAUCAGUCUGAUUCCAUCCGAUUCUAGCCUCCUUUGGUCCGGUCCUUAGUUUUGAAAAUGGGGAACCAAUCCUUUCAGUCCGGUCCCAGCUCGGUUCCGAGGUACUGAUCACCCCUAAUGAAGCAAGCAUUUAAACAUUCAAAAUGCCUAUUAAAUACACAAAGUUUCCGAUUCUAUACCCUAAAAAUGCCUUAAAUGAAAUUUGAGCUGAUAAACUAAAAAUAAAUCAUAUAACUAGACAAAUAGUUGGUACUGUAUGCUAUUUUAGUAAUCUUUAGAAAAUAUUGAUAAUAAUACAUAUACAAUCAUUGAAGUUGAGAGAACAUGGACGUCACUCAGACUUAGGAGAGACAUAGCCUUUGGUAGGUUCUACCACAUGGAAAGGGCAAAGGUCUUCAAUAGCCAAAAUGAGAAAAAAAAAAACAAACUAAAAGUGAAAAUAAUAAUAAAAAUUGAAAGAGGUUGAGUUUUGGAGCUUACUAUUUGUGUGGUGAUUUCAUGGAAAAUCAAUAACUCGUAAAAAUUUGUGCAAAAAUAAUAACUUGUACCAGUAAAAAUGAUUAGUUAAGUUUUGAAGCUUCGUAUCAAAGACAUGCACAUGAGUGCAACACCAACAUUUGCACAUAUCCCAUCUGAUGUCUCGUGGGGAGAAGCUCAGUCAUUUUUGGGAUGAUUUUCGUGUUUGCGUGGAGGAGAGAGACUGAGUAGAGAGAAGAGGCUGAUCAAAUCCAAUAAAUCAUUACAAAGACAAAGGAAGCUUAGAUGAGAGGAGAUGAGGGGUCGAUAGUGAGUUAAGAUCGAGAUACGUGGUUGCAGAUUCUACACAUUAGAAAGUCAUCGACUUCAAUUGUUGUCUUGAAGAUGAUUAAAUACAAUUUAUCAAAUUGUAUUUACCAACAAUUUUAGCUCAUGAAGGAAAUUAGAUGUGGACUUACUAAAAAAGAAAAUGUAAGGAAAAAGAAGUUCCACCAUAUCUCUACUUUCAUCGACUCAAUUCAAAAAUAAAAAUGGAAGGAAAAAAACUUCCAAUUCAACGACUAUUAAUGGACGAAUUACUAAAUUAUGAAAAUCCAAUUUUAUAUGUUAAGUUAAUUUAUGGUGUUCUAAAUGAAAUUUCUCAAAUAAGUGGAGCACUGUAAUUUGAUGAUUAAAAUUACAAGAUAAAGUUACUUCAGACUUCAGAAAAUUCCAAUCCGUUUUCAAAAUCCGCGUAAAGGGCAAGGGUUUGGUCUCCCUUUUUUGACCAACUUUGGAGUAUUGGCCAAAUGCUUUAUGAGAAAAGGAAGUAAUUUGUAUAGCAUUUUGUCAGGGGUAAAGAGGCAAAAUCUCAUCCAAGAUUAGACUGAAAUGAAAGGAGAAAUUAAGUCAUUGGGCAGAUUUUCUUUUCCAUCUCCAUCAUCCUCAUAUUGCUUUUGGAUUAAUGAAACAUAAAGUUAGUCAAGGUCUUACUAUUUACUUUUCAUAAUGGACAUCUCUAUCAAUAAAGGUGAAGCAUUUCCCCGCAUUAACCAUAGGUGGCCAAGACGACCCAGGAGAAAGCUAGGUCAAGCUAUAAUGGACAUCCCUAUCCAAAAAUCAAAGCAUUUCAUAGCUUUUAAUGGCAAGACCAAAAUGAGUUGCUCAAAUUAUACAAGAGUCCCUACAUUAUGAAGCAGUCAUUCAAACAUUCAAGGAAAUAUAGGUUUGGUGAAAAAAAUAGAACAUGAUAUAAUGAAUUCAACUGAUAAGCUCAACUUAUUGAUUUAUAGGUUCAUAUAUCUCAUGUUAUUGAUUUGUCUGUUCUAUUUUGAUAUAUUUGGUUGAAAAUUUACUAAAGUAAUACAACAUCUUUGAUUGGUAAUUUUUAUGGACUAAGUGAUUUUGCUAACAAAUAAUGGGUUGCCAAACAACGUCGGCAAACUCUCAAAAUAACUAUCUCAAAAUAAAUAUUUAAGUUGUAAUCACGUGGAUGGUUGAUUUUACUUUAAACCGCUAUCAAAUGGAAAUCACUAGAGAGAAUUCGCUUGUGUUUUGCGGACUCCCCCAAUUGUCACCUUGAGGCAAAGGAGUAACUCUAAUUGAGAUCCACUUUGAACAUCCAAGGAAAUGGCCAUAUAAAAUGCUCGAGUCUUUAGGGAGAAAGUCAUAAAAUAGUGUAGCUCAUAAAAGAAUUAACCGUUACAGGCAAAAAUAACACGACGGUCAAGAAUUUCUUGUUCUUUAAUAAUCCCAUCACCAUUCGUUAACCUAUUACUUAUUUAAAGAUUAAUGAUUCUCUUAGAUAUUUGACUACUAAAAGUUACAAUACAUGAUAUAGAUCCGGUGAUUGCGAUUAGCAUGAACGGUGUAAUUGAGAAGGUGACAAAUGACCAGGCUUAAUAACACACAUUAAUUUCAAAACUUGCAUUUUCAUAAUAACAACAACAUGGUCUAAGACUGUCGAGGACCUUCCAUCUUCAAUCAAGUCCCCUCGUUUACAAUUUUAUGGUAUUUUGUCUUCGCUCUCUUUUUUCCUCUCUCUCUCUCUCUCUCCUUUUUUGCGAUUAUUUUCCCGGUACAAUGAAUUUUGAUUUUCUGAAUACGUUACACACUUUCGUGCUUUAAUAAAAAAUAAAAAAAAUCUUAAGGUACCUAUAUAUUCCGGUGGAUACGCAUCUAUGCCUCUAUAUAUUAUUUGAGUGCUGCCUUUCCUUGUUCUAUUACGCUAUCAUAUUUUUCAUAAUUCUAAAAUAACGUGAUAAUCAAUUUUACGAAAAGUCACUUUGACUUUUGUCAUUCUCUUUAUAAAUAAUCACUUAAAAAAAUUCCAAACUAUUAAUUUAGUUCUCAAGUCUAUGCAGAAUGAGUCUAUACAUAACAAAUAUUAAAUCACUUGCCAAUUAAAUACAAAAAGUUCCCAAUUUUAUACCCUCAAACCGCCUCAAAAGGAAUUCUAGCAAAUAUAAGGAUAGAUCAAUCAUAUAAAUGGAAAAGCAGUUGGUAAUAUAUACUAUUUUUAUUAAUCUUUAAAAAAUUAGUUAACCUAUUGAUAAUGAUAAAUGUACAAUCUAUGAAGUAGAGAGAACAUGGAUGUUACUCGGACUUAGCCUUUAGUAUGGAUAGACCACUUAUAAAGGAUGAAGGUACUCGAUGGAUUAAAACAAGAAAACAAAUUUAGCAACAACAGUAAAAAGGUUGAGUCCCAAAGCUUAUUAUUGAUUUCACAAAAACCAGUAAUACCCCUUCUCUUUUUUCUCUUAGCCUUUGUUUGGCAAGCUGCUGUAAGUUUUCGAUGAGAUCUUUAAUACUGUCCUAGACAUGAUUUAUUCGAAAAAAAAUGAUUGGUAAACAUUUUUCUAAAAAUAGUUAUUUGCAUUGGUUAGAAUUUUCAUCGUCAACCGUAAUCUUUGCCCAAAUAUUUCCUUAAAUGAUAAAGUAUUUCUAAUCAAUUAAUUUUUACAAGCAAUAGAAGUGAAUUUUUUUAGAGAAAUAUUUCAAAUUAUUGAUUUGUGAAAUAUGCGCAUGUAGAAUAAAUGAUAAAGUAUUUCUCAUCAAUGAAUUUUUGCAAGCAAUAGAAGUGAAUAUUUUUAGAGAAAUAUUUCAAAUGAUUGGUUUUUCGUGAAAUAUGCACAUGUAGAAAUUAAAUGUUUUCAUCCAAUUGGUUAUUUUUAACAAAAGGUUCAUGUAUGAGCGUCACCAUUUUGUGGCCACACGUGCGGGCCAUGAAAAGCUGCUAACAAACGCUGUCGUCGGCUCCAACUCAUUGAUAGGGCCUCGCCUGGUUCAUUUUGGACAACUUUUCCGGACAAGCCCAGCCCAUUCAACAUCAAAGAUCAAAAAAGAAAAAAAAAGAAAAAAAAGAACUAAAACAAAUUCCACCUCUGCAGCACUAUGGACGCUAAAAAUGAGAAAUAAAAAAUAAUAAAAGUCAACAAAAUUCAGGAGCCAUCAAAAGCUUGAAAACCCGAAUUGGGCCAACCGAAUCGGAUCCUCGCAUUUUCUCAGGCACGAGUUAGAUGUGGCCGGUCCUAGGGAACUCGAGAUGCCAUUAGUAAAAAUAAGUGAAGCAGCAAUUAUUGUUGAAUGCAAUGAAACGUAAAGGAGUUACAAUGAUACACAGAUGAGAAUGAAGGCCAAUCAGAUUAGAUGAAAGUAUGUCAUAAAAUAUAUUUCAAAUUUAGUAACCGUAUUCACUCUAUUAAUGACACUUUGAAAUGGUUAUAUUUAUAAAAUAUCGCAUAAGCAUUGCAUAAAAUGAAAUUUGACAGGCUAUGAAAACACUACAAAGAAAAUUUCCACCUAUGACCAAUCAAGUGCACCCUGGUCUAGAAACUACCAUCUGGGAUUUGGGAACAAAUGAGAAAAAAUGAUUAGGAAUAAUACAAUGAAAGAUGUUGAGUUUUGAAGUGUCAUGUUAGACUUACACAGAUACAAAUAAAGCUGAAAGGAGUGGAGAGGAGGGGUUGAUAGUGAGUUAACAUGGAGAUACGUGGGAAUUGCAGAUUCUUCACGUUACAAAGUCAAUGACAUCAAACACUGUCUUUAAGAUGAUUAAAUACAAGUUUUCGAAUGGUAUUUUAUCAACAAAUUUGGAUGUUGAAGGGAAUUAGAUGUGGAUUUACAAAAGAAAAAAGAGCUUCCGUCAUAUUUCUAUUUUCAUUAACUCAGUUCAAAAAUAAAAAUGGAAGGAAAGAAACUUCCAAUUUAGCGAUUAUUAAUAGAUGGAUUACUAAAUUAUGAAAAUCUAAUUAUAUAUGUUAAGUUAAAUUAUGAUAUUUUGAGCAAAAUUUCUCAAAUGAUUAGAGCAUUUUGGUUUGGUGAUUAACAUUACUAAAUAAAGUUGCUCCAGACUUUAGAAAAUUCCAAUCCAUUUUUCAAAUCCGCGUAAGGACGGGGUCUCAUCACCCUUGCUUGACCAAUUUUUAGGAGCAUUGGCUAAAUGCUUUAUGAGAAAAAGAAGUAAUAGCUCUAGCAUUUUGUUGAGGGUAAAGAGCAAAAUCCCAUCAAAGUACAUUGAGAUGGAAAGAGAAAUUGUGUGAAUUCCGGUCCAUUUUUCAAAUCUAUGUAAAUACAAGGGUCUAGUAAAUACAAGGGUCUAGUUGCCCUUGCUUGACCAGUUCUUCAGGUAUCAGCCAAAUGCUUUAUGAGAAAAAGAGUAAUUACUCUAGCGUUUUGUUGGGGGUAAAAAGCCAAAAUCCCAUCCAAGAUUACAUCGAGAUGGAAACAUAAAUUGCAUGACCAAAGAAAAUUCCAAUCCGUUUUUCAAAUUUGUGGCACCUGCAAUUUCGAUACAACACUAGAAGAAAAUGAAGUUUUAAUGUAAUUUUGAAGUCCAAGUCAAAAUCUAUUUUUAGCUAAAGAAAACUACCUACUAAGAGAUAAUCACUAAGUGAAACUCACAAAAAAAGAAAAAAGAAAAAACAGAUGGCAUGCAUAAUUGUACCCCCUAGAUAUAAAUACUCAUUUCUUUUUUCAUCCUUUUAUGUUUGUCAUUAUUUUUUUAAGCGAAAGAGAAUCCAGCACCCAUCGUAGCAUUGAUAGAAUAAGACUAAAUUCGAUUUUGCAUUUGAAGUCAAGCAAACAAUGUCAUCAGACCAAAACAUCAAAACGAGCAUUCACUCACGGACAUUAAUCAGUCGACUCUUCUAGCCAAAGUUCGUACAUCAAAAAGACCGAUCGAGCAUAUUUGUCCACGAAAACAACCAAUGAAGAAGAGAUGCAACAAAAGAGUCUUCGACACCUCCAGCAUUUCCAUUCCCAUUAUAUCCAAAACAUUCGAGUUCCACAGUAUCAUGUAACUCCAUCACAAGUCAGAAAAGACAACAAACACCUCAAACCCAGGUCAAUUCCUAUUCAGACAGAUCCUUCCUCUUUCAGACACACUAGAAGCAUCCCCCACCAAAAAAAAAAAAAAAAAUACAGUAGAGAACUCAAAAAAAAAGCUGGUCAAUUAACAACAUAUGGUCUUUCGGAACCACGAAGCAGAAAAGAUAACAAACCCCUCAGACCCAGAUCAAUUCCUAUUCAGACAGAUCCUUACUCUUUCAGACACGCUAGAAGCAUCCCCCACCCAAAAAAAAAAAAAAAACAGUGGAGAACUCAAAGCGAAGCUGGUUAAUUAACAACGCAUGGUCUUUCAGAACCACGAAGCAGAAAAGCCCCAAUCCCAACUCUCUCCGCUGCUCCGGUUAGCAUUCGCCUUCUCUCUCUUGUGAAACAAAUCCGUUGAACAUAAACUCAAGGUGAGAGCCAAGAUCUCAACAUGUAUAGGAGCAAGCAGACAAUCAAAGCUCUAACGCCAAUUAGAGAAUGACCGAGAUUGGACUAGCCUCAUGACGGUUCUCGACCACCAAGUAACGAAUCAGUAAUCAUCCCUUAUGGUCGACAGUCAAAGAAAAACAUGCAAAUCACACUAGAAUACUCUCAGAUUGACUGAUAACAGAAGCAAAUCAAUACUGGAAGUCACUUGGGAAAAACAUCGAACACCUAAUGGACAUAAAAUUCGAAGUGCUUGGGACAGAAUACUCAACAAAUUAUCGAUGAGGAGUAUAGGGUGAGGUGUUCAUUUUAAACAUUACAAGACACAAAAUCAACGAAUCGGAGGACCGGCAUGCACUGAGACAUGCUUGACUAAAACCAAAAUAGAGCAUAGGAGAGGGAUACAUGGCUAGAGCCAUCACUAGUCGAGAUUGAUCGCCCGAAGGAGAGAGAUCGUAAUGAACAGUAAAGACGGGACCUAGAACCGUCAAAGGGAGGAAGAAACUAUUGGAAGAUACGCAGGAUAUUGGAGGAUAUGCAAAGAAUCAAUCAUUCUGAUAUUAUUGAAUCAAUCAAGAUCAUUCAAUAUCAAAUCUAAUCUGUAUAUUAUCUUAUUGCCUUUUCUUUACACAUACUUUGUACUACAAUAUCAUAUGUGUACACUAAGUUGAUAUACAGAAAAUUUCCCAACUUUUCUCUCUCGUUCCCUUUUCCUUCAACUUCUUUCAUGGUAUCAGAGCGGGUUGCGCACCUGUAAUCUGUCUCUUCCGCUUUGUUUUUUCUCUUAUGGUUUUCUAAUUGCCUGCCGGAAGAAUCAAGCUAACUUGCAAAAAGGGAUUAGCACUCCGACGUAGGAAUCAGCACCUUGAAGAGAUCAUAUUAAAACAGACGAAGGAAAAGAAAAAGGGGGAGCUUGCUACACCAUCAUGGCCGACAAUCAAGCUCAUUUACCUAUGGAUACAGCGACCUCAGAAGUAUAAGAUCUUGUGCAAAACAUCACAGGUCGGGCUAAUCAGCCCACAAUGGGGCAAUUUUUUCAAUGGCAACCCAAUCUGGGGCAGCCUUCUUCAAGGGCUUCUUACCAGUGGGUACCGAUGCCUAUAUAUUAUGGGCCAAGCCCAAAUAUGCCAUUUUCCAGAGGCCAGAUUCAAGAUGGCCCACCAGCCACAAGCGGGGCGGGCCAGUCAAAAACAAUCGGGUCUUCCAAUGCGGGCGAAAACGCUAACAGGUCAAGUGAUUCGAAUGCGGGAACUCGAGGAAGUUUCAAUCCAGAUCAGCAAGAAAAUCCCUACCUGGGAUUUCCACCCGGUUUCCUGCCGAUCUCCUUGGCGGCCACCAUGGGUCGCCCAGAACCCGGCAACGCACUGUAUGUCUCCAAUUCCAACAGGCCGGAGUUGCGGCUCAUCAGCCACCCUCUCACAGGACCCAAAAAUUAUUCAAGCUAAGCACUAGAGUUUCGGCGAGCACUAGUCACAAAGGACAAGGAAGGCUUCAUCGACAGGACUAUUCCGAUUUUGACCAACGAAAAAAUGGGGAGAUAGUGGAAAAAAUACAACCAGUUGGUUAGAAUGUGGAUAGGGAAUUGUAUUAGCCCAGAAAUCACCGUCGGUUUGCCUCCGACAGAAGAUUCAAAAACCAUUGGGGACGAUAUUAGAGAAAUGUACAGGAAGUUGGAUUAGGUGAAGAUUUUCUCAUUGCAUCAAGCUCUCAGUGAACUGAAGCAAGGAAACAUGUCCGUGACGGCAUGCUUCAACAAGCUUUUAGCCCUUUGGAACGAGCUGGAAGCCGCCGAAGAAAAACUUCAAGGGCUCAAGAUAACCCUUCGACAAUACAAAGAGAUGAAAGAUAGGGAGAAGGCUACUUGAUUUUUACUGAUUCUUAACGAAUCAUUUCUUACCUUCAGGUAGCAAAUAUUGGCUAUGGAGCCAGCACGCACUCUCGGCCGAAUCUUCCAACUGGUUGUGCAAGAAGAAAGCCAAAGACUCUCCUCGUCAGACAGCAAGGCCAGCAAAACCCUAGUGCUGGCGGCAAGAAUUGAGAGGGGGGAGAAAACCCUAGCAAAGAAGAAUGACCCGUCGCUAAGGUUCCUUGAGAAGCGAGUUUUUAAAGCCUUUUCGAUGGAUGGUCAAGAUCGAGGGCAGCGAUCUAACGGUUCACAAGGCGCGCGGUAUGUGACUGAUCUGGACGGCAUAGAUGCAUCUGGGUCUAAGGGAUCGAACGGCCCACUUUUUUCGAAAACUUAUGGGCAGAAUUUUAAAAAUAAGGGAAAAUUGUUUUGUGAUUUUUGCAGGCGGGCCCACCACACAAUUCAAAAUUGUUGGAAAAUACAUGGCAGACCUAGAGAAAAGGAAAGAAAGGAAAGGAUAUAUCAGCAGCCGCCUCCGCCUAUCAAAUUACGGGAUCGACGGACCAGCCUAUCACACAUGGGGAAUAUUAGCAAUUAAUGCGGGCAUUACAAAAAUUGGACGUUCAAAAAAGGAGAAGCAACUUCAUAGGUAUUUCUUGUUGCCUAAGAAAUUCUAUAUCAAGAAAUGCCUGGAUUAUUAAUUCGGGAGCCAGUGACCAUAUAACAUGUGAUAAAGGAUUAUUUUCUAUUAUUCAUGAAGAAUUAGAUAGUCCUAUUACUGUGCAAUUACCAAACGGAAACAUUACUCAUGUUACUACAAUAGGCACAGUCACUCUUAACUCCCAAAUUGUUCUAAGCCAUGUCCUUUAUGUCCCGGAUUUUCAAUUCAAUCUUAUUUCUGUGUCUAGAGCAUGUAAGGAAAAUUCAUGUCAAGUACUAUUCAAUGCUUAUACCUAUUUAUUUCAAGCCAUUUCGACUGGGAAACUGAUGGGCUGGGGUAAUCUCUCUGAAGGAUUGUUUUUCUGGAAAAGCUUGCCUAAAAUUCUUGUUAAUUUUCCUUAUAAUAAAUCAUUGUGUAAUUUGACUACCAAUGAUAGAAAAUUCCUUUUGCAUUCCAGAUUGGAGCAUAGUUCUUCUUUUCCCUAUCCUCAGUGUCAUAUUUGUCCACUUGCAAAACAGUCGCGUAGUCCUUUUCCUUUAAGCAAAAGUUGUACAAACAACAUUUUCUCCUUACUGCAUAUUGAUGUCUGGGGUCCAUAUCAUACACCGAACCAUGAUGGGUCUCGGUUCUUCCUUACUAUUGUGGAUGAUCAUUCUAGAGCCACAUGGAUUUUUCUCAUGUAAGUUAAAGGUCAAGUUUUGUCCCAAUUAAGAACUUUCAUUUCUUUGUCAAAAACCCAGUUCGGGAAAACUAUCCAAAGAAUAAGGACAAAUAAUGGAAAGGAAUUUUUCAAUCAUGAAUGUGUUGCUCUAUUUUCUUCACAAGGAAUAUUACAUGAGAGCUCAUGUGUAUAUACACUACAACAAAAUGGAGUGGUGGAACGAAAGCAUCAUCACCUGUUGGAAGUUGCAAGGGCUUUGAAAUUUCAAGCUUAUAUUCCAAAUAAUUUUUGGGGAGAUUGUGUAUUAGUUGCAGCUUAUUUGAUAAACCAUAUGCCAUCUAAAAUACUAGACGGACGAACUCCCUUUGAGUUACUUUUUGGGAAGAAGCCAGACUUGGAUCACCUGAAAAUCUUCGGUUUUCUAUGCUAUGCCACAAUCGUGGGACCUAGGGAUAAGAUGGGUCCUCAAACUCGCAGUUGCAUAUUCAUGGGAUAUCCCAAUUUACAAAAGGGAUACCGGGUAUAUGAUCCUUCUACAGGGGAAUUUUCAGUUAGCAGAGACGUUUUAUUCUAGGAAAAUAUUUUUCCAUUUGCCACUCAGAAGUCAAGCAUAGAUGGCACUGGAAAUUUUCAUAUAUCUCAUAUCGAGGAACCAAUCGAAGAUCCCGGUUAUGUCUUCCUUCCCUCAUCAGUCGAUACAAGGAACUCCUCUACUUCAAGUACCAACUUGACACCCUUAAUGGAAGCUGCCAAUGAAAGCCCGGAUGAUGUGAUCCUUUCAAAUUCACCUCCUAUGGAAGAUCCAACUACUCAACUUCCCCCAGAGACUGAACCACCGCGGCGUUUCAGACGGGCCACACGUCCACCUACUUGGACAAAAGACUACUACAUAUGUGGUGUCAGGAAUUCACCAGGUAUUCAUUUCGCCAUUUCCUCUUAUGUUUCCUUCUAUAAAUUAUCUCCCGAACAUAGAUGUUGCAUUGCUCACAUCUCCGAAGAGCAAGAAUCAACCAAUUUUGAUGAAGUAAGCAGUGAUCCGCGAUGGCAGAAAGCUAUGGAAGCAGAAUUGACGGCCUUAAUAGAUAAUCACACCUGGGAUCUUGUUACCCUACCCCCGCAUCGCAAGGCAAUUGGAUGCAAAUGGGUAUAUAAGAUCAAAUAUCGGGCAGAUGGAUUGAUCGAACGGUACAAGGCUUGAUUGGUGGCAAAGGGUUUCACAUAGCGGGAAGGUUUUGACUAUUACAAAACAUUUUCCCCCAUAGCCAAAGAUGUCACCGUCCGCUCAUUUCUUUCAGUAGCGGCCUUCCAGGACUGGUCAUUACAUCAAAUGGACGUUCACAAUGCUUUCUUGCAUGGAGAUCUAGAAGAGAAGAUCUAUAUGGAAGUGCCACAAGGUUUACGGAGACAAGGGGAGAAUAAAGUAUGUCGUCUCCGCAAAUCCUUGUAUGGACUCAAGCAAGCUUCCAGACAGUGGUACGUGAAAUUUGCUGAGUCAUUGAUAGCUGCCGGUUUUCAACAAUCCAAGUUUGAUUAUGCCGUUUUUACAUGGACUCAAGGUACGUCAUUUAUUUACUUGAUGAUAUACAUAGAUGAUAUUCUUAUUAUGGGUAACAACGAAGUAGCUAUCUAGGGUUUCAAGGAAUAUUUGCAUUCUACCUUCCACAUUAAAGACCUAGGUCCUCCAAAAAAUUUCAUUGGAAUUGAAAUUACACAAUCAGACCAAGGUAUCUCCCUCAGCCAGAGGAAAUUUGCUCUAGAAACUAUUUCAGAAGCAGGUUUAUUGGGAUGUAAGCUAGCAGUGAUACCAAUUGAGCAAAAUACCAAACUAACUACAGCGGAUUAUGAUGAUGGACUAUCUCAAGAAGAUGAUUCCAUUCUCAAGGAUCCAUUGGGCUAUUAAAAACUUGUUGGGAAGCUCAUAUAUUUGACCAUGACCAGGCCAGACAUAAGUUAUGCUGUGUAGACGCUCAGUCAAUUUAUGCACAAACCCAAGCAGUCUCAUAUGAAUGCUGCACUGAAAGUGGUGAAGUACUUGAAGAAAUGUCCUGGACUUGGUAUUCUUCUUUCCAGGAAAUGUGACAUGAGGAUGACUGCAUAUUGUGACGCAGACUAUGCAACCUAUCCAAUGAGCAGAAGGUUGUUGACACCUAAAUUUUGACUAAUCAUUUAGUAAUUAAUUGCAUAAAAAAUUUAGGGAUUAAUCUUUAAUCCCUAGAAAAAAAUAGUAAAAUUGCAUUUCAUGUAGUCACAUUUGCAUCGGUACCAAAAGGCAACAAGAAGCAGGGGCUCGCGAUCAAAGGGAUGGUCUCUCUCCACUGGUCUGAGCACGCAAAAGAGCGAAAGUCAAAAAAAGAGGAAGUUCUUGCACAUCCGUUGUCUCUCCCUCUUUAAUGCAUGCGCAUGCACGCACAAAUUCGGCGGACGUGCGGAUACUAGAGGAAUCCUCAGAGAAGCAAAAUGAGCCCAUGAUAUAAUAUUAUAUAAUAUGCUCUCUCUCAAGUGUGGGUUGUCAAGAGAAGCAACGAGAAAUUUGCUAAAGGAGGAAGGAAAUAAUAAAUAAGAAAAGUCAAAAGUUGCGGCAAUCCUAUAGAACGGAGGGACAAGUAGCCGCACAAGAAGUCCCAAGCAUGAAGAAGAAAGAAGAAUCCAACGUCCAUUUUCUCCCCUCUCAUUAAUGCAUGCACAUGCACGCAUGGAAUGGGGGACGUGAAAAUUCUACAAAGUCUGCAAGAAGAUAGGCUCAUAAUUUUAUAAUAUCUUAUAGUGAGUUGUUGCGAGGAAUUCUCUCUUUCCUGGAGAGCAAAUCGGCUGGAGAAGAAAGAAGUUCCUACACGUCCUUUGUCUCUCGCUCAUUAAUGCAUGCACAUGCAUACACACAAUUCGGCAGACGUAAGGAGCCUCAAAGAAGCAAAAUGAACUCAUAAAAUAUUAUAAAAUAUGUGGGUUGUCAGGCGGUGGCCACCAUAUUUGAAAAAAAGAGAGCCGAACGUGUGACCAGCAAGGAAAAGUUACAGCUGCCUCCUGUUCACCUGUUCACACUAAAGACGGUUGUUGCCUAUAAAUAAGCAAGGACCCUUGGGGAAGGAGGCGGAGGACGAAAAAUUCAUUCGGGGGGGAAGCUAAAAAAGUAUUCAUUGUGAAGGGGCUUCUCCUUCGGACAAGAAAAAAUGAAGUCAGGGGGGAUGUUAAAAAAAGAGAUGAAUAGAGUCUGUCAGAGAAAAAACCGAAAAGAAGACGUGAGGAGAGAGAGAGAGAGAGGGAGAGACAAAAAUAAAAGAAAAAGGCGUGCACUGUGCUUCUUCUUCGUGGGUUCCUUCUUCUCAAAACCGCACGCCGUUCCGCUGCUGCCCAUCGCGCGUGCGCCGCACUGCCGCUCCGCCACCUCUGCGCCGCCGGUCUCCUUGCGCUACCACGUCUCUGCCCGCCGUCUUGCCUGCCGCCGGAACCCUCCUCCGCCCGCGAGCUUGUGUCGCUGCUCCUGCCCAGAAGCCCGCGUCGCGCCAUCGCCGUACCGCUAGUCGCCGUUGUCCCUCUCUCCGUGCCUGCGCCGCCCCCGCGUCCACCACCGCUGCUGUUGACGCCAGCCACCGCGAGCUCCGCCUCUGCUCCGCACCCCUGCUCGCUCGUCCAUCGCCAGCAACGCCCCUGCAGCCGAGCAACCGCACGUCCCUCUGCUCGCCCUCCCCGUUGCUGCACCGAAGUUACUCGUCCAAGCCGGUGCUCACAUCACCGCCCUCAUUGCUGUUGCCACCGCUCGCCGGAAUCCAGCUCGAUGCCAUGAGCAGCAACGACACUAUUACCAAUCUUCUACCGGUGAACGCUGCUCGACGCUAUCCCUCGGCAAAGACGACAGUGCUGCUGAAUCCAACUCUGGAAUGUCGCCACUGUCCACCUGAAUCCGUCGUGUCCUUGUUACUUUCAUAAGCCCGAGGAGCUGUCGUGAAUUCCCCCUUGUCCGUGACGAAGAGGUCGCUGCCCAACUGAGUUAGCAACCUUCAUGUGCUUUUAUUUUGCAGAUACCUCCACCUGCAGCGAAUUCCAAAGUCACGUGCUCUGGGGAGGGAAGAUAAUAAAAGGAAAAAGAGCAAAACAGCAAAAAGGUGAAGGUGGGAAUUAGUGGAGACCCAUUCACGAAAAGAAAUACACGUGUGUGGACCCCAUUGAGCUACGAGCACUUCUUGCUAACAAGCCAAUCAGCUCGAACCAAACACUGCAGCUUAUCCCAAACCACCCGUAGAGCCUCUGGCAAGCAACUGAAUCACAGGUCCCCAAGCUUCGUGGCCGUGUAAUCGCUGCCGUUCGGGAGUCCCUUGCCGCCGGUCCCGUUUUGGAAACGAAUCAUCUAAACUAGGUAGUUUUCUUGAACCAAAUUAGAUAGAUUUAUUUUAUUUUCUUCAUUUGAAAUAUUUCUUGAUGCAUGAUUGAAAUCCCCGACGUAUCACCUAAUUCGCAACUGCACAAUGAUUUUUUAUUUCAUCUAUAAGGCUUUAGAUGGAAUAAUUAAUCACGCGGGAAUAAAAUUGAUAUCUUGGUCUUUAAGGCUUAAGAUCAAUUUAUUGAUUUUAUUAGCGAAACAACCAUGGAGGAUUUUGUGUUUCUUAAUUGCUUUAUUUAUUUCAAAAAUACAAAAAAAAUUGCAUUUGCAUUUCAUGUAGAUUAGAAUUGAUUUUCCUAGAUAAAAUUACAUGAUAAAAUAGAUAGUUUUUUAAAAAUGCAUGUUUAGAUGGCAUCUAGGUUAGAUAAAAUCUUUUGAAUUAAAUUGCAUGAUGAGAUAAUUUUCUAAGUUGAGAUAGGAGUUAGAUUAGUCUAAUCCUAACUUAAAAUAGAUAAUGUCUCGCUUUAGUUAGAUUUUUUAUAUUUUAGCAAUUUUAAUUACGAAUUUUCAUUAAAAAAAAUCAUGUGCAUGUCAUGUAGAAUUAGGUUCAUGAAAUGUACGACAUUUAGUAAUUAUCGCUAGGUUCAUUUAAUUAGAAAUUGCUCGUCAUUAGAAUUAGGCCAUUUGGUUAAUUUAGAUUGCACAUUUAAUUAUUGGACAAUUUUCAUUUCGAAUUUCAUGAAAAAAUACCAAAAAGAAUUGUCUUAGAAUUAAUUUUAUUCUCUAGGAUAUAUUGCAUGCUUAUUAAGAAAACACAAAAACAUCUCAUUUGCAUCAUAUAGUUUAGGCCAUAUUAUCAUGUCAUAUUAUUCCAUGUUAGAUUAGUAGCAUGCAUUGCAUAUUGCAUGAUUUUUAUUAAAUAAGUGAAAACAAAAAAAGAAAUUUGCUUGCUAAUUAGAAAUCAUAUCUAGAUCUGUUGAUGUGAAUUCUAAUUUAACAAUGCAGAUGCUUUCGUUGCUACGAGGUAAGUCCCCGCAUUUCUUUUAUUUAUUUGCUUUCCUUGGGUGUUAAAUUGGUGGAUUGCGCACCCGCAUGAUCACAUCACAUGUUAGGGAAAUUGAUUUAAAAUCAAUCCAAAACUGCCUGCAAAAACAUUUUUGAAAAUAAAAGAAUGGUACCGAAAGGGCAUUAGAGAAAUCUAGUACAACCAAGUCCCCGAACUCACAAUCUCUGGUUCGUAGGAGUGAAGAAUUCUCCCAUUACUUUACUUGGGUUUCUAAUCGACCCACCAAAAAUAGAUUAGUGGCGACUCCAUGAUAAACAUCAUUUGCAUAUUAAGAACUUGAACCUAAGUCGCGAAUUGGUAUGGGCUUGGGAGAGCCCGAGUUAAGUCUAGGCUUAACAAUCCAUUAGCCGAACCCUUAGGUGGUCUAACCCGCUUCGGGGAGGUCGCGACAAAGGUCCAUAACCGGUUUCUGUAUUAAGUUAGGGGAUUCCUUACUUUCCUAGAAGACGAAGAAACAACCAACCGUUUCUUUAUUCUCAGCAGAGACAGAAUAUCGUGCCAUGGCUAAAAUCACAUGUGAAAUAGUGUGGUUACGAGGAUUACUUCAGGAUCUUGGGGUACAAGUUGAAGGACCAACAAAGUUAUUCUGUAACAAUGAUGCAGCCCUCAAACUUGCGUCAAAUCCCAUUGUGCAUGAAAGAACGAAACAUAUAGAAGUAAACUGUCAUUUCACUCGAGAGAAAAUCCAACAAGGAAUGAUCGAGAUACAAGGGAUUGGAACAGAAGAACAACCGGCAGAUGUCUUCACCAAACCCUUAUGUCAAAUACAGCAUGCGUAUCUCUUGAGCAAGCUGGGCGUCUUGGACAUCUACAAGCUACCAGCUUGAGGGGGAGUGUUGGAAGAUACGUAGGAUAUUAGAGGAUAUGCAAGAAUCAAUCAUUCUGAUAUUAUUGAAUCAAUCAAGAUCAUUCAAUAUUAGGUCUAAUAUGUAUAUUAUCUUGUUGCCUUUUUUUCACACAUACUUUGUACUAUAAUAUCAUAUGUGUACACUGAGUUGAUAUACAGAAAUAUACAUAAAAUUUCCCAACUUUUUUCUCUCAUUCCCUUUUCCUUCAACUUCUUUCAGAAACAAAGACUGUGUACUUCAGUAGCGAUGGCUCUAAAAUAGGGGCGAACGGAGCCUCUUCACGACCAAGGAACUAGUGGCGAUCAUGCGACUACCGGUGGUUGAAAUUGACGCAACUAAGAGGGGAUUUUUUCGUGUUGCUUGGAUGGAUGUACUAGAAGAAGUGAAGCUCAUCUCACAUAUGGAUUGGUACGUGGAAAAGGGACUUUUUAGCAAUAUGCAAGUACUAGUUUAUGUUAUACAUCAAACAACCAUUUGAAUAAUAAUUUAAUGAAAUAAGUUCCACGGAGCUUUGAUUUUUUUUUUUAUUAUAUAUUCUGUUAAUGCUUAUUAGCAUAAUUAUGUACAUAAGAUAGAAACUUGAAUUUGUAUAAAUACGUUUUAAGAUUAAUAUACUAUGUAGGAUAUUAUGAUUAUAUACUGUAGCAUUAUACUGUAGCUAAAUUUUGGAGCAUGGCUUUUCUCUUUAUGCGCUUUGCUCGUGGACAUUGCACAUUCCCCGCAUUACCCCCACUGUUUAUUAUUAUUAUUAUUAUUAUUAUUAUUAUUAUUAUUAUUAUUAUUAUUAUUUUUUACUUUGGACAAAUUAUCUUAACCAUUAUAUUUUUCUUGCAAUAAUAUACAACCAAUUGACCUAUCUAAUGCAAAAAAUAAACUCAGCAUUGUCUAAGACUGCGGGGGACCUUCCAUCUUCAUUUCAAUUCCCUCAUUUACACUUCCAUCUUCCAUAUAUAUAUAUAUAUAUAUAUAUAUUUUUUUUUUGCUUUUUCAUGAUUAUUUUCCCGGUAUAGUGACUUUUGAUUUUCUGAAUAAUAGUGACAACUCAUUAACUACCAUAUAACACACUUUCGUGCUUUAGUAAAACAAAAUCAUAAAGCACCUAUAUUCAAGGGGAUACGCACCUAUGCCUCUAUAUAUUCUUUGAGUGUUGCUUUUUCUUGUUCUAUCACGUUAUUGUAUUGCUCCUAAUUCUAAAAUAACGUGAUGGUACUUUUGUUAUUCCCUUUAUAAAUAAUUAUUAUAAAAUUUAGUUCCCGAGUCUAUGCAUAAUAAGUCUACACAUAACAAAUAUUAGAUCUCUUGCUUGUUAAAUACACAAAGUUUCCAAUUUUAUACCCUCAAACCGGCUGAAAAGAAAUUCUAGCAAAUAUAAAGAUAGAUCAAUCAUGCAACUGGAAAAGCAGUUGGUACUUAUACUAUAUUUAUUAAUCUUUAAAAAAUUAGUUAACCUAUUGAUAAUGACAAAUGAAUAAUCUAGGAAAUUGAGAGAACAUGGAUGUUACUCGGACUUAACCUUGAGUAGGAUAGACCAGUUAUAAAGGGUAAAGGCACUGGAUGCUAAAAACGAGAAAACGAAGCUUGCAGUAACAGUAAAAAGGAUGAGUUUCAAAGCUUAUUAUUGAUUUUUUUUUUUUUUGCAAAAAAAACUAAUGAUUUGUGAACAUUUUUCUAAAAAUAGUUUUUUUUUUUGUUAGAAUUUUCAUCACCAACAAUAAUCUUUGCUCAAAUAUUUUCUUUAAUGAUAAAGUAUUUCUCAUUAAUUAAUUUUUACUAGCAAUAGAAGUGAAUAUUUUCAGAGAUAUAUUACAAAUGAUUGAUUUUUCGUGAAAUAUGUGCAUAUGGAAAUCAAAUGUUUUCAUCAAAUUGGUGAUUUUUUUAACUAAGGGUUUACAUAUGAGCGUCGCCGUUUUGUAACCGCGCGUGCGGGCGACGAAAAGCUGCUAACAAACGUCUGCGUCGGCUUCAACUCAUUAAUAGGACGCGCGGCCAUUAAACGGUGGCAACAAACGUCGGUGUCGGCUCCAACUCAUUGAUAGGGCCUUGUUCGGUUCAUUUUGGGCAGCUUUCACAGACAAGCCCAGCCCAUUCAACAUCAAAGAUCAAAAUGAAAAAUAAAAAAUAAAUAAAAGAACUCCACCUCUCCAGCACUUGGGAUACUGAAGAUGAGAAAUAAAAAAUAAUAAAAGGUUAACAAAAUUCAUGAGCCAUCGAGAGCUCGAAAACCCAAAUCAGCCUGACUGAAUCGAACCCCGUAUUUCUCAGGCACGAGUUAGAUGGGGCCAGUCCUUGGGCACAUUUUUCUAAUUUUGAUAUUAGGCUUGCUCAGGCAACGAGCCUCGGGGACCCAAGAUGCCAUUAGCAAAAAUAAGUGAAGUAGCGAAUAUAAUUAAAUGCAAUGAGACGUAAAGGGCAUACAAAGAUAUGCAAAUGAGAAUGAAGGCCAACCAAUGUCGAUGAAAGCAUGGUAUAAAGUAUAUUUUAAGUUUAGUAACUACAUUCACUAUUUUAAUAUGACACUUUACAACAAUUACAUGUAUAAAAUAUGGUUUGCUCAUCAUAUAUCUACCUAUAUACUUUCAUUAGAAAUUGGAAUUUGACAGGCCAUAAAAUCACUACAAAGCAAAUUUCCACGUGGGACCAAUCUAGUGCUCCCUGGUCCACAAAUUGCCAUAAGGGAUUUGGGAAAAAAUGAGAAAAUAUGAUUAGGAAUAAUAUAAUGAAAGCUGUCAAGUUUUGAAGCUUCGUGUCAAAGAUUUGCACAAACACAAAGUAAGCUGAGAGAGGAGAGGAGUGGUCGAUAGUGAGUUAACAUGGAGAUAGGUGGGAGUUACAGAUUCUUUACGUUAGAAAGACAUUGACAUCAACUGUUGCCUUUAAGAUGAUUAAAUACGAUUUAUCAAAUGGUGUUUACCAACAAAUUUAGAGGUUGAAGGAAUUUAGAUGUGGAUUUACAGAAAGAAAAAAAUAUAUAUGUGGAAAGGAAAAAGAACUUCCAUCAUGUCUCUAUUCUAAUAAACUCAAUUCAAAAAUUAAAAAAAAAAUGAAAAGAAAUGGAUGAAUUACUAAAUUACGAAAAUCUGAUUAUAUAUGUUAAAUUAAUUUAUGGUGUUUUGAAUGAAAUUUCUCAGAUGAAUAGAACAUUUUGGUCUAGUGGUUAAUAUUACCAUAUAAAGUUACUCUAGAUUUUAAAAGAUUCCAAUAUGUUAUUCAAAGCCACAUAAAUACAAGGGUCAAGCCGCGUCACUUGACCAAUUUUUCGAAAUAUUAGCUAAAUGCUUUAUGAGAAAUAGAAGUAAUUAGUCUAGCGUUUUGUCGGGGUAAAGAGGCAAAAUCUCAUCCAAGAUUACAUCAAAAUGGAAAGAGAAAUUGAGUGAAUGGGCCAACUUUCUUUUCCAUCGUCCUUAUCUUACUUUUUGAAUGGAACAUUUUGGUCUAGUGGUUAAUAUUACCAUAUAAAGUUACUCUGGAUUUUAAAAGAUUCCAAUGUGUUAUUCAAAGCCGCGUAAAUAAAAGGGUCAAGCCGCCUCGCUUGACCAUUUUCGAAAUAUUAGCCAAAUGCUUUAUGAGAAAAAGAAGUAAUUAGUCUAGCGUUUUGUCGGGGUAAAGAGGCAAAAUCUCAUCCAAGAUUACAUCAAGAUGGAAAGAGAAAUUGAGUGAAUGGGCCAACUCUCUUUUCCAUCGUCCUUAUCUUACUUUUUGAAUGGAACAUUUUGGUCUAGUGGUUAAUAUUGCCAUAUAAAGUUACUCUGGAUUUUAAAAGAUUCCAAUAUGUUAUUCAAAGCCGCGUCAAUACAAGGGUCAAGCCGCCUUGCUUGACCAAUUUUUCGAAAUAUUAGCCGAAUGCUUUAUGAGAAAAAGAAGUAAUUAGUCUAGCAUUUUGUUAGGGUAAAGAGGCAAAAUCUCAUCCAAGAUUACAUCAAGAUGGAAAGAGAAAUUGAGUGAAUGGGCCAACUCCCUUUUCCAUCAUCCUUAUCUUGCUUUUGGAUCAAAGAAACAUAAAUUUGGUCAAGGUCUUGCCACUUACUUUUUGUAAUAGACAUCCUUGUCAAAAAGGUAAAGCUUUACCCGGGUUUUAUCGCAAGAGGCCAAGACGAAUUGGGAGAAAUCCGGGUCAAGCUAUAAUGGGCAUCCCUAUCCAAAAAGCAAAGCAUUUCAUGGCUUUUGUUGCAAGUGACCAAAAGGAUUGGCUCAAAUUAUGCAUGAAUCCCUACAAGAUGAAGUAGGCUUUUAAACUUUCAACAUUAUAUCAGUUUGGUGAAAAAAUAUAACAUAAUAUAUUCAAUCCAACUAAUAAGUUCAACUUAUCAAUUUACAGGUUUGAAUAUGUUGCGUUAUUGGUUUAUCUAUUUAGUUAUAUUCGGUUGAGGAAAAUUAAUAAAAUUUGCAACAUCUUUAAUUGGUAAUUUUAAUAGAUUUAGUUAAUACACUAAUGAGUAAUGGGCAACAUUGUACUCUCGAAAUAACUAUUCAAGUAGUAAUCAUUUCGAAGGUUGAUUUUACUUAUGAAUCAUUGUCAAAUGGAAAUCACCGCAAACAAUCCACCUGUAUUUUGUAGACUCCACCAAUUAUCUCCCCAAGCCAUAGAGGUGACACUAAUUGAGAUCCAAUCUGCACAUCCAAAGGAAUGUCCGUGCAAAAUGAUGAAGUCGUUAGGGGGAAGCCAUCAUAUCGUGUGGCUUAUGAGGAAAUUAAACGGCACAGGCAAACAUAACGUGACAACUUGGAAUUUGAUGUCUUUAACAAUUUCAUUGCCAUUCGUUAACCUAAUGCUUAUUAAAAAUUAAAAAAAUCUUUAUUUGACUACUUCAGGUGUCCACCGUGAAUUACUGUAGCUCAUUUUUUUUGUUUUUUGUGUGAAUUACUGGUUUCACCAUGCCGAACCGGACUAGACCAGAUUAGACCAAAUUGGUCGGUCGGUCUGGUUCUCGAUUCCAGGACCGGUCGGUCUGGUUCCCGAUCCCAGAAUCUAAGAACCAGUCCUCCUAGUCCGUUUCCCAGUUCCACCUCAGAACCGGACCGAACUGGGAACUAAUUAGUCCUAGGCAUGAUAGUUAAAAGAUACUUUUAUUUAAUGUGUUGCACGAACUUAAAAGACUAAGUAUUUUAUAGAAUGUUAGGCAAUUUUGCAUUCAUCAAUACUUCCAGUUGAUUUUAAGGUAUUUUGGAUGUACACAUGUAUUGUCUUGAUUGCUUUAUUUAAUCGAUCAAAUUGCCUUAUUUUGCCUUUAAAGAGUCCAAACAAAUGCCAAUUUAUUUGAUAUUUCUUGGCAAAACAACACUAACACUAAAAAUUAACAAUAUCAAACCUUAGUUAUUUAUCUCUCUCUUUUCUUUUCUUUUUCUUUUUUGGCGAAGUAAUUCCUGGGCACAUUUUUUUUGUUGAUUUGCCAAUUAUAAUUUUUUUUUAUCAUUUUAUAAUCUUCAACUUUCUCUUUUGGAGAAGUUCUAGGUCAAGUCAACAACGAUAAAAACAUGUUCCUUGGAAUUAGCCCCUGCAGACUUGACUUUACCCAUGGUUGUUUAUGGAAUUGGCCCAACCGUGAUGAUCACUCAAAGGGGAAAGACUCUGCACAUAUAAAUGAAGUUUACACAUGGUGAAGCAGAAGAGACAUAUAACGCACAAAACACCAUUAUAAACAUGAAGUGUCUUUCAUUGUGUACAUGGACUUGGGUAUUGCUGGUUUUGAUGGAAAGUGGAAGAAGCAUGGGUUGCUUGGAAGAAGAGAGGAAUGCACUGCUUAACAUUGAGGUUGCCUUCAAUUGGUCUUCUACUAUGUCAUGGCGCAAUAGCCAUAGUGACUGCUGUGGCUGGCAACGCGUGAAGUGCGGUAACACCACUUCACGGAUAACUGAACUAAAUCUAUGGGAUGUAGUGGAGUCGAUGGAAAUAGAAAAGCCCGUUAUUGACGCCACUUUAUUCCUUCCUCUGGAGGAACUUCAAGUGUUGGAUUUAAGUUCUAAUUCUCUCUCGGGUAAAUCUCUCUCUCUCUCUCUCUCUCUCUCUCUCUCUCUCUCUCUCUCUCUCUCUCUCUCUCUCUCUCUCUCUCUCUCUCUUAUUUGUUUCUCUUAGUUAUUUGUUUCAUUUUUCUUAUUUCAAUUAUGUUUCUAAGCAAUCGUUUACUUUUUGAACAAUGAAAAAAUGUCAUAUUGUGGUGCUAUAAAGUAUAAAAGUGAAUUGGGUGAAUUAAUAACAAACAUAUGAUUACACAAAUGAUGCAAUUCUUAAAGUAGUUGAUUGCACAUAUCAUAAAUUAAUUAUGAGACUCAUCUCCAAGAUGAUGAUAAGUACGAAGAACAAACAAUAGAAUUAGCUCAAUAAACAAUGAUUUACCAAAUUGCAACCUUUUUUUUUUAAUAAAAAGUAGAAUGGUUUGAAUUUUUCACCCCAACAAUUUUGCACUUGUUUGGAAGUGGACCAAAAUCUACUUAAUAGUUUUAUUUGUGUCUAUCUCUUUAGAUUCAAAAUAAGAAAAAAAAAAUCAAGUUUAUCAUUCUACAUAUCAACGUUUACAUUUUUGGAAAGGUUUUGAGUGUUUAUGAUAAAUAAAAAUCAAAUUGUGAGAGCCAUAAGAUUUACAAAAGAUAACAGAAAAAUUGAAAUUAAAAAUCACGAAAAGUAGAUUGGCAGCGAGGAUUAAUUUAGAGGGAAGAGAAAGGAUAUUAAAAGGUAGUGUAAUGGUUAGAUAGAGGGAAAGAAAUGGAGCAGAAUAAAAAAGAUUAGAACAUAUCAAGAGGAAUUAUAUAUAGCUAUCCGUCCUUUAUAUUCCUCAUAUAAAGGGAUUUGGAGGGAUUGAGGGCACUGAUACUUUUAUUAAACAAUUUUUUUCUUUCCCACAUUUACAUUUGAUUUAUUUCAAAUUAUAAAUACUUAAAAUUAUAUAUACAUAAAAAUACAAUAAAGAGAUAACACAUUAUUCAUUUUCCUUUUUUUUUCCUUUUUCUUAUUUUAUCUUAUAAUUGUUUGUAUUUCUUAUUUUCUAUUUUGGUUACAUCUUCUGACAUCUAUAUUUAUAUGAAUGCAUGGACUCAUGCCUGGUCAAAGAAGGUCCCAGGACACUUUACCCAUCAUGCAUCUAGACAUGCAAGAAAAUUAGAAAACCCGUUAUUAAUGCUCUCUAGGUCAACCUUUUAGAUAAGGAAAGUCACAUUUAGGUACGUGUGUUUUGGGGACGAUAUUUUCUAAAUAUUAAUUUUCUAAACCAAUAAAGUGAAUUCCAAAAUCUAAAAUGAUGAAAACACUUUCCAAAAUUACUUCUCUCAAAUUGUUUGAUAUUUUUAUUUUCUUUUCUUUUUCCUUUACUCUACUCACGUGCCGACAACUGGCGAGGGUCGACCUCAUCGAGAUUGGGUGAGCUCAAGCUCGCUAGUCUUUAAUAGAGGUCAUCGAGGUGGAGCCUUGCUAGCUUGUGCCUAUGGUCGGUUGCUGAGGCUCCGGACCAGUAGAGGGAGAAGGAAAUGAAAAGAUUAUUUAAAAAUUCAAAAAAAUUGCUUAAAAUGAAGUCAUGAGAUUAAAAUCAUUUUUCAAAUGCAAUUCAAAUACCAAAAAACAUUUUCGGUCACAUGUUACCAAAUAAAGAAAAAUUAAAUAUUUUUUUGGAAAAUGUUUUUCUUGGACAAAAAAACAUUUUGUUUUACCGUAGAGUUUUUCUCGAAACAAAUGCUCGAGCAAAUAAUGGGAUAUUAUACAAAUAGCCAUAAAAAAAAAAGGAAAAUAGAUUAUCCAUGGAUCGAUAUUAGGGGUGUCAAAAACCGAACCAAACCAAAAAGAUAUGACCUAUUUAUUUACAUAUUAUACCCACACUCAAAGGAGAAAAUAUUGUGUGGGCCAGCUCGUCCACGUCACUACGGGGCCGGCCCACUCAAUGAUCAAAUGUGGUGUCUAGGAUCCACUUUCUCUCCCUCUUUAGUGACGCUCCUAUAGUAUCGAUCUCUUCGACUGUACGACACUCUUUCCCCUCUCUUUUGCACCUUUCCAGAGAAAGAUUGAAGCCUAAUUUUUUUAGAGAUACUCUUCGCUCCCAAUAACCCCACAAGUCGCAUCCCGAACUCAAAAUCGCUGCCUCUACCUACGAUACUCUCUCUCCUCCCUAGUUGUCCGUUUAUCACCACCUCGCUCCCUUCCACCACCAAAGCCAAUCAUCCUCACUUCCGCCAAGCUACAGCUUGUCCUUACCAUUGUCUACCUCGAGCUCAGUUGGCGCCCUCAAACCUCAGAUUUUGGAUCUAAGCUCGAGUGAGCCCUAAACCUCGGAUCUCAAUUGGUUUGAGGUUGAGUAGGGUAUAUAGCAGCCACAUCUAGAUUUUUGGAGGUCAACCGCCAUUGUCGACCCCUAGUGGACAAGUUCUCGUGGCAUGGAGGUGAUGGUCGAGAGAGACAAGGGGGUUGGGGCGGAGGUGGAGUCGUCCAAGGUUGAGUGAAAGGGAGAAUGAAGAAAUGAGGUAAAAAAAUAAAUAAGAAACAACAAGUAGAGAAAUGAAUUAAUGAAGAGAGAGGACCCAUGAGGAUAAGAGAAGAGAAAGAAAGUGGGACCCAAUUGGAGUGACGUGUCGAUGUUUGAGUGGGCUUGGACUUGGAGGGUCAGCCUAUACAAUAAAGUGGGGUCCAGUUUUUCUACUCUCUUGGUGUCUCACUCUUCGCUGCUUCUCUUUAGAGUAUCCAAAUCUAAGAAGCCGAAAACAAAACUGAAGCAUACGGGAUGAAGUACUCCCAAAUGAAUAAAGAAGCUCUCUUCCCAAAUUUUCAUCACCACUAGGAACACGUAUCGUCAUCAUUGCCUGCCGUUGCUUGCCUUGCCACACUUUGUCGACAUAGCCUUGCGUCCGUUUGAGCCAUACAAUUCCACCGGCAACUUAGCACUUGGCCUCCGAGCUCAACAAGGCCACCCAAACGCCCUCCUUGCACCCAAUCCCCACCUUCUCUCUUCCACUUUCUCGCCAUUGCAGCAACGCCCGUGCCAAGGCUCAAUGGCAAUUGUUGACCAAAAGACCCAAUUGCAACUAUUGUUGGCCCCUUUUGACCUUGGAUCAACCCAAAUCCUAGGUCGAGUUGAGGCUUAGACGUUAGAUCUAUAGCUUGGUUGACCUCAGAUCUGGAAUGUGAGGCUCGAUUGUGCCAGAGGACUACGAGCGUGAAGACACCAAGGAUAAACAAUGAUGAUGUUAGCAAAGUCGGAGGCAAGGGUGUUGACCUAGGGCAAAGGUUUCUAUAGCAGUCCGUGUCUGUCAUUAAAUCUAUCUAAAUCACUAUGGAAUUCACUGAUGCCUCCAUAGAGCUCCAUGACCUCUUUAUCCAUUCUUCAAAUGGAGUUGUUAUCAUCCUACAGCCAAUUUUUGGGUCAUCUUGUGCACCACCACCUAGAUGAACCUCUUGUCUUUGGAUGCCACCACAAGAUAAUUGGUCCACAGGAUGCUGUCAGGAAGCUUCUUCCUUAUAAAAAUAAUUGUAAAUAUACUUUUUUGAAAGUCUGAUACUUCAGCACAGAAUCAUAUCAAGAUUGAUUUCCAACUUUCUUUUCCUUCUGCUUUUCUUUAUUUUUUUCUUCCUUUCCCUCUUUCCACUUUUCCACUUCUCCUUUAUUCAGGAAAAUUACCAAUUCGAUUUUGAGCUCAUUACAUGAAUGCCAAUUUAAACCUAAAUUUUUCAAUUUUGUUGAUGUAUUCCCAUGCCUUUCUGUGAAAUUUCAAUGAAGUUUUUUUUCUACCAAUUGCCAUUGGAAAUUGCUGACGUGGUGGUCUAUUAUUGUCGGUCAUCCUACACGACACGGAAAGUGAUUUGACUUGUACAAUUCUUGAUAAAAUGACGUUGUUUUGCAUACUUUUAAAAAUUUCCUGUUUUUCUUUUAUUUACUUUUCCUCUCUACUAUUCAUAAGCUUCCUUAGAGAGCUGAGACCACUGAGUUGCUCCAUCUCCACAAUUCCAUAUGUCCCUAGAAGAUCUCGUCAAAACCCUAGUUAUCCAGGCUAGUAGCAAAGAAUCCUUUAUUUAUUUAUUUUUUAGGCUAUUAUUGUCGAGUUUCUGCUCAUUCAAUAUCCCACAAAAUAUUGUGCUCUAUAUCAAGUGCCUCCCAGAUCGGUCGUUUCAAAAUCUAUGCUUUGUGUUUUUUUUUAACCUUUUUGCUUAAGAGCAUGAAACUAUUGUUUCAAAACUCCUCUCUAUUAUGAAGAAUCUUGCUCUUUUUGGCUCCGAUUUUUUUAGCGCCUAAAAGUUUGUCUUUUUCUUUCCCCUUUCAGCUAAUGCAAGCGUCUUGUUGUCCUUCAACAUCGUUGCUCAUUGUUUCCUCUUCUUUUUUUCGAAUUUCUUGGUUUUAGCGAGUGGUGAAAGUUUGGUACAUGGCUUUCUUGACUCACAAAUGCACCUUUAAGAGAGCUUAGUUUUUACCUUUUGCUUGUUCUAAAAUUUAGAUGGAUCUCUAAUUGCUUUCACGUUUUCUCAUUGCCACAAGUUGAGAGCAAGAAGUGCCGAAAAUGCUAAGAAUGUCGCUGAUUUUAAGGAGCUCCAAGAUCAGAGCCCUUGGAUCCCAGCAACCCCAGCCAAGCCAUUUUUCCCUGGCUGAAACAUUUUGCUACCAUGAUCAAUGAAUAGGAGCUCUCUAAGGAAGAAGAUGAACACUAGCACACAAAAGGAAAGAAAAGAAAAAGGGCAAAAACAGAAAAAUCAGAAAAUAUAUGCAAAACGACGUUGUUUCAUUAAGAAUUGUACAUGUCAAAACGUCAGCCAUGCAAUGUAAAAUGACCAUUGAUGAUUGAAUAUAACGUCAGCAAUUUCUAGUAGCAAUUUGCUAGAAAUAUUAUGUUGGAAUUUCAUACAAAUGUUUAGGAUUAUUUGCAAAUUUGAAGAGUUUAGGACUAAUUAGUCUCUGUACAAUAGGUUUAAAAUUAACUUGGUAAUUAUUCCCCUUUAGUCUUUGUUUGCUCUCCCACUUCUUUUCUCACACACAAACCCACCAUGGACACUCAUAUGAGCCUUGACCCCAGAUUUGGAUGUAUGUUGCCACGCGAUAAUUACAUAUGUAAAGUAAAGAAAUGUCAAGAGGGAAGCACACAGCUAUCUCAGCUUUGCUAGUUAACUAAAUAAAAUAAAUACUGUUACAGGCACAAACUACUCACUUAUGAAAUUGGUUUACAAACAAAGCGAUAGAAUUUUUUUAUGCUUGGAUACAUUGGAAUAAUUGAUUUCUACCUAUUAAUAAGUUAUCCUCAUCAUGAGCAUAUAGUUAUUAUUGGCGUAUUAAAGAUAGUUGGAUAUAUGAUAUCUAUAAAUAAUUAAUUAACCAUAAUGCAUGCAUGAAUCUUUCUAUAAUCAGAUUUAAAUGGAACGCUACACUUGAAGAAAUUGAAGAGGCUAGAUCUAUCUUUCAAUCAUCUACAACGAGUCCCCUCAUUGUACAAGCAAACUUCAAUGGAGGCCCAAAAUUUGUCUUCCAGUCAACUUGAAGGUACUUGUAAAAUAGAAGACAAUGCCUUGAUAUGUAAAGUUCGAUGUUGAGAACCUUUUGUCAAUCACAGGUGUGAAUCUUGAGGUGCUAGAUCUUGACGAUAACAAUUUGGGGAAUGAUGCUUUCACGGACAUUAUGAGGAUGACAUCUCUUAAGGCCUUAAACAUCAGUUAUUGCGGAUUGAAUGCCUCUUCGAAGUUAUUGGAAGGUACUUCUGUGGAAAGGCUUACAUUUAUCAUUAUUAAUAACUUAUCAUAGAAGCUAAUAUAGUUGUUUAACCAUAAGUAAACCAAUGUCAUGCUUCAAUGUGUUAUGAUGUCAGUGAUCCUUAAAAGUUCGAUUUUUUUUUUUCAACUUUUCUCUGAUCUUUGAAAAUUGAAAUUUAGUCCCCAUGCUUUUAGUUUUGUGCAACUUUUUGUGUGGGCCAAUCUGAAUUAUAGUGUAACAACAUAACAGAUUCAAGAAGCCAUAGCUAAGAAGAUUAUAUACUAACACAACAGUAUACCAAAGGAGUUCAAAUAUUAUAUAGGAAUAAUAACCAAAUUAAAUGCAAAAGUUAAUCAGAAAUCAAUAACAAACAAAAUUUAAAGUUUACAUAUUAAACCACAAUGGUGGUCAAACUUUAGGGAUUGCAAGUGUCAAUAAAUUCAACAAAGCCAUGAAGCCUAAGAAAUUAAAUGACACUAAAGCUCAAACAAAGCAACCUUAAUGGGCAUACAUGUUACAUUGAUUUUUACUUUAUUCUUUUUGCUUAUUUUAAAUAUUGCAGAUCUUUCACUUUGACUUCCUCUUUUUUUUUUUUCUAUUUCGAAACACCCACAACAUACACAACUGUGGAGAUAUAGUUUAUUGUAUUAUUUUUAAAUUAAGUUAUAUUUUAGAUUUUGAUAGUAUAGUAAAAACUAAAUUAUUUUGUACUUUUCAUAAAGCCAAAAAAAAAAAAAAAAAGACACACAUCACCUAUUGUCUAUGGUAAUACUUCUUGAUUAAAUUACCUAUAGAAAUGAAAGUAUACUAAGGGAGUCAAUAACCUUAAGGUGUGAGUUGAGAGAGAUUGAAGAAACUAUUAUUAUCGAAAAUGGUAAUUAACUUAUGAGACUCGCGCUAAGUUAUUCUUAAUAAUAGUGUCGUUGCAAAAUAAUAAACUUUGUGAGAGAGAGAAUCCGUUGCGUGCAAAAUAUGAUAACAAGACGUUAUUUUAUAAGUGGCUACUAGUUUUAAGAAUGAAGGCACUAGGAUUAGGCAGCAGGGCCUAUCUCAAAAGUGCAUCAUAAAUUUUAAAAUAUAUCACCAAAAUGCAAUCAAAUUUUCAAACUUAUCAAAUUGAUGCAACGUGAUUUGAAUAACUACAAAAGCUGAAAUGUUUGUUUUUAUUACUUUCUUAACAUGCGUAGUAAUAAUGUAGAGUGCACUAAGCUCCACGUAAAAGGAAAAGAAAAAGAUUUUUAAUUUUUUUUAAGAAAGGAAAAAAAUUUAAAAAAGUAAAAAAUGAUGAGAAUUGCAAAAUUAAAAAAAAUUAAAAAUCUAAAACCACCAUCAUAGCUGCUCAAGGCCGCCAUAUAAAUUGUCCAUCAAGAAAACAAUUUCUAAUACUAGUUAAUCAUGAAAUUUAUUCAAUUUGAAAUUAAUCCUAAAACAUAUAUUGUUUAAAUAUAUUCUACUUAUCGUUUCAAAUUUAACUUAUUUCAUCGCAUGAUUAAACUUAGUAAAUAAGUUUUUAUCUUUUUGGUUUGUCAUUGAAGAUAUUAUCUCUUAUUUGGACAAAUAAGUAGGCUUUCCCUUAUCUAUCAAUUUUAUAUGUAUAUUGUUAAAGUCGGAGCUACGUUUGCUCCGAUGCUCAACAUAUGAUACUUCACGUCGACUUAGAAACAUUAGCUUAUGAUUUGUCAUCAACAGGCUUUAAUAUUUAUUGAGUUAAAUAUAAGUAAAAAGACAAAGCACCUUGAAAAAUUUUUCCAACAUUCAUCUUUUUCGACCUUUAUUACUCAUUGAUUGUAUAUUUGGAAAAAAAAAAAAAAAAGUGAGCAAAGAUAAUGUAUCUUGAAAUAUUAAAUUUAACUGUCCAAUUUAAGUUUACUCCACAUAUGCCACUUAACUAAUAUAUGUGAUUGCCAUGCGGCAUAAAUUGUGGCAAAACUUUGCCUCAUGGGAUGCAUUUGGCUAUUAAGUUAUAAAUGAUUGUUGAUACCUAAAUUUUGACUAAAUAUUUAGGAUUAAAUUGCAUAAAAUAUUAUGAGCCAAUUAGGAGCCAAUUUAGCCCUAACAAAGAAGGAUUUUGCACAUCACCUAGUUAUUAAUAUUAUUUGCAUCAACUGAGCUUUAUUUUUAUUUUAUCUUCCCUUAUUUUACCUUAUUUCAGAUAAAUAAAAAAUAAAAAAUAAUAUUAAAAAAAGGCUAAAAAGGAGCUCAGGGGCUGGGCUUUCGGCCCAGCCCCCUUUAGUUAUCCCCCCGCGCCGCGGCCCACGGGCCUGGCCUGGCUUACCCUAGAUUCCCCAUUGGCCCAGCCCUCUCUCUCCCUUCGCUCUUCCUCCUCCACUGCACGCCACCGAGGACACUGCUGAGCAGAAGCUUUUAGGGUGGAGUAGGUAGGAGACGGUGCAGGAGAGAAGAGGCGUAGAGCUACGCCUGCUGCGGAGUGGAUGGUGAGGGAAAGCCGGCUCGGCCAAGAGAGGGCUCGGUCGGCGUGCCAAGGACCGGCUGUCGGAGCACCUCCGUCGACCGGUCUCCUCGCACCUGUAAAUAGGGGGCCACGAGCUCGGUUGAAGGAGGAGGAGGAGGGAAAUCCGAAAAAAAAAAAGGGCAUCUCUGAGGGGGACCGAUGGCAAUGGUCGAAGAAAGGGGGAUCAGAGAGGCUGAAGUAGAGAGAGAAGUCAGCCAAGAGUGAAAUCGGAGGAGAGCCGACCGAGAGGGCUUCAGCCGACACCUCGGCCAUGUGCGAGCUCCGUCCGGCAACCUCGCCCAGCGGAUGCUUCCGCAAGCCAAACCAGUGAGCGUUCCCCAACCAUGUUCCAUGCCCUUUUUUAGGCGUGUUGCGUCGGAGACCGCAGCCGUCUAGCUCACGCGAGCUCCGGCCACUAGCCAUCCCUCAUCACGCCGUCACGCGUGUUCUAAUUUGUGUUGAAAGCACAGGCACCGGUUCCGAUCCCAUUCGAGCCGAGAGUCUCCCCGUUCCAGUUGCGCGCACCACCCGCUCGACGGAAUGUCUAAACCAGAUCUAAGCUUGUGCGGAGAGUGCUCGUCUCUGAGAUCAUUGGUUCGUCAUGUUGUCUUAUCCUUGGCCAUCACUGCCUCCCUUUCUUGGUCGAGGUCGACGCGUGCAAGCGUCUCCGGAGCAUGGUUUACGGAUGGAGGGCGGGCUGUUCCGGCGAAACAUCGAGGAGGAGGAGCUCUCGGUGAGGUUUAAGGAAUAAGACAGCGCAGGUGCAAGGGGAGCGCGAGUCGGGUCGGGUCCGAAUCAUUCUUGGGUUGCGGGUUCAACCGGCCCGAGCGUGAGGGUUUUCUUUUUUAGUCCAUGCACGGGCCGGGCGGAUCGCGGGACCAGGCUUAAUAAAUGAGCCCAGUCCGGUCGGGGCCCUAGUCGGCCUUGGCCCGGGUCGAGUUUGGAUAUCCAGGUUUGGUUGUUUAUAUUAUAAUAUUAUUUUAUUAUUUUAAUAUAUUAAACAUAUUUUUAAAAAUAUUUUGNNNNNNNNNNNNNNNNNNNNNNNNNNNNNNNNNNNNNNNNNNNNNNNNNNNNNNNNNNNNNNNNNNNNNNNNNNNNNNNNNNNNNNNNNNNNNNNNNNNNCAUCUCAAGUUUUGAUUUGGUUGAAUGACAAUCACAUUUAAAGAAUAAGAUGUUAAUUAGGAAAUCCACACAAUCUAUCAUAAAAAUUAUAAUUAAAUCGAAUUUGUGAAGAAGCUAUUACUCUUAUCUAAUUAUUUUUUUGUACAUCUAUUUAGUUACAUUUUUUAGAUUAAAAUUUUAUUCCGUGUCUUAUAUGCCCAAUUUUUUUGUACAAAACAAUUUAUAAUAGUGUAAUCGAGGUUACAAAUCUAUAAUAUACAUAUAAAGCUAUCUUUUAAAUAUUGGUGUUCACUGCCUAAAUUACUAUCGUACACUUUCACAGUUACAACCCCAUAAUUUUAGUAUAACUAGGUUGAGAAGAACUUGACAUCUUCAUUACCACUGCCCAUUGCUGCCUCCACCCACUGCGGCGCUUAGACCCAUCAUGACACCAUAAAGCUCAGUCGCUAUUACCACCACCAAAGUCAAAAUCACUGCUGCAAGAACCGUGCACAACCUUCGACAUGAGCCAUUAUGACUUUAGAUAUGAAGUAUGGCCUCAUGGCGGGGAAGCGAGCUGGCAGUAUGCAUAGCGAGUUGGGACGAUGGUGCAAAUGGUAGUGGAGGAGAGGAGGCGGUGAUGGUGAGUUGCUGCAUAGGACAUGGAAGUGGAAGGGUGGAGAAGAAGAAGGGAAAAUAAAAAGGAGAAAGUUAGCACCAUUAAAAAUGUUGAGAGCAGACGCACAAAAAAAAUAAAAAUAAAAAUAAAAGGAACAAGAAAAGCACAUGAUCUCACACUGCACUUAAUGGAGGAUCACAUCGAAUCCUUUUAGCAAUAAAUUUUUAGAAACUACGAUGAAAUUAAUCCUUAAAUCUAGUAUUAAUAUCAACUUUAGACUUGAUUUCUGAUCUGAUUAAAAUUUGUCAAACUCCAGAAGUAAUUAAGUUUCUUAUUUUUUCGUUCUAUUAAUGUAGUGUAAAGAAUAGGGGAAAUGAAGCAUUGUGCUGAUGUGAUUCAACUAUAGAGCUCCAUCUUAUCAAAAUUUUCUAUUUAGUGAUGAUACUCAUAGUUGCAACGUCUACUUCAGGCUUGUGCGGAUUGAGGAAUCUUGAAGAGCUUAAUAUUGAUGGAAAUGGAUUGUGGGGUCCUCUUCCGUCGUGCUUUUGCAAUAUGACCUCACUUCGAGUGCUCAGUGUCAGAAAUAACAAUUUUAGCGGGGCCAUUCCUUCAUGUCUGCUCUCUAAUCUCAAGUCACUUGAAUCUAUUAGCUUUUCUUGGAAUGCUUUUGAAGGCUCACUUUCGCUUGCUUCCCUAGCCAAUACUUCAAACCUUGAAAGAUGGUACCUCUACGGCAACCGGCAUCGUCUGGAAGUAAAUACAGAAGAACCCACUUGGUUUCCUUCAUUUCAACUAAAAUCAUUUGUAUUAUCAAAUUGUGUGCUCAACAAAGACGCAAAUGGCAUAAUUCCCAGCUUUUUAAAAGAACAGUAUGCCUUGAUAUCGCUUGAACUCAACGACAAUGGAAUGACAGGAAAUUUCCCAAAUUGGCUAUUGGACAACAAUGUGAAUUUAACUUUUUUGGAACUCAAAGGCAACCAUUUGUCAGGUGCUUUUUAUUUGCCUUCCAAUUUGAAUCUUGUUAGCAUGGAGCAUUUAGAUGCGUCUGUUAAUACUUUUGACGGAGAGCUUCCAUCUUGGAUUGGUUCUAUCCUCCCAAAUUUGAGAAAUUUCAACAUGUCGAACAACUUACUGAAAGGUAGAAUCCCUCCCUCAAUGGGUAAUAUGAACCAACUGAGUUUUUUGGACUUGUCGAAUAAUGGGCUCACGGGAGAGAUACCGGAGACACUAGCUAAAAAUUGUACAAAAAUUUAUGUAUUGAAACUAUCGAGCAACAAUUUGCAAGGCCAAAUGCUACCAAGGAAUUCUAACUUGACAAAUUUGCACAUCUUGGAUCUAGCUAGCAAUAAUUUCACAGGGGUCAUAUCGCCUGGUAUAAUGAAUAGCUCCUACUUGGAAGUCUUGGAUGUAAGUAAUAAUUCCUUAUCUGGACUGCUUCCCAAUUGGAUUGGAGAUUUACAAUACUUGAGAGUGCUUAUGCUGUCAGGUAAUUUAUUGGGAGGCCCUUUACCAUUGAGUUUCCGCAAGAUACAUUCUCUCUUUCUUUUAGACCUUUCAAGUAACAAUCUUGGGCCUAAUAUACCCUCCUGUGUCAAUGUUACAUAUAUGAGGUCUUUGCAUUUAGCAAAUGACACACUCACUGGGCAUUUUCCUGAGUUUCUCAAAGGUUCAUUGAUUGUCACAUUGGAUCUAAGGCACAAUGCAUUGUCAGGUGAGGUCCCUAACUGGAUCGGUUCACUUCGGAACCUGAAGUUUCUUUUGCUACAAGGAAAUAAUUUUGAAGGUUUAAUCCCUCGGGAUCUAUGUUUGUUGAAAAAUAUGAGCAUAUUAGAUCUCUCCAAUAAUAAACUUUUUGGACAAAUCCCUUCUUGUUUGAAAGAUGUGAGAUUUGGAAACGAUGAGCUAACUACAAACUUAUAUGGUGUCUUCUAUGUCUUCCGCCCUUGGAGUUUAAGAGAGGAAGAUUUGUUGAAAUUAGAAGAAGUAAAGUUCAUGACAAAGAGGAGGUUGGAAUCGUAUAAAGGUAACAUUCUAAACCUCAUGUCGGGAAUGGAUCUCUCACGGAACAAUUUGAGAGGCUUUAUUCCUCCAAUGGUUGGCUACUUGAGUGAACUUCGAGCAUUGAACUUGUCACACAAUCAUUUGACGGGACCAAUCCCAAAAACAUUUUCCAAUUUAAAGAACAUAGAGAGCUUGGACCUGUCCUACAACAACUUAACUGGUCCCAUCCCUCCACAACUAAUAGAGCUCUACACCCUGUCGGAUUUUAGAUUGGCUUAUAACAACUUAUCAGGCAAGAUACCGGACCAAAAAUAUCAAUUUGGAACUUUUGGUGAAGAAAGUUAUGAAGGUAAUCCUCUUCUUUAUGGACCACCAUUAGCAAGAAGUGAUGGAUCAAAUUUGGGACAUGGGACACCGCCAUCUAUUAAUCAUACUAGGGAGGAUGACUCUUGGAGAGAAGCCUUCUUGUGGAGCUUUGCAGGAUCAUAUGUGGUAGCGUUCUUUGGGGCGGUUCUUUUUCUCUAUGUAAACUCAUAUUACCAGUUCGUUCUGGUCGAGCUUGUUCGUAAACUUAUACCAUCGUUUCCUUGAGUUGAGAAUAUUCUUCUAAGCAUUUUAUGAUGGAAAAAUACAAUGCAACAAUGGAGAAAUUUUGUUUUAAAGGAUUAUGAGCAUAUGAAUCUUUGAUUGCAUUUGAAUGGUUGACUCCCACAAGGUUCCUAUUGGAUUCCUUGUCCUACUGAUUUGCAUAUUAGGAUAUUUGAUUUGUUUCGGAAUUUAAUAUUCAUUAAAUUGCAUCACAUACAGACAUUAGGAACAUUUGCAUUACUAGUAUUAAAAAAAUUUACUAAAAUUAAAAUUAAAGUUAGAGUUUUUUUUUUUUUUAAGGAAAAAGGAAAACGAAAAAAGCGAGACCGGGCCGGCGUUAGGCUAGCCUGGUCUCCGUUUUCCUUUCCCUUCCUUCUCUUCACUUGGGCCAACCCUUGUCCUUUCCUCCUUCCCCCUCUCUCCACGUGUGCGACAAAAGAGCACAGAGGAAGGACGACACUGAGAGGGAACAUGACAAAGUGAGGACAUUGCGUGCGACGCUAAGGAAGGACGUUCGGUCAAGGCAGCUGGCAAGGCGAGAAUCCACGUGCAUCUAGCCACUGUCUCUGAGCCAGGUAGGGUUCCCCACGGCUGAACCUAAUUCCGCAAACCUCUUUACCCUGCUUGAUCUGUCCUAUCUUGAGUGAGGUGAGUGUCGACUCCAUUUCUUUAUCUCUUGCUCGUGCUAGACCUGAAUGAGUUGGUUUUUGUUGAAUUCAAAUGUUGAAUGUUGAUUUCUUUUGAGUUUAGGCGUGCACUUGAGCUCUGAACUGGCUAACGUUUUCUUCCCCACUCGUUGCUCACGAUGUGUUCGUUGGAAUGCCCCAACCAAGUUAGCAUACGGUUCAUUCCGUUUCUGGGUUCAUUGUUUUUUUUUUUUUUUUUUUUUGAGUCUUAUGUUCCAAUGCCAUGUGAGAGCUAUGCUGGAGCAGAAAUAACAUUGCUGAUCACUCAUGAAACAUAUGAGUCUAUUUCCACAUGUUUCGCUUUUCUCAAUGUCCUCCGGUUUUUGUCCGUUUCGUUAAGUUGUAGUAAAAGGGCAGCGUCCGACAAGCAGCAAUGGUGAUGGUAUUCGCCGACGGUGGCAAUCACAGCUAGUGGUGUGGGUGUUCAGUAAACAUUCUAAUGUGUCAGCAUGAGGAUCGUUGAUUGUUGUAAUCCUCGGGCAGUAGAUUUCGGUCAUGCGUUUUUGGUGUGUUCUGAGUUUGUCUCGAGGUAAGCCAAGUGGGAAGAAGACGUGGGAAGGCUUUAGGUAAUAGAGAAGGGAAUUAAAAAAUAAGAGGGGAAAUGAGCUCAUUUGGACUGAAAUAGCAAAAAAGACGUUAGGGUAUUUUGAGUGGAUAUGAGCUUAGUUCUGUUAUAAGGAUUAGUAAGCUGUUUGGGUUCGAGUUGAAGUGGAGAGAGUGGGGCGCAACUCUAGUGAUGGUCCGUUUGGGCUUAGUCUAUUCUGAUAGAAACUUUGGUGGGCUAUUGGUGAUUUGGGCUUAGCUUUCUUUUAAAUCGGGCUUGAGUUAUUUUGAAAAUGGAUUUCGUGUCAAAGCCUAAACUGCGUCCAAAUCCGAGUACUAAUUUUUUUGGAUUUUUUUUAGUAAAAAAAUAUAUAAAAAAAGUCACAAAAAUUAAAAAAAUUAAAAAAAAUUAAAAAUUAAAAAAUUAAAUAACAUAUGUGGAAAAAUCGAAAUUCCUAAAAAAUCUCCAAAAUUACAAAAAAAUUAAAAAUUAGAAUUCUUAAAAAAAUUAAAAAAGUUUUCUUGGGUGAUUUUAUUUUAUUUUUUUCUUUUGUUUUUUUUUUUUUGAAGUGGAAGUCUAUUUACUUUAAAAUUGUGCUCAAAACUGAACAAGUUCUCACAACUUCACUAUAGAAAGGCUUCGAUUGUUCUUAAAAAUGAAUACCUCUUGAUAUAAAGAUAAUUAAAUUAAUGAACUAAGAACAUUAUAAUAUCGAGACCUUGAGAUCGCCAAUUGAAAUAUCAAUCGACAGAAGCCCUACUGCCGGUCAAUGCAAACAUCCCGGUUAAAUUUUCAAUGAUAGAGGAGCUCUCUUGCUCCUCUAUUGAAAAAAAACGCUCUCGGAAGUUCUUUAUCGGAAUCGUCAUCUCUCCGAGGACAAGCAUCUCCAUAAAAAGCGUAAAACAAACUAACGGUAGACCCAUUGCUCUAUAGGGAAUUUGCUCUCUCCUGCCGGACUAAAUUCAGGCGCUCCCUCGAUUUCUCCCACCUCCAUCGCUGUCAUCCCCAUCUUGUGCUAGAUGAAGCUAUCGCGUGACAGCUCCGCUCCCUUCGACUUCAUCGUCUCUAACAUCGCAUCUAGCCAUUCAUCCAAGAGCUGAUAAAAGAAGAUGAAGACUCUCUCUGGUGGCUUUCUUCUUCAUGGAGCUACCGACAACGGAUGUCCAUCUCCCUCCAGAAUCCAUCCAUCUCUCUCUCUCUCUCUCUCUCUCUCUCUCUCUCUCUCUCUCUCUCUCUCUCUCUCUCCUACAUUCCAUUCGGCCAAAAGUGUGGCUAGCAGGAGGAGCUCGGCUUCUUUCUCACUCCAUUGUUUUUCCUCCUCCAGUUCUAGAUCGCCGCUCAGCUCAUAAUUGGAAGCUCACCUCCAGUUCACCGAGAGUGCCGCCUUAGCCUUACUCUCCUCUUAUGCUCUGUUUCCAUGUCGCUGGACAGAGUUUGUCAAAUCGUAGCAUUGGCCUUGUAAAGUGGAGUUGAGACUAUCUUCUUAUUAUAGAUGAAGCCAAAUAUUUGUUUUUAGGGGCUUUUUUGUCUUUUCUAUCAGAUUUCCUUUUAGGUUAAAAGUGAUAUCUUUAUAUUAGUGAUGGUAAGACGCUGGCCAUUAAGACGCUAAAAAAGAAAAUAGAAAGGCAAGAAAAAGAGAGAAGAAAAAAGUGAGUUUUUUCUUGAUGAGGGUUCUCAAUCUCUUUGUGCCAUGAUCUUGAGAGAAGAUCGUCGUUGUAUUCUAACUUUUUUCGAAGUCUAGUGGAUUCGCAGAGUGCCUCUGCGCGUAGACGUAGCCCAUGUUUGGGUGAACUUCGAUAACAAAUUUUCUGGCGUGUUCAUUUGAUUAUAUUCUUUUAUUAUUAUAUUCUGUCUGGUGAAUUGUUUGCAAGCGUUAUUUUUGUGGAAUCGACAUACGAUUUCAUAACAACUGGUAUCAGAGCCUGGGUUGGUUAAUCGAGAACAUCGAGGGUUUUCGGUGACGUUCGAUUGAAAGCAAACAGGAUGGCAGAAGAUAAAAUCAAAAUUGAUAAGUUCAAUGGAGAGGAUUUCGGAUGGUGGAAACUACAAAUAGAGGAUUAUCUUUAUCAAAAAGAUCUCUAUGCACCACUUGAGGGUUGGAAACCUGAGAUGGCGGAAGUGGAUCCAACAGCAGAAUCUUGAUGGAAAAUUCUUGAUCGAAAGGCAUUAGGUGCGAUUCGUCUAAGGUUGACAAAAAAGACAAGGUACCACAUCGCGAAGGCAAAAACUGCAAAAGAAGCCAUGGAUAUUCUAACGAAUAUUUCUGAGAAGCCGUCCACAUCAAAUCAGGUAUUUUUGCUGAAGAAACUAGUUAAUAUGAAGUUAUCUGAUAGAGGUUCUAUGACAGAGUGUAUUAAUAGUUUCACACAGGUCACGGGUCAAUUGGAAUUCACAGGCAUAAAUUUAGAUAUGAAACUUCAAGCUUUAUUAUUUUUAUGUUCUCUUCCAGAAAGCUACAAUACCGCAGUGCAGGGAAUUUCGAGCACCAUGAAGGAUGAUUUAACUCUUGAUGAUGCUGUGAGUAGUAUCAUGGAUGAAGAGAUGCGAAGGAAAAUCUCAGGUGGAGAUAAUUUUUCUACAUCUACAUCUACAUCUUCAACGGCACUCGCAGUGGAGAACCGUGGAAGAAGUAAAAGUAGAGGAAAUUUCAGCGGGCGUGGCAGAUCACAAUCAAGGGGUAAGAGACAGGUUGCAAAAGAUGAGUGUUGGUUUUGUCACAAAACUGGACAUCGGAGGUUUCAGUGUGAAGCAUACAAAAAGAAGCAGUAAGAUGAGAAUCAAGGUGCUAAUGUGGUUAGCGAUGAAUCUUUGCUAGAUAACUUGUGUUUGUCUAUAAGGUUUGACUUGACGACAGAUAAAUGGUUUAUUGAUUUUGGUACUUCUUUUCAUUGCACCUCGUAAAGAGACAUAUUUGAUGAUUAUGUCAGUGGAGAUUUCGGACAAGUGGUUGUAGGAAACGGCCACAUGUGUCCCAUUGUUGGGAAAGGAACCGUGACUGUGAACAUCUCAAGUGGAGGACGUCUAGUUUUGCGUGAAACUAGGCAUAUUCCAGAAUUAAAGAAAAAUCUGAUUUCAACUAGUAAACUUGACCAAGAAGGUUUGGUAAUAACCUUUGGCUGCGGAGAGUGGAAGAUAACCUUAGGGGUAAGAGUAGUAGCAAAGGGAAAGCGUAUGGGUACACUUUACCUUCUUCAAGGAGACAAUAUCAGUGAUAUGGUUGCAACUACAAUGGCUACAAGUAAUUUAUCUACUCUUUGGUAUUAUCGUUUGGAACAUCUUGGUGUGAAAGGUGUAAAGUAGUUACAUUCGAGAAAAUUACUCUUAGGUUUGCAAAAAGUUGAGUUAGAUUUUUGUGAGAGUUGCAUUUAUGGAAAAUAAAAGGCUAUUAAUUUUCAAUUGAAUGAGCGACAAAAUAAAGGCCAUAAGCUAGAGUUGGUUCAUACUGAUGUAUGAGAAUCUGCUCAGGAACUCUCUUAUGGCAGUAAGAGAUAUUUUGUCACCUUCAUUGAUGAUGCAACAAGGAAGACUUGGGUUUAUGCUUUUAAAGAAAAAUCAGAAGUACUCGGGAUGUUCAAAAUGUGGAAGACCAUGGUAGAAAAAGAAACAGGUUAUCAGAUUAAAGCUAUGAAGUCUGAUAAUGGUGGUGAAUACACAAGUAAAGAAUUUGCAGAUUAUUUGAGUCGAGAAGGCAUACACGGGUUAAAGACUGUUCCUAGAACUCCUCAAGAGAACGAUGUAGCUAAAACGAUGAACAUAACUAUUCUAGAACAUGUGAGAUGCAUGAGACUACACGCAAGUCUCCCGCUACACUUAUGGGCUGCCACAGUUGACCCAGCUGUUUAUCUUAUCAACAGAAGUCCAUCUAGUGCGUUGGAUGGAGAAAUACCACAAGAAUGGUGGUCAGGUGAAAAGAUUAAUUAUUCUCAUCUAAAAGUGUUUGGUUGUAUUGCAUAUGCUUUGAUUGAUAGGGAGGAUAGAAAAAAACUUGAUGCUAAAUCCCAAGAAGUGCGUCUUUUAUUGGAUACGGUGGUGACGAGUAUGGCUAUAGGCUUUGGGAUUAUGAGAAUAACAAGGUCAUCCGCAGUUGCAAUGUGGGUAUUCCAUUGAAGGAAAAGUGUACCGAAGAUCGUCAGAUAAAGCCAUGCCAAAUGUUGGGAUGAAAGAAAAGAUGUACAAGAAAUCGUUAGACAGAGACAGAGCAUGAAAAGGUAGUACAAACCAAAGUAUGUUGAAUUAGACAUAAUGCCUGUGAAGAAUGUUUCCAGUAGAUCAAAGUUCACUUUGAAGAGAGGUUCAAGAUGAGGCCUAUUAUCAGUGAAAGAGGUAGUUCAAGAAGAACGCAGUGAUUCGGAGCAAAAUGAAUGACCCUGAAGUACCUGUCUUGAGAAGGUCUACACAUGUGAAAAAGCCAAAGGUAAUUUUUUAUCUAUCAGCUAAUACUGUUCUGAGCCAUGUCUUAUAUAUAGAUUCGGGGAAACCGGAGACUUACGAUGAGGCAAAGGCAGACACGUCUCACUUGUAGUGAGAGNNNNNNNNNNNNNNNNNNNNNNNNNNNNNNNNNNNNNNNNNNNNNNNNNNNNNNNNNNNNNNNNNNNNNNNNNNNNNNNNNNNNNNNNNNNNNNNNNNNNGAAAGACGAGAUGAGCUCGUUACUUCAUAACAAAACUUAGGAGUUGACCAAGUUGUCCACAGGUAAUAUUAAAGCAAAACAAAUGGGUGUACAUGAUUAAGAAUGAAGCAGAUGGUAGUAUUAGAUACAAGGCGAGACUUAUAGUUAAUGGCUUUUCUAAAAAAGAAUGGGUCGACUACUCCGAGAUAUUUUCACCUGUAGUGAAAAUGACAUCAAUUAGAGUUCUGCUGAGUAUAGUUGCAGUGGAGGAUCUUCAUCUUGAGUAGUUAGACGUAAAAACAGCGUUUUUACACGGUGACUUAGAUGGAGAACUAUACAUGGCACAACCUAAAGGUUUUGAAGUCAAAAGUAAGCAGCACAUAGUAUGUUGCUUGAAAAAAAGCUUGUAUGGCUUGAAACGAGCUCCGCGGCAAUGGUAUCUAAAAUUUGAUGGUUUCAUGCAAGACAAAGGAUUUGCACACUGUGAGUAUGAUCAUUGUGUUUAUUUUCGCAAGUAUGAUGAUGGUGACAUUAUGUAUCUCUCUUUAUAUGUGGAUGACAUGCUAGUGGCUAAUUCCAAUAUGAAGAGAAUCGUAGAAGUGAAGAAGAUGUUAUCAUCACAGUUUGCUAUGAAAGACUUAGGAGAGGCCAAGAAUAGUUAAGGCAUAAAAUCAUUAGAGAUAGGAAAAAUAAGAAAUUAUAGUUGUCGCAGGAAGACUAUGUGAACAAGGUGUUAAAGAGAUAUGACAUGGACAAAGCAAAAUCGGUUGCGACUCUUCUAGCGAGUCACUUCAAACUUUCCAAUGAUAUGUGUCUAAGUGCUCAGGCUUUGAAAGAUGAGAUGGCGAUAGUUCCAUAUGCAUCAGCAGUGGGGAGUUUGAUGUAUGCCAUGGUGAGUACGAGACCAGACAUUGCACAAGCAGUGGGAGUUUUGAGUUGAUAUAUGCAGAACCUAGGCAAAGUGCAUUAGAAUGUAGUGAAAUAGAUAUUGAGAUAUCUAGCAGGUACUUCCAAUUACUCACUUUGUUAUGGCGGUACAUCUCUAGAGUUACAGGGUUAUGUAGAUGCAGAUUAUUCGGGUGAUCGAGAUAGUGGUAAGAGUACCACUGGAUAUGUCUUUACAAUUGCAGGUACAACAGUGAGUUGGGUAUCUCAACUACAAAAAGUAGUGGCUUUAUCGAUGAUAGAGGCAGAAUAUGUAGCAAUUACAGAAGCCUCCAAGGAAAUCAUAUGGUUACAAGAUUACAUGAAGGAGCUACAUCGAAAACAGCCAGUCAGUACACUGUGGAGUGAUAGUCAAAGUGCAAUGCACUUAGCAAAGAAUGCAGCUUAUCACUCAAGUACUAGACAUAUCAAGAAGCGUUAUCACUUUAUCAUGUCAGCAUUGAAAGAUAAUGAGUUAAAGUUACAAAAGAUUGAUGACUCGAAGAAUCCAGCUGACAUGAUGACCAAGGUAGUAGACAAAGAGAAGCAUACUUUCUGUACUACUACCAUUGGUAUUACUCCAUGUUGAUUGAUGAGGAGUAUUGCAGAAGCACAAGAUUUUCAACUACUAUUUUUUGAAGAAGAUGGAUACAAAGUUGUUUGGUGCUUGGGUAUAUUUGUCUUCAAGUGGGAGAUUGUUAUAGAUGAAGCCAAAUAUUUGUUUUUAGGGGCUUUUUUUUAUCUUUUCUAUCAGAUUUCCUUUUAGGUUAAAAGUGAUAUCUUUAUAUUAGCGAUGGCAAGACGCUGGCCAUUAAGACGCUAAAAAGAAAAUAGAAAGGCAAGAAAAAGAGAGGAAAAAAUUGAGUUUUUUCUUGAUGAGGGUUCUCAAUCUCUUUGUGCCCUGAUCUUGAGAGAAGAUCGUCGUUGUAUUCCAACUUUUUUCGAAGUCUAGUGGAUUCACAAAGUGCCUCUGCGCGGAGACGUAGCCCAGGUUUGGGUGAACUUCGAUAACAAAUUUUCUGGCGUGUUCAUCUAAUUCUAUUUUUUUAUUAUUAUAUUCUAUUGAGUGAAUUGUUUGCAAGCAUUAUUUUUGUGGAAUUGACGUACGAUUUCGUAACACUUCUCUCAUUUGGAUGAAGCUGGUCCAGAUUUUCGAGAAAACGAAGUCGAGUCCUGUCCUCUCUUUAGCUCGUUUGAGAAUCCAUUUUUCUGGAGAUCUUGGUUCUAUCGUCUGUAGCUCCUCUUCAUUGCUCCAUCAACAUUUAGGCUCUAUCUCCUGUCCAGGGACAGUUUUUCUUGGUUUGGUGCGUCUCAUUCAUUCUAGGGGCUAGUUUUGCCUCGGUUCUCCCUUGUCCAUGGAUCAUUUUGUCAAACCAAAAUGACCCGACGAUGCCGAGUUUUAAUCAUUGUCCACACCAGUCUGAAAAUACUAUCCGGCAUCCUCAUGCCACUCACCAGAAUUGCUUCCGAUUUACUUAAGUCAGACCUGUUCAAAUUGCUGAAUUAAUAGUUGCAGAUCCAUUGCCUUCGAAGAUCAAAAUCAGAGCCAUCUCCCACUACAAACCCAAUGACAACAUCUCUAGCCUGACGCUGUCUCUAGCGAGCUAGAGCUUGACCUCGUCCACUUCAUCCAUGGCUUGCUGGGAUGCCCGUGCCUGUAUCUUGAAGCACUUAUGGAUGCGGGGCACAUUCUCACUUGAGGCUUCUCAUCCAAGAACAAUCAGCUCCUGGUGAAAUUGGACGAUUAACAACCGGGUUACUCUUGUUCGAUUGAACUUUAGAAUCGUUUUUGACUCAUUCUCCAUUGGUCUCUUGAUUUUUUUUUUUUCUCUGCUUCUUUUUUGUGUGGGAACUAGCUGAUAAUCCUCACUGGCCUUGAGGUAUACUCCAUUCGGUAUCUGAACUAAUAUUUGGUAGCAAAUUUGGAGAAAUGGUCUUUCUCAUAGUUUCUUGAUUGUCUGCAAUUUGUUAGGUUCACUCAAGGUCUUGAAACUAGGCUUGCUCAUCAGAAUUUCUAUACUAGUGCGAUUAAUUACUUAUUGAGCUUGCAUGUGACGUCAUGGUGUUAUCGCAUUGCUUGUCACUUUUUGGUAGAGUUGGCAAAAUGACCAUUUGAAAAAUAAGUCAUAAAUGUGUCUAUCCCAAAUUUAAAUAUAAUCUAUUAAUAACUCGACUGAGAGCCACUGUUACUUUUUAAUUUUCAUGACACCCUACCUACGUAUCUCCAUCAUUAGCGCCUUUGCUCUUGGUGGAUGCCGUCGCCUUCACCACCGCAGUCUCGCCUGCUUGACACCGUCCACCGCCCCAACUGUGUCGUGCUCACCGUCCUCUCUUCAAGGUUCUGCCGCCUCAAUAGGCAGCUCCGUUGUCGCAGCUCCUCCACAGCUAUGGAGGUGAGAGACUUGGGGAAGGAAUUGAGGAAGGGGUUAGGGUUGAGGGAUUUGACGGAGAGGGAAUCGGAGGUGCCCGCAAGAAUGCUGGCACAGCUUCACCAACUACGACGGCGUGUGCGUUACGUUGCUUUUACCCUUUUAGCCCAUCUUCCCUCUCUCUCUCUCUCUCUCUCUCUCUCUCGUGGCCUCCCGAAAGUCCCUACUUUUCUCCGGCGGAGAAUGGCGUUCUUGAUCCGACGCGUCGUGCGAAAGAAUGAGAGAGAGAGGAUGUUCAGAUGCGAGUGCCUGUCUUGGAACGAAGCUGCUAGCCGCCCCCCCAAGCCCGAGCCCUUCUCUCUGCCCGUUUUGCUUCGUUUUGGUAAAACCCAAGACCGAGAUUGUUGUUCCUCAUUCGUGCUUGUGCUGAAUGUGAUUGGGUCGCUGCCUAUUGAUUUCCAGUCCUGAUUGUUGAUUCUUUGUGGAUUACAAUGUGAGCUCGAGUCUUGAAUGAGUCCAGGCUCCUCCCCAAGUUAAUGCCCGCGCGAUGUUCGACAAAAUGUCUCACCCAAAUCCUCCAGUCAUGAUUGGUUAUGAAGGUAUAAAGUCGGUCAUGGCGCUCGCUGAUAGUGUUGGCGUUAAACAUUAAGGUCCAUAAAAAGGGUUCCGGCAGCAGAUUGUCUGUGAAGAACAGUGCGUUCUCUCGGCAAGAACAGCAGGCUCUCGGUGAAGAAGGAGGUGAAUGGGAAAGAAAUAAAAAAUAGUAAAAGAAAACAGAAGAAUUUCUUCUUCUUUUUUUAAAAAAAGGGCUGGAAAAUAGGCAAUGCGGAGACGUUCGGGAGAAGGGGGGUUGGGGUUGGGGUUGGGGUUGGGCGUGAGGCUUUUGCUUGGGAGACCUUGGGCUUAGUUCUGCCGAGCAGGGAGUUGGGUUGGUCAGGUUUUAAGUUUUUUACAUUUUUUAUUUUAUUUAUUAAUUUAUUAUUGUUUAAUUAACUUUUUUAGUUUGAUAUGAAAAUAUUGUCUAGGUAACAUACACGUAUAAAAAGCUUAAAGUGGGUUAAAUGGGUUCUCCCAAAGUACAUUAACUAUUAAUCUGAUUUGGUAAUACGGGUCCGAUACGAGCUGAUAAAUUUACAUUUCUUGAAAAUAGGUCAAAACAUGUUAAAUUGGGCAAUAUAAGUUGGAUCAUUUUCAAUCUGAUCCAAAAUCAACUCAACCCAAUUUUUUUUUUUUUGGUCAAAGAUAGAAAUUUCAUUGCUAAUCCGCUAAAGGGGCACCAUUAGUUGGCAAGUCUAAACAUAAAAUUAAAUAUAGAGAGCGAUUAACAACCAUACUUUUUGGCAAUCGUUUACGAAAGUGAAUCAUCAAACUUGAUAUAAGAUGGUAAUUGAAGCCUUUGAAUGCCGGUUUUUGUUGUGAAUUUCAUCAUGGAAUUGUGCAAAAAUAAUCAUAAACACUUGCUGUCCAAAUUUAAAUUGCAUUAUUAGUAAUCAAAAUGGAUUGAGCCUAAUGAAGCUCGUUUAUGUCCCCGGAUGUUAAUUGUGUGUGCAUGAUCAAUUUGACACAUGUUUUGAUUGUGAAAACUAAUGAAAGGAGAGGGAUAUUAAGGUAAACAUCAUGCUGCUACCAAUACAUGGUAUUGUGCCUAUUUUUGUGAUUUUUACUCGAUCCAAGUGUUUACGAUAACGGAUGAUGUGCCCAAUUCACUUCACAAUCGGUAAGGCCCAUAACUCUGUAUCUUAUUUCUAUUCCAAUAACAUAAAAUCAUUGCUUAAAGAAAAUUCUCACAUGUGGAUUGGUAUUAGAGAUAUUAUUGAAGAGACGUAUAACCCAAUCCGAAAAAUUUCACGAACUCGAUUUGAGUAAACCUUUUCAAAACUUGAUCCAUGUGAACUGAGCAACGUUAGUAGUGUUAAAUCUUUUGAAGGGGGAGGAUUACCGUGAAAAAAAAUUCCAAAAUGACCUUUAGUAGUUGAAUAUGAUCCAAAUUCGCAAAGUCAGCGAGUUGGGUUUUUUGUAUUUGUGGUGCCUUGUUUCGAGACCCUAGCAAACAAGAUCAACAAACUGAUUAUAUUUACCUUCAACCCAUUUUAAUUAAAUAUUUUAUCCCUGUACCAUGUUUAAUGAUUAGGAUAUCUUAAUCAAACUAAUGAGGAUCUAUGUGGCAUGUGGUGUAACAAUAUGCUACCGUGCAAAAUCAAAUUUCUCAUAUGUAUACAUGAUUGUGCAAACAUGAUACUAUCUCGAUCACUUCAUUGGAAUAAACAUAACUGGCAUUGCCUAAGAGAUGCAUCGAUGAUGGAACUCCCGAAAAAUCGACGGCAUGACACGAGAGACAACAUGCUUUGUUUGCCUAGAACGGUUGCCUCCCAAUCACGAUGUUAAGUACGCACCAGAUAAAAGCAUCCCCCACCAAAUAAACAGUAGAGGACUCAAAACAAGGCUGGUUAAUCAACAGCACCAAAUAAACAGUAGAGGACUCAAAACAAGGCCGGUUAAUCAACGGUAUAUGCUCUUUCAAAAAGCCCCAAUCCCAACUCUCUCCAGUGCUCCGAUUUGCAUUCACCUUCUCUCUCUUGCGAAACAAAUCCAGUGUGUACAUACACUCAAGGCAAGAGGCAAGAUCUCAAAAUGUAUGGGAGCAAGCUGACAAUCAAAGCUUAACGCCAAUUAGAGAAUGACCGAGAUUGGGCUGGCCUUGUGCAUGAUGGUUCUUGACCAGCAAGUAACGAGUCAAUAAUCAUAUCUUAGGGCCGAUCCAUCAACUAAUAACCAUGCAAAUCGCACUAGAAUGCUCUCAGAUUGACUAAUGAUAGAAGCAAAUACUGGAAAUCAAAUGGGCAAAACAUCGAACACCUGAUGAACAUGAAACUCGAAGUGCUCAAGGGAGAAUACUCAACAAAUCAUCGGUGAGGAGUAUAGAGUGAGAUGUUCAUUUUAAACAUUAUCAGAGACAAAAUCGAUGAAUAUGAGGACAGGCGUGCACUGAAACAUGCGAGGUUGAAACCAAAAUAGAGCAUAGGAGAGGGAUGCAUUGGCAGAGCCGUCAUUGCUUGAGAUUGAUGAUCGCCCGAAGGAGAGAGAUCCUAAUGGACAAUAUAACCGGGACCUAGAACCGUCAAAGGUAGCGAUGACUCUGAAACAGGGGUGAACGGAGCCUCUUCACGGCGGUGAAACUGGUGGCGAUCGGCCACGGAAUUGCUGAUAUCUUUGCGGAUGCUGCGUCGGUGGCUAGCGAUGGACGAUCAGCGGUGGCUAUCAGCGACCUGAGGGCGAUGGAGAGGGAAUCGCCAGGAGAAGCUGCUGCCACGAGAAGCUCCUCAACCCCGAGACGAGUUGGACUAGCUUAAUGGGCCUACGGGUUUAAUGGGUUUGAUCUCUGGGCCAAGACGUCCUCUCAUGAUGAGCUUGACAUGGCCCAGGCUGCGCAAAUUGGACAAGGCCCUUUUAUUUAUGACCGAAUUGGAGCCUUUUUUUUAAAAUUAUUUUCUCUGUUUUUUUUAUUAUACAUGUCUUCUGAAAGGAAACAAUACUUUUUUGAAGAUUCAAUCCCUCCGCGGCUGUGUUACCUCCAAGAUAUGACCAUAGUAGAUAUCUUGUAUAAUUUUCUUUCAUAAGAAAUUCCAUCUUGUUCGAAAGAGUAUGACAUUUGAAAGUCAUGGGAUGUCCAAAAGCGCAUUUGAUACUAUGAUAUAAGAUAAAAGAAGAUUGGCCACCAUAGUUGUCUAGCACUGAAUUCACUACGAAAAUUUGAGUAUGGUGAUGGAUUUUUUUCAUGUUGCUUGGACGGAUAAACUUGAAGAAACAAAGUUCAUCUCACAUACGGAUUGGUACUUGAAAGAGAGAUUGUUGAGCAAUAUGCAAGUACUAGUUUAUAUCGAAUAACCAUUUGAAUGAUUAUAUAAUAAAAAUAAGUUUUGCAGAGCUUUUGUUUUUUAUUUUCUUUUAUUGCUUAUUAGCAUAAUUGUGUGCAUAAGAUAGAAACUUGAAUUUGUUAAUAUAAGUGUUAAGAUUAAUAUGGUGGGUAGGAUAUUACUAUUAUGUAUUCUAUGAUUAUGUCAUUUUUGGUGAACCGAACAUCUUAAUGGCAAAAUUAAUGCCUCUAGGAAUGGUUACGUAGCUGCUGAAAUGGGUUCUCUUAUCAUUCCAUGCACUUUUGGGUUCAUCAGUGGUUACUUUCAAGCCCUUUUUCAACGUUGGGGGUAAAUAUACUAGAAGUGUCAAAAGUUGUGUACGGCGCUCACUUUAAUGCCAAAAGUUUAUUUUGGAUCACUGAAGUGCCAAUAAAUUUGAAAAACGAUCAUUUCAAUACCAACGCCAAUCUAAUUAGCUGGAAAUCCGACAUGACACUUUUUUAUUAAUUUUUUAAGCUAACGUGGCUUGUCAAAGAGUACAGUCAGCAUCCAAACAACAAAACGACGUAGUUUGGCAUCUUUUCCCCAAGUAAGAACCCUAAAUCCCCAAAUUGAGAAAGAGAGAGAGAGAGAGAAGGCAUGGGCUUCCCCCUUGUCUUCUUCCUCGAAGAACAACACUAGCAGCAGCACCAGCAGCGACACCAAUAAUGGCACCUUCGACCCCCCUUCUUCCUCCUCCUGCUCCACCCUCACCUCCUAUUCUUUCCGCCACUUCUUGCUUGAGUAACAACCUCAGCCUCUCCUCGCUCAUUUGGUCGAGCAACUACGAUGGCGGUCGAGCGACGAUGUUCGAGCAACGGGGGGCAAAUGACGGUGGCCAAGCAACGGCAGGCGAACGACAAAGAAACCCUAAUUUCAAUCCUCAUAUGAGCUAUGUGGCGUCGUUUUUGUGAGACUGUCCACAUAUGAAGACAAAACGAUGUCAUUUCUUAAGGAGGAUGGAAAACGGCGUCGUUUAAAAGCCACCACAACUUUUUUUUAAAUAUAUAUAAGCCACGUAAUUAAUUUGGUCGGAAUCUCUCACCGGUGGCAUCAAAAUGAUCGUUUUUUCUCCGAUUUGACAUUGAUUCGAUAGAAACUUUUGGUACCAAAGUAAGUGCCUUACACAACUUUCGGUACUUCUAGUAUACUUUCCCCUCAAUGUUGCCUAGAAUUUCCUUUUCGUGUGCCCCCUAUAAAAUUUCAAUUGGGGGAGAGGGGUCUCUGCAAGUGUGAAGUGCUGUGGUAACGAGAAUGAGGUGCUUCUGUGAAAGUGUGUCCCUUCAGUUAGUGAUGAUGAGCGUUUUAUGUUCAAACAUCGAAACACAACUUCUUGAAGUGAAUAAUGCGAAUGAGUCAGUUGUUUGAAUGCUAUGAUUGACCUGAUGAGUAGUGGCUCUGUAUUCCUCGCCUCUAGCUUUUUACAGAGACUCAUUGUACAAUCUUUCCUCGCCCAUUGUUUUUUUUUUUUAAUUAACAAAGUAAUUAGUGGUAGCACAAACUUAGCAUGCAAUUUUUCAUCCAAUGUUUAAUUACAUAUGUGAUUUGUGGCAAUCAAGGAUCAAGGAAGCAAUUGGUGUACUGAGGCCUACUUGCCUAGUUCGAUUAACGUCUUUGAUGCAAUUCAAGAGUUGGAAGCCGUGGCAAUAACGAACUUCAUUGUAGUGCUAGACGAAGGCUCAAGUUCCAUCAUGCCAAGUUGAGGGAAUAGUUGCCAGAUAGACUCUUUUGUGGGAUUCCAUAAGUGAUUGGGGAUCAUUUCAGCUGUACAAUUUUUGGUUCUUGGCUCUGAUGUAAUCAGUUCAUGUUGAUCAAUAAAAUGUCAGUGCUGAAGAAUCAAUUUUUAUUUGCAGGAUGUUUGAGAUCGAUGUGAUAUGAGCGGUUUUGCAGCUUGAGAAUGGACAAACUCUUAAAUUAGCAUUGUUAGUGUGUUGGCUGCAACUCAGAUUGAAAAAAUUGCAACAUUGGGAAACGGUUACUAUUGUUUUAUGUAAGAUUGAGCAAUUAUUGUCCCAAUAUGCAUCUUUGCACCUUAAAACGUGCGAAAUUUUUUAAGACAUUGUUGUAUUUGUCAAAUUUGAUUUUUUAACAAAAAAAGAAAUGUGAUAAUAGUUAACAUUUAAUUUGUAUAAAUUGUGGUUAUGACCAAAAAAAGAAAUUGUAUAAAUUGUGAUAAUUUCUAAUUGUAAGCAAAUUAAAAUUUAAAAAGCUUGUUUUGAUCGCUCAAAGAAACUUUAAAAUGUGUUUGAACCAAACGGUCUUUCACUAUUGCUUCUCAAAGCAAAAGUUUUAUCAAAUAGUAUUUGCAUUUCCUCAAAACUCUUUAGGCUAAAUUGCUUUACAUUUUCCUAAAGUCCCUUGAGAAAAUUGAACUAAAUGCAGCCUUAGAAUGAAAAGCAAUGCCGACUUGAACGGCCUCGACUUGUGAGCAAUGCUAGUAAGGAAAUCACCGGUCGGAAGGGGAAGGAUACAUGGCCGACUCAGAUGGAGGAGAAUGUGCCGCAAGAUCGGGUGAAAAACAUAGAGAGCAUGAAAAUCAGUAACAAUGCAUACGAUGCAAUAGCGAAUCAGACAUAUGACAACAAUCUUAAACAUCAGUUUUAUAGAAUAGAAUUUGGUUCUUCAUUGAGACAUUUUGUCAAGCACUUGAUAUGCAAUUCGGAGUCCGGGAUCCGACCUAGAUUUUAGUGUGAUUCUCGGCCAAAACAUGUUAAACAUGGCUUUAAAUUAAACUCAUCACUUUGCAUUUCAAAUAAGCUUGAGUCUCACUUGAUUCGUUAAAAAAAAUUUCGAUGAAGUUCAACACCACACCUCAGCGAAGCAAGGGAACAUAAAGCGAUGUUACCUGGUUCGAGGUCGAGCACCGCCUUCUCUCUCGUGUUCUCUCUUCCUACUCGAGCGAUCCCUCCCCAUUGGCUCUCUCUCAAACUUCUUUUCUUUGGUUUUCUUCCAGCGAAGCUCCCUGCCGCUCACCACUUCUCUCUCUCGCAAAGCUCUAGAAAUGCGGUGGGCUGUAGGAAAGAGCUGAUGAGAAUAAAUAAAUUUGUCUGAGGCAUGCAACCGUAAACACUGUCUUUAAGGAUAAUUUCACUCCUCAGAGUGCGAAACUCGGUGCGAUAUGCUUUGACGGCUAUCCUCCCAAGAUACAACAGACCUUCUUCUAUAUUCCGCACUGAAUAUUAGAAGGAACAGAAACAACGUUGUGUACAACCCAGCAAAGAAAAAGAAAGGAAAGAUUUUCUCAAGAAAGAAUAUUCUCUAUUUUAUUCAGUGUAUUUUUUAAGAUUAUCUUAUGAGAUUUUAUAUUCAGACAAAAUAGAGCCAUUAAAAGAGCCGUUGUAAAAUAAUGAAGGAUUUAUUUGAGAAAUAAAUUAAACAUUACAAAACAAUUGAAAAGCCGUUAUAUGACCAUUAAGAAACCGUUAUGUGACUGUUAAAAAUAAUGAUGGUUUUCAAUGCGGUCAUAACUUUUAUCAAAGCUAUUAUUGUAAAUAUUUCAAAAUAUUAUUGAAAUAUCCAACAAUCCCCCACAUAUUUCAAAAAAUUUUGAAAAUAAAAAAUUAAUAUGAUGCUGGGUUAUUAGAGUGUAAUGCAUUGGAAUUGGUGCUUGUUAGGCUAUAAACCUGCCCUAGAAAAAAUGAAAUAUAAUUCACGAAUAUUGGUGAAGUUUGAAGCUUCUAUGAACCAAAAAUUUCUUUUGUGAAUUAUAAUUUUCAUCAAUCACAUUGCACUCUCACAAACUUUGUUGUUCAACGCAGUUUUGCACUAAUAGGCCAUGCGCGUGCUUGGUUUAUUCAUAAGUACUUUAGAGAUUUUCGCCAAAAAUUCUCAUAGGAGCGGCCCCACUCCACACUUAUAUAGGUGAUUCCAUCAAAUGUAUUCUAUAGCUUAAUACACUACCAAUAAUGGCCAUGGAAUUUCAUUAAGAACUUAACUCAACCUUUUUUUUCCUUGCAGUUUUGCGCCAUUCUCAUCUUAUGAUGGACAAUAAUUUUUAAUAGUGCAUCACUAGAACAACAAGUGACUUGUUAUUACUCAUAUGAACCUAAUUCAUGGGAUCGCCAAUCACAUAUGUUGGGUUACCAUCACUGUUAUUUUUCCUCAAUUGGCUUAAGUCCCAUUCCCCUCGAUGUGUCGUAAAUUAAUUUUCUUCCCACAAGUUUAGUUAGAGGAUCGGCCAAAUUCACUUCUGACUUUACAAAAUCGAUGGAUAUAAUUCCAUCUUUAAGCAGCUACUUUACUACAUCAUGUCUCAAUCGGAUGUGUCUAUUUUACCAUUGAAAAUUAUAUUCUUUGCAAUGACUAUUGCCGCUUGGCAAUCACAGUGCAUAGACACAGAAGGUGUCGGUUUCAUUCCCAAAGGAAUAUCCGCUAAGAGGUUCCUUAACCACUCAGCCUCAUUGCCAGCCAAUUCUAGAGCCAUAAACUCUAACUCCAUGGUGGAUUUAGCAAUUAUUGUUUGUUUGGUUGACUUCUAAGUUACAGCACCUCCACCAAGGGUAAACACAUAUCCAUUAGUGGAUUUUGUCUCAUCUGAAUCCAAAAUCCAAUUAGCAUCACCGUAUCCUUCUAAUACAACAGAAAAUCCACUAUAUAAAAUACCAUAAUUCAUGGUUCCUCUCAAAUAUUUCAUUAAUCUGCUCAAAGCAGUCCAAUGAUCAUCAUUGGGAUUUUGUGUAUAUCUGCUCAGUCUACAUACAGCAUAAGCUAUAACAGGUCAAGUAUAAUUCAUCAAAUACAUCAAACUCCCAAUUAUUUGAGCAUACUUAGAUUGUACCGGGGCAUCCUCCUUUAUUUUUCAAUAUUUGAUAUAGAAUCAUAAGGGUAUUCAUAGGUUUGACAUCAAAGUGAUCAUAUUUUUAAGUAGCCUCUCCACAUAAUGAGCUUGAGUAAGCAUUGGGCCACUAUCACUUUUUAUGAUUCUAACACCCAAAAUAAUAUUAGCUUCCCCCAUGUCCUUUCAUAUCGAAUUUAGAAGUCAAAAAAAUAUUUUGUUUUAUUCACUACAUCAAUACAUGUACCAAAAAUAAGCAUGUUAUCAACAUAUAAGAUAAUAAUUAUAGAUUCACCAUCGACGGUUUUCGUGUAUACACAUUUAUCUACUCCAAUAGAGAAAAAACCAUUAUUAACUAGAACAUCAUCAAAUUUCUCAUACCAUUCCUUUGGUGCUUACUUUAAGCCGUGUAAGGAUUUAACAAGUUUACAAAUUUUGUUUUCUUGGCCAGGAAAAAUAUAGCCCUCAGGUUGCACCAUGUAAAUUUCCUCUUCCAAAUCACCAUUUAAAAAAGCUGUUUUAACAUCCAUUUGGUGAAUAAUGAGUUUGUAAAUAGAAGCCAAAGCAAUUAAAACACGAAUUGAUGAAAUUCUUGUAACUGGAGCAAAAGUGUCAAAAUAAUUAACAUUUUGUUUUUGAGUAAAAGCUUUUGCAAUUAAUCUUGCUUUAUAUUUAUCAAUAGAACCAUCAGGAUUAUAUUUUCUUUUAAAAAUCCAUUUAAAACCGAUCGGUUUUGCACCGGGUGGUAAAUCAACUAAUUUCCAAGUUUGAUUUUGUAAAAUAGAAUCAAUCUCGAUUUUUAUAACUUCUUUCCUAAAAUUUCUUUUUGAUGAAGAUAUUGCUUCUAAAUAAGUCAAAUGAUCAUUAUCAAUAAGAUAAGUAUAAAAAUCAUUCCCAAAAUAAGUUUAUUUUCUUAUUCUUUUGCUCCUUCUCAAUUCGUCAUUUGAAUUUUAGAAAACGUUUUUAUAAAGAGGUGUAGGAGAGAUAGUAUCAACACUUAAUGGAAAAAUAUGCUAAAAAAAUUCUGCAUUUUUUGUCUCAACUAUAGUAUUAUUAUCAAGCACAUCACUUUUUAAUACAAAAAUUUUAUAUGCAGCACUAUGUUUAGCAUAAUCAAUAAACAUGCAGUCAGAUGAUUUAGAGCCUAUUUUUCUUUUCUUAGAAUUAGGAAGCAUAACCUUAGCAAGACACCCUCACACUUUCAAAUAUUUUAAAUUAGGACAAUAACCUUUCCAAAAUUCAUAGGGUGUUUUACCUGUUUUCUUAUGAGGUAUUCUAUUUUGGAUGUGACAUACAGAUAAAAUAGCUUCACCCCAUAAAUUAUUUGGAGCAUUAGAACUAACAAGCAUAGAAUGCAUCAUCUCUUUCAAAGUCUCAUUUUUCCUUUCAGCUAUGCCAAUAGAUUCAAGGGAAUAAGGAGGCGUAGUUCCAUGAAUUAUUCAUUCAUUUUCACAAAAUUCGUUAAGCAAUACAUAUUCUCCACCUCUAUAUGAUCUAAUUCUUUUUAUCCUUUUAUUCAAUUGAUUUUCUACCUCAGCUUUAUACAAAAGGAACAUAUCAAAAGCUUCAUCUUUAUGCCUAAGCAAAUAAACUUUAGUAAAUCUAGAACAAUCAUCAAUGAAGGUCACGUAAUAUUUUUUACCUCCUCUAGUCAUGGUUUGUUUUAAAUCUCCUAGAUCAGUAUGAAUUAAACUCAACAAAUCAGAUUCUCUAUUUACAGAAAUACAAGACCUUUUUGUUAAUUUUGUUUCGACAUAUAUUAUACAUUUAUUAAAACAUGAGUUUUUAAUUCCAGAAAUUAAACCUUGUUUUUGCGUUUUCUUAAUAUAAGAAAUACUAACAUGACCUAAUCUACUAUGCCAUAAAUCAACAGAUUCAGCCAAGUAAGCAAAAGUAGUAGCAUUUUCAUUGAUAACAUUGGAAAUGUUAAGAACAAAAAGUCUUUGAUUACAAUAACCCUUUCCCACAAAGACGCUAUUUUUUGUCAUUACAAUCUUAUCAAAUUCGAAUGACACCUUCAUGCCAACCUUUCCUAAAAGCGCUACUAAGACUAGGUUUGCCCUUAUAUUAGAGACAUGUAAUACAUCAUUCAGGGCCAAAGUCUUGCUAGAUGUGAGUUUGAGAAGAACUUUUCCUUUCCCAAGAACUUGAGCUAUUCUUGAAUCACCAAGAUAAAUAAUUUCUUCUCCUUCCCCUACUACCGUGUAGGAGGAAAAGGCAUUUUUGUUUGCACAAAUAUGCCUGGUAGCACCUGAGUCUACCACCCACUCUUUCACAUUGGCCACAAUGUUGGCUUGGGAAAUAACCGCAACAAUUAUAUCAUUAGAGUUAUCUGCUUUAACCAAAUUGACUUUUGGUUUAGCAGGAUUGUCAUUUCCCAUUAUUAUAUUUCUGCAGUGCACUGCAUGAUGACUUGGUUUUCCACAAACAAAGCAAGAGCCUUUCUUUUUGAAGGUGGGGUGAGCAACCUUGGGUUUGUAAUUAGGUUUUUCGUUAUAAUACCUAUUUUGGCGAUGUUGAAAUUUGCCUUGCACCAAAUUUGCCUAGUAGCAAUUUCCUUGGCUUUGGCAACUUCGAUCUCCUUGUGAGUUGUAUCCUCAAUGAUAAUAUGCAUGAUCAGAUCGGCUAGUGACAACUGCUUGUCCUUGUGCUUGAGUUGUUGCUUGUAGUUAUUCCAAGACUCAUGCAACUUUUCAAUCGGCAGGCCCGCAAUAAAUUCUUCUUGUAAAUUGAUGUUUUCUGCCUUCAAGUCCUACACUAGCUUGUGAUAUUUGUUGAUUUGUGUCUUGAUCUCCUUAUCAUUGGACAUUUCCCAUCUAUAAUAAUUUCCGAUUACAAAUUUUUGUCUGCCCACAUCUUCGGCGGUGUACUUUGCAGUCAUGGAGUCCCAUAUUUGUUUCGCUUCCUUGUAUGGACAGUAGACAUCAAACAAUUCAUUAGAAAGAGUACUAUUAAUUGUGUGCCUACAUACCUUAUUAGCAUGUAUCCAUUGAUCUCAAAGCUUGUUAUUAGUUGGUUCGGCCUCCGUAAGUGCAAAAGCCACGCCAUGCACAUCUAGGAUAGAGAAAACCCUUUCUUGCUACCUUCUGAAAUUGUUGUUAUUAAAAACUUCAAUCUUCGAUAUGUCGAGGAAUGGUUUGGCAUAGGACAUAUGUGGUAAUGGUGGUAGUGCAACUGAACUGGUGGAGAUUGAGGCAUCAACAGCAAUAUCAACUUGAUGCUCCAUGGGAUUUAUCCUUAAGAUUGUAGGAAAGAGCUCAUGAGAAUAAAUAAAUUUGUCUGAAGCGUGCAAGCGUAAGCAUUGUCCUUAAGGAUAAUUCCGCCUCUUGGAGUGCGAAACUCGGUGCGAUAGGCUUCUAACGGCUAUUCUCCCAAGAUACAACAGACCUUCUUCUAUAUUCCGCAUUGAAUAUUAAAAGGAACAGAAACAACGUUGUGUAUAACCCAGCUAGGAAAAGGAAAUGAAAGAUUUUGAAUAUUCUCUGUUUCAUUCAGUGUAAGAUUGUCUUAUGAGAUUUUAUAUUCAGACAAAAUAGAGCCGUUAAAAGAGCCGUUGUAAAAUAAUGAAGGAUUUAUUUGAGAAAUAAAUUAAACGUUACAAAACGAUUAAAAAGAUGUUAUAACCGUUAAAAAACCGUUAUGUGAUUGUUAAAAAUAAUGAUGGUUUUCAAUGCGGUCAUAACUUUUAUUGAAGUUAUUAUUGUAAAUAUUUCAAAAUAUUAUUGAAAUAUCCAACAGCUGCCACUCCUCAUACUCCCGCCCUAGAUCCUGCGGAAGGCUCCAACACCGAUGCCUCCCCCGAGAUAAAUCUUCCUCACUCUCCAGAAUGCUUGAGAUGAGCGGCGUAAGCCUUGACAAACUCGUGAGGGGAGAGACGUCCUUCACCCUUCUCGCUUUCUUCUUCGCCGAUCUCCUGAUCUUCUCUCUUUCGUUCUUCUUUGCGAGCGUUCCCCUCUUGUCUCCCCGUGAAUGUCUGACCCCAUUCCCUCUCUUUUGUCGAGCACCUACUCACUUUAGCGCACACGCUGCUUGUUAAAUUGCUAAAAGGAGGAGAGAUAAGGCUAAAACUUCAUCUUACGUACAGAACAACCAAGUCUUUUACAAAAGACAAAAUACAUAACGUAAAACACACCAUAACUACCCAUAUUCUGCAUAAAGCACUUGCCCCACUAACACCUAAAAACUAGGAUAACCAACACACAUGACUUCACUAAUUCUAAUAAUUGAAAAACCAAAUCAGCAACACGUACAAAAAAGAAAUAACUAUUAUAUCAACAAUCCCUCCCUUAAACUGAUGUUUGCUAACAUUCAGUUUAACGCCUUGACUUUUUUCACCGUGCAAACACCUAGUAAUCUUCUGAGCUUCACAAAUGACUCCAUCUUGAGGGCCUUGGUGAAUAUAUCAACAACUUGAUCUUCACUCCUGCAGUAGAUUAGAUCAAUUGUUCCAUCAUUGCUAAGAUCUCUCAAGAAAUAAAACUUCACAUCAAUGUGCUUGCUUCUUCUAUGUAACACCGGAUUCUUGGAGAGUUUUAUUGCUAAGUUAUUGUCACAAAAAAUGUUAGUAGGUCCCGGUUGCUUGAAUUGUAGCUCUUCAAGAAUUCUCCUUAGCUAAAUAGCUUGACAAGCACUAACUAUUGCAGCAACAAAUUCAGCUUCUGUACGUGACAAUGUGACAAUUGGUUACUUCUUGGAUGACCACGAAAUAGCACAUGUUCCAAACAUAAAAGCAUAACCCGAAGUGCUCCUCCUAUCAUCUUGAUCUCCUGCAUAGUCACUAUCAAUAAAUCCCAACAAAUCGGACUUUUCACCAUUCUUGUAAAAUAGCCCAAAGUCUCUUUUUCCUUACAAGUAACGAAGGAUUCUCUUGGCAGCUAACAAAUGCAUUUGUGUAGGAUUAUCCAUAUAUCUACUGAUUAAACUCAUAGAAUAGAUUAUGUCUGGUCUUGUUGCAGUUAAAUACAUCAAACAGCCUACAAUUUGUUUAUAAAGUGUGCUGUCAACCUUCCUCCCUUCACGAUCUUUGUAUAACUUUAAGCCAAACUCAACUGAAGUAUUUACAAGAUUACAAUCAUUUAUCUGAAACCUGUCCAAAAUUUCUCCCACAUAUUUCUUUUGAGAAAUAAAGAUCCCAUCAUCUGAUUGUACCACUUCUAUGCCAAGGAAGUAAUGCAUCAUACCAAGAUCAGACAUUUCAAACUCAUUCAUCAUAGAUUUCUUGAAUUUUUCAAACAUGUCAUCACAACUUCCAGUAAAUAUAAGAUCGUCAACAUACAAGUAGACAAUAAGCAUUUUCCCUUUAUCUCCAAUCUUGACAAAAAGCAUAUGCUCAUAAGGAUAUUUUGAAAAACCAACUUUAAGAAAAUAAGUUUCAAUACGACUAUAUCAAGCCUAAGGGGCUUGUUUUAGCCCAUAAAGAGCUUUCUUCAAUUUAUAAACUUUAUGCUCAUUUCCAAUCUUGACAUAACCAGGGGGUUGCUCGACAAAUACCUGUUCCUCCAAGUAUCCAUGCAAUAAUGCCGAUUUGACAUCUAGCUGGAAAAUAGGCCAAGAAUUCUAUGUCGCCAAUGCAACCACCAAUCUGAUCGUGUCAUGUCUCGCAACUGGAGAAAAAACCUCUAUAUAGUCUAUUUCAUAUUGCUGCUUGUAUCCCUUGGCUACCAAACGUGCUUUGUAUUUGUCAACUUCACUAUUUUCUUUCAGUUUUGUUUUAAAGACCCACUUUACAUCAAUGGUUUUUUGUCCAUUUGAAAGAUUGGAUAACUCCCAAGUAUCAUUUCUUUCAAUGGAAUUAAUUUCAUCCCCCAUCGCUUUUCGCCAUUUUUCUUCUUUGAUAGCACUCUCAAAAGUUGUAGGUUCAUAGUCUGAAAAUAAGGCAAAGUGAGUAAUUGAAUCUUCAAUUCCAGUUACCUCAUAAUCUUCCAUCCAAGUAGGCUUUCUUCUAAUGCGGCGAAGAGAUUGGGCUUCUUCUUCAUUAACUUCAGCGCCUGUUGGUGAAAUUCCAGCAGCUGUAGAAAUUGUAUUUAAUGAAUUUUGGGGCAUAUAAGGUGUUGAAAUUUGCUCAUGUUCAGCAUCAUUGCCAUAAAGAACUUGGGUAAGCUGCUGCCUAUUCCAAUCCCAAGUGUUCUCUUCAUCAAAAACAACAUCCCUGCUAGUCACAAUCUUCAUUGUUAGUGGAUUGAAUAAUUUAUAUGCUUUGGAUGCUUCACUUACGCCAAGAAAGACACAUUUUUUAGCCUUGUCAUCAAGUUUCUUCCUUUUCAUGUCCGGGACAUGGGCAUAUGCGAUGCAUCCAAAGAUUCUGAAGUGAUCUACAGCCGGUCUUCUCCCACUCCAAGCCUCUUCAGGUGUCAUAUUCUGAACAGCAAAAGUUGGACUUUUGUUCAAAACAUGAAUACUCCAAUUUACUGCUUCUGGCCAGAAAGUCUUUGGAACUCUUCCUCUUGCCAAUAAGCUUCUCACCAUGUUGAGAAUUGUUCUAUUUUUCCUCUCAGAUACACCAUUCAGCUGUGGUGUAUAUGCAGCAGUAAGCUCUCUUCGAAUGCCAUGCUCUGCACAAAAAAUUUCAAAUUCUUUUGAGCAAUAUUCACCACCACGAUCUAUUCGAAGAGUCUUAAUGGUCUUUCCUGCUUCAUUUUCAACACAAGUUUUGAAGCUUUUAAAUGUGGAAAAAGCUUCUGAUUUUUCCUGUAAAAAAUAAACCCAAGUUUUUCUGGAAAAAUCAUCAAUGAAGAUAAUUAAGUAUCUUUUACCUCCAUUAGAAGAUGGGUUUAUGGGACCGCAAAUGUCCGAAUGCACCAGCUGCAAAACAUCCUUUGCUCUCCAUGACUUUUCUUUUGAAAAUUGAGAACGAUGUUGUUUGCUAACAACACAUUCUUCGCAAACUUGGGAAGGAACAGUAAUUUGAGAAAGACCUGUCACCGUGUUUUUCUGUUGGAGGGUCUUCAAUCCACCAAAACUCAAGUGACCAUAGCGAAAAUGCCACAGCCAUGAGGGAUCUUUCUUUUUAGCCAUCAAACAAGAUUGCAUAUUUUCAAUCUUUAAUGGAAACUAUUUGAACUCAUAGGAACAACUGCAAUAGCACCUCUAACAGAAUCAUAAAUUUCACAAGCACCCCUUUGAAUGGUGAUUAUAUAACCCUUUUCUUGUAAUUGGCUAGCACUCAAUAGGUUACUUUUCAAGUUAGGAACAUAUAAUACAUUAGAGAUUGUUUCCACAAAACCAUUCUUGGUUCUUAUCUUAAUAUCACAUUUUCCCAUUACUUUGACAGUAGAAUGAUCCCCAAAACUCACAGUAGAAUGAAAAUCUUCAUUUAGAUGAGAAAAAGAAGACUUACUUCCACUCAUGUGGUUACUGCAGUCUGUAUCCACAUACCAAAUAUCUGACUCGCGUUUCUUUUCAUCUUGAACAUCCAUCAACAACAUUUCUGCUUCCUUUUCUUCAACAAAAUUUGAACUCUCUGCCUUUUUUAUUAUUAUUAGACAGCCUAGUAUAACAUUUAAAUGCAUAAUGACCAAAUUUAUGACAUCUAAAACACUCUACCUUGGAUUUGUUAGGAUCUCGUCCUCUGCCUUUGCCUUGAAAUUGGUCAUUAUUGACUUUGAAAUUCUUGUCAACAUCUCUAUUUCCUCGAUCUCCCCUUCCUCUACCUCUACAUCUACCCUUUCCUCUGAAAUUGUUGGAAUGAGUAUUGAUAGAAGCCUUCAACACUUGCUCCUCUACCGUUGAACUUCUGUUCAUCUUCUGUUCAUGAACCAAUAAGAAGCUUUGCAAUUCAUCAAGAGAGAGCGCAUUUAUGUCUUUCGACUUUUCAAUUGAGCAGACAACAUAAUUAAAUUUUGGUAUCAAGGAACGCAAAAUCUUCUCCACAAUGGCUACAUCGUCCAUCUUCUCGCCAUGGAAUCGCAUCUUGUUGCUGAUCUCCAUUAUUCUGGCACAAUAACUAGUGACAGAUUCUCCAUCUUUCAUCGCUAGUGUCUCAAAAUCUUUUCUCAAGGCUUGAAGCUGUGCACGCUUCACUCUAACAGAGCCUUGAUGUUUCUUCUUUAUAGAAUCCCAAAUAUCCUUGGAAGUUUCUUUGCAAAGAAUAGUCUCCAAAAUGGGACAAUCGAUAGCCUGAAAAAAAUAAUUUUUUGCCUUCAAGUCCUUCAACUUUCUAAAUUCCAAUUCUACUUUUUGGGGAUAUGUCAAAGCCAUGCCUGCUGGUGGCUCUUGAAUUCCAAAUUCGACAACCGACCAAUACUCCUUUGAUCGUAAAAAAUUCUCCAUUAGCAUACUCCAAUGGUCAUAGUGACCAUCGAAGCGUGGAACUGAUGGUUAAACAAAAUUAUCGGUGGCCAUUAGAAAUAUUGCUGCUGCAAUUUUCUCACAAAAGUAUCUCACACCUCUAAAUUUUUUUUUUUUUAAAACUCUCUCACGCUUUCUCAGGCUCUAAUACCACUAUUAAAUUGCUAAAAGGAGGAGAGAUGAUGCUAAAACUUUAUCUUACAUACAGAACAACCAAGUCUUUUACAAAAGACAAAAUAUAUAACAUAAAACACAUCAUAACUACCCAUGUUCUGCAUAAAGCACUUGCCCCACUAAUACCUAAAAACUAAGAUAACCAACACACAUAACUCCACUAAUUCUAAUAACUGAAAAACCAAAUCAGCAACACGUGCAAAAAAGAAAUAACUAUUAUAUCAACAAUGCUCACGCCUCCGCCAGGAAUCUUUCCUGUUAUGCCUUGUUCUCCUCGCGUGCCAACCAGCUCUUCUAGAAGGUUCAGGUUUGGUCACGUCACCUGUCCGUUCUCACGCCCUCGCUCACGGACGCUUCUCAUUGGCCUUCACUUUCUUGCAUCACCGCCUACAUGCUCGAUGGAGAGGGGACGGCGCGCGUGAAGAGAAGAAGAGGGCCCAGCUUCGGACUGGGCUCUUUUGUUAAAGAUAGGCUCCAAAAAGAAAAAAAAAAAAAAAAGGGCUAAAAAAGAAGUCGAAAGAUGGGCCAUGAAAACAAUAGACGAAGUGGGCCGAUAAGAAACAAAAAGAAGAUGGGCCAAGGGAGAGGUGAGCCAAAGGUUCAGCCAAGUGGGCCGGACAUGCCGGCCCGCUCGAUUUCCCCCUUUUGUGUAUUUUUUAAGUCAUUUUUAUCCCUUUUCUUAUCUUCUUCUUUUAUUAUAUAUUUUUUUGUUUUUAUAUUUUUGUAAAAUAAAUGGAUACUUAAAACGUCAAUAAAUAUUCGGGUGUCAACACUAAUGUGAAUAUUAAGAUAUUUGAUUUUUUUUUAGAAUUGAGAGAUGAUAGUUUAUUCACAACCAAGAUGAUACUAGCUUUCCCAAAAUUUUCUGAAUGUUACACGAAUCAUUUCUGAUGUUGUGACUAGUAACAUCAAACCAACUAGAUUUUAGCGUCUCAUAAAUCCUACUACCAAAUAAAGGAUCGAGUGGUAUUUGACAAUAAAAGCAUGGAUUGCUCUCUGCAGCUUGAGCCUCAUCUUUUCAGCUCAUUGCUUAAUGACGAAUUAUCUCAAGAGAAUUAAGCCUUGUCCAACAUUUAAUGCAAUAUUGUUCGGAGGAUAAGUUCUAUUCUACUAGUAGAAUUUUGUGGAUAAUGACAUUAUAGGUGUCAUAAUUUUUAUACGGUGUUCAUUUGAGUGUCAAAACUUCUUCUUUUUUUCGAUUACUUGAGUGUUGUGACUUUUAAAAAAUGUUCACUUGAGUUCAAUCAUUUUUAAUUGAUCGCUUGAGUACUACAACUUUUAAAAAAUGUUUACUAGAGUGUCUUAAAUCCGACAUCGUAUAACACUUCUGGUGAAUAUUUUAAAAAAGUUAUGACACUUAACUAACCAAUUAAAAAGUUAUAUGACACAUAAGUGAUGGGAAAAAAGUUUACAUCUUAUCUAGAGAUUAUUAGUCAUUGUCUUGGAACAUUAAAUGUCUGGGAUCUGAGAAUUUGCCUAGGCUCGGAGAGUUGUUCUAAGUUGAAUCUAUUUAAACCCCUCUAAACCUUUCUUUUGAGGGAUGGAGUGUUUUGAUUAAUGAAAUUCAUAAUUGAAAAGUUUUAUCUUAACUCUGCAUUGUAGACGUUCGAAUUUCGUCGACCAUUUUUAAAUGCAUGAUAUAAAUAGAAUUAAUUCAUGAACUAGGAACAUUACAAUAUCGAGACCUCGAGCCCAUUAAUCGAAAUUUUGACUGACAGAUUCCAACACAUUCCUCUCUUCCUCCUCAACGAACACCAUCCGGCUCUCUUCAGAUUCCUCUCUUCCUCCUCAAUGAACACCAUCCGGCUCUCUUCUCUCUCUCUCUCUCUCUCUCUCUCUCUCUCUCUCUCUCUCUGUGCAGCGCAUCUCUCACCUCUUGCAUUCCAUUCGGCCAAAACUAUAGCCAGCAGGAGGAGCUCGUCUUCUUCCUCUCAGCUUCUUCCUCCCUCCGUCGCCGUUCCUCCUCCAAUUCGAGAUCGCCGCUUAGCUCAUAAUCGGAAGCUCACCUCCAGUUCAUCGAGAGCGCUGCCUCAGCCUUGCUCUCCUCUCUUCUGCCAUGUCAGCUGGCCAGAAUUUGUCAAAUCGCAAAGUUCUCCUUGUCGAACGGAAUCGAGACUAUCUUCUCUUGUUUGGAUGAAGCUGGUCCAGAUUUUCGAGAAAAUGAAGCCGAGCCGCUCUCCUCUCUUUAGCUCAUUUGAAAUUCAUUUUUUUGUGGAGAUGUUGGCUCUAUCGUCCGUAGCUCAUCUCCAUUGCUCCAUCAACAAACAAGCUCUAUCUCCCGUCCAAGGACGCCGGUUUUUUCUUGGUUUGGUGCGUCUUAUUCAUUCCGAGGGCUGGUUUUGCCUCUGUUCUCCCCUGUUCACGGAUCGUUUUUUUAAACGAAAAUGAUCCGACGAUGCCAAGUUUCGAUCCCUGUCCAGACCAGUCUGAAAACAUUAUCUGGCAUCCUCGUGCCGCUGUCCAAAUUUAAAUUGCUUGAUACCUAAUCAAAAUGGAUUGAGCCUAAUAUGUCCCCAGAUGUUACUUGUGUGUGCAUUGGUUGGUUUGAUACAUAUUUUGAUUGUGAAAACUAAUGAAAGGUGAGGGAUUUAAGGUAAUAAACAUCAUGCUGCUACCCAUACCUGGUAUUGUGCCUAUUUUUGUGAUUUUUACUCGAUCCAUAUGUCAAUUUUUGUGCGCUUGUGUUUUCCCAAUGACAUAGUCUGUUAAAUACAACCAUUGAUUGCACAUUUUCAUAUUUGUUUUAUAUAUUAAGGCAUCUUGGAUCACUUGUCAUGUGUUUGAAAUAUUGCAUUUAGGAGCUGGCUCUUCACCAGCCCCUAAUAGGUUAACGGUGUCCCCAAUUAGAUAAAACAAUUUCAUAAAUUAAUUGAAUCCCUCAACGUCACAAUCGGUUAGGCAUUGGGAGAAUAGCGAACAAGAGUGUGCACCUCAAAUAGAUGGAUCGUCCGUUCCCGUUCGACAAACUGUUAAGACUUUGCUUCGCCUAAGAUGCACCAGUGGUGUGGCACCACAUGGGACAACCAACAAUUACUAGAUUGCCUUCCUGGCAAAAAUCAGCUAGAAUGGCAACAUUUCUAUGAGGGGAAGUGAUGCGGAUGCUGCCAUUUACUGGUUGGUUAGAAUGCUGGAAAGAGGCGAGCAGCCUCUUUACGUUGCGCGGCGAUUGAUCAGGUUUCCAAGCCACGAUGUUGGUUUGGCCGACCUGCUGGCUCUUAAUCAGGCCGUUUCUUGUUACCAAGCUUGCCAUUUCAUAGGGAUGCCAGAAUGCAACGUGGUUCUUGCACAGUGCGUCGCCUACUUGGCUUUGCUCCAAAAUCAAUUGCCAUUUAUCGAGUGAUAGGAGCUGCACAGAAGGUAGUGAGAGAAUCUGUUGGGCAAAAUGAGGUAGUCCCGCUGCAUCUGAGAAAUGCGACUGCCAAGCUGAUGAAGGAAAUCGGAUAUGGAAAAUGCAACAUAUAUACUCCUGACGAUCCUCAGGCAACGCAAAGCUACAUGCCACCCUCACUUCAAGGGCACAAAUUCCUGGACUGGCAAAGUACUAAUACCCGAGAAAUGAGGAGCCCGUAAGCUCCCGCAAAGCAGUCUUUGGAGCUCUAACUUUUGCUCGUUAGGCACUUUUGUCCAUUCCCAAAUUUUGUUUGGUCGAACAAGUUCAUAGCCUCUUUUGCUGUCGCAUUUAUAAUCGCGUUUUUUGUUUUGAAGUAGGUCGAUAACAAGCACUGUAAAGUAUCUUAAGACCGUAAUCAUGAAGUUUAUGAAGACACGUAUAGGAUGCUGAAUGUGCGUACUCUUUUCCUAACUACAGUGAGUGCUCAUAUGCUAAUACUACCAUACUCCUUGACAACUAAGACAUGACAUUUAUCUUCUCAUGCUCUGGCACCAAGAGAUUGUCUGGUUUCUUGCAUCUGAUGCGUAUUGUUUGCCGAAACGAGACAGAUGCAUCCUCAGUGUUUGAGGUGACUAUUUGCUUCAGACAAUGUUGAUGCUGAAACAAGAAGCAAUUGAAGCAUAGCAUUGGAAUUCUCGAGUUUGAACCAGGGGAGUCUCAGCUCGCUUGACGGAACCUUCUUCUCAAAAUAACAUGAAAGCAGAAAAAGAUUAUUACCCACAUAUGAUCACAUUGUAAAUCAAAUCAUCCAUGGAUAAUGAGAAAAACGUAACAUAUACAGUGAGCAUUCCACUUCUUUACAAAUGGAGGCAUCUUCUCUAUCAUGGAGCGCCAUCUCUUCUUGAGGCUUCUUGAUUUGGGGUGUACACACACUAACAAUGGAAUAUCACAAACCCCCAGCAAAUAGCUCACAUCUGUUCAAUCAAAACAAAUCAAAUUUUGACAAAUUUGAGUAUUGUUACACAGUUCUAUCACACCCGACUUUAUCUCACCACUGUAAGAACAACAGAGUACCGCCAUAAUGAGCUAACGCACCCAUGAUCAUGAAGACGUGAAACAUCUGAUGGCUGUGACCAGCAAGGUCCAACCAACCCGCUUUUAGCCUCUCAAGAAUCCUGCUAACAUAUAAAAAAAAGCCACCUGUAAUGUAAUACACUGCCAUGGCCAACUCAUAAGCAAGCGUGAUCGGGCACUGGGGAUUGCUCCAGUUCACAAUACGGGCAUGGAUCGCAGGUACGAUACCGAAAAACCCCAUGGAUGAGAAGAGCAUCGCUCAAAACGCCUGGAAUUUCCAGAAGAAAGAGAAGGCGCAAGCAGUCUCACGAAAGUGAACAUCCCCAUUGCCAUUAUUUUUGCUGAUGUAGAUCAGUUGCCGUUAGGUGAUUAUCAUGACCGUGAUGCCAACAUAGUCCAUCUGCAGCAGUUGGUUGUUCAAGCAGUGUGAUUGGGCUUGAGAAAAGGUGGCAAAUGCUGCUCGAGAGGAGGCAGAACAUGGAUUUGCCCAGAAAACAAANNNNNNNNNNNNNNNNNNNNNNNNNNNNNNNNNNNNNNNNNNNNNNNNNNNNNNNNNNNNNNNNNNNNNNNNNNNNNNNNNNNNNNNNNNNNNNNNNNNNNNNNNNNNNNNNNNNNNNNNNNNNNNNNNNNNNNNNNNNNNNNNNNNNNNNNNNNNNNNNNNNNNNNNNNNNNNNNNNNNNNNNNNNNNNNNNNNNNNNNNNNNNNNNNNNNNNNNNNNNNNNNNNNNNNNNNNNNNNNNNNNNNNNNNNNNNNNNNNNNNNNNNNNNNNNNNNNNNNNNNNNNNNNNNNNNNNNNNNNNNNNNNNNNNNNNNNNNNNNNNNNNNNNNNNNNNNNNNNNNNNNNNNNNNNNNNNNNNNNNNNNNNNNNNNNNNNNNNNNNNNNNNNGCACCAACUGAAUAACUAUCUAGCUGCUUAGCUGAUAGUGUCAAAUUCAAUUAGACAACCAGUGAACUACUCUUCACUAAAAUAGCUAUUUUCCACUAUGAUUUGGUUCAGAAAAUCUCAGCAGCAAUCAACUUUCAGAGCAUUCUGCAAUAGUUUAUUACAAAUCCACCAUGUGUGAACUUUUUCUUGACACACUGUGCUACUUGCAUGGAAAAUGAUUAUCCAUUGACCAUGGACUGAAUCCAUAUUGUAUUACCAGGAGUAGAGUGAGAUUUCCAAUGGAUUAGAUCUUUAUUUUAUGUUCGAAAAGAACAGAAAUUUCUAUGAAUACUUUGAUCCCAUCAUUGUAACUAAUGACAGAUGACCCUUGUUAUCCAUCUAAAUUUUACACUUGCUGUUUGAGCAAGACUGUCUUGACUGUCAAGCUACUACUCCUGAAAUUUAGCAGCAAUGAAAUUGGUUAGCACAACCCCUUGCAUAUUCCUAUAAAACAAACUUUCGGACUUUAAUUUUAUGUGCCUGCACUUAAUGUCACAAACUCAAGUUAUUCAUCUGUAGCACCUGCAAUAUCGUUACAGCCCUUGAAAAAAAUGCAGGUUUUAAAUGACAAUUUUUGUUGCUGUUUGGAAGAAAGGUUGGCUAAUGAAAAUGGCCGGUUGCCCAGUAUGGUAACAAGCCACAAAUAUCACAAUACUACAUUGACUUGUACAAACUUUGAGCAAUUAAAAUUGCAAGGAGGACCCUUGUAUACUCCAACGAAAUAAAUUUUCCGAAUUUAACUUAACGUGCCUGCAAUUAAUGCCACAAACUUGAGUAAUUCAUUUGGGGCACCUGCAAUUUCGAUACAACACCAGAAGAAAAUGAAGUUUUAAUCUAGUUUCGAAGUCCGAGUCAAAAUCUAUUUUUAGCUAAAGAACACUACCUACUAAGAGAUAAUCACUAAGUGAAACUCAAAAAAAAAAAAAAAAAAAAAAUAACAGAUGGCAUGCAUAAUUGUAGCCCCUAGAUAUAAAUACCCAUUUCUUUUUUCAUCCUUUUAUGUUUGUCAUUAUUUUUUUAAGCGAAAGAGAAUCCAGCACCCAUCGUGGCAUUGAUAGAAUAAGGCUAAAUUCGAUUGUGCAUUUGAAGUCAAGCAAACAAUGUCAUCAAACCAAAACAUCAAAACGAGCAUUCACUCACGGACAUUAAUCAGUCGAAUCUUCUAGCCAAAGUUCGUACAUCAAAAAGACCGAUCGAGCAUAUUUGUCCACGCAAACAACCAAUGAAGAAGAGAUGCAACAAAAGAGUCUUCGACACCUCCAGCAUAUUCCGUUCCCAUUAUAUCCAAAACAUUCCAGUUCCACAGUAUCAUGUAACUCCAUCACCAGUCAGAAAAGAUAACAAACCCCUCAAACCCAGAUCAAUUCCUAUUCAGACAGAUCCUUCCUCUUUCUGACGCACUAAAAGCAUCCCCCACCAAAAAAAAAAAAAAAAAAAAACAGUAGAGAACUCAAAACAAAGCUGAUUAAUUAACAACAUAUGGUCUUUCAGAACCACGAAGCACCAAUCUCAACUCUCUCCGCUGCUGCAAUUUGCAUUCGCCUUCUCGCUCUUGCAAAACAAAUCCAAGUGUACAUAAACUCAGGGCGAAAGGCAAGAUCUCAACAUGUACGGGACAAGUAGACAACGAAAGCUUUAACGCCAAUUAGAGAAUGACCGAGAUUGGACUAGCCUCAUGCAUGACGGUUCUCGACCACCAAGUAACGAAUCAGUAAUCAUCUCUUAUGGUCGACGAGUCAAAGAAAAACAUGCAAAUCACACUAGAACACUCUCAGAUUGACUGAUAACAGAUUGACUGAUAACAGAAGCAAAUCAACACUGGAAGUCACGUGGGCAAAACAUCGAACACCUGAUGGAGAUGAAAUUCGAAGUGCUCGGAACAGAGUAGUCAACAAAUCAUCGGUGAGGAGUAUAGAGUGAGAUGUUCAUUUUAAACAUUACAAGACACAAAAUCGACGAAUCGGAGGACAGGCGUGCACGGAAACAUGCUCGGCUAAAACCAAAAUCGAGCAUAGUAGAGGGAUACGUUGCCGGAGCCGUCCCUGGUCGAGAUUGAUGAUCGCCCGAAGGAGAGAGAUCGUAAUGGACGGUAAAGCCGAGACCUAGAACCGUCAAAGGGAGGAAUAGACCUAGAUUCUGUACCUCGGCAGCAAUGACUCUGAAACUGGGGCGAUCGGAGCCUCUUCACGGUGGCAGAACUGGCGGCGAUCGACCGCGGAAUUGCUGAUAUCUUUGCGUCUGUGCUCUCUGCGAUGACUGCGUGCGUCGGUGGCCGGCGAUGGACGAUCCGCGGCGGCUACCGCAGGCCCGACGGGGAUGGAGAGGGGUAUCACCAUGAGAAGCGGCAGAACCCCGAGAGAGUUGGACUGGCUUAAUGGGCUUGUGGGUUUAAUGGGUUUGAUCUCUGGGCCGAGGCGUCCUCUGAUGAUGGGCUUGGCGUGGCCCAGGAUGUUAUUAUGGAUCAUGUCUGGGCUGUGCGAAUCGGACAAGGCCCUUUCAAUUAUGACCAAAUUGGAGCCUUUUUUUUUCUUUCUUUUUAUUAUUUAUUUCUUCUGAAAGGAAACAAUAUAUUUUUUUUGAAGGUUCAAGAAAAAUCCCAUCUUGUUUGAAAAGAGUUGACAUUCGGAAGUCGUGGGAUGUCCAAAAGCUCAUUUUAUAUUGCGAUUUAAGAUAGAAGAAGAUUGACUUACAUACUUGUAUAACAGCAAAUUUACUAUGACACUUUGACUAUGGUGAUGAAUUUUUUUGCUAAUAAAAAUCUCUUAUAAAAACAAUCCCAAGCUAUUAAUUUAGUUCUCUAGUCUAUGCAUAAUGAGUCUACAAACAAAUAUUAAAUUCCUUUGCCGGUUAAAUAGACAAAGUUUCCAAUUUUAUACUCCCAAACCACCUCAAAAGAAAUUGUAGCAAAUAUAUAGAUAGAUAGAUCAAUCAUACAUUUGGAAAAGUGGUAAGUACUUUAUAAUAUAUUUAUUAAUCUUUAAAAAAUUAGUUAAACUAUUGAUACAUAAAAUUGAGAGAACAUGGAUGUCAGUCGUACUUAGCGUUUAGUAGGAUAGACCACUUAUAAAGGCUGAAGGUACUCAAUGGCCAAAAACGAGAAAACGAAGCUAGCAGUAAUAGUCAAAAUGUUGAGUUUCAAAGUUUAUUAUCGACGUUCUUUUCAUUUCACGAAAAACCAAUGAUUUGUAAAUAUUUUUCUAAAAAUAGUUAUUUGUAUUAGUUAGAAUUUUCAUUGUUAACAAUAAUCUUUGCCCAAAUAAAUUCUUUAAUGAUAAAGUGCUUUUCAUUAAUUAAUGUUUGCAAGCAAUAGAAAUAUAUAUUUUUAGAGAAAUAUUUCAAAAUUUUGAUUUUUCGUGAAAUAUGUACAUAUAAACAAAUCCAAGGUUACCACCCACCUGGGUGGCGUUGCUGGCUUUGGGCCCUCUCCCCCUCGUGAAGGGGAGGGGUUCUUCCCGCCGGCUGUCGGCUUUCGGAGUUUCCUGGGUCACAAAAAAAAAAAAAAAUCCAAGGUUUUACCACCACCUUAGUAACCGCGAUAGUUUGGGCUCUCUCCCCCUAACGCAAGAGGAGGAGUUCAAAUCCUUUCACGGUCGCAUGGGGACUUAAGUGUGACGUCGAGGGUAGUGGGUCCUCCCGUUUACAUGUCACCCUAGGAUUUACUCUCUGGCUGCCCGUGCAGGGGUUCCCUAGGUAACCAAAAAAAAAAAAAAAUCAAAGGUUUUUAUCAGAUUAAUGAUUUUUUCACACAAGGUUUUUCCUUCCGUCACUUUCUUUCUCCAAAAUAUCUUCUCUUUUUUCUCUCUCUAAUUAAAGGGUUUAUAUCAGUGCCACCAUUUUGUAGCCAUUAGUGUGGGUGACGAAAGCCACUAACAACCAUCGGUAGCAGCUCCAACUAAUUGAUAGGGCCUUGCCCGGUUCAUUUUGGACAACUUUUAUGGACAAGCCCAGACCAUUCGACAUCCAAUAUAAUAAUAAUAAUAAUAAUAAUAAUAAUAAUAAUAAUAAUAAUAACUCCACCUCUCCAGCACUAGGAAUGCUAAAGAUGAGAAAUAAAAAAUAAUAGAAAGUUAAUAAAUUUCAUGAGCCAUCAAGAGCUCGAAAACCCGGUAAUUGACCCUUGCAUUUCUCAGGCACGAGUUAAAUGGGGUCAGUCCUUGGACAUAUUUUUCUAAUUUUGAUUUUAGACUUGUUCAGGCUACAAACCUCGGGGACCCGAGAUGCUAUUACCAAAAAUAAGCGAAGUAGAGAAUAUAAUUUGAUGCAAUGAGACAUAAAGGGCACAUAGAGAUAUGCAGAUAAGAAUGGAGGCAAACCAGUGUCGAUGAAAGCAUGGUGUAAAGUAUAUUUUAAGUUUAGUAACUGCUUUCACUCUAUUAAUAUGACACUUUGCAAUAGUUAUAUGUAUAAAAAAAUGGUUUGCUCAUCGUAUAUUUAGCUAUAUACUUCCAUUAGAAAUUAAAAUUUGACAAGCCAUGAAAUCACUACAAAGUAAAUUUCCACAUAGGACCAAUCUAGUGCUCCCUCGUCCAUAAAUUGCCAUAAGGGAUUUAGGAGCAAAUGAGAAAUAUGAUUACGAAUAUUAUAAUGAAAGAUGUCAAGUUUUGAAGCUCGUGUCAAAGAUUUGAACAAGCACAAAGGAAGUUGAGAGAGGAGAGGAGGGAUCGAUAAUGAGUUAACAUGGAGAUACGUUGGAGUUAUAGAUUUCUUCAUAUUGGAAAGCCAUUGAUAUCAACCGUUACCUAUAAAAUGAUUAAAUAUGAUUUUAUCAAAUGGUGUUUACCAAUAAAUUUAGACCUUGAAGGAAUUUAGAUGUGGAUUUACCCUAUAUAUAUGGAAGGAAAAAGAACUUCCACUGUGUCUCUAUUUUCAUCAACUCAAUUCAAAAAUAAAAAGAUGGAAAGAAAGAAACUUCCAAUUCAGUGUCUAUUAAUGGAUGAAUUACUAAUUACGAAAAUCCAAUUAUAUAUGUUAAGUUCAUUUACGAUGUUUUGAACGAAAUUUCUCAGAUGAAUUGAACAUUUUGAUUUGGUAGUUGACAUUAUUGGAUAAAACUUCUCCAGAUUUUAAAAGAUCCCAAUCCAUUUUUCCAAUUCGCGUAAGCACAGGGGUCAGUCCGCGUUGCUUGACCAAUUUUCCAAGUCGUUAGGGGGAAGCCAUCAUAUUGUGUGACUCAUGAGGAAAUUAAACGGCGCAAGCAACUGUGGGACGGACCGGUUGCACAAGCUUUGUUAGAAUAACUGGACACGUAGGAUCCAUUGGGUAACAUUUUCCUUAUCGAGAACAAUUUUUGUUUAAAAAUGAUUUUUGUUCAAUUCUACUCUCUGAAUGAUUUUCUAAGCAUUCGAACGCAUUUGACAACUAUACAAAAUUUUUAUUUUUGGAAUAGAAAAAGAACAUAAAUGCUUGGUACGACCCUCAAAAUUUUUUUAUGACAUAGAUCUUUUUUAAAAAAAUUUCAAUAAUUUUUUGAGAUUUUUCUAAUUAUUUUUUCAUUUUUUCUUCAUUUUCCUCCUCUAACCAGUUGUUAGGCCAGUUGGCAAGUCUUAGUGAUAGACAACAACCUUGUCUAGCAACAACAAGGUUAGCCUCGCCCUGACCGGGCAAGAGCGAGGAUGAGUGCCAACCCUCCUGAGGCCGGUGAGCCGGUGAGGUCACCAGACCUUGUCUCUGGCGAGUUGCCAACCAUUAUUAAACCUUGGCAAUCGGCUAGAGUAGUAAGAAGAAGAAAAGAAGAAAAGGAAAAUGAUCUAUUUUAUAAAUUUUUCCCAUGAACAAAGAAGCAUAUUUCUUUUAUUUCUUGUUUUUAUUCCAAAUUUAUUCCUUGUCUACUUUUCUAUUCUGAAAAAUAGAAAAAUUAAUCGAUAUCACCAAAUAGAUUUUUAUUCUUUUUCUAUUCUAGGAAAUAAAAGAGCAAAAAAAUAGAAAAACAGAAGUGUUACCAAAUGGAGCUUUAAAAGAAUCCAAUAACUUACUCACCCUAGUCAUAAAAAUUGAAAGAACUAAGUAAAUUUGGCGAGAUGUUAACAAUUUAAUAACUAGUUGCCUAAUAAGUAAGUUAUUAGUCACACCUUUUGUAUUUGUCAACAAUGUUUAAAAAUUACUAAAAAUUUGAAAAAUUUAUAAAUCCUGGAAAAUUUUCAACUUUUUCUCUAAUUGGAAGCUAGAUUCCUCUCUUAUAUAGCAAAUAAGCAACCGCUAAUCUCGUUCGAUUCUAAAACUUACGCCAUGUAAGCAUCCUUUUGAUAUGGUUCAAUGCGUCACUUAUCACCAUGUGAGAGACAAAAUCCAGUUGAGCAGCAAUUCAAACAAGAAAACGGUCAACUAGACUCACAUGUGAGUGAUUUUGUUCGAAUGGAUGGACAGCAUGAUUUAGGCGCCCCAAACAGAGAGAUAAGUCAAUGGUCGUUUUGGAAUUCAACGCUCUCCCUUGUCUCUUAUAGUAGGCUAAGGUGCAAAAGAAUUUAUGGAAUUCCAUUCCUUUCAAACUUAGAAUCAUUCUUGGAUUUACCAACUAGCCAUGUCUUUGCGAUUUGAAGUAGAGCUAGACAUAAAGGUGCUGCUCUGGAGACCGAACGAGCUAAAUUAUUUAGCACUAUUCACGACGCUAAUUGUCUCCGGUAUCUCUCCUUUGAAGCUAUCAUUUGACAAGUCCAAUAUGUCAGAUCAUUUCAUAGUGCCAAUUGAGGGAGGGAUUUUAUCUCUAAAAUUGUUGCUUGGGAUAUUCAAAUAUUGCAAAUUGGGGAGGAUAGAAAUAAUUCAAGAUGGAAGUUCUCCUUCAAUAAUAAUAACAAACACAUUGGAGAACCCCACGCCAACAAGAUUCAAAUUGCAAGGCAAAUGAAAACACCCCGACAAAUUGUUGCUCGGGAGUUAUAACUAUAUUAAAUUUGCAUUGUUGUCCAAUAACCAAUUUGGGAAAUCUCCUAUCCAUCUAGUGUGGUUGAGUAGAACAACUCUCAAGUUGCACUGUUGUUUCAUAAAGCUGGGAAUUAGACCAUUUGCGUCUUUAUUGAGCACACAGUUUGAUAAACUAACUUUAGUUGAACUGAAGCAAACCAAGGGGCUCUUCUAUAUUUACUUCCACAAAAUUAUGGUUGUCGAUGAGGUAGAAUACCUCAAGGUGAGAAUUAUUAGUCAGGAAAGCAAGCAAAAGUGAGCCUCCCAAUACAUUUUCAGAAAACACAAUAUAUCAAAGUGACUUGAGAUUAUAGAGAAGAGAUGAAGGAAUGACCCUGUUAAAAUGGUUACCUUGAAAGUCAAGCACCUGGAGUAAGGUCAUAUUUCAUGAGCAUGAAGCAACGGGAUUCCAAAAUCCAUUUCAUUUUUGACUAAUAUUCAACUCUUCAAGGUUUUUGCAGGGUUGUUAAAGUGGACAUUGCUGUUAUGAAAUCGCACGUCGAUUCCAGAAAAAUAACGCUCGCAAACAAUUCACCAGACAGAAUAUAGUAAUAAAAUAGCAGAAUCAGAUGAACACGCCAGAAAAUUUGUUAUCGAAGUUCACCCAAACCUGGGCUACGUCUCCGCGCAGAGGCACUCUGCGAAUCCACUAGACUUUGGAAAAGUUGGAAUACAACGACGAUCUUCUCUCAAGAUCAGGGCACAAAGAGAUUGAGAACCCUCAUCAAGAAAAAACUCACUUUUUUCUUCUCUCUUUUUCUUGCCUCUCUAUUUCCUUUUUCAGCGUCUUGACGGCUAGGGUUUUGCCAUCGUUAAUAUAUAGGUACCACUUUUAACCUAAAAGGAAAUCUAAUAGAAAAGACAAAAAAGCCCCUAAAAACAAAUAUUUGGCUUUAUCUAUAACAAUCUCCCACUUGAAGACAAAUAUAUCAAAGCACCAAGCAACUUUGCAUCCAUCUUCUUCAAAAAAUAGUAGUUGAAAAACUUGUGCCUCUGCGAUACUCCUCAUCAAUCAACAUGGAGUAAUACCAAUGGUAGUAGUACAGAAAAUAUGCUUCUCUCUAUCUACUACCUUGGUCAUCAUGUCAGCUGGAUUCUUCGAGCCAUCAAUCUUUUGUAGCUUUAAUUCAUUAUCUUUCAAUGUUGACCUGAUAAAGUGAUAACGCUUCUUGAUAUGUCUAGUCCUUGAGUGAUAAGCUGCAUUCUUUGCUAAGUGCACUGCACUUUGACUAUCACUCCACAGUGUACUGACUGGCUGUUUUCGAUGUAACUCCUCCAUAUAAUCUUGUAACCACAUGAUUUCCUUGGAGGCUUCUGUAAUCGCUACAUAUUCUGCCUCUGUCGUCGAUAAAGCCACUAUCUUUUGUAGUUGAGAUACCCAACUCACUGCUGUACCUGCAACUGUAAAGACAUAUCCAGUGGUACUCUUACCACUAUCUCGAUCACCCGAAUGAUCUGCAUCUACAUAACCCUGCAACUCUAGAGAUGUACCACCAUAAUAAAGUGAGUAAUUGGAAGUACUUGCUAGAUAUUUCAAUAUCCAUUUAACUGCAUUCCAAUGCUCUCUGCCUGGGUUUUGCAUAUAUCGACUCACAACUCCCACUGCUUGUGCAAUGUCUGGUCUCGUGCUCACCAUGGCAUACAUCAAACUCCCCACUGCUGAUGCAUAUGGAACUACCGCCAUCUCAUCUUUCAAAAGUUGAGUGUUUGGACACAUAUCCUUGGAAAGUUUGAAGUGACUCGCUAGAGGAUUUGCAACCGGUUUUGCCUUGUCCAUGUUAAAUCUCUUUAACACCUUGUUCACAUAGUCUUCCUGCGACAACUAUAAUUUCUUAUUUUCCCUGUCUCUGAUGAUUUUCAUGCCUAAAAUAUUCUUGGCCUCUCCCAAGUCUUUCAUAGCAAACUGUGAUAAUAACAUCUUCUUCACUUCUACGAUUCUCUUCAUAUUGGAACUAGCCACAAGCAUGUCAUCCACAUAUAAAGAUAGAUACACAAUGUCACCAUCAUCAUAUUUGCAAAAAUAAACACAGUGAUCAGACUCACAGUGUGCAAAUCCUUUUUCUUGCAUGAAACCAUCAAAUUUUAAGUACCAUUGCCGCGGAGCUUGUUUCAAGCCAUACAAGCUUUUUUUCAAGCGACAUACCAUGUGCUCCUUACCUUUGACUUCAAAACCCUUAGGUUGUGCCAUGUAUAAUUCUUCAUCUAAGUCACCAUGUAAAAACGCUGUUUUUACGUCUAACUGCUCAAGAUGAAGAUCCUCCACUGCAACUAUACUUAGCAGAACUCUAAUUGAUGUCAUUUUCACUACAGGUGAAAAUAUCUCGGAGUAGUCGAUCCCUUCUUUUUGAGAAAAGCCCUUGACUACAAGUCUCGCCUUGUAUCUCAUACUACUAUCUGCUUCAUUCUUAACCCUGUACACCUAUUUGUUUAAUAAAGCUUUUUUACCUGUGGGCAACUUGGUCAACUCCCAAGUUUUGUUCUGAAGUAACGAGCUCAUCUCGUCUUUCAUAGCACACUCCCACUGCAAGUGAGACGUGUCUGCCUUUGCCUCAUCGUAAGUCUCCGGUUCCCCCGAAUCUGUAUAUAAGACAUGGCUCAAAACAGUAUUAGCUGAUGGAUCAAAAAUUACCUUUGGCUUUCUCACACGUGUAGACCUUCUCAAGACAGGUACUUCAGGGUCAUUCGUUUGCUCCGAAUCAUUGCGUUCUUCUUGAACUACCUCUUCACUGAUAAUAGGCUCAUCUUGAACCUCUCUUUCAGGUGAACUUUGAUCUACUGGAAACAUCUUCACGGGCAUUAUGUCUAAUUCAACAUACUCUGGUUGUACUACCUUCUCAUGCUCUAUCUCUGUCUAACGAUCCUUGUACAUCUUUUCUUCAUGGAAUACCACAUUGUGACUACGGAUGACUUUGUUAUUCUCAUAAUCCCAAAGUCUAUAGCCAUACUCGUCGCCACCGUAUCCGAUAAAGACGCACUUCUGGGACUUAGCAUCAAGCUUUUUUCUAUCCUCCCUGUCAAUUAAAGCAUAUGCAAUACAACCAAACACCUUUAGAUGUGAAUAAUUAAUCUUCUUACCUGACCACCGCUCUUGUGGUAUUUCUCCAUCCAACGCACAAGAUGGACUUCUGUUGAUAAGAUAAACAGCUGCAUCAACUGUAGCGGCCCAUAAGUGUAGCGGGAGACCCGCGUGUAGUCUCAUGCAUCUUGCACGUUCUAGAAUAGUUCUGUUCAUUCUUUCAGCUACACCGUUCUCUUGAGGAGUUCUAGGAACAGUUUUUAGCCCGUGUAUGCCUUCUCGGCUCAAAUAAUUUGCAAAUUCUUUACUUGUGUAUUCACCACCAUUAUCAGAUUUCAAAGCUUUAAUCUGAUAACCUGUUUCUUUUUCUACCAUGGUCUUCCACAUUCUGAACAUCCCGAAUACUUCUGAUUUUUCUUUAAGAGCAUAGACCCAAGUCUUUCUUGUUGCAUCAUCAAUGAAUGUGACAAAAUAUCUCUUACCACCAUAAGAGAGUUCUUGAGCAGGUCCCCAUACAUCAGUAUGAACCAACUCUAGCUUCUGGCCUUUAUUUUGUCGCCCAUUCAAUUGAAAACUAACAGCCUUCUGUUUUCCAUAAAUGCAACUCUCACAAAAAUCUAACUCAUCUUUUUGUAAACCCGGAAGUAAUUUUCUCGAGUGUAACUGCUUUACACCUUUUUCACUAAGAUGUCCUAAACGAUAAUGCCAAAGAGUAGAUAAAUUACCUGUAGCCAUUGUAGUUGCAACCAUAUCACUGAUAUUGUCUCCUUGGAGAAGGUAAAGUGUACCGAUACGCUUUCCCUUUGCUACUACUCUUACCCCUGAGGUUAUCUUCCACUCUCCGCAACCAAAGGUUAUUACCAAACCUUUUUGGUCAAGUUUACUAGUUGAAAUCAGAUUUUUCUUUAAUUCCGGAAUAUGCCUAGUUACACGCAAAACUAGACGUCCUCCACCUGAGAUGUUCACAGUCACGGUUCCUUUCCCAACAAUUGGACACAUGUGGCCGUUUCCCACAACCACUUGUCCAAAAUCUCCACUGGCAUAAUCAUCAAAUAUGUCUCUUUGCGAGGUGCAAUGAAAAGAAGCGCCAGAAUCAAUAAACCAUUUAUCUGUUGUCAAGUCAAACCCUGUAGACAAACACAAGUUAUCUAGCAAAGAUUUAUCGCUAACUACAUUAGCACCUUGAUUCUCAUCUUGCUGCUUCUUUUUGUAGGCUUCACACUGAAACCUCCGGUGUCCGGUUUUGUGACAAAACCAACACUCAUCUUUUGCAACCUGUCUCUUACCCCUUGAUUGUGAUCUGCCACGACCGCUGAAAUUCCUCUACUUUUACUUCUUCCACGGUUCUCCACUGCAAGUGCCGUUGAAGAUGUAGAUGCAGAAAAAUUAUCUCCACCUGAGACUUUCCUUCGCAUCUCUUCAUCCAUGAUACUACUCACAUCAUCAUCAAGAGUUAAAUCAUCCUUCAUGGUGCUCGAAAUUCCCUGCACUGCGGUAUUGUAGCUUUCUGGAAGAUAACAUAAAAAUAAUAAAGCUUGAAGCUUCAUAUAUAAAUUUAUGCCUGCGGAUUCCAAUUGACCCGUGACCUGCGUGAAACUAUUAAUAUGCUCUGCCACAGAACCUCUAUCAGAUAACUUCAUAUUAACCAGUUUCUUCAGCAAAAAUACCUAAUUUGAUGUGGAUGGCUUCUAAAAAAUAUUUGUUAGAAUAUCUAUGGCUUCUUUUGCAGUUUUUGCUUUCGCGAUGUGAUACCCUGUCUUUUUCGUCAACCCUAGACGAAUCGCACCUAAUGCCUUUCGAUCAAGAAUUUUCCAUCCGGCUUCUGCUGUCGGAUCCACUUCCGCCAUCUCGGGUUUCCAACCCUCAAGUGGUGCAUAGAGAUCUUUUUGAUAAAGAUAAUCCUCUAUUUGUAGUUUCCACCAUCCGAAAUCCUCUCCAUUGAACUUAUCGAUUCUGAUUUUAUCUUCUGCCAUCCUGUUUGUUUUCAAUCGAACGUCACCGAAAAACCCUCGAUGUUCUCGAUUAGCCAACCUAGGCUCUGAUACCAGUUGUUACGAAAUUGCACGUCGAUUCCAGAAAAAUAACGCUCGCAAACAAUUCACCAGACAUAAUAUAGUAAUAAAAUAGCAGAAUCAGAUGAACACGCCAGAAAAUUUGUUAUCGAAGUUCACCCAAACCUGGGCUACUUCUCCGCGCAGAGGCACUCUGCGAAUCCACUAGACUUUGGAAAAGUUGGAAUACAAUGACGAUCUUCUCUCAAGAUCAGGGCAUAAAGAGAUUGAGAACUCUCAUCAAGAAAAAAACUCACUUUUUUCUUCUCUCUUUUUCUUGCCUCUCUAUUUCCUUUUUCAGCGUCUUGACGGCUAGGGUUUUGCUAUCGCUAAUAUAUAGGUACCACUUUUAACCUAAAAGGAAAUCUAAUAGAAAAGACAAAAAAGCUCAUAAAAACAAAUAUUUGGCUUUAUCUAUAACAAUUGCAACUACGAGUACUCUCGCUAAAUUGUACUUGCAUGAUUAAAACACGCACGCAAUAUCAUGGUUGAGUCAAGAAUGGAGGAUAGGAGGGUAUCUACAUAUUAUUUGACCGUGUCUAUUAUAUUCUUUUCACGGCUCGAUUCUUCGGCUCGCACUAAUUAAGUAAGCAGCCACACCGUGAUGAUUUUGUUCCAUUAAGAACAGUGAUGAUGUUAUUAUAUUUCAUGUCAUUGUCAUUACCUUUUUUUUUCUGCUAAAUUAUUUCAUGCGACACCUGACCCACAUAGAUAACGUAAUUUUUAGCAACUUGAUGCAUUGCAACAAGCAUGAUAAUCAUUAAUAUUCUUAAUCUAAAACUCGUCUUCUCUUGCUCUAACAUCAUGGAUUGAUGGUGGUUCCAUAUGACAUAUAUGAUGAGAUCAUAGGGGACUACGACACAACAUAGCCCUGGCCUUGUAACGUUGCUUUCGCCAAUCCCAUGAUGCUGCGCUAGCAUGAAGCAACUAAUGUAAGUUUACAUGAUCUGUGUUGGAAUUGGGUCCACUUACAUUGUUCAAAUUGACGUUAUAAGCCAAAAAGAAAAAGAAAACGAUUUGGAGAUAAGCCUCUGGAAUACGCAUGACGUGUAGUAAACAACACUAGCACCGAACUAUAAGCCAUCACAAAUUAGGAUUUUAAGCUUUCAUCUGAUAUUCAUAGCUGGCAUGGAACCGCCAUGAUCUUUGUUUAUAAAGCAAGCAUAGUCCUAAAUAAUCCUCACUAAGUGCCUAACCAUCGGUAUGUUAACCGUCAUUUUAUGGUCGACAGUAAUCCCUAAAGUGAAGCUAAAACCUUCUUCGUUGCUCAUGUUUUAACCUUCAAAAUCGAUCAUGUAAAGAUCAGUAUUUACCUAAUUGGAUUGAACUGUACAAGAUAACCUUGUCAUGAAGAAUUCUUCUUCCUAUUGAUCUUCUCCAUACCACUAAUAUACAAUCACUAGAUGUACCAAAUACUUGCAUUUUUUUUUUUUUUUUUUUUUGCAGAUGAUGCACAAAUAUCAGUUUACAAUGGGGCUAUCGAUUAAACAGAGGUUCCUUUUGGCUCGUAUCCAAUGUCUUAUGCGUUCAAAUUAUGGAGCAGAGAUCAGACAACCCACGAAUGGCUCCUACCCGAAAAGCGAAAGAUUUUCCAAUCUCUACAAAUGAGACUUUACAAGCUCCUAAUGGAAAUUUGAAGUGACCCGAAUAUUUCACAUCUCUUUGCCCAAUCACAAAGAAGAUUCAUGCUUAAUAUGAUUUGCUACUUCACAUUAUUGAAUCCGCAAAUAUGGAGCACUAGAAAGAAUAUUAUUGGCUCCACGCAAGACCGCAUGGGGAAAAAAUUAUUGGAAGUGAGAAUGGUCUUGAACCAACACAUGUAUUUGGUCCUCCAUUAGGCAUGGUUUCUAUCAUGAUGACUUUCCUAAAAUUUUGUUCAUGCAAUGCCGCCAUACCCACAUAAAAGUCUCCAGGUGCAAAGCCCACAAAAUCUUUCUCCAUUAUAUAAGUCUGAAAAUGUUUUCUGGGAUAAAAACGAAACGAGGGACAAGAUCAGGUCCUGUUUAUUCCAUGGUAGAAGCAUAUCAUCUUGAACUGGAAAAGUUUAAGUCAUUAAAGCACAACAACUGUCAUCGGCAUGGAGUUCAUGUCAUGAGAAACUGUACCUUGUUGGCAGUUCUCACCAUUCCCCGCAUCAUGGGAAACAUACUAUGGCCAGUUUAGAAGAGUGCUAAACUGACUUGGCGAUAACAUUGGAGUCUAGCAUAUCGGAAUGACAUUCUGAGAUUUGGUCAUAGUUUUGGUAGGCAAUUUCCGACAGGGAUUCAAGGUAGACCUGCAGAACGAAUUUAAAAAGAAAGUUAUCUCACAUUCAAGAGGAAAGUCAUACCCUAUCAUUGCACUGGCAGUAUCUAUGUAGAAAGGAACAGCCAAGGAAAUCUUUCUAAUGAUAAGAUCACUAAAUUUUUCUCUCUACCACAGUUCACACAUGAAACAAGCUGCAAAUUGUCGUUAAGUCAUACCAUAUUAAGAAAUUUAUGUCAUUUCUUAUCAAUGUGAUUUUUCUUUGUUUGUCUGUUCCUUAGAUCAACGCUAGAAAGCUCUGGUUUCUUUUCAUUUAAGCAUGCUCCAAAAUCAUGAAUGUGGCAGAUUGCGGCAAUACAUUGAGCCUCUAACCUUUUGACUUGAUUCCACACCGGAGAAUUGUCCAUUACGGAUGAGUCCUUUGAGCUCGUAGUUCCAGUUGAAGCAAAUGCCAAGGGUUCGGCCUACAUCAAAAUAGUAAACAUACCAUUUGUCAUCAAAGACACAUAACGUGGCAUGCUCCAAAGUAUGUUUCCACAUAGCAUCGAAGAUUCCGCCGCCCAUGAUCUGAAAUUUAGAUGAGUCAUCAAGAAGUAAGUAAAGAAAAACAAAGAUUUAAUGUUAAGGGACUAUUGUGACAGUAGCAAAACAUAACAGACGAAAAGGCGGACUUUACAUUUCUCAAUCUUGAUUGAUCCCAAGGAAAGAAAGUGGACAAAAUCUCGGACUCUGAUGAUCCCAGCUCCAGUCAAUUGUUUGUGCGCCUGUCCACCCAUCACCACUUUGACUAGUCUCCAUAUGUAGUCACUCAGUAAAAGUGGGAAAUUCUUCUUGGCAACUAUAGAAAGCAUAAGAAACAGAAACUUCACAACAAGUACAGCAUUGUAAAUCUUAGAGUUAAAUUGCUUGCUGAAAAGGUUGUAGCAUAAGAAUUACUAAUUGACUUUCGCAUUGUCUUUAUAUCUAGAAAGGUACCAGCCUCUAAUUAAUGAUGGUUUCAGCCUACACAGCUCUGGAUACUAGUUGUCUUGUCUGUGGUAGUUUCAGAUGAUGUGUUUUAAAUAGAGACUAAACAAAUAGCAGUUUCUUUGAAGACUCACAUUCUCCACGGCUAUCCUCAACACUAAAAGCCUCAUAUAUGGCCCCACGGAUGUGCAUUGCAGCAUAGCAUCUACAGGUAACCUUAAGUCCAAGCUUGUAUUUGCCACUCUAUGUCCUGCUUGAAUCCCGCAUAAAAGUGAAAUCGCCUACUGUGCCCAUCCCUCCUUCUAGUGUCGCUAGCAAAUCUCCAGAUAGAAGUGGCUUUCUCUUGUCAGACCCCUCUGAUUUUAUGUGGCUUUCCAAGUGUUCCCUUGUCCAAUCAACUUCCUCAAUAUCACCAUCAAAUACAACAACAUUCAACUUAGCCGUUGAUCCUAGCCCGCUUUGCACAACAUCUCCAGUUUUUGGAUUUAGCAAAGCAACUCGAAUGGCUGCUCCUUGAUCUCCCUGAACCUUUUUCUCAGUGAAUAAGUGUGAGGGCAUGCUGGUCAUGAAAUGAAGUUGAAAAGAUUUCUCCUUCAGAGAAGGUGGUUUGGGCAUCGUGAACCUGUGACAGAAAAAGUUCAUUCUUAGAGAAAUUUGAGAGGCUCAUGGCCACCGCCAUCUAAUCAUGUAUUGGUCACUAGUGCACUAAGAAGAAGGAGGUGGACUACUAACCAAGAUUCGGGAAUUAAUAUGAAAUUUAGUUUGUUACGUUUUCUUAAUUAUCUCAAAACAAGACACGAGCUGAAAUAAAGGCAGGGAAACUUGACCAUACAUACUAGAUCAAAGAAAACUUCAAUAGGUAGGAAUUAAGCCGGGCGUGGCGUACUGACCAGUCAAAAGCAAAGUACAAACAGAAAACUAAAUCCCACAAAUGACUGCCAUGCGUGAACCUGUAACUCACAGGCAAUAGAGAGCAUUUGAGGGAACUAACACAAUGAGCAAAAACUGGGUGAGCUUACCAUUUUGUGCUUGCUUCGUGGAUGUCCCACGGUACUGUAUUGGGAGAGUUACAUUUCCAGUCUUGCUCAGGAUCAACAAAAUCAUCAUGGUUGUCACUAAGAUGUUCAAAAUUGAUAGGUUUUAUCAGUCCUGACUCCAACUUUCUAAACUUGUCCAUCAUCAUUGCAUUUGCCCUUAUGUAUAGAUAGUCAUCCAAUAUACCGGCCAGGGAUCCACCUGACUUCCUGGAUUGGGCAGUUUUUGAUGCAUUGUGACACUCCAAGCAUGAAAAAGAACUACAAGGUUGGCUUAGAAUCAGAAGAGCAUACUUUCGAAGUAUAGGAAGGCCAUUACCAUUUUGCUCCCACCAUUCAUUUGUCAUAAGACAAUCACUAGUUUAGAGAUGAUGACUCUGGGUUGGAAAUUAAUAGAAAAUCAGAGUCUGAUCAAAAGGGUGUGGUAGGAUUUCUUUUCAGACCACAUGCUUCGUGAGGGGUAGAUAUUCCGUAAUUCCAGAAUUCGAAUGUGCUAUUUUGAAUUUAAAAGUUGCAACUAAAUGAGGAAAUACACAGAUUCUGAAUACAAUGAUGAGACGAUCACGUUCUGGCUACAUUAGGAGUAGAUCAUCUUAACUUAAAGAUAGUGAAGUAAUCUAAGCAAACAAGAGUCCUUACAGGGAUGAGAUGCUCUAGACGUUGUUUUUGCUGCAGAUGUGAACAAGUUUGGCCCUCUUUUUCUAUACUGUAGCACCUGCUCCAUGAAAGCUUCCUGAUCUUCAUCAGCAACCAUAUUUUGUAGCACAUAAUCAAUUAUGUCUUUUAUUUGUUCAUUCUCCUGAAAAUUGUCACUUAAAAAGUAGGACGGAUUUAGAGAAGCUGAAGCCGCAUGCACUGGAUGGAUUAGUUUAGCACGCAUGCCAUAGUAAAGCUUUCGUAUGCACUCAUAUUUGCCAUCAUCACUAUCAGAAAGACCCUCCAGAGAUUCUCUCACUCUCUCCAUCAAUUCAUACAAGUAUGGAGUUGCUGAAUUACUAUUAUGAGACACACAAUAAACUCCAAAUAGUGGUUCCAAAACUUGCAACACCUCCUGACAUUGGCUCCAAAAUUAGGGGCUUUCAACAAUAAACACGACUUUGCUCGUUGUUUCUUCCUCAAGAUGUCUUGGUUGUCUCCAUUCAGUAGAUGCAACCAAACGUUGUAUCUCUGAUUUUGCAUUGUGAAUACACUGAACCAUUCUGAAGUUUGCGGCUAAACCAUUAGGAAGAACAUCUCCCAAUUCCCUUUUGCCUCCAAAUUUCACGGACAUGGACAAAGAUUCGGCAUACUGUGCAGAUAAUCAUUCGCCAAUUAACAUCACACAUCAUCCUUCCAAACCAUUCGACCUCUUGAAAGAUAUAUGCAAAAAGCAACUGAAUGCCCUGAGUAGCACAAAAUGUCAUGUAGGUACCUGGAUGCCUUUGGAAAAGCGUCUUCUGCAGGGGCUCAUGGUUACACAGAUCAUUACUGAUGAACUGUACAACUUUGUGAAGUCCUAUUUCAUCCAUUGCAGAUUGCAAUUGAUCCACAAUAGACCUUUCUGUCAACUCAUCCUUCGGAAGUUCAAUGGUAUUCACUAGGAUUGCACCCUUUAGAGAGUGAAACAUGAUGUUCAAGAAGGAUCUACCGUGAACAUUAACCCAACUAUCUAAAAUUACCGUGCACCCCAUUGAAGCACAUGAUUUCUUGACAGCAUCUACAUACUGCCCGACUUCCAUACUCAACUUGGUGAUAGACUUUGUGGUGGGCAUGGAAGAAUCCUGCCCACAGUCUGCUAAAAUAUUGUUGCACACAUGUUUUGCAAGCAACUCAUCUGGGCAAUCCUGUCCACAUUCAAAAUGUGGAUGUUUACUUCCUGAUACCAAUGCUUUCAAAAUUAUGAGCUAGAUCAAGUAGAUGAUAAAAGUAAAGUUUGUCUUUGCCAUUCUAGAGAUUCAAGUAGCAUAUUGAUAAGAUGGCAACGGCUAUCAAAAUGGCCCCCUCAAAUUUCUCUAAGAACGAGCUUUUGUCUUUUACAGUUUCACAGAGCCCAACCUACCAGCUCUGAAGGAUAAAUCUUUUGGACUUUGUUUCAUGACCAGCAUGCCCUCACACUUAUUCACUGAUGCAAAGUUUUAGGGAGAUCAAGGUUCGAGUUGCUUUGCUAAAUUUAGAAACUGGACACAUUUUGCGGAGCGGACUAGGAUCAGCUUCUAAGUUGAGUUUUGUUGUACUUGGUGGUGAAUCUGAGGAAGUUGAUCCAAAAUGGGAUCAACUGGAAAGCCACAUAAUAUCAAUAUCAAGAGGGUCUGAGGAGGGAAAGGCAAUUUUGUCUGGUGAUCUGGUUGUGAACCUAGAAGGAGAGACAACCACAUUAGGUGAUUUCACUUUCACACAGGAUUUGAGCAAGAUGAGGAGUGGGAAAUACAGGCUCAGAGUUAAGGUCGUUUGUCGAUGCUAUGCAGCGACACAUAUCCACGAGGCCGUAUCCGAGGCUUUCAUUAUUGAAGAUAGCUAUGGAGAAUAUGAGUAGUCAAAGCAACUGCUAUUCAUCUAGCCUUUGUUUAAAACACAUCAUCGAUAUGGAAUCACGGGANNNNNNNNNNNNNNNNNNNNNNNNNNNNNNNNNNNNNNNNNNNNNNNNNNNNNNNNNNNNNNNNNNNNNNNNNNNNNNNNNNNNNNNNNNNNNNNNNNNNCGAGGCUCGGCGUCGCCCGGACCACCGCUAGGUCGGCGUCGCCUGGUGGUGGCUCGGCGAGGUCGAGCUCGCCUAGCCAAGGCGAGGCCGAGCUCGCCCAACCACCGAUGAGGCUCGGCCUCGCCGGGCCACCGCUAGGUGACCGAUGGCUGGGCGAGCUUGGCCUCGCCGGGGGCCGGCGAGCCUCGCCAUGGCUGGGCGAGGCCGCCAACCCUCGUCAACCGGUCACCGGCCAUGGCCGAGGCCGACGACAAGCCAAAAGAAGAAAAAAAGAAAAAAGAAAGAAAAAAAAGGAAAAAAAAUUUAAAAAAUUAAAAGAAACAAAAAAAGAACACAAAUUUACCAAACAUAUUUCUAUUCUUUUUUUAUUCCCGGAACAAGUUUAUCAAACGCAUUUUUCUAGUCAAAAAUUGUUCCCCGGAACAGAAAUAGUUUUUUCUAUUUUUGUUCCUUGAACACUUUUUGAACAGAAACACAAACAAACGCGCCCUAUAAUGAUAUGGCCCAAGCAACAUUGGUUAGCCAAAAAAUCGGCAACCCAAGAUCUCAAACUAGAACCCGAAACACAUAUAAUCGAGAGAUUUACACACUUUAUUUGAAAUCCAUUAUUCUUUACACGUAAUAGCAACAAUUUAAAACUCAAACAUUUCUCCUCUAUUACUCUCCAUAUCACUGACUCAAUGAAACUGUCCUCAUCCUCAACAUUUUGUAACUGCUUCUUAUGUGAGGAUAUUUGUGUGUCAGGAUUAGUAAAGGAACUUGAGUACUAUUUAUAGAUAUUUAAGCUACAGGCUCUCUCGUCACAAGUUGGGCUUUACCCGGCCCAUAUUAGCUAGCCCAAUAUUAGAUUAAUUAAGAAUCUUUAUAUCUCACCUUAUUAGACUAAUCCUGUAAAAUGGUUAUAACAAAUUUCAAUUAAUGUAGCACGUCAGAAAAACUCUUACAACAUUGGCAAGCUCUUAAAAUAACUAUUAAAAUAUUAAUAAUUUGGAAUAUUCGCUUUGCUUAUCAACAACUAUUAAAUGGAAAUCACUGGAGUGUUUUUUGGACUCCACCAAUUGUGUGCUUGAGGCAAAGAGGUAGACUAAUGGAGACCCAUUUUGAACAUGUGGGGAAAUGUUCAUAAAAAAUGUUCAUGUUUUUAGGGAGAAAGUCAUCAACUCGUGUAGCUCAUGGGCAAAAAUGACAUGAGGGUUUGGAAUUUCAUUCACAUCCUUUAACAAUCUCAUUGCCCUUCGUUAACUUAAUACUUAUUAGGCUGUAUUUGGCCGUUCAGAUUCUGAUUGGGAUAUGAUAGGAUAAAGGAAAAUUUGAAAUUCUCCAUGUAUUCCUAAAUUAUAAGAGUGUCUUACCAUAUAUUUGGUGCAACCUAGAUAGAAUUUGGAAUCUUUGAAAUAAAUCUUCGAAAAUCUGCAAAAAUCUCUGAACCCUAACCCUGUCCAAUCCUGUAAGUCCUUGUGGUCGGGGCCACUGACUUCUCAUCGAGCUCUCUCCCGUGGCGUUCUCAUGGUUUUGAGCCAAAAUUCACGAGGCUCCUAUUUUUGCUUCUCGGUUCGGUUUCGCAUGAUAGCGUUUUCGAGGAUGCGACCUGCGUUUGAUGUUUGAUGCGGAAAUUUGCUUUUUGAGAUUCUUAAUUUUGGUUUGGGAUUUCCAAAUACAUUGUAAACUUGUCUAUUGUUGCAUAUUCGGAACAGUAUCCUGCUCUACUCCUUUAAUGGAAAAUGCUGGCCAAGUUUUGAAUUUGUUUUGGGGCAGUCGGGCUGUUGAAGUCUCGUGGUCUUUGUGGUUUUAAAAUUCUCGAUUGCUGUUGUCGUUCUGUACAUUCGCCGCAUGCGUUACGAAAUUCUAUUAUAUGUACUUCAGAGACUGCAGUUGCGUUUUGACGACACAUUAUCUUCAGGCCCUUUUUACACUCACUUGUUGGAACACGAUUGCCAGCUCGUGGUGAUGACUAGUGUGGUUGGAGACGAUGACGAUCGUGCGGCGGUCGGAAGUGAUGAUGAUCGGUAAUUUUGGUGGUGGUCCUCGAGCAGGAGGUGCUGGCAAAGCAAUAUCCGAUGGUCACUUUUUCAUUUCGUCGAAAGAUAAAAAUAUGAAUUUUUUAGUUAUCUUUUCAAUUUUAUAACCAAUCUGGGUUUUUUUUUUUUUUUUUUGGGUAAGGUCCAAUCCGGGUUUAUCUCACCUUAAAGCCGGAUUUCUUAACUGACAUUUUAUCUAAAUGUAUUAGGGUAUAUUUGAUUCGGAAAACAUCACUGAACAUUGGAUAGGAUAAUUGUUAUCCUAUUCAGACUCAAAUCUGAGCUAUCAAAUGCAGCCUAGAUUAACUUUUAGUUAUUUAACUAAUAAAUGUCAUGAUGCAUGACCUAGGUUCAGGAAUUGCGAUUAGUUUGAAAGGUGCAAUUGAAAGAUGACAAUGAUCCGACUUAAUAAUCAACAUAAAUUUAAAAAGCUCACAUGUUCACAACAAGAACAACAAACGACAAUAAUAACGACAAAACUGAUAAUAGUAACAAUAGAUAAUUUAGUGACGAACAUUAUUUGCAAAAACCUCCCACAUCAUAUAAUGGACAAAACCUUUUUUCACGUGUAUAUAUAAUGUAAGAUGAAAGAUAUCAGAUAUUGCAAACUUUCUUAAGAUAGAUGACAGAAUUUACGUUGUAACACAUAUAUAUAUAUAUUGCAAACUUUUUAACCAGCAUAGGAACAUAUAUAAUUAAGUAAUUAUGUGCUAUUCAACAUAUAUAAUUAAUUUAGCAAUGACCUCUUUAUAAAUUACAUGAAUCUACUUUAAAAUAUUUUUUUAGAAACAUCAUCCUUAAGGAUAAUUCAGCCAUUUGGAGUACGAAACUCGAUGCGUAAGGCUUUAGUGGUUAUCUUCCGAAGAUAUAAUAAACAUUUUUUUAUACUUUGCACUGAAUAUUAAGCAAAAGAAAAAGGAAAGAUAUGAAAAUUUAGUGUAUCUUCAAAGAUUAUAAUUCGAAAUUUAAUUUAUAUUCAAACAAGAGAUAGAGAGAGCCGUAAAAAAACCGUUAUAUGACCGUUGCAAAACUGUUACAAAAUGUCUUUUAUGAUUGUCAUAAUAAACACCAUUACUUUCAAGUAUUCAAAACUGCUAAGAUAUCCAAUAUUAGAUUCAUUUACUGUAUAUACCACACUCAUAUGAUAGUUUCUAAUGUGCCGCAAAACACCAUAAAAUGUGAAGCGUCCUUCAUUUUUACUGUACAUGUGCUUGUGGACUUCGGCGUGCUGAAGAUUGGAGGGAAGUGGACGAUGAUAGCGUGCUUGGAAGGAGAGACUGGUAAGGAAUGCUCAUUCCUCUGCUCAAAAUUAAAUCCGUCUUAAACAGCCCGAAUGGGUUUUUUUUCUAUCAUGGCAUGACGAUUAAAAAGAUUUAAUAUUUAAUACAAGUAAGAUAUCGAUACUUUACCCGAGUUUAAGACUAUAUAUUUUGCAUUACUCUAAAUAUUGAUAGUUAAUCAAUUUUGCAGUCAUUAAAACUUCUAGUUAACUAUAAGAUAUAUUGAAUGUUGAUCGGUAUUGGCUCUACUGGUUUAUCAAAUCGGUCAAAAUUGCCUUAUUUUUCCUCCAAUAAAUCUAUAAAAAAAAUACUCAUUUAUUUAAUAUUUAUUAACUAAACAACUUAGUACCGAAUAUUAACAACAUCAAGUUUUAAUUAUUUAUCUUACAAAGCGAUACCUGGGAACAUAUUUUCUUUUAUAAUUUGGGUGAAAUCACUGAUAUCUUUUGUUGUCUAUUUGCAAAUAAUCAUUUUUCAUGAUUUUAUAAUAUUCAUUUUAUCAUUUUCAUAUUUCAUUUUUAGAGAAGCCUGAGUAAAGUCAACGGUGGCAAUCACGUAUUCCGUUGAAUUGGCCCCAACAGACUUGAGUUUGCCGUUGAUUGUGUCAUGGAAUUGGCUAAUCGAGAUAAUCACUCGAAGGGCAAAGACUGCAUGUAUAAAUGAAGUACAUAAACCUCGAAAGUUUGCACUAGGUGAAGCAGAGACUAACACAAAAAACACCAUAUAAACAUGAAGUGUCUGCUAUUGGGUAUGUUUGACUUAUAAACAUUUAUAAUGGAUAUGAAUGACCUAAAAAUCUAGUACUACCUAUGAAAGUUACCAUAUUGUUUCGCUGGUUGCGACAAAAUAUCUUUCACCAAAAUUUGUUUUUUCGAUUUUUUAAAUUGAAGGAGACAAGGUUUUGCACCAACUCUGACUUUGACUAGAACAGGGCUAUAUAAACACAAACCAUGCCGAAAUUUAAUUGAUGAUAUAACCUAAGAACAUAAACAUACUAUGCUAGAAUUUAAUCAAUGACACAGCACCUAAAAUAAAUAUGCUGGAAUUAAAUCAACAAUUCAAGUCUGAAAAGUAGAAUUACAAUGCAAGAAAGUAAAGAUACUAAAGGAUAGUAAAUUUGUUUGAUUUGUGUGAGGGGUCUCCGAAGAGUGCGAUAUGGCUAUUUAAAGCCUACAAUGGAUGGUAUUGGUGGAGGUUUCAAAGGGAAAUCACAAACAGAUGUUACAAACGGUUACCAAAUGGAGGUUACAAAUGGAUAUUGAAAAAGAUAUAACUUCAUAGUGGUUAUGAUAAGUUACAACAAUCCUAAAAUAGUGGCAAAAUAACCAACCUAUAGUUAUCCUCUUAUUGAUUGCUUGCUUUUGAUAUCGAUGACUUGUCAGUCAACUUCAAGGUUCUAAUUGAUAACUUCAUAUUUUGUGUCAUCAAUGGCUUUAUUGACGAGCUACCAAUUCUUUUCAAGUUACCCAUGAUUCUAGUCCUAAAUGACCAGACUCUGCUCUUGUCAAUUAGGUCUAUCAUAUGUUGAUAAUAAUCAAAAGUUGGUUAUUUUUUGGUGCAAACACAUAUAAACAUGAAGUGUCUUUUUUUGGGUUUGGUCAGCCUAUGCUUUUGACAUUUGAAGAGAUUUUUCCAGACUACGUUCUUUGACAUUUGUAUGCCUCAAAUUUUGACAAUCUUGCAAAGAGAAAUCUAGAACAUCUUGAAAAUGGUUCAACUGACUUUGUCAGAGAGCAUCCAGAGAGAUAUAAAAAAACUUGUGCAUGUCAGGGCAAGUGGAAGAUCCUUACGAUUUUCAGCGCGAUUACCAUUUGAUGUUAUUCAUGAAUCUAUAAACUGAAGACUUGUCACUAAAAGAUGAAUUGAGGCCAUUGGAUGUCAAUUAUUGUGUCUUGUUGCGAAAUUCACCGUGGAGUACUGCGAGAAUGAUCAUACCUAGUUCUGUCCAGAAUUAGUUGGUUGCGCAUCGCAUGAUUCGUAAUGAGUUUUGGUCUCCUUUAUGCUUGAUUGUGCCAUUAGUUGAUAGGGGGCAUGCAUACUUAUUCGUGUUUACUUGUCAAAACGCCUUUAGUGUUUCAUAAGGGUUGCAUGUGUUUAAUAUCUAAUAAUGGGUGAACCAGUCCUCGAGGAGAGCGUUCAGCUCGAUUUCUCAGAUUUUGGAACCCGGUUGGUUUGGGCUUGAUGGCGCCGAGUCACGAUUGGUUCGGAUUUGAUGGGGAGCAGUCCGAACCCAUUUACAUGUAUGCAUUAGUUUCAUGAUUUUUUGUAUUUCAUCUUGGUUAGUUUCUCAUCGUUAUCAUUUUAGUUAGGAAAUUUCCAUCCCUAGAUUGGAGUAAUUACAUGCUUAUAUUAGGAGUUAGCUCACGCUUGUCCUGUUCCGGAGCUUAAUAGAAUCAUAUAUUCAUAGGCACCUAUCCAUUCAACAAAUAUGAACCGAUGCCUCUAUAUUUUCUUUGAGAGCUGCCUUUCCUUGUCCUCUUCUCUUAUAGUUUCUUUUCCAAAUUAUGGUGAUUCGUUAUGACUUCUUAUGAAAUUUUAUUUAUUAUUCCCUAGUUCUUUUACGCUAUUAUAUAGCUCAUACUAAUAAAACAACGUGAUGGUCUAUUUUAUGAAUAAAAUAUCCUAAAGUCACUUUGAUUUCUGUCAUUCUCUUUAUAAAUAGUCACUUCUAUAAAACAAUCCUAAACUACUAAUUUAGUUGUCAAGUCAUUGCAUGAACAGAAAGUUUUGUGCAUAAGUCUACACAUAAUAAAUCUUAAAUCUAUUGUCAGUAAAAUUUGCAAUAUACCCUCAAAACACCUCGAAUGAAAUUCUAGUGAGUAAAAAGACAAAUAAAUGAUAUAACCGGGCACACAGUUUGUAUAGUGUCAUGCCCCGGACCUUACCCUUGUCGCUGGAACGCGACAUCCUCCUCUUCAUGGGAUUAAAUUGCGACGUCCCAAGAGACGUCAUAUUCCCAUUGAUUUUUAUGUUUCAUUAAGCACAUGCAGAAGUAUGCAAUCUCCAUUCACCCAAUCAAUCAAUAAAAGACAAUGGAUAGUUAGGGAGAAAACACAUUCACAUACAUACUACAUAAUUUCCCGGCUUUAUUUAUCUAGGUGGAACGAUUACAAAUUUUCAAGCCCAACCUUAGGACCGUUCCGUAACUGGUCAUCCCCUCAUACCAGAAAUAUAUCAAAAGGGGGAGGGGGGUUGAAGGGGUUUGUCCUAGCUCCUUCUACCAAGGCAGUCACAAAAAAUGGUUCCCAUCUUUCGCUGGUGUCCUCAUGGUGAUGGCUCGAGCUUUGGAUCGUAGUCGAGGUUGGACUCGGGGUCGUCCGUAGUACUAUCGAGAGGGGGCAGUACCGACCCGUCAGCGUCCCCGGGUGGGCCGUGAAACCCACACAGGGGACCGUAUAAUGCACAAAAACCCUUAUUGCAAAACCUCCCUCACCGUAUAAUGCACAAAAACCCUUUGUUUAUAUGGAUACAUUAGAUAAUAUUAUACAUAUCAGAUAUAGAAAUCAGACUUUAUAUAUGGCAAUCCUUUUUUCAGACGAAUAAGGGAAUUUAUUUAUAAUAUAUACAUUGCAAACUUUCUAAACAACAUAAGAACAUGUUUAUAUAUCUUCAAUAUCAAAAGAUUCCACUUUUUUAGAUUUUAUUGGUCAGCAUAUAUCGUUAUGUAGUUACGUAUUAUUCGACACAUAUAAUUAGCAAUAACAGACCCAAGCAUCUUUCAAGGGGGUGCAACACUUUUCAGCUUGGUUGUGAUUAGUUUCAUUGAAUAUAUCAAUAAAUUAAAUAAUAGACCCAUGUGACCCAACAAUAGAUAUGAUGAGUCUACAUAUUAUAAGUCACAUCUAUUAAGUGCAUGUGAUUUGAGGGCCUCACAAUAAACUGAAUAAAUUUCCACGUACGUUCCGGCAUCCAUGGUUAUUGUUCAACGUUCAAUUUCCAUUAAGAACUUGAUUGGUUUUAUUUCACGGCGAUUGAAUCAGCUGUGGUGCUUGCCUUCUUCUCUAUCACUUUUUUUCAUGUCCUUAAUUCUCAACAAAAUUCAAAUUGUUGGCAUGCUUUUCCUUGGAAUACUUCUAGGCCACGGCAAGCUUUAUUGACAAUAAGAGAGGAUAAGAUCUCUCGAAUGUUUGAGUCAAACAGGUUCCUAGCAGAAACAUAGAACGUACGGGCCACGAAAAAGUAUACCAUGAACAUAUUAUAUAUACCAAACUAAAUUUGGACUAUCAGAUCUUCUUGGAUCCCCGUCUUCAGUGACCACAGUGGUCACGAGUCAAUUUAAUAUAUAUACUAUGCUUAUAUAAUAGUCUCUUAUGACCCACAAAGCACCGUAAGAAUUGAAGGGUUCUUCAUUGUACUGUACAUGUGCGUGUGGACUUUCAAUGGUGUUGAUGUUGGAAGGAAGUGGAAGCUGACAGGGUGGUCCGAAAGAGAGACUAGAGAGGAAUGCCUUGCUCACAGUUGAAUCCACCUUAGACAACCCGAUCGUUUUGCUUUAUGCCAUGGCAGACGGUUAAAAAUAUUUUUAUUUAAUGCUAGGAAAGUAUCCGUGUGUUGCACGAACUUAAGCCUGUGUUUUUCGACAGACUGUUAAUCAAUUUUGCAUUCAUUUACUUCAAGUUAAUUAUAAGAUAUACUGAAUGUUGACCAUAUUGUCAUCAUCACUUUAUCGACUUGAUCAAAUUAGCCUAUUUUUCCGCCAAUGAGACCAAACAAAUACCACUUUAUUUGAUAUUUCCUGGCAAAACAACACUUGCUUUGAAAAUCAACAAUGUCAAACCUUUCUUAUUUUCCUCUCUUUUUGCGAAGUAAUUCCUGGGCACAUUUUUGUGUUGAUUUGCUAAUAGUAUUUUUUUAAUUAUCAUUUUAUAAUCUUGAUCUUUCCCUUUUGGAGAAGAUCUAGGUCAAGUUAAUAGCGAAAAUCACGGGUUCCGUGGAAUUGGUCCCAAUAGACUUUGAGUUUUCCCAUGGUUCAACCGUAAUAAUCACUCCAAGGGAAGACUCUACUCAUAUAAAUUAAGUAGAUGGCCCUCAUAAGUUUGCACAUUGUGAAGCAGAAGAAAUUGAUAAUGCACAAAACCCCAUACAGACAUGAAGUAUUUUUUAUUGUGUUUGUGGACUUGGGUGUUGUUGGUAUUGAUGGGGAAUGGAAGAAGCAUGGGGUGCUUGGAAGAAGAGAGGAAUGCCCUCCUCAAGAUUAAGGCUGCCUUCAACCACCCAAACAGGUCUUCUCUUCCGUCUUGGGGAGACAGCGAUGGUGACUGUUGCGGCUGGGAAGGCAUCGAGUGCGAUAACACCACUUCACGAGUAACUCAACUAGUUCUGAGCUAUAUACGCAAUUUGACAUUGCAAGAAUACAGCCCUUGGGUUAUUGAUGCGUCUCUAUUCCUGCCUCUCGAGGAACUUCAAGUGUUGGAUUUAAGGAAUAAUCAUCUCUCAGGUGCAUCUCUCUCUCUCUCUCUCUCUGCUCUUUGUUUCUUUUUUCUUUUUUUUUUUCAAUUAUGUUUCUAAAUUAUUGUUUACAAUUUUGAACAAUGAAAAAAUGUCAUUCUAGGUGCUAUAAAUUGUAAAAGUGAAUUAAUGACAAACACAUGAUUGCACAAAUGAUGUGAUUCUUAAAGUAGUUAAUCGCACAUAUCAUAAGUUAAUUACAAGAUUCAUCUCCAUGAGGAUGAUAAGUACAAAAAACAAAAAUAAAAUCAGCUUAAUGAGCAAUGAUUUUACCAAAUUCCAACUUUUUUUUUAUAUCAUAAAAGGUAGACUUGUUCGAAUUUUUCACCCCAACAAUUUUGCACCUGUUUGGAAGUGGACCAAAAUCUACGUAAUGUUUUUAUUUGUGGCUUCCUCUCAACAUUCAAAAUGAGAGAAAGAAAAUCAAGUUUAUCAUUCUACAUAUCAAUAUUCACAUUUUAAAAAUGGUUUUGAGUGUUUUAUGAUAAAUGAAAGUCAAAUUGCGAGAGAUAUCAGGUUUACAAAAAAUGAAAAAAAUUGAAAUUAAAAAUCACGAAAAGUAGAUUGGUAAAUGGGAUUAUUUUAGAGGGAAGAGAAAGGUCUUAAAGGUAGUGUAAUGGUUGGAUAGAGGGAAAUAAAUGGACCAGAAAAAGAAAAGAUUAAACCAUAUCAGGAAAAAUUAUGUGUAGCUGUGUGUCUUUUAAAUCCCUCAUAUAAAGGGAUUUGGAGGGACUGAGAGCACUAAUACUUUUAUCAAAAAAUUGUUUUCUCUUUCCCACAUUUACCUUUGAUGUAUUUAUGAUAUAAUUACAUAAAUUAUAUAUACAUAAAAGUACAAUAAAGUGAAAAUGCAUCAUUUCUUUUCUCUCUUGAUCAUUCCUUUUUCUACUAUCCAAACAAUAUUAUGACUUACUUUCUUCUUUUCUCUUGAAAUUAUUUGAAUUUCUUAUUUUCUUUUAUGGUUACGUCUUCCAAUCAUCUAUAUUUUUCUGGAUGCAUGGACCAGUUCUUAGUAGAAGGCAAAUGGUUCCAAAAACCAAGCCACUCCAUCUAUGCAUCCAGACAUGAAAGAAAACCAGAAAACUUAGUGCUUCUCAGGUCAACCUUUAGUUUAUGUAGACUCGGAAAGUCACUUUAAUGUUGGGCAAAUAACGCAUUCAAACACUAAUAGACAUAAAUGGAAAAAGAAAUUGGAUGACACAUCUAUCAUAUUGACGUGAUACAGUUGAUAUGACCUACAUGCACCUUUAAGAAGAUUAGCAAGAGAUUCCAGAUUAAGCGAUAUGAUAAAAAGUAAAUAUGAUAUUCAAGUCAUUCAAAUGCUCUUAGUAUAUUAUUGAGAUCCUCUAUAUUCAGGAUAAUUGUAAGUUUUCUGUCUUGAAAGUUUAAUACCUCAACACAAAAACCAUUUGACAUUCCAAAUUGAAUUCCCACUUUCUUUUCCUUUUGCUUUUUAGUAUUUUUCUUUCUUUUUUUGUGUCCUCUUUCUACUUUUCCUCCUCUUUUAGUUGGGAAAAUUAUUCAUUUAGUCCUAAAUUACAUAUGCCAAUUCAGUUAUAAAAUUUCCAAUUUUGCUAAUGUAAUUAUAAACCUUUUCUUGAAUUCAAAUAGUCAUUUCUGCCACUUGCAGUUGGAAAUUGCGCAGGUCUUCCUGUAUGACGCUACUUGUAAUUUGACAUGUACAACUCUUGAUGAAACGAUAUCAUUCUACAUAUUUUCUGAUUUUUUUUUUUGUUGCUUUUUUUCUUUCCUCUCAUUUCUUUUUUCUUCUAUUUACUUUUUCGUUUUUUAAUAUGCAAACGAAGAAUCCUAUAUAUAUAUAUAUAUAUAUAUAUAUAUAUAUAUAUAUAUAUUUCCUUUUUAUAUGUGAGUCUUUUUAAGUCUCUGCUCACAUAAUGUCCCACAAGACGUUGCGCUUCGCAUUAGGUGACUCUUAGAUCAGUACGUUUCAAACUCUAUCCUUUGUAAUUUCCUCAACCCUUUGGCUUGAGAGUUCCAAACUAUUGUUUCACAACUCCUCACUCUCUGCUCUGAAGAAUCUUGCUAAUUUCAGCUCUGAUUUUUUUGACGCCAGAAAGUUAAAAUUGUGUAGAAGAAAGGAGGAUGCAGAUAAAAUGCCUAUAUUUACUUUUAUACACUCAAAAAGCUAAAUGAAUAUGUAUACUGAAGGGAAAGGCCUAUUUCCACAGCCUAAAAAGCUGGGAACCCUUUAAUGAACCAAAAUCCCAUUUUUCUUGAGGCUUUAAUUGGACAGUGAGGUAAAAUGGGAUGAUUUUAGCGGAAAAUUUUAGUAUAAAAUUUAUGUGAGAUGGAAGAAAAGGCAAAUUGUGAAUUUUAAUUAACUUUUCUUCUCAAUUUUUGUAACCUCUAUCUCCAAAUAUAAAGGAAGCAUUAAAGAUUUCGAUAGUCAAAUGAUGGAAUAAGAAGCAAUGGCUGAAGAAGAAAAGCGCCAAGCCGGACAGAGAGUGGCCUCAGAGGAAAAAUCUUGUCUGAUUUUGGCAUUGACGGAUUGACCAAGAACUAAUUAUUUUGGUUACAGUCUCCUCUACAACAAAUAAGGCAAAGCAAUACUACAUCUUACACCUAUGAGAGAUUGAAUUUGUAUCUUAUCGAAUCCAGCAGCUACAACAUUUAAUAUAAGAGAGAGAGAGAGAGAGAGAGAGAGAGAGAGAGAGAGAGAGAGAGAGAGAGAGGUCAGGUCCAAGAGGAAAAACUUCCGACUGAUUUUGGCAUUCGUGGCUUGACCGAAACUUAUCGAGACAAUGACAUUUUGGUUAGUUUAAACAAAUCCAGGCCAUUUAGGCCGUACAACAUAUACCAAAAGCUUCCAUCUUUAAAAUUAGUCAAACUAAAUGAAUAUAUAAGUAUAUUGUUCGAGUUAUUGCUUUCAAUUCUAAAUUAAAUGCAAAUAUGCCACAUUCUAAAGAAGUCAUGAUUUUUAACGAUUUAUAAUUUUAAAAGACGUAUUGCAAGUUUAAAAGUUUGAUUGUAAUCUUUGAAGCGAUAGGAUUUUAUAUUUUGUUUAAUUUCAUUCUAACUGAAAGUGGUAAACUAAUUAACAAAAUUGCAUUGGCUUAAUUUAAAAAUUAUACUUUUUAAUCUUCGAUGGCUCAUCACAAAUAAAAUUUAUCACUAGUUUGUUGUAUUUUGUUCAGUUUUUAAUGCAAUGGAUUUAUUUGUUGGAAGAAUUGUUUCUAUAUUUGAGGAACGUGAUAAUUUCUCUUUAUGCAUUUUUUGACUUUUAAAGUAACAAGAUUUUGAAGUUUGGGAAUGGCAAAAUAAACUAUAUCUUCAAGAAUAUAUAUGAAAACUUUUCUCUUUAUUCAUGCUUUGAAAUUUAGACUCAAAAGAGAUAGAGGGUUGGAAAUGACAAAUGAUUGAACUGAUACUUAUUAAUCGACGUGAGCCACAUAGAAAAAACGAGGCAUUGUAUCUGGUCAUAUGGAGAUAGAAUCAAAUGUCAUACGGUGAGCACGUAAUGGAACAUUCACGUUGCAAAAUAAACUAUAUCUCCAAGAAUAUAUUCUGAAAAUUCUUUUCUCUUUAUUCAUGUUUUGUAAUUUAAACUCAAUAAGAGAUAGAAGUUCAGAGUGACAGCUCAAUAAAUCAAUGCUCGUUGGUCUAAUACCGGUCACAUGGCAAAAUUAUGUCAUGUAUCUUGCCAUGAGGCAGUCAUAAAAGUAAACUCAUAUGUCACAUGGGAGCAAACGAGGGAACAUUUUCUCAGCUUUGCUAGUUAACUACAUUUGAUAGACAUUGUUGAAGCUAUAAGUUACCCAUUUAUGAAAUUGGUUUACAAAUGCAUGUGGCGGAGACUUUGUUGAUGCUCAGAUAUGUCUGAUCAACUGGUUUCUGCAUAGAAAUCAAUUUUCUUCAUCAUGAGCAUAUAGUUAUUCUAGAUAAAUGGAAGAUAGUUAGACAUUUGAUAUUGGUAGAUAAUUUAUUAACUAUCAGGUAUGCAUGGAUCUUUCUAUGAUCAGAUUUAAAUGGAUCGCUGCACUUGAAGAAAUUGAAGCGACUUGAUCUAUCUUUCAAUAAUCUACAACGAGUCCCCUCAUUGUACAAGCAAACUUCAGCAGAGGCUCAAAAAUUGUCUUCCAAUCAGCCUGAAGGUACAUGUAGAAUAGAAGACCAUGUCAUGAUACAUAAAGUUUGAUUUUGAGAACCUUUUGUCGAUUAUAGGAGUGAAUUUGGAAGUAUUGGAUCUUGGUGCGAACAAUUUGGCCAAUGAUGCCCUCACGGACAUUAUGAGGAUGACAUCUCUCAAGGCCUUGUACAUCAAUCAAUGUGGAUUGAACGCAUCUUCGAAGUUUCUGGAAGGUACUCUUGCGAAAAUGCUUUCAUAUAUCACCUUUUUAAAAAUAAGAUAAGAUUUUCUUGAACAUAGAAGGCAUGACUGCAUUAUAUUAGACGUUCUCCAGAGAUAAUAUUUUGACCGCACAUUUGCUUCAAAUAACUUAGCGCCAACGACUUGUUUUUAGGUAAGUGACAUCAUGUAGUUGUUUGACGCAUGCUUGAAGUUGGAAGGAUUUAGUUAAAUGUCCCUGGAAGCCAUAAGUAAACGUAGGUCAUGCUCAAUGUCUUAAUUGUGGGAUCACGACGUCGGUGAUUGUUAAAAGGUUGUUCAUUUCUCAAUUAAAUCCAUGAUCUUUGAAGAUUGAAGUUUAGGCCCCCGUGCUUUUAUUUUUGUGAAACUUUUUAUCGGCCAAUCUAAAGAGUAGUGUGAUAACAUAACAUAUGCAAGGAGUUAUUGCUUUGAAGUCCAAAAUAACAAUGUAUCAGAGGAGUUCAAAUAUUGUACAGGAAUCAUAACAAAAUUAAAUGCAAAAGUUAAUGGGGAAUCAAAAUCCAAAAAAUACUUACAUUUUACACAUUAAACCACAAUGGUGGUUAAACUUCAGGGAUUGCCAGUGUUGAUAAAUUCAACUAGGUGGCGAAAAUUAUAUAAGAAAAUGAAAAUUUAUAUCAGUAAACUAAGAUGGAUAGAAUCAAACAAAGAAAGCACAUCUUAUUAUGGAUAAAUUAAUUUAUCUGAAAAUUGUCUUUUUUACCAUUAAGGUAAACAAUAUAUAGAGUAGAAUAAAUAAUUAUAAUAUUAAAAACUCAUACGGACUUAUUAAAAAAAAUAAAAAAAUACUCGGCAUCUUCGGCGCCAGUGUCCAUUGCUAGCCCCGCCCUCCGCGGCGCUCAGACCCGUAAUCACAUCACGAAGCUCGGUCGCCAUUACCACCACCAGACGACUUUUGGUUUGAGCCAAGAUGACCUCAGAUUUGAAGUGUGGCCUCAAAUUAGAGGGCGUCAUGCAUUAGAUUCGAGGAGGAGGCGGGUGGGUUGGAUAGGCGCUGAGGUGGCGGUGAUGGAUAGCAAGUUGGGACGAUGGUGCGAAUGGUGGUGGAGGACGGCAGGUUGCGGUGGCGAGUUGCUGUGGAGGACACGUGAGUGCAAGGAAGAAGAAGAAGAAACGAAAACGGAAAAAUGAAAAAAGAAAGAAAGAGAGGGAAAAAAAGUGACUUGCGAGUCCAAAUGAUGUUUGGGGGCCUCCACUGCUGACUCGGCAGGCAUUGUUUUUGAAAAGUACAUGAUUCAAUUGGAAAAGAAAUUCAGAAACUAUGAUGAAAAUCGAGCAAAGGUUUAGAAGCUGCCCAUGCAAUUACGCAAUAAAUCUAGGAUUAAUAUCAACUUUAGAGUUUGUUUACCAUCCAAUUCAAAAUUUGUCAAACUUUGAAGUAAUUAAUGUAAUGUAAAUAAUAGUGGAAAUUAAGCAUUGUGAUGAUGCAACUCCUUUCCAAAGCUCUAUCUUACCUAUUUUUCUGUUUGUACUUUUGGAUAUUAGAUUGCACACUCUUUCUAACCUCCAUUCUUGGCACAAACCAUCAUAUGAAGUACAAUAUAGUGAUUAUACUCAUAGUUGCAGUGUCCACUUCAACAGGCUUGUGCGGAUUAAGGUACCUUGAAGAGUUGGAUAUCAAUAGUAAUGGAUUUUGGGGUCCUCUUCCUUCAUGCUUGUGCAAUUUGACCUCACUCCAUGUGCUUGAUGCGGCAGAUAACAAUUUCAGCGGGGCCAUUCCUUCAUCUCUCCUCUAUAAUCUCAAGUCACUUGAAUAUAUUGUGUUCUCUGAAAAUGCCUUUGAAGGCUCACUGUCGCUUGCUUCCCUAGCCAAUAAUUCCAACCUUGAGGUAUUCCACCUCCUCAACAAUCGUAACCAUUUGGAAGUAAAUACAGAAGAGCCCACUUGGUUUCCUUCAUUUCAACUGAAGGUGUUUACUUUAUCAAAUUGUGUGCUCAACAAAGACGCAAAUGCCGUAAUUCCUAGCUUUUUGAAAGAACAACAUGAUUUGUUACUUGUUCAACUCAACCAUAAUGGAAUGAAUGGAAAUUUCCCAAAUUGGCUAUUGGAGAAUAAUGUAUAUCUAGAACGAUUCGAACUCACGGGCAACAACUUGUCAGGUACUUUUCAUUUGCCUUCCAAUUUGAAUCUUGACAACAUGCUACAAUUAGAUGUGUCUGCUAAUAUUAUUGAAGGAGAGAUCCCAUCCUGGAUUGGUUCCAUCCUCCCAAAUUUAAUUUAUUUGAAUUUGUCAAAGAACUUAUUGGAAGGUAGAAUCCCUUACUCCAUGGGCAAUAUGAAUCAACUGCAUACAUUGGACUUGUCGAAUAAUCGCUUCACAGGAGAGAUACCAGAGCCAUUGGCUAAAAAUUGUACGUCACUUGUUCUAUGGAAACUAUCAAGCAACAAUUUGAAAGGCAAUAUGCUACCGAGGGGUUCUAACUUGACAAACUUGAGAUAUUUGUAUUUGGAUAACAAUUGUUUCAUAGGGGACAUAUCAUUUGGCAUAUUAAAUAGCUCCUUGCAAGUUUUGGAUGUAAGCAAUAAUUCCCUAUUUGGAACAGUUCCUAAUUGGAUUGGAGAUAUUCAAUUCCUGGAAAUGCUUAUGCUGUCGAGUAAUUCAUUUAGAGGUCCUUUACCGUUGAGCUUCUGCAACUUACAUUAUCUCAAGCUUUUAGACUUAUCAGGUAACAACCUUGGGCCAAAUAUACCUCCCUGUGUCAAUGUUACAGUUAUGAGGUUAAUGCAUUUAACAAAUGACAUGCUUGCUGGGCAUUUGCCUGAGUUGCUCUCUAGAGCAUCAUUGAUGGUUACAUUGGAUCUUAGACACAAUGCACUGUCAGGCAAGGUCCUCGCUUGGAUCAAUUCACUUUGGAACUUGAAGGUUCUUCUACUGCAAGGAAAUAGAUUUGAAGGUUCAAUCCCUCUAGAUUUGUGUCUGUUGAAAAAUAUGAGCAUAUUGGAUCUCUCUAAUAAUAAUCUUUCUGGACAAAUUCCUUCUUGUUUGAAAGAUUUGGCAUUUGGAAACAACGGGGUAUCUACAGACGCAUUUGAUACAUUUUCUGAUUCACAGCAGACUGUGCUUCCAUAUGUAUAUAUUAGCAAAUUCUCUAUAUUUUUUUCCUAUUAUGAAGACAAAAGGUCUACGUAUACAUAUAGAUUAGAAGAAGUUUACUUCAUGACAACGAGUAGGUUGGAAUUAUAUGAAGGCCACAUUCUACAACUCAUGUCGGGAAUAGAUCUCUCACGGAACAAUUUGACGGGCUUUAUUCCUCCAAAGAUCGGCCACUUGGGCGAACUUCGAGCAUUGAACUUGUCACACAAUCAUUUGACGGGAUCAAUCCCGAAAACAUUUUCCGAUUUGAAGAGUGUAGAGAGCUUGGACUUGUCCUACACCCUCCACAACUAAUGGAGCUUUACACCCUGUCAGAUUUUAGAGUGGCUUACAACAAUUUGUCAGGUAGGAUACCAGAUCGAAAAAAUCAAUUUGGAACUUUUAGUGAAACAAGUUAUGAAGGUAACCCCCUUCUUUGUGGAACACCAUUAAUAAGUUGUGAUGACUCAAAUCAAGAAAGGGGGACACCACCAUCUUUUAGUCAUACCAGGAAGGAUGACCCCUGGAGAGAAGCCUUCUUGUGGAGUUUUGUAGGAUCGUAUGUUGUGGCAUUCCUUGGGGUGGUCCUUUUUCUUUACUUAAACUCGUACUAUCAACAUGUGCUGUUCGAGCUUGUUUGUAAGUUCAUCCCAUCGUUUCCCCAUUAGAGAUUGUUCUUCUAAGCAUUCUGUAAUGGAAAAAAUAAUGAAAUGGUGAAGAAAUUUUCUUUAAUAGAAUUGUAGGCAUUUGAGUCUUUAUCAUGCAUUUUGAAUGCUUGACUCCUAGAGUGUUCCUGUUGUAUUCCUUAUCAUGCUAAUUAUAAUAUAAAGACAUUUUUAUUUGGCUAUAAAUUGAGAGAAAGUAGUUUAGUUCACAAGCGCAAUGUAUCUAGCAUCGACAAAUUCCUAUAAAUGUUACCCAAGACAUAAAUUAUUUAAUGGUUGCUACCAGCAAUAUCAAAACAACCAGAUUUUAGUGUCUCAACAAGAUCCUACUAACGUAAAGGACUGGGCACGGGGGAAUUGCUCCAAUUUGACAAUAAAGGCUUGCAUUGCAGGACCACUACCCAGCAGCCUGAGUCCGCUUUUGUGCUUACUCCUUGAUGAAGAUUUAUAGCAAGAGAACUAAGCUUAUCCAAUACUUAAUGCAAAAUUGCUUGAAGAAUAAGUUCGACUCUACUAGCAGAAUUUUAAGAGCGAUUGUCUUCUGCAUAUGUAUCAACUCAAGGUGCAUUUGUUUCACGAAAAACUCAAUGAUAUAGGAAAAAGUUUUUUGAUAAAAUAUUUUUUAAGAAUAUAAUUAAUUUUCUUUUGUUUGGUGGUAUAUGAUCGAAAAUGAUUUUUGUUGUUUGGAUAUCAUUGGAAAAUAAUUUCAAUCUAAUGACUUAAUUUCAUGAAAAAAAAAGUUCAGAUUUUUACAUUUAAAAAAAAUCGAAUUUUUAAUUUUUUAAUUUCUCUUUUUUUAUUUUCUUUUUAGAAAUGGAAUUUUAAUUAUUUUUAAACUUUUCUCUUUUCUUUUUUCUUUUUUCUUUUCUUUCCUUUUCUUUUUCUCCCUUCCUCCGCCACUACUGGUCGACGAUGGCCAAAGCUUUGGCUCGUCGAGACCAAGUGAGCCACAAGCUUGCUAGCCUCGACAGAGCCCGAGCUAGCCAAGAUCGGGCAAGCUGUGAGCUCAUCAGCCUUGGCCGAGCUUGGGCUCGCUUGGAUUGGCAAAGCCUGGAGCUCGUUAGUCAGCAUCUUGGCUAAUCGUCGCUGGUGGAGGAAGAAGAGGGAAGAAGGAGGAAGAAGAAGGAAGAAAAAUAAAAUAAAAUAAUAAAAAUGAAUUGAAAUUUUUUAAAUUAAUUAAAAAUCUGAUUUUUUAAAAUUAUUUUUAUAAGAAUAAACUUUUCAUUAACCAAGGACCCUAAGACUAGGAAAAAAUUUUGGAAAAUGUUUUCUGGUUUUUUCAAAGGGGAAAUCAUUUUCUGGAAUUUAAGUUUUGGUAGGAAAACAUUUUUCGUUGACUUUGACUAGGCAAACAUUUUCCAUUAACUCAUUUUUCUAAACGAGCCAAACGUCGGAAAAUGAGGAAAAUCUUUCCCAAAAAUUUUUUCCGCAAAACAAACUCACCUAAUGAUUGUGCCAGCGAUUCUUUUUCCAUCACCUUAAUGUCUUUUCAAACUAAACCAACGUGGAAGAUUUGUCAAGGGUCGCCCUAGUCACGCCUUUUAUCCAGAAGAUAUCUGGGUCGAGCUAUGGAAAAAAAACUGAGCACAUAAUGCUGAGCUACAUAUAUUUGAGGCAAUGAAGUAAUGCAACAGUUCAACAGAAAAACAUGAAGUGUUCUUCGCUAGUGUGCAUGUAGAGUUCAGUGGUGAUGAUAUAGGCUAUUGCAAAAAUAAUGCGAUUCUCGUCAAGUUAAACUCACUGGCAACAACCGACCAAAAAAAAAAAAAAAACUCACUGGCAACAACUUGUUGGGUGCUUUUUAUUUGCCAACCAAGUCGAAUCUUGUCCAUAUGUGUUGGUUCAAUGCAUCUGCCAAAAGGAUCAAAGGAGCAAUUCCAUCUUAAAUUGAUUCCAUCCUUCCAAAUUUGUUGUAUCUGAACUUAUCAAGGAACUCGAUAGGAGGAAAAAUCCCUCCAUCAAUAGACGAUAUGAAGUCGUUGAUGACCUUAGAUUUGUCGAAUAAUGGCUUCAUUGGGCAGAUGCCAGAGCCACCAGCCAUAGGUUGUAUCUCCCUAUCUUUACUCAACAUGUCAGGCAACAACUUGCGUGGCCAAAUGCUACCAAGACUACUAACUUGAUAAGGUUGAAAUAUAUCUCUAAAAGACAACCAAUUCACCGAGAUAUGUCACCUGGCAUUUUGGAUAGCUAAGAUUUAAGGAUUUUGGAUCUAAGUAAUAAUUUAUUGUCUGGACCAAUACCAAAUUGGAAUGGAGAUAUCCAAUUUCUGGAAUUUCUGAUGUUGUCAGAAACUUAUAUCAUUGAGCUUCUACAGAUUGAAUUCUCUCGUUGUUUUAUACUUUGGACUAACAAAUUUCAGUCCAAACAUACCCUGUUGUGCCAAUGUUACAUUUAUGAGAUUCUUUCAUCUACAAAUUCAUGAGCUUACUGGGCCUUUUCCUUAGUUUCUUUCUAGAGCUUCGUCCAUCGUCACAUCGUAUCUACGGGAGAUGCCUAACUGGAUUAGUUUGCCUUGGAACUUGAAGUUUCUUCUACUGGAACGAAACCACUUCGAAGGUUCAAUUAGUCUAGCUCUACGUCAGAUGACAAAGAUAAGCAUGGUGGAUCUUUCUUAUAAUGGUCUUUUGGGUGAAGUUCCUUCUUGUUUGGAACAUUUGACAUUUGGAAAUGGUGGGGUAUCUAAUAGCACAUUCAAUAUGUUCAGUGAAAAUGCUGAGCUUUGGCAACUCUACCAAUACGAGGCAAAACUCAGCUUAUCAUUUAUCCCAUGGUGAUAGAGCCACAAGUGCUUUUUUUGGAUGAACUAGAACAAGUGACCUUUCAUGUCAAAGAGUAGACUGGAAUCUUAGAAGGUCAAUAUUCUAGGAUAAGUGUCUGGAAUGGAUCUCUCGCACUAUAAUUUGAUGGGCUCUCUUUCUCUAGAAAUCGAUUAUUUGAGCGAAAUAUAAGUCUUAAAUUUAUCGCAUAAUAAUUUGACAGGAUCAAUUCCAGAAUCGCAUAAUAAUUUGACAAUAUCAAUUCCAGAAAUAUUCUUCAAUUUAAGUAAUAUAGAGUGUGGACCUUUCCUACAACAAGUUAAUUGGCCAGAUUCCCAUGCAACUAACAAAACUAUACGCACUUCCAUUAGGCAAGACACCAGACAGAUAAUCAAUUUGGAACUUUUGAUGAAGCAAUUUACGAAGAUAACCCAUAGCUCAAAUCGCGGUCCAAGGACACUGUCAACUAUUGACGAAGGCACAAAGGCAGAGAGGAUGAGUCCUAGAAAGAUGCCUUCUUGAGUUUUGCAGGAUCAUUCAUGGUAGUAUUUGUUGGGUCGUCUUCUUCUCCACUGUUAUUUUCUCUACUUAACUUCAGUCUCAACAUACUGUUCGGUUUUGUCUGUAAGCAAAUAUCUCAUUGUUUCCUUAGCAAAGCUUGUGGUUGCAAGUAUUUAAACAUCUUGAUUCUCCACUAUGCACGUCGAACGAUUGGAUAGUCAUAGUUUCCAUCUUUCCCUAAGGAUUUGGUAAUGAGUAUCACCAGAUUUUCUUUUGGUUAUGAACUGAAGGAAAGAUCAUUGUGGUCAGAGAUACAAUAACCAUAAAAAAGAAAACUAUGGCUGUGACUUGUUAUCACAGAUUGACAAGUGCUUCUUUUAUUUUCCUUGGGAAUUUCUACAGUACACUAGCAUACCUUACUGCCUCCCUUUCUAUGAACCUAACUACAAAUCGUAAACAAUUUGAUAAUGCGUUCCAACGUAAUUGGACUUAACUUCGAUGACGUUGUAAGGUACACCUGACCACCAUAGAAGUGGCUGAUUUUGUGAAGCCAGAUCAGCUGUUAACUGUCUUUGCCAAUACGUAGCUGAUUCUUCUUUGAGAUUUAGCAGCAUGAUUGCCGGAAUGAAGCUUCGCUAAAGGUGCAAAUUAGAUCAUCUGAGUUUCUUUUCUUACUAACGGCGGCUCCUUCUUGGACUUCCAAAUUCUUCACAGCUCGCGCUUCUUUUAGAAUUUUUUAUUUAUUUAUUUCUAUUUUAUCACAGAGCUUUGAUAGAUGCAGAGAUUGCAAUGGGCUUGAGCAAAUUCCAUGUCUGCAAAUUCUAUCUGCUUACAUCUUUUGCCUUUUCCCGAACCCUAUUAGGUAGAGACUCUUAGUAGUUCCAUAUGUUGUAUUGGUCCAUGACUUAACUUCUUAAAAUUCACUACACAAAGGACCAAGUAAUUCACCAUCCUCCCGCUUUAGCUUUUUUCAUGGUGGUGGUGGUGGUGGUGGUGGUGGUGGUGGUGGUAGCAGCAGGACACUUUAGCUAUGAAAAUACUAAAGCGGAUUUGCAUAUCAAGCCAUUGCCUAAUCUAUGAAAAUACUAGUCGGAGUCUAAUCUUCAGAUCAUAAUUUAUAGAAAAUGGUUCAAUCCUAUCUGCCAGAGUUUGACCUGCACAAGUGGAUUUGCAUAUCAAGUGAAUGGGCAGAGCACAAAAUGAAUAACUAUCUAGCUUGCUUAAGCUGACACUUCCAAAUUCAAUUUGACAACCAGUAAACUACUCUUCACUAUAAAAGCUAUUGCCACUAUGACUUGGUUCAGAAAAUCUCAGCAGCAGUGCAAUAUUUUAUUACAAUGUCCACCAUGUGUGAACUUUUUCUUGACACACACUGUGCUACUUGUGCGGAAAAUGAUUAUCCAUUGAUAGUGGACUGAAUCCAUGUCGUAUUAACAGGAACAGAGAGAUUUUCAAAUGGAUUGGAUCUUUAAUUUCUGUUUGAAAAGAACAGAAAUCUCUAUUAAUACUUUGAUUCCAUCAUGGUAACUUAUCACAGAUGACCCUCGCUAUCCAUCUUAAUUUUGCACUUGCUUUUUGAAUAAAGACUGUCUUGACUGUCAGGCUACUACUCCUGAAAUUUAGCAGCAAUGAAAUUGGCAAGCACGAACCUUGCAUAUUCCUGUGAAACAAACUUUCACAGUUUAAUUUUAUGUGCCUGCACUUAAUUUCACAAACUUGAGUUAUUCAUCUAUGGCACCUGCAAUUUCAAUACAGCAUCAAAAGAAAAUAAAGGUUAAUGGCAAUUUUGGUGGCUGGUUGCUCCGUAUGGUAACAAGCCACGAAUAUCGAAAUACUACAUUGACUUGUACAUACCAAGAGCGCAUUUCUGCUAAUUAACAGGUAGUUAAUAUCUAAGCGAAUGUGACUGCAAAAUUUGACAAUUUUAAGCUGGUUAUGGAGGAUUUCAUCAAAACAGGGUAAUUCAAACAUCCUCACCAAAUGAGCAAUUCAGCAAGCUCUCUAGUCAGUUUGAGUUAUAACUUGCACCUGCAAGCCUCAUCUCAGAUUACACUUGAGUACGUGAAAUCGAGCUAUGACAAUCAACACAGAUCGAGCUGCUACUGACAAAUUUCUCACUAUAAAUGUAUAGCUAUGAUUCCCACUCCGACACAAAUUAUGUGUUCCAUUCGAUAUGGUCGAGGCUCACCAGAAUGUUCACGCAAGUAUAGGAUUGAAUGACACAAAACGCACCUUGAGAAUAGGCCGAGAAGAUCCGCCACCUGAGGCACGUCCCAAUCAAAUGCCUGCUCCGCAUCACACACAGGACGCAAAAGAGAAAACCACAAAUCACAAAAGAAAAAAAGAAGAAGAUAAAAAUGAACUCAAAAAGAAAAUAUAAACAAAGAUGGCCCCGCAUAAGAAAAACAAGUCGAACUAAAAACACAUCAUCCAUCCUUACGUCGAGACGGCGAGCGUCUCGUUGUGCCAACGGAACAAGCUGAGGGCAGCCUCGGCGAGCCACCAGCUGGCGCGGGUAGUGGCCGAGGAUGAACUCGUUGUCCUUCACGUACUCCGGCAGCUCCCGGAACGACGCCAGCGCGUACCGCGAUGCCGACGUCGUCCCUCCGCAGCAGCUGAAUGUUCAAGCAGUGCGAGUGGCAUGAGAAGCAGAAGCGUCGGUGAAAAUCGAUGGCCCAUCGUCUUUCCCCAUUGCCAUCACUCCUUCUCCAUCUCCAUCUCCUCCUCCCCCUGCUCUUUCGCUGGGCGCUUCCUCAUCGAUUUCUGCUGAAUUUGUUGGUCUCCUUCCUCUCCUCCUUCGCUCCAUCUCGAUGUGGCCUUUUCCCUUUUUGUGGAGAACUCAGAGGAGGGGGCGUUUGCUUUUGUUGGUAGGCCGGUCGGAGAAGAAGAUGAAGAAAUCGUGGAGGCCUUAUUUGGCCCAAUAUCAGCGCCUCCUUUGUAUCUCUUGAUAUAUCUUUUUCAAGAUUAAGAUUUAAGAUUUUUUUUUUAAUUUCGUGAAAAAAGGAUUUUUUUUUUGAAAUUUUUAUUCGGAAUUUGUUAAGAAAUCAAAUAAUAAAAAAUUUGAAAGUUUCAACGCCAAAUCAAAAUGUUUUUCGCUCGAAUUGACCAAAAACAAAAUUAAGGUUCUUAAUUUUUAUUAUCUAGACAAAACUUCAUUCAUUCACUUAUAUAUUUCAAUAUAAUGUCAGCUGCGCUAAAAAUAUUUUACUAAGAUAGAUUUGCUAAGUGACAGUGACAAUUUAGAUUUGAAUCGGUGCCUUAAUGAAAAUCACGGAGUAUCUAAACGAAAUUAUGUCAUCAAGUCAAUCGACACCUACGAUUUAAUAAAAUCUCAUAAUUUAUGAUCAAGGAGAAGUGUCAAAAUUCAAUCAAUUUUUCUUUAAAAAAUACAUCUACGACCCUCUACCAAUGUCUAUAAGACUUUAAUCUACUUGUGGUUGGUGAAGUGUGUGGCCUGGAGCGAAAGUAUAGAAAAAUAUCUCUAAUAAAGUAGAGAUUUUGGUAUGCGCUGUAUCAAUGGAAGUGGUGGAAGUGGCCUAUAUAAAUAGGUCUUCAAGAGCUAGUAGAGAGAGCAUAGAACAAACUAAGUCCAUAGCCUCUUCCCAUGCACCAAACUUUGGAAAUCACUUUCCAUUAAGUACGCCCUUAGCUCAUCCCAAACUAACACAGAGGACUCUUUUUGUACAAAACAAAAUAACUACCCAUUUAUCCAAACUACAUGAAUAAAUAGACAAAAACUAUCAAAUCUUUACAUCAUAAUUCAAAGGAAAUGGUUCAAUCAUGUCCGCCGACCGGAAAAAGUACUCCAUAAUGAUAAAGGUGAAUGGGCAUAGCACUAAUAAAACAACUAUCUCGCUUGCUUGAAUCAAUAUAUUUCGAAUUCAAUUUCACACCCAAUGAGCGACUCUUUAAUAUAAAAGCUAUUUACCACUUCGAUUUCAUUCAGAAAAUCUUAAUAGCAAUCAACUUUCAGAGCAUUUUGCUACAGUAUAUUAUAAGGUCCACCCAAUUGUAAACUUUUUCUUAAUACAGAUGGAGCUACUUGCGUUGAAAAAUGAGUAUCUAGUGAUAUAGGACUGAAUCCGUGUUGCACUACCAAACGGAGUUUUUCUAGUGGAUUGGAUCUUUAAUUUCAAUUUUUCCUUUUAUUUUUUUGUCGAAAGAAACAUUUCAUUUCAUCUUUCAACACUUUAAUUUCUAUUCAAAAAGAAAGUUAAUUUAUAUUAAUGCUUUGAUCUGUCAUGCUAUCCAAUUACAUAGGACCUUUGGUAUCCAUUCGACUGUCAAGCUAGGGCUCCAAAAAUUUAGUGGCGAUGAAAAUGGCAAGUAGGAUCAUUGUAUACUCCAACAAAAUACAUUUUCCGAGUUUAAUUUAACAUCCUUGAAAUUAAUGCCACAAACUUCAGUAAUUCAUUUGUGGCACCUGCAAUUUCAAUACAACAUGAGAAGAAAAUGAAGUUUUAAUCUAGUUUCAAAGUCUAAGCCAAGUUCAAAUUCCUUUCUUAAGAGAUAAACACCAUAGUCAAUACAUAUUAUGAGUAAGCUAACAAUCAAUUAUUGCAUCAUACAACCAAUUAUUGCAUCAUACAACCAAUACUUUCGUAUGUACAAAUCAUUAAGAAAAAGCCAAAAUCCAAGUUCAUCAUAAUAUUAAGCUAUACUUACUCAUACUCAAAAAGGACAAAAAGCUUAGGUGAAUGGAUUAUGAACAAAUUAAGGCUCCGUUCAUUUCAUAGAAAAUAAAUUCCAAGAAAAUGUUCUCCGGAUUUUUCGUUGUUCGUUUCACAAAAAAUGAAUUAGUCAAGAAAAAUGUUUUCCACCAUUAGAAAAAAAUAACAUUUAAGAGUAAGGAAAAUAUUUUCCACUUUUCAAAAAUGGAAAAUACUUCCCAUAACUUCUUCCACAUUGCUUCCUUUCAUCAAACACAUUUUCAUUUUAUUUUCAUGCUUUCUUUGUCACAGUGGAGACCUCAAAGCAAAGCUGGUUAAUCAACAACGCAUGGUCUUGCAGAACCACGAAGCAGAAAACCCCAAUCCCAACUCUCUCCGCUGCUCCGAUUUGCAUUCGCCUUCUCUCUCUUGCGAAACAAAUCCGAUGUACAUAAACUCAAGGUGAGAGCCAAGAUCUCAACAUGUAUAGGAGCAAACAGACAAUCAAAGCUUUAACGCCAAUUAGACAAACAAAUCCGGCGUCAGUGGCCCGCGAUGGACGAUCGGCUGUGGCUACCGGUGGCCUGAGGGCGAUGGAGAGGGAAUCAGCAGGAGAAUCUGCAGAACCCCGAGAGAGUUGGACUGGCUUAAUGGGCCUGUGGGUUUAAUGGGUUUGAUCUCUGGGCCGAGGCUUCCUCUGAUGAUAGGCUUGCUAUGGCCCAGGCUGUUAUUAUGGAUCAGGUCCGGGCUGCGCAAAUUGGACAUGCACAUGAGCACGACACCAACAUUUACACGUAUCGCAUCUGAUGCCUUCUGGGAAGAAGCUCGGUCAUUUUUGGGAUGAUUUUCGUGUUUGCGUGGAGGAGAGAGAGUGAGUUGAGAGAAGUGGCUGAUCAAAUCCAAACAAAUCAUUACAAUCACAAAGGAAGCUCAGAUGAGAGGAGAGGAGGGGCUGAUAACGAGUUAACAUGGAGAUACGUAGAAGUUGUAGAUUCUUCACAUUAGAGUAUCAACGACUCAGCCGCUGUCCUCAAGAUGAUUAAAAAGGAUUCAUCGAGUGGUAUGUGCCAGCAAAUUUAGCCCUUGAAGGAAAUUAUUAGUGAAUUUACCAAAAAAAAAAGUGUAGGAAAAAGAACUUCCACUAUAUCUCUAUUUUCAUCGGCUCGGUUCAAAAAUAAAAAUGGAAAGAAAAAUCUUCCAAUUCGGCAACUAUUAAUGGUGAAUCACCAAAUUACGAAAAUCCAAUUAUGUAUGUUAAGUUAAUUUAUGGUGUUUCGAAUGAAAUUUCUCAAAUGACCGAACCAUUUUGAUUUGGUGGUUAACAGUUCAAAUAAAGUCACUUCAGACUUUAGAAAAUUCGAAGAAGUUUUUCAAAUCCGCGUAAGGAAAAGGAUCCAGUCACCCUUGGCUGACCAACUUUGGAGUAUUGACCAAAUGCUUUAUGAGAAAAAGAAGUAACCAGUCUAGCAUUUUGCCGGGGUAAAGAAGCAAAAUCUCAUCUAAGAUUAGACUGAAAUGGAAAGAGAAAUUGAGUGACUUGGUCGACUCUCUUUUCCAUCAUAUUCAUAUUGCUUUUGGAUUAAUAAAACAUAAAGUUAGUCAAGGUCUUAAUAUUUACUUUCCAUAAUGGACAUCUAUGUCAAUAAAGUUGAAGCAUUUCCCAGCAUUUACGGUAGGUGGCCAAGACGACUUUGGACAAAGCUGGGUCAAGCUACAAUGGGCAUCUCUAUCUAAAAAGCAAAGUAUUUCACAGCUUUUUAUUGCAAGAGACCGGAAUGACUUGCUCAAAUUAUACAAGAGUCCCCCUUAUAUGAUGAAGCAGGCAUUCAAACAUUCAACGAAAAUAUAUAUUUGAAUAGAACAUUAUAUAAUGAAUUCAACUGAUAAGCUCAACUUAGUGAUUUACAUGUUCAAGUACCUUAUGUUAUCGAUUUGUCCGUUUUAUUUCAAUAUAUUUGGUUGAAAAUUUAAUGAAAUUAGACAACUUCCUUAAUUGGUAAUUUUUAGAUUUUGCUAAUAAGUAAUGGGUUGCCGAACAAUAUUGGCAAACUCCCAAAAUAAUAUUUAAGUGGUAAUCAUGUGGAUGAUUGAUUUUACCUUGAACCUGCUAUUAAAUGGAAAUCACCGGAGAGAAUCCACUUGAUUUUUGCAGACUCCCCCAAUUGUCUCCCUAAGGCAAAGAGGCAACACUAAUUGAGAUCCCUUUGAACAUCCAAGGAAAUGCUCAUAUAAAAUGCUCGAGUCUUUGGGGAGAAAGUCAUCAAAUAGUGUAGCUCAUUAAGGAAUUAAUUAUCGUAGGCAAAAAUAACACGACGGCCUGGAGUUUCAUGUUCUUUAAUAAUCUCAUUGCCAUUCGUUAACCUAAUACUCAUUUGAAGAUUAAUGAUUCUUUUAGAUAUUUGACUACUAAAAGUUAUGAUACUUGAUAUAGAUCCGGUAAUUGCGAUUAGCAUGAAAGGUGCUAUUGAGAAGUCGACAAAUGACCAGGCUUAAUAGCACACAUUAAUUGCAAAAACUUUCAUUUUCAUAAUAACAACAAUAAACGAUAAUAAUAACAACAACAAUGGAUAAUUUAGUGACAAACACUAAUUGCGAACCCUCCCACAUCAUACGACGCACAAAGGCAUUGUUUUCAUGCGGAUACAUAAGAUAGGAUGAAAGAUAUCAAAUAAUGCAUACUUUUUUAAGUCGAUGAGAAAAUUUACCGUGUAAUACACAUAUAUAAAUGGCAAACUUUUUAAUCAAUAUACGAACAUGUUUUGUAAUGGUCGAUAUUGAAAAAUUUCAUUUUUUUUAGUUUUUGUAAGUCAACAUAUAUAAUUAAGUAAUCAUGUACUAUUAAACAUAUUUAAUUAAUUUAGCAACGACCUCUUCAUGUAUCAUAUGAAUCUAUUUUAAAAUACUUUUCAGGGAACACGAGUAUUAGAUUUCCAAGCAACUUUUGCACAUGGACGUAGAGCAACUAAUUCAAUGCAUUUUGACCGGCAAAUUAGGUAAGUCUAACAUUGGGCCCACAUAAUGUAAUAAAUCACAUUCAUUGAGCGCAUGUGAUUCAAGGCCACAAAAUAAGUAAAAAUAAAUUUCCAUAUGCUUCUAGCAUCCAAGAUUGUUAUUGAACAUUCAUUUUCCACAAAGACCGGUUUUAUUUCCCAGUGAUUGAAUCGGCAAUUGUGCCUGCAUUAUUCUCUGUCAAUUUUCACGUCCUUAUUUCUCGACAUAAUUGAAAUGGUUUGCUUGCGUUUCUUUGGAAAAUUUAUGGGUCACGGCAAGCUUUAAUGACCACGCGGAGAUGUGUUGCAUCGUUGAUUAAAGAGGUCCCCAGCGAACUUGAUCAACUCAGGGGCCACGGGCAAGUAUUUCAUGAAUAUAACACAUAUAAGAAUUGAAUCUGGACCAUCAGAUCUUGUGGGAUCCAUUAUCUUCAAUGGUUGAUAUUCAUCCAAUAUAUAUACUAUACUCAUAUAAUAUUUUCUCGUGUGACGCAAAACACUUAAAAAAUAAAUAAAUGAAGUGUCCUUCAUUUUACUGUACCUGGGCAUGUGCACUUGGGUGGUGCCGAGUAUUGGAGGGAAGUGGAAGAUGAUAUCAUUGCUUGAAAGGAGAGACUUGAGAGGAAUGCCCUGCGCAAGAUUAAAUCCGACUUAAACAACCCGAAUGGGUUUUCUUCUAUCGCGGUACGACGAUUAAAAUUUUUUUUAUUUAAUACUAGCAGGUAUUCAUACAUUUGCACAAGAUUAAGACUAUAUGUUCGGUUUUAUUCUAAAUAUUGAUAGUUAAUUGAUUUUGUAGUCAUUGAUACUUCAAGUUAAUUAUAAGAUUUAUUGAAUAUUGAUUGCUAUUUGCUUGACUGGUUUAUCAAAUCAAUCGAAAUUACCCUCAAAUUUCCUUCAAUAAGUCUAAACAAAUACUAAUUUGUUUCAUAUUUAUUGACAAAACAAUACCUGUACAUAAAAAUUAACAACAUCAAGGUUUUUUUUUUAUCUUAUCUUUUUUUUUUUUAUGAAGUGAUAUGUGGAAACAUAUUUUUCAAUACUUUUGCUAAAAUCACUAGUAAAGUUUUGUUAAUAUGCAAAUAGUCAUUCUUUAUCAUUUUAGAAGAUUCUCUUGAUCAUUUUCAUCUUUCUCUUUUGGAAAAGUUCUAAGUCAAGUCAAUAGCGCUGAUCACACCCAUGAUUGUGUCGUGGAGCUGGACUAGCUGCAAUAAUCACUCGAAAGGGAAAAGACAGCAUAUAUAAAUGAAGUACACGAGCCUCAUAUAAAAAUUUUGUUGGGAAUGACUGAUCCCCGAAAAACCGGAUUCAACACUAAAUCGAACCCCUAAAUCAAUGCGGAAGCGAAGCCCGGGAAAAACAACACGUAUCACCGAUCCUAAAGCACAUCACGGAUUCGAGCGUACCUUUUAGCCACAGAUUAAACACCGACGCCGAUAGAGGAAGAGAAACUUGGUCCUGUUCGAUCCGGUGAAGCAAAAUCGCCUUGGCGCCUCACUGUUUGCUUUUUGGAGAAAACGACAGAGAGGAGGAGAGGAGGAAGCGUACGUACGUCUCUUUCCUUUUAAAACAAAACAGUACAUUUUUUCCUUUUUCUCCUCCCUUUUAUACCUCUCUCCUUCCACGGGCCUUAUUCCCGUGGGCCGGGCUUUCUCGGCCCAACUUGGGUGGACGGGCCUUAAGCCCAAUUCUUAUAAAGCCUUCAUCUCCCACUCGCACAUAGUGAGUCGAACAGGAUUCUCUUUACCUCUUUUUUCAACAUUCAUACCGGUGAAUAAUCCGUGCGACCAGCAUACUUUGAGAGCUUGUUGCUAUACAUCUGUUAGGAAUAUAUAGCAGCUCAUAAUGGGCGUCACACUCCGAGUAGACUUAGUAUGCAGUACUCUAGAUCGAUCGAUCACAUUUUAUAUCUCUCUUGAUCUCUUUCAAACAUGAUAUAUAUAUAUAUAUAUAUAUAUAUAUAUAUAUUGUAUUCACAAUUACAGUUAUCACAAAGACAAUCAUAAUUGGUCGAGCAGUGAAUACAAAAACUACAAUGUGAUUCUCCAAAAUCGAUCUUCCUCUUUCCUUCAAACUCUCAAUUUCAGUUCAGCUUGCUUUUCUAGAAAUGUCCCAUUAGAUCGAAUCAACUCAUGACCAUUGGCAACAUCCUAAGAUAGCAAACACUAAAUAGAAACCUUGAGAAUAAGUAAAAGUCAUGAGGGCACUAAAAUUGAGGAACUCUUUUCCUUAAGAGUCUCACACGUCAUAAAAGUUGAGAUCAAUCUUUUUGUCACUCUUAUUGGUCGGCUCAUGCAUACGUAGUAUAAAAUACGUAUUAUGGUAUUAACUCCUUUCCCAUGGAGCGUAUGUCUACACCUUUCAAUACCGUACAGAUGAUAGUUCAGACAUACCCAAUGUCUAACUUGAGUUCACGUAUCUACUCUUUUACAAAAUUCUUCAGAACUCACAUCUGGCAUCUUAGACAGAUAAAGUAAAAUAUGUGGGGUAUUUUACUUUCGGAUAUAGUAAGUAUUAUAUCCUCAUCUUAACACUCAGUUAAGGCGACAUACGUAUUUUAAGCUUGAGCUCUCGAUUAUCACCUAGAUAAUAAGCUUAAAAAUAGUCUCAUCUCUAUUUAUCACAUAGUAAAUAGAGGCGAUUACCCGUGUGAGUGGGCUAAUCUUUUAUCUGUCCGACAUACUUUCUCAACUUAAAAUAAUACACUAAGUAUUAAGAUGCAUAAAGUUCAAACAAAGAUUCAUAGGCAUUAAUAAUGAAACAACACUAGUUCAUAAAUGUGAACAACUCAGGGAAAUUACAAUCCAGUACAUCAGACUCUACGCAAUCCUAGAGAUUUUACAUGACCACAAAACACAUCUCUGGGUAUUGGUUUUGUCAUAGGAUCUGCUACCAUUCUAUGCGUAGAUAUGUACUGUAAGUUCACAUCCAUUCGUGCAACCAUAUCCUUGACAAAGUUAUACUUGGUAUCUAUAUGUUUGGUCUUGCCAUGAUAUUUUGGAUCUUUGGUGUACGCUAUAGCUGUUUGGCUAUCACAGUUAACCAAUAAUGGAUUUGCAGCUUUUUCAAUAACACCUAAAUGAUCCAAAAAACUCUUAAGCCAAACUCCUUCUUGUACUGCUGCUGAUAACGCCACGAACUCAGCUUCCAUCGUGGAUAAAGCUAUGCACGUUUGCUUCUUACUACUCCAUGAUAUGGCGCCAUUGCUCAAUAAGAAAGCAAAUCCUGAGGUAGAUUUCCUUUCAUCUAAAUCUCCUCCCCAAUCAGCAUAUGAAUAGCCUUCAAGUCGCAGAUCCUUUCCUUGGUAAUUCAACUUGUAAUCAGCAGUUCCCUUCAGAUACCUCAGUAUUCUCUUAACGGCCUUCCAAUGUGCUAGGCCUUGAUUGGAUUGGUAUCUACUUACCAUUCCAACUACAAAACAUAUGUCGGGUCUUGUACACAUCAUAGCGUACAUCAAGCUCCCAACAGCACUUGCAUAAGGAACAUGUUUCAUUUGUUCCUUCUCUCGUGGAGUCCCUGGGCACAGUCUAUGGCUCAACCCUUCACCUUUUGCAAUAGGAGUGUCUAUGGGUUUACAAUCCUACAUACGAAAUCGUUCAAGAACCUUAUUUAUAUAGGUUUCUUGCGAAAGAGACAACGAUCUCUUCGAACGACCUCUUGAAAUCUUAACUCCAAGAAUGUAUGCAGCCUCACCCAUGUCCUUCAUCUCAAAGUUGGAAGACAACCAACUCUUAAAAGUCUUAACAAACUCCAUAUUGCUUCUAGCAAUUAGUAUAUCAUCAACAUAUAAUGAUAUGAUCACAAAUUAAUCCUUGGAUCUUUUGAUAUAUACACGAUGAUCCUCAUCAAUCAUCGUAAAAUCAUAUGCCAUUAUGGCAUUAUGAAAACGUAUAUAUCAUUGUCUUGAUGACUGCUUAAGACCAUAUAUCGAUCUCAAAAGUCGACAUACUUUUUCUUCUUGGCCUUUCACUAUGAAACCAACAGGUUGUUCCAUAUAUAUUUCUUCCUCUAAUUCUCCAUUGAGGAAAGCAGUCUUUACAUCCAUUUGAUGUAACUCAAGAUUCAGACUAGCCACUAUUGCCAGAAUGAUGCGAAUUGAGGUAAAUCUUACUACAGGAGAAAACGUAUCUUCAUAAUCAAUUCAUUCCUAUUGAUUAUACCCCUUCGCCACAAGUCGAGCCUUCUGCCUUUCUAUCGAGCCAUCAGCCUUUCGCUUUAUUUUGAGAACCCAUUUGUUCCCAAUAGCUUUGCGUCUUUUUGGAAGAUCAACCAGUUCCUAGACUUGGUUUGAUUUCAUUGAUUCCAUUUCUUCUUCCAUUGCAUUAAUCCACUUUUCCUUACUAGGACAAUUCAGAGCAUCAUUAAUAUUUCUUGGCUCAUCCUCAUCUUGUGGAGCAACCAUAAAAGUUUUCCCUUCAAUAUCAAAACGUCGAUGGGGAAUACUUUGGCGACUUGUUCGCCGUAUGAGAGAUUGUACACUUAGCACAUCAUCUCCCAUCAUGCUCCCAUUUGGAUUAGGUAAUGAUGAUGUCGUCUCAUCAUGUGGUUGCAAUUGAAAAUGAGGUGAAUUUAAUUCAUCACUUCUCAUAUUACUCCCACUUGGACGAACUCCACUAACAUCAUUAUCCUGAUCCAAGGUCUCAAAUAGGGAACAAUCUUCCCUUAUUUCGUCCUUCUUAGGAAAUUCAUCCUCUAAGAAUGUGACAUCUCGUGAUUCAAACUCAGUUAUACUUCCACUUUCUUGCUCACCUAUGAACACAUAUCCUUUCGAGUGUUCAGAGUACCUUAUGAAAAUACUCUUCUUUCCUUUGGGACCCAAUUUCCCAAAUUUGUGAGAGGACUCAUGUGUAUAGGCGGCACAACCCCAUGGCUUAAGAAAACUUAAGUCCGGUUUUCUACCUGUCCAUAACUCAUAUGGAGUGGAAGUAACUGAUUUGGAAGGCACACGGUUAAGUAUGUAGGCAGCAGUUAAUAACGCAUCACUCCAAAAGGUAAUAGGUAAGUUAGCAUGCGCCAUCAUGGACCUAACCAUUUCUAGUAGGAUUCUGUUUCUUCUCUCCGCAACACCAUUUUGUUGAGGAGUAUAUGGAAUAGACAACUGUCUUUCUAUUCCUUUUUCAUCACAUAAUUUUCUGAACUCAUCAGAUAAAUAUUCUCGACCUCGAUCGGAUCUCAAUGCUUUUAUUUUCUUGUCUAAUUGAUUCUCUACCAGGUUCAUAAACCUUUUAAAACAACUUAUUGCUUCAGAUUUAUGAGAAAUCAAAUAGACAUAUCUGAAUCGAGUAUAAUCAUCAAUAAAAGUGAUGAAAUAAACAGCCUCAUGCCUUCCUUUCACAUUCAUUGGACCACAGACAUCAGAAUGGAUUAAAUGCAGAGGAAAUUUAGCUCUUUUUCCUUUUCCAAAUGGUUUCCUUGUCAUUUUCCCUUCUAGGCAAUGCUUACAUAUGGACAAAUCGACUUUUUCAAUAUUGCCCAACAAGCCCUCUUUGGCUAGUCUAUUCAUGCGCUGUUGGCCAAUGUGACCAAGUCUAGCAUGCCACACAUUCACAUCAUUAUCAUAUGUAUUAGGAGACGUGAGAAGGGAAUAACAAACAUUAGCAUUAACAUAAUCAAUAUUUAAUAUAAUAAAACCAUCCAGAAAAUAACCACAACUAUAGUAAUUUGUAUCCAAAAAUAAAUUCACACAUCUACUAUAGAAGUUCAUAUUAAAACCUAAUUUAACCAACACUAAUACAGACACUAAAUUCCGACGAAUCUCCGGAGCAUAUAACACAUCAUGAAGGAACAAAGUGCGUCCACCACGCAUAUUCAGUUGGCAUGUGCCAAUUCCUUUCACUUCAGCUCUGGAGUUGUUUCCCACAUAGAUCCACUUAGUUCCAGUUGGUACUCGUCGGAAUUCCACGAAGGAUCCUCUAUCCUUCGCUACAUGGUCCGUCGCUCCUGAAUCCAACAGUCCACAAAGGAUUAGACUCAGUUAAGAACACAGAACUCAACACAAAAGUAAAGUUCUGAAAAGUAUAAGGGGUGCAUACAUUCUUUGGCUCACGACAGUCACGAGCAUAGUGACCCUUCUUGUCACAGUUGUAGUAUUUCACCCUUGCAAGCUUUUUCAUGCGGGGACGCUUCCCUAUUUCAUGUUGGUUAAACUUGGGUUUCUUCCCUGAAGGACUUGCUUCUUCCUUGCCUUUCCCCUUAUCAAACCAGUUAGGGCGCUUGCGCUUGGAGCUCGAAGCUCCAUUUGAGCUAGAACUAGCAUGAUAGAGUUCAGCAUCCGGCUUAGCUGCCAACAGGCGGUCCUCUUCCAGCUCAAGAUGACGCAUUGCAUCCUCCAAGGUUUUGAUAUUUUCAUUGUGAGUCAAGUGCACCUUCAUGUGCUCCAAACUCUGAGGCAAGGAACGAAUCACUGCUUGCACCUGCUGCUCAUCUGUGAGGACAUGGCCAGCAUCUUUCAACUCAGUUAUCAUGUUUGACAUCUUUCUAAGAUGUUGCUUCAUGGUCUGACCAUGAGGCUUCUUAUAAGAGUCAAACCUGAUAGUGAGCUGCCUCAGUCUAGUCACCGAAGUAUGACCAAAUCUAGCUGCCAAUGCCUGCCACAUUUCCUUGGCAUUGUCAAAACGCCGAAACUCUCGCAUGACGUCAUUUUCCAUGCUGCUCAGCAAUGUGAUGCGAGCUAGAGAGUUCUUUCUUUUCCACGCAGAAAAAGCUUCUUUGUCUCUUUUGUGCUGUGCAGUGGUUCCCUCUUCAGGUUCUACCAUGGUCAGGUUAAGAGCCUCAAGUGCUUCUUGCUCUUCCAGCACAUACUAGAUUUUCAUUUGCCAAAUUUCAUAGUUGUCACCAUUGAGCUUUUCACCUUUGUUCAGCUCGGCAACUAUGCUCUUUGUGGCUGAAGCCAUUAAUCUGAACAAAUCAGACAAAUAUGCACGAAUUAUUAAUGCCUAUCAUUUAUGCAUCCUUAUUUACAUAGACCCAUCAUAUUAAUGAAUAAUUUCAAGUAAGGUUUCAGAAUCAAAAGGUCACUAUGUUUCCAAUCAUUCUCCAAAAUCCUAACUUAAAACUAUCAUCAAUAUAAUUGUCUUAUGCAAAAUCAAUUCUAUGAAGCUACAAAAACUUCUAAAACUACCCAUAGCUAAUUACCCACAGCAACCAGCAAUAACAGAAAGUAACAUAUAAUAGAUAUCUAAUAAAAAAAAAUAAUGCUUUCAAUUAACACAAUUAGGUAGUAAUCAUUACAUAAUAUGUCCACAAAUCACACUUAACAUAUAUUAGCUAAUACAACUAACACCAAGUCAGCACACGAACUGGGAAAGAUCCUCUUUUGUUCAAUUUCUUGAUCUUUUCCCUUGAAACAAUACAAUAAUAUUCAUUUACAAAGUCCAUCACAAUUUUCUUAUAGGAAGCAGCUCCGUUGACAUCCCAUAUGCGAUUCAACACAUCUUGCCAUUCAGGUGGAAGAGUGUUUAUGAAAAAUCGCACCAUCUCUGACUGUGACAUAGGACGACCAUUCCAUAUGACUUGUUCAAUUUUCCCGUUGACUUCAAGGACAUGAUCAAUUAAGUCACCUCUCUCCCAUCGAUGAUCAGUCAGCUCAGCUAUCAACUUAGAUAGCCUAUCCUUUUGUUCAUCGGUAACUGCGCGAAUAGGUGUGCGCAACCUCAGGGGAGGCAUUGUUCCUGCAACAAAUGCAGAACAAAUAAGGGAUCACAUUAUAAUCCACAUGGACUUAAUUGAAAAAGAAACACAUUCUUUUCGUUUUCUUUUUUUUCCGGGUCAACGGUCAACGGUCGUCGGUCAACGGUCAACGGUCAACGGUCGUCAAACAACGGUCAACGGUCGUCGGACCAGUCGGACCGGUCGAGCCAAAGGGUGGCCGGCUCGGGCGAACCGACGGCACGUGCCGCCCGCGUGCGCGGGCUGACGUCACGCAGACGUCAGCCGACACACGCCGCGCACGUGCUGGGUCUCCGCAGUCGGGUCGCCAGCCGGUGGCCGCCCCGACGAAACGUCGUCGUGCUGACGUCAUCGAUGACGUCAGCACGCGUCGGUCCGCGGAUCGGCGCUUGCCGGUUCGCCAGCCGGUGGUGCACACGCGCCGGUUCGCCGACCGACGCGUGUGCCGCACGCGCUGGGCAAGCCAGCGCUUCCGAGCGCGUGCGGUGUCGCCCGGCGGCGCACGACGUGUCUCCAGACUCGUCUCGACGUCGCCUUUCUCCCCAUGUGUUUAGAGAACGAUUUCGACUUACGAAAACACAAAAAAAUGGCCGAAGAACGCUCGGGUGUCGGGAUUUCUCGCCCGAUCCGUACGGCCGAAUUGCUUUUGCGAAAAAAAUCAAUCAAAAAUCGUCAAACAAGUCGGGAAAACGUGAACUAAGGCUCUGAUACCAAUGUUGGGAAUGACUGAUCCCCGAAAAACCGGAUUCGACACUAAAUCGAACCCCUAAAUCAAUGCGGAAGCGAAGCCCGGGAAAAACAACACGUAUCACCGAUCCUAAAGCACACCACGGAUUCGAGCGUACCUUUUAGCCACAGAUUAAACACCGACAUCGAUAGAGGAAGAGAAACUUGGUCCUGUUCGAUCCAGUGAAGCAAAAUCGCCUUGGCGCCUCACUGUUUGCUUUUUGGAGAAAACGACAGAGAGGAGGAGAGGAGGAAGCGUACGUACAUCUCUUUCCUUUUAAAACAAAAGGGUACCUUUUUUCCUUUUUCUCCUCCCUUUUAUACCUCUCUCCUUCCACGGGCCUUAUUCCCGUGGGCCGGGCUUUCUCAGCCCAACUUGGACGGACGGGCCUUAAGCCCAAUUCUUAUAAAGCCUUCACAUUUGUAUGCUAGUACUACCUAUGAAAGUUACCAUAUGGCUCGUGUCCUCUAUGGAUGGUGUCCUCUAUGGAUGAACUAUAUAGAUCAAGCAUAUCGGACACAAUUGGACAUAUCCAUUGAUUUAAUUAAUUUAAUUCAUUUGACUCAUAUAGUCCAUCUCUUCUUAUAAUUGAUCACGAUAUCCUCUGUAAAUAAUCUCAACUAAUCUAGUGUAGAUAAACGGUUAGAUAUGUGAGUUGAUAUAAUUGCAAUAACUGUUGAAAUAACUAUCCUCGUUUUGUUAUGAAAUACGUAUGAAUUCUAUAUACGAAGAGCAAAAGUACAUGUGAUUACUGUGACUCCUUUUUUUAAAAAUCUCAAUUUACUAGUACGUGAUGGAUUGGUCAACACGGCAAAAUAUUUAAGUAAAAGACAAAAAUAGGGAACAGAAAUUAUCAGCUUGACAUACAUGUUGAAGCGAGACCAAAAUGACUCGGACAAAUGAAUCGCAACCACGGCCGCUUCGCAUUAAAGAGGCAUCAAAUAUCGAAAAUGAAUCUUAAAUUUAAAAGUAUGCAAGACAAAAAAUGGAAAAAAAAAAAAAAAACAGAAGGAGACACGCUGUUAGCUACUUAACGUCUUCCAAAAAUAAAAUACUCUAGAGUCAUCACAUAAGAUAGUGAUCAUGCGGGUAUUCACUUACAAAUCACUCAACAAGACAUCUCCCAACCAAUAUACAUGGAAUUUGAAGAAUGUGAGACCGUAUAUGGGAAAUAAAUUUUGCCAGAACCUAACUCCAUUACCAAGUUAGAAACCCAAUAGACUAAUGGGGACCAUAAUAAUAAAAGUGAAAGAGGUUGAGUUUUAAAGUUUACUGGUGUGUUUGUUUACGGAAAUUGAUGACUUGUAAAUAUUUAUCUAAAAAUAAUUUAUUGUAUUGAUUUAAAAAAUCAGUCAACAGAAGAAAUCUUCAUCAUUGAUAAUAAUCAUUGCUAAUUAUUUUCAUUAUCAUAAAAAUGUUUCUUAUUAAUUUAUUUAUAAGCGAUACAAGUGAUAAUUUUGAUAAUAAUAUUUCAAAUUGAUGUUUUGCAAAAAUAAACACACCCUAUAUAUCAAGAUAAUGCACGUUGAUAUAUCCAACAUUAGCAGCUCCAGUGAAGGCUAUAGUAUGAUCAACUAGUAUAUAUAGGUCCUGCAGGGCACAUCUGUGAAAAUAAAAAAGACAUAAUACCAUGAAAGAUCUUCAAGUUUUGAAGCUUCGUAUCAGAGACAUUCACAAGAGUCUGACACCAACAUUUACUCAUAUCCCAUCUUUGAUCAAUUUUUGGGAUGAUUUUCGUGUUUGCUAGGAUGAGAAAGAGCAGAUUGAGAGAAGAGGUUGAUCAAAUCGAAACAAUAAUUGCAAACCACAAAGGAAGUUGAGAGGAGAGGAGGGAUGGAUAGUGAGUUAACAUGGAGAUACAUGGGAGUUCUAGAUUCUUCACAAUGGAAAGUCAUUAACAUUGACUCCGUAUUUACAAGUAAGUUUAGACUUUAAAGGAAAUUAGAUGUGGAUUUACAAAAAGUGGAAGGGAAAAGGACUUCCAUCAUAUAUUUCUUUCCUUCAUCUCGCUUCAACCUUGAAAAAAAAAUUAGACAUGAAUUUACAACAACAAUGAAAAAUAAAUAAAUAAAUAAAUAAAAAGAAGGAAAGAAAGAAACUUCCUACUGAGUAGCUAUCAAUGGAUGAAUUAGUACCUUAUGAAAAUCAAAUCAUAAUAUAUAUAUAUUAUAAAUAUGUUAAAUUAUUUUACGGUGUUUCGGAUCAAUUUCCUCAAAUGACUUGAGCAUUUUGAUCUAAUGAUUAACAUUACCGGAUAAAGUUAGUCCACAUUUAAGAAAAUUUCGAUCCGUUUUUCUAAUCCGCGUAGGGACAGGGGUGCAACCACCUCGCAUUGACUGACUUUCUGAGUAUUGGCCAAGUGCUUUAUGAGAAAAGAAGUAAUUAGUCUAGCAUUUUGUCAAGUUGAAGAGGGGAAAUCUCUUUCAAAAUUACAUCUAGAUGGAAAGAGAAAUUGAGUGACUAGGCCGACUUUCUUUUGCAUCGUCCUCGUAUUGCUUUUGCAUUAAAGAAAUAUAAAUUUAAUCCAGAUCUUGCCAGUUACUUUUAAUAAUGGACAUCCCUAUUCGUCAGAAAAGGUAAUUGGAAACUGACGGGGUGCUUGGAAGGAGAGCCAUCCUGCUCAAUAAACCAUUACAAAUAGAAAAGAAAGCAAAGAGGAAGAAGAAGAGGGGUCGAUACUGAGUUAACAAGGAGAUACGUAGGAGUUGCAGAUCCUUCAUGAUGGAAAUUUAUAACAGUUGUCCUUAUAAUGAUUGAGUAUGAUUUACUAAAAAAAUAGAGGAAGGAAAAAGAACUUACAUUAUAUCUCUCCUUGGAUCAACUCAAUUUAGCCCUUAAAGUUAAUUAGACAUGAAUUUGCACCAAAAAAAAAAAAAAUGGAAGGAAAGGAACUUCCAAUAUAGUGACUAUGGAAUGAAUUAUAACACUCCAAUGAAUUACAAAACAUGACAAUUAUAAAAUUGACAUUAAUUGAGACUUAAUAAGAAGAUCGGUCCCAUGUUUGAGUCAAAGAGGUCCCUAGUAAAAAACACAUAUCACCCACAAGCCACGAGCAAGUAUACCAUGAAUCUAAUAUAUUUUCUAAAUCAAAAUUGGACUAUCAAAUCUCAUGAAAUCCCUUAUCUUCAAUGGUCUAGAUUCAAAUUAAUAUAUAUACUAUGAUUAUAUAAUAGUUUCUUAUGACCCUCAAAACACCAUAAGAAUUUAAGUGUCCUUCAUUAUACUGUACACGCACAUGUGGACUUUGGGUAGUGUCGAUAUUGGAGGGAAGUGGAAGCUGAUAGGGUAGUUCGAAAGAGAGACUAGAGAGGAAUGCCCUGCUCGUGGUCGAAUCCACCGUAAAAUUACCCAAUGAUUUUGCUUUUGUCUUGGCACGACGGNNNNNNNNNNNNNNNNNNNNNNNNNNNNNNNNNNNNNNNNNNNNNNNNNNNNNNNNNNNNNNNNNNNNNNNNNNNNNNNNNNNNNNNNNNNNNNNNNNNNNNNNNNNNNNNNNNNNNNNNNNNNNNNNNNNNNNNNNNNNNNNNNNNNNNNNNNNNNNNNNNNNNNNNNNNNNNNNNNNNNNNNNNNNNAACGCUUUAUAAAAUUGAUCAAAAUUGCACUUUCUUUUUUUGAUCGGUACCUCCACAACUCGUUGUAGUUACGACUGCUGUUCACUGGGACUUUGCCUUAUUUUUUCCAUCAAGUCCAAACAGAUAAAAUUGCCCUUUAAUCAUCUCACUAAAGUUUAAAGUGGUGGGCCUAAAGUUAUUCACUUUCCUCCUUUUUCUUUAUUUUUUCUAUUUCUAUGCUGGAAUAAGUUGCCAUUAAGAAUAUCACGUAUAUGUUUUCUUAAAAAUUUUAAGUGGGUAUUACGAAGCAUAUUUAAAAAGCACUAAAUUUUUCUUUUUAAAUUUUUCCACUGUAUAUAUUAGCUUUCUGGAAGAGAGAAUUUUCUAGAAAACCUACUUCCUUUUCACAUUGUUGAGCAAAUUUAUGAAUUGAUUGUGAAGAAAAAUACAAAUAAAAAUUGAACAUCAACAACUAUUUAAGACAAUUAAUAUUCAUAAAGCUUUUAUUUUUAUUUUGCAUAUCAUUGCCAAACUCUUUCUCAUCAGUUAUUUUUCAUAUUCACAUGAGAUGAUUGGAUAAAAUAAAUAGAAAGAAACUCUCUUAAAGACUGGACGUGAUAAGAUCACUUUACGUUCCCUAAUACGGAAAUUUAAAGAAUGAAAAUUAAUAAUAGAAUACAAUUGCAUAAAUAAUUUAAAUGAUGGUUCAAUUUAAUUCGUUUUGAAUUGACAAAAAGAAGAACGACAACGACAAGAAGACAGAGGAGGAAGUAAUUCCACAGCCAAUCAAAAAGUCCCAACACUUUACCCAACUUCUUGAUUUUGAUAAUUCAAAAAGCAAAAAAAAGAACUUACGACUCUUGUAAUAAUCGAGGGUGCUUCAAUCAAACACGAGAAGCAGUGAAAGCAUUGAAAGGCAGAGAAUUAGAAUGGCAUCGUAAUAGUAUCAUUUUUUUUCCCUGAAAAUUGGAGGAAAUACAUGAAUUACGUUUAGCUAAAAAAAUCGAAUCAACGUAGAAUUAAUAUUAAGUUCUUCAUCUUCAGUUUGGCUUAAAAAAUUAUCUCAAUAAUCGAGCUGGAUGAAGCUUUCCCAGCCAUGGUUAAGCUCAACUAAACUGGAUUGGCUGUGACUGCGAGCUUGAAGAAUUUUGGAAGCUAGAGUGCUCAUGACUGAGCUCAACGAAAUUUGAGCACAGCUACGGCCCAUGACCAGAAGCUAGACCAAUCUCGAGCAGCCAUGGCCGCAAGCUCGAAUUGUAGGCUAUGAGCUUAAAGAAGCCUGGAAAAUGAAGUGGCCAUGGAUGCAAGCUGACGAACUUAGAGCAGCAAUGGCCUAAAUCUUGAGAAGCCUGGAAGAUGGUGGUCAUGGUCAAGCUUGAAGAAACUCGUGAGGCAAGGUCUUGCCUCUCUCUCUCUUUUUUCCACAAAAGUUUCUAACUUUUUUAUUUAUUUUAAUGCUUGUACUCUUUCCUUUAUCCUAUUUUUCUUUUUUUUAAAAUAAUCUUGUUAUUCUUUUUUCUUUUUAAAAUUCGAAAUUUUUUUCAUGAUGUGGUGCUUGGUGGACACUGCAUUUUCUUAGGAAAGUAAUAGAAAAAAAUCACAUCGAUAUUUUUCACUAGUGAAAUGAGAUAGAGUUAACUAAGAGAUUUAACUGCACCAAUUUAACAAAUUUUAAGACUUGAUUGUAUUUUUUUAAAAUGUAGAACUUAAUUGCACUUUUGCAAUAAAUUCAAGACUCUCAGUACACUUAUUCCUAUUUAUGGAUUAGAUUUCCAAUUACUUUUUAUAUGGAUUUGAAACAUGUAAAAUCAAUGCCUUUCAACUGAUAAAACAAGUGACUACAUAAUAUAACACAUCACAUCCAUUGAGUACAAGUGUUCUGCGGACCACGCAAUAAACUAAAUAGAUUUCUACAUACGCUCUUGUGUCCACCAUUAUUAUUGAACAUUCAAUUUCGAUGAAGAACUUGAUUGGUUUUAUUCAGCGGUGGUGCCCGCCUUUCUCUCCAUCAUUUCCAUAUCUUCAAUUCUCAACUAACUUGAAGAAUGGUUUGCAUACUUGGAAAAUUGUCAUGACAAGAUUUAAUGACUGUGUGGGAGUAAGAGAUGUGUUGUGUCUUUGACUUGAAGAGGUCUCCAGCAGGAAAUUAAGUGUCCUCCAUUAGUACUGAACAUGUGCGUGUGGACUGGGGCAAUGUCGAUGUUGGAGGGAAAUGGAAGUUGUUUAGAAAGAUUCUUAUAACACUAACAAAAUAUCCGUGAAUCGCACGAGUUGAAGCUUAUAUAUAUAGCUUUUUCAUUUGUUUCAAUGCUUGUACUUUUUUCCUUUAUCCUUUUUUAAAAAAAAAAUCUUGUUAUACCUUUUUCUUUUAAAAUUUUUAAUUUUUUUCCUAAUGUGGCAUUUGAUGGAUGUCACGGUUUCUUAGGAAAAUAAUAGAAAAAAAGUCAAGUCGGUAUUUUUCGUCAGUGAAAUGAGAUGGACUGAACUAAGGGAUUUGAUUACACUAAUGCGACAAAUUUUAAGAUUUGAUUGCAUUUUUUUGAAAUAUAUUUAAAGAUUCAAUUGCACUUUUACAACAAGUUUAAGACUCUCAGUGUACUUACUCCUAUUUGUGGAUUAGAUUUCUAAUAACUUUCGCACAUGGAUCCAUAACAUACAAAAUCAAUGCCUUCCAAUUGAUGAAACAAAUGGUUCAAUAUAGGACCCACACAAUGUAACUAAUCACAUCCAUUGAGCACAAGUGAUCCGUGCCCCACACAAUAAACUACAUAGAUUUUCGCAUGCACUAUUGCAUCCACCGUUAUUAUUGGACAUUCAAUUUCCACAAAGAACUGGAUUGAUUUUAUGUCAAAGUGGUCGAAUCAGGUGUGGUGCCCGCCUUCUUCUCUAUCAUUUCCAUGUCCUCAAUUCUCGGCUAACUUGAAUGGUUUGCAUACUUGGAAAAUUUCUGUGCCAUGACAAGAUUUAGUGACCGCGUGGGAGGAUAAGAUAUGUCGCCUCUUUGACUUGAAGAGGUUCCCGGCAGGAAAUUAAAGUGUCCUCCAUUAGUACCAAACAUGUGCGUGUGGACUUGGGUGGCGUCGAUGUUGGAGGGAAGUGGAAGUUGAAGUAAAAGUCGUUUAAAAGAUUCUUAUAACACUAACAAAAUAUUCUUUACCAAAAACAAAAACAAAAAAAAAAAAAAAAUAUCUGUGUAUCGCACAAAUUAAAGUGUAUACUUUUCAUAUUAUUGUAAAUAGUGAUAGUUAACCGAUUCCUUAUUCAUUGGUACUUUAAGUGAAAUAUAAGAUAUAUUGAAUGUUGAUCGGUAUUGUGUGGAUCAGCAUUAUCAAAUUGAACGAAGUUGUCUUAUCAUUUCUUCAAUGAGUCCACACAAAUACCAAUUUAUGUGAUAUUUCUUGGCAAGACAACACCUAUACUAAAACUUAAUAACAUCAAAUCUUAGUUAUUUAUCUUAUUUUUCUUGAAAACGAUACUUGGAACGGUUUUUUUUUCCCCUUUAUAACUUUGGUGAAUCACCGAUAACUUUUAUUUUUUUCGGUCCAUUUGCUAAUACUAUUUUUUUUUUUUAUCAAUUUAUAAUAUCCGUCUUAUAAUAUUCACCUUUCUCUUUAGGACAAAACUCGAGAAGCUACUGCAUGGCCAGGAAGCUCAAUGAAGCCUGGAAGCUAAAUUGGCAAUGGCUGCAAGCUCGACGAAAUUGGAGCAGCAACGGCCAAAAUCUUGAAAAAGCCUGUUGGUGGUCAUGGCCAAGCUUGAUGAAACUCGCGAGGCAAGGUUUUGCCUUGCCUUGGUGGACGCCACGAAAUUAGAGUAGCACUCAUUUUUUCUUUUUAAAUUUUCAAAUUUUUUUCUUGAUGUGGUGCUUGGUGGACGCCAAAUUUCCUUAAUAAAGUAAUAGAAAAAAUGUCACGACAGCAUUUUUCGUAAAUAAAAUAGGACGUAAUUAACUAAGAUAUUUGAUUACACCAAUUCAACAAAUAUCAAGAUUUUGUUGUAUUUUUUUUUUAAAAGAUUAAGGACUCAAUUGCACUUUUAAAACAAGUUUUAAACUCUUAAUGCACUUAUUCCUAUUUGUGGAUUAGAUUUCCAAUAAUUUUUGCACAUGGACCCAGAAGAUAUAAAAUCAAUGCAUCCUAACUGAUAAAAUAAGUUAUUCAACAUAGGACCCACACAAUGUAACUAAUCACAUCCAUUGAGCGUAAGUGAUUUGCGGACCACGCAAUAAACUAAAUAGAUUUCCACAUACGCUCUUGCAUCCACGGUUAUUAUUGAACAUUCAAUUUCCACAAAGAACUUGAUUGGUUUUGGUGCCUGCCUUCUUCUCUAUCAUUUCCAUGUCUUCAAUUCACAACUAACUUGAAGAAUGGUUUGCAUACCUUUACUUCGAAAAUUUAUGGGUCAUGACAAACUUUAAUGACUGUGCGGGAGGAAAAGAUGAGUCGCAUCUUUGACUUGAAGAGGUCCCCAGUAGAAAAUUAAGCCCUUCAUAAGUACUAAACAUGUGCGUGUGGACCUGGGUGGUGUCGAUGUUGGAGGGAAGUGGAAGGUGAAGUGGAAGUUGUUGAGAGGAUUCUUAUAACACUAACACGUGAAUCGCACGAAUUGAAGCCUAUAUUUCUAUUUUAGCUUUUUUUAUUUGUUUUAAUGCUUGUCUUUUUUCCUUUAUCCUAUUCUUAUUUUUUCAAAAUCUUCUUAUCACUUUUUCUUUUUCAAAUUUGAAUUUUUUUUCCAGAUGUGACACUUGGUGAACGUCACGUUUUUUUAGGAAAGUAAUAGAAAAAAAAAGUAGGUCGACAUUGGAGAUGGAUUGAACUUAGGUAUUUGAUUAUACUAAUUUAAUAAAUUUUAUGAUUUGAUUGCAUUUCUUUUUCUUUCUUUUUUAAAAGUUGAAAGACUCAAUUGUACUUUAACAACAAGUUUAAAACUCUUAGUUCACUUAUUCCUAUUUCUGAAUUAUAUUUUGAAUAACUUUUGCACGUGGAUCCAAAACAUACAAAAUCAAUGCUUUCCAACUGAUGAAAUAAGUGAUUCAAUAGAGGAUCCACACAAUAUAAAGGAUCACAUCCAUUGAGCGUAAGUGAUCCACUCCACGCAAUAAAUUAAAUAGAUUUCCACAUGCGCUCUUGCGUCCACUGUCAUUAUUGAACAUUCAAUUUCCCCCAAGGACUUCAUUGGUUUUAUAGCUGUGGUGCGUGCCUUCUUCUCUUUCAUUUCCAUGUCCUCAAUUCUAAUCUAAAUUGAAGAAUGGUUUGCAUACUUCAAAAAUUUCUGGGUCACGACAAGAUUUAAUGACGUGUGGGAGUGUAAAGAUGUGUCGCAUCUUUGACUUGAAGAGAUCCCCGGCGGAAAAUUAAAGUGUCCUCCACUAGUACCGAACAAGGAGGGCAGAAAACUAAAGUGUCCUCCACUAGUACCGAACAUGUGCUUGUAGAUAUGGGCGGUGUCGAUGUUGGAGGGAAGUGAAAGCUAAAGUAGAAGUUGUUUAAAAAGAUUCUUAUAACACUAACAAAAUAUCAAUGUAUCGCACGAGUUAAAGCUUAUAUUUUUUAUAUUAUUUUAAAUAGUGAUAGUUUACCGAUUUUUUGUUCAUAGAUACUAUAAGUGAAAUAUAAGAUAUACUGCAUGUCGGUCAGUAUUGUGUGGAUUAGCAUUAUCAAAUUGAACGAAGUUAUCUUAUUGUUUCUUCAACGAGUCCACACAAAUACCAAUUUAUGUAAUUUUUUUUCACGAAACAACACCUACACUAAAACUUAAUAGCAUCAACUCUUAGUUAAUUAUCUUAUUUUUCAUGAAAAACGAAACUUGGAAACGUCUUUUCCCUUCAAAACUUCAGAAAAUCAUUGGUAACAUUUCUUUUUCUUUUUUUGUGGAUUUGCCAAUAAUAAUUCUUUUGCACUAAAUCUUUCUCUCUAGGAGAAGUUCUAAGUAGUAUGGAAUUGGCCUCAAUAGAUUUGACCUUACUCAUUGCUAUUUCGUGGAGUUGGCCCAACCGUAAUAAUCAAUGAAAAGGGUAAUUCUUGUAAAGUGGCAGAAGGAAAUUGAGCCGAAGAGCAGUCAAGGGAUGAUGCUCUAAAUUUCAACAUGAUGUCGACUAUGAGAAGAUUACGAGUUUUUUUAUAGACUGUUAAUCAAUUUUGCAUUAAUUGAUACUUCAAGAUAAAUAUAAAAUAUAUUGAUUGUUGACUUGUAUUGUCUUGAUCACUUUAUCAAAUUGCUCAAAAUUACCUUAUUUUUUGUUCAAUGAGUCCAAACAAAAACCGAUUCAUUUGAUAUUUCUUGGAACAACAUCACUUGCACUAAAAAUUAACAAUAUCAAACCUUAGAAAUUAACAAUUUCUUGAUCCUUGCCUCAUGCAAGGGCCGCCCUCGCUGGCUUGGGGUGAGGGACACCAAUGCCUCGGCCGAUGAGGAUGGCCCUCAUUGGAUCGUCCACCGGCCACCAACCGUUAACGGUUGGCAAAGAGAAAAAUUAAAAAAGAAAAUAAAAAAAGAAAAUGAAAGGAAAAAAAUUCAAUAAAUUAAAAAAAUUGCAAAAAUAUUUCACGUUACCGCGGUGGUCCUACUUAGGAUGACUGAUGUUGACUAGACUACUACGUCAACUAUUUCUUGCAAAAAUUGUCCCUAAGAACUAAAUUGGGAAAAAUUUGUCCAAAAGGACUUUUUGGAUAAUUUUCCUAGAUUUAAAAGCAACUUUUGCCUAUGGAUCCGGAACAUAUAAAAUCAAUGCAUUAUGAUUAGUAAAUCAGGUAGGACUACACAGCACUCGCCUGGAAUUUGAGGGAAUACAAUAAACAGAAUAAAUUUCCACACAUGUUAAGCUGGAUCUGGGCCAUCCAAUCUCGUGGAAUCUACUAUCUUUAGUAGUCUCGAUUCAAUUUGGUAUAUAUAUACACACACUACCCUCAUAUGGUAGUUUCUCAUAAUCACAAAAUACCAUAUAUAUUAAUUUAAAAAAAAAAAAAGUGGACUCGAGAGGUGUCGAUAUUGGAGGGAACUGGAAACUGACGGGGUGCUUGGAAGAAAGAUUGCCUUGCUUAAGAUUAAAUCUGCCUUCUGUCGUGGCAUGGUGUUUAAAAAGAUUUUCAUCAAAUACUAGCAAGUAUUCGAGCGAUGCCCAAAUUUAAGACUAUAUUCUUUUAUAUUAGUCUAUAAAAUGAUAAUUAAAUAUGAGAUAUACUGAACGUUGAUCUGCACUGUCUUAAUCGCUUUAUUAAAUUUGAUGAAAAUUGCGUCUUUUUGUUCCCUCAAUAAGUCCAAAUAAAUACCCAUUUAUUCGAUAGUUCUUAGAUAAAUAACGCUAACUGAAAAUUAACAACAUCAUCCAUCUCUUUUUUCUUUUUUCUUUUUUGUGAAGCAAUAUUAGGGCACAUGGUUUUCUUUCAUAGCUUUGGUGAAAUCAAAUCGUAACUUUUUUCUUUUCUGAUUUGCUAAUAAUAAUUUUUUGUCAUUUUAUAAUCUUCAUCUCUCCUCUUUUGGAGAAGUCCUGGGUCAAGUCAACGGCAAUGAUCACGUGUUCGGAGGAGUUGGCCCCAGCAGACUUGACUUUGCCCACGGUUGUUUCGUGGUGUUGGCCCAACCGUGAUCGUCACUCUAAAGGGAAAGACAUUGCACAUAUAAAUUAAGGAGAUGACCCUCGUAAGUUUGCACAUGGUGAAGUAGAAGAAACAGAUAACGCACAAAACACCAUUAUAAACAUGAAGUGUCUUUUAUUGGGUAUGUGGACUUGGGUGUUGUUAGUUUUGAUGGGAAGUGGAAGGAGCAUGGGGUGCUUGGAAGAGGAGAGGAAUGCACUACUUAACAUUGAGGCUGCCUUCUACCCACCCAAUGGGUCUUCUUUCCUGUCGUGGCGUGAUAGCCAUGGUGAUUGUUGCAGCUGGGACCACGUGGAGUGUGAUAACACCACUUUGCGGGUGACUGGACUAUAUCUGUGGAGUGCAAGCGGUUUGGAAAGGGUAAGGUCAGGCAGGGAAAGCGUGCGUUCGCCUUGGGUUAUUGACGCCUCUUUAUUCCUUCCUCUGGAGGAACUUCAAGAGUUGGAUUUAAGAUGGAUUAAUCUAUCAGGUGAAUCUCUCUCUCUCUCUCUCUCUCUCUCUCUCUCUCUCUCUCUCUCUCUCUCUCUCUCUCUCUCUCUCUCUCUCAAUAUUAUGUUUAUAAGUAAUUGUUUAGUUUAAUGUCAUACUAUGGUGCCAUAAAGUAUAAAAAUAUGGUUCUAGGCAAAUCCUUAAAAGGUCUACAGGAAACAGGGGAAGAACCCCUCUGCAGUGGGAGUUCCCAUGCCCCGUUGCAAAAUGAUGGGACCUAAUCUAUGGUGGAGUAGGUUAGCUGAUUGUCACUGGCAUCUCUUCGAGGUGUCCCCCCGGCAUAAAACAGAGGAGAUAGAGGUAGCUCCCAUGCCUCAAAAAACAUAGUGGUUGGGGACCUCCCCAUAAGAAUAGAUCUAAGUAGGUUCUUAAAAGGCUCAAGGGAAGAAACAAGGGGAAGAACCCCCUAGGAGUGGGACUCCCUGCUAUCUCUCGUAUUCCCUCUUGGAUGUGGAAGAAAAGUAUCCAUCUAGGAACAAAUGGCGCCUCUGGUGGGAAAGGUAGACUCCACGUCACCUUUUAGGAGGUGGUUACUGUGAGUAGGAUGGUGUAGUAGCCUUUCACGGUUGGGGUGAAGAGGUGGAACUCCAAAGGGUUCCUACUUAGUCAACCUAUCCGUCGACAGUGUUUUAUAACCACCAUGUCUAUUCAAUUCCCCGGUUAAAAGAAAAAAUGUCAUACUAUGGUGCUAUAAAGUAUAAAAGUGAAUCGAGUGAACUAAUGACAAACAUAUGAUCGCACAAAUGAUACAAUUCUUAAAGUAGUUGAUUGCUCAUAUAAUAAACUAAUUAUGAGACUCAUCACCUUGAUGAUGAUAAGUACGAAGAACAAAAAUAGAAUUAGCUCAGUGAGCAAUGAUUUACCAAAUUCCAACUUUUUUCUUUUUCUAAUAAAAGGUAGAGUUGUUUGAAUUUUUCACCCCAACAAUUUUGCUCUUGUUUGUAAGUGGACCAAAAUCUGCUUAAUAUUUUUAUUUGUGUCUUCUUCUUAAGAUUCAAAAUAAGAAAAAAAAAUCAAGUCUAUCAUUCUACGUAUCAAUAUUUACAUUUUUAGAAAGGUUUUGAGUGUUUAUGAUAAAUAAAAAUCCAAUUGGGAGAGCCAUACGAUUUACAAAAGAAAAAAAGUUGAAAUUAAAAAUGCCGAAGGGUAGAUUGGCAGAGAGGAUUAAUUUAGAGGGAAGAGAAAUGAUUUAAAGGUAGAGUAGUGGUUGGAUAGAGGGAAAGAAACUGAGCAUAAUAAAAAAGAUUAGAACAUAUCAAGAGGAAUAAUGUAUAGCUAUCCGUUCUUUACAUCCCCGUAUAAAGGGAUUUGGAGGGAUUGAGGGCACUGCUACUUUUAUUAAACAAUUUUUUUUUCUUUUCCCACAUUUACUUUUGAUUUAUUUCAAAUUGUAAAUACUUCAAAUUAUAUAUAAAUAAAAGUACAAUAAAGUGAUAAUGCAUUAUAUAUUUUCCUUUUUCUUCUUUUCUCUUAUAAUUAUUUGCAUUUCUUAUUUUCUAUUCUGGUUACAUCUUCCAACAUCAAUAUUUAUGUGGAUGCAUGGACUCAUGCCUGGUCGGAGAAGGCAAAUGGCUCCAAAGUCCCAAGCCACUCUACCCAUCAUGCAUCCAGACAUGCAAGAAAAUCAGAAAACCCCUAAUAAGCUCUUCGGGUCAACCUUCAGUCUAUUUAGAUAAGAAAAGUCACAUUUAGGUACGUGUGUUUUGGGGAAAGUAUUUUCAAAUUUUAAUUUUUUGAACUAGUCAACGAAAAUAUUUAUGUAUAAAUUUAAGAAAGUGAAUUUUCAAAUCUAAAAAGAUAAAAAAAAAAUAAAAAAUUACUCCUCUUAAAUUUUUUAUAUUUUUUAAUAUUUUUUAAUUUUCUUUUUCCUUUAUGCUACUUCGGUGCUGGGGACCGACAAGGCUCAACCUCACCGAGAUUGGGCAAGCUUGAGCUCGCUAGUCUCUGAUUGAGGUCAUCGAGGUGGAACCUCACUAGCUUGUGCCCGCAACUGGCUUCCGAGGCUCUGGGACUAGUGAAGGGAGAAGGACAUGAAAAAAAAUGAAUAAAAAAUAUUUAAAAAUGCAAAAAAAAUUGCUUAAAAUGAAGUCAUGAAAUUAAAAUCAUUUUUCAGAUGCAAUACAAACACCAAAAAAUGUUUUCGGUCUCAUAUCAGCAAAUAAAGGAAAAAUAUAUUUUUCCUAAAAAAUAGAAAAAUAUUUUCUUUUAUGUGAAGUUUUUCUUGAAACAAAUACAUGCAAUGUCGAGGAAAUAAGGCAAGUUUACACAACUAAAAAAGGAAAAUAGAUUACACAUGGAUCGAUGUGAUCUAUAUAUUUACAAAUCAUACCCAUAUUCAAAGGAGAAAAUAUUGUGUGGGCCAACCUCUCCAUGUCACUACGGGGUCGGUCCAAUCAAUGAUCAAAAUGUGGCGUCUAGGACCCAUUGUCUCUCCCUCUUCAGUGACGCCCCUGCAUUAUCAAUCUCUUCAAUUGUACGACACUCUUUCUCCUCUCUUCUGUGCCGUUCUAAAGAAAUAUUGAAGCCUAAUUUUUUUUCAAGGUACUCUUCACUCCCAAAAGCCUCCAUCAAUCGCAUCCUCAACUCAGAACCGCCACCUCCGCCUAUGACACUCUCUCUCCUCUCCAGUCAUCCGUUUAUCACCACCUCGCUCCCUUCCACCACCAAAGCCAAUCAUCCUCACUUCUGCCGAGCUGCAGCUCUUCCUUACCAUCGUCUACCUUGAGCUCAGCUAGCGCCCUGGAACCUUGGAUUUUGGAUCUAAGCUCGAGUGAGCGCUAGACCUCAGAUCUCAAUUGAUUCAAGGUUGAGCAGGGAAUAUAGCAGCCAAAUCUGGAUUUUUGGAGGUCAACUGCCAUUGUUGACCCCUAGUGGACGAGUUCUCGUGGCAUGGAGGCGACAGUAAAGAGAGAUGGGGGUUGGGGCGAAGGCGGAGUCGUCCAAGGCUGAGUGAAAGGGAGAAUGAAGAAAGGGGUAAAAAAAAGACAACAAGUAGAGAAAGGAAUUAAUGAAGAGAGAGGACCCACGAGGAUAAGAGAAGAGAGAGAAAGUGGGACCCAACUGGAGCCACGUGUCGAUGUUUGAGUGGGCUUGGACGUGGAGGGUUGGCCUACACAAUAAAGUGGGGUCCAGUUUUUCUACUCCCUUGGUGUCUUAGACUCUCUUUGCUGCUUCUCUUCAAAGUAUCCAAAUCUAAAAAGCCGAAAAUAGAGCCGAAGCAUUCGGGAUGAAGUACUCCCAAAUGAGUAAACAAGCUCUCUUCCCAAAUUUUCAUCAGCACUAGGAACACGUGUCGUCAUCAUUGCCUGUUGUUGCUUGCCCCGCCACACUUUGUCGACAUAACCUUGCCUUCGUUCGAGCCAUACAAUGUUGCCGGCAACUUAGCACUUGGCCUCUAAGCUCAACGAGGCCACCCAAGCACCCUCCUUGCACCCAAUCCACACCUUCUCUCUUCCACGUUCUCACCAUUGCAGCAAUGCCUAUGCCAAGGAUCAAUGACGAUUAUCGAACAAAAGACCCAAUUGCGGCUGUAGCUGGCCCCUUUUGACCUUAGAUUGACCCAAAUCCUAGGUUGAGUCGAGGCUUAGACAUUAGAUCUACAGCUUGGUCGACCUCAGAUUUGGAAUGUGAGGUCAAUUGUGCUAGCGGACUUCGAGCUUGAAGACACCAAGGAUAAACAAUGAUGAUGCUAGCAAAGUCGGAGGCAAAGGGUGUUGACCUAGGGCAAAGGUCUAUAACAGUUCGUGUUUGUCAUUUAUCGAUGCCUCCACAAAGCUCCAUGAUCUCUUUAUCCAUUCUCCAAAUGGAGUUGUUAUCGUCCUACAGCCAAUUUCUGGGUCAUCUUGUACACCACCACCUAGAUGAACCUCUUGUCUUUGGAUGCCACCACAAGAUAAUUGGUCCACGAGAUGCUGUUGGGAAGCUUCUUCCUUAUAAGGAUAAUUGUAAAUAUACUUUUUUAAAAGUUUGAUACUUCAGCACCGAAUCAUAUCAAGAUUGAUUUCCAAUUUUCUUUUCCUUUUGCUUUUCUUUAUUUUCUUUUCUUUUCCCUCUUUCCUUUAUUCAGGAAAAUUACCAAUUCGAUUUUGAGCUCAUUACACUGAAUGCCAAUUUAAACCUAAAUUUUUCAAUUUUGUUGAUAUAUUCCUAUGCCUUUUUGUGAAAUUUCAAUGAAUUUUUUUCUAUCAAUUGCCACCAAAAAUAGCUAACGUGGCGGUCUAUCAUUGUCGGUCAUCCUACGCGACACGAAAAGUGAUUUGAUUUGUACAAUUCUUGAAAUAAUGACGUUGUUUUGCAUACUUUUUAAAAUUUCUUGUUUUUCUUUUAUUUACUUUUCCUCUCUACUAUUCAUCUGCUUCCUUAGAGAGCUAAGACCAUUGAGUCGCUUCAUCUCCACAACACCAUAUGUCCCUACAAGAUCUCGUCGGAACCCUAAUUAUCCAGGCUAGUAGCAAAGAAUCCUCUAUUUAUUUAUUUAUUUAUUUUACUAGCGAGUAUUGUCGAGUUUCUGCUCAUUCAGUGUCCCACAAAAUAUUGUGCUCUGUACUAGGAGCCUCCCAGAUCGAUCGUUUUAAAAUCUAUGCUUUGUGUUUUCUUUGAUCCUUUUGCUUAAGAGCGUGAAACUAUUGUUUCAAAACUCCUCUCUAUUAUGAAGAAUCCUGCUAUUUUUAGCUCCGACUUUUUUAGUGCCUAAAAAGUUUGUCUUUUUCUUUCCCUCUUCAGCUAAUGCAAGCAUCUUGUUGUCUUUCAACAUCAUUGCUCAUUGUUUCCUCUUCUUUUUUCGAAUUUCUUAGUUUUAGCGAGUGGUGAAAGUUUGGUACAUGGCUUUCUUGACUCACAAAUGCACCCUUCAGAGAGCUUUGCUUUUUCCUUUUGCUUGUUCUAAAAUUUAGAUGGAUCUUUAAUUGCUUUCACGUUUUUCUCAUUGCCACAAACUGAGAGCAAGAAGUGCCGAAAAUGCUAAGAAUGUCGCUGAUUUGAAGGAGCUCUAAGAUCAGAGCCCUUGGAUCCCAACAACCCCAGCCAAGCCAUUUUUCCCCGGCUAAAACAUUUUGCUACCGUGAUCAAUGAAUAAGAGCUCUCUAAGGAAGAAGAUGAACACUAGCACAUAGAAGGAAAGAAAAGAAAACAAAAAAGGAAGAAAAGAAAAAGGGCAAAAACAGAAAAAUCAGAAAAUAUAUGCAAAACGACGUUGUUUCAUUAAGAAUUGUACAUGUCAAAAUGUCACCUGUGCAAUGUAAAAUGACCGCUGAUGAUUGAAUAUAACGUCAGCAAUUUAUAGCAGCAAUUUGCUAGAAAUAUUACAUUGGAAUUUCAUACAAAUGUUUAGGAUUAUUUGGAAAUUUGAAGAGUUUAGGACUAAUUAGUCUCCGUAAAAUAGGUUUACAAUUAAUUUGGUAAUUAUUCCCCUUUAGUCUUUGUUCGCUCUCCCACUUCUUUUAUCACACACAAACCCACCAUGGAUAGCCUUGUGACCUUUGAGUUGCCGUUGCCUGGUGGAGUUCCCCUUUCUCUCUCUCUACUUCGACCCCAAAUCUGGAUAGCCCGAGGCUGAGCUGCCAUUUCAUGAGGUGGCGGUUACCUUGCACAAGCAAGCCAAAACUAAUGCUUAUUAGUCGAAUGCAAGCCACAUGCCAAUACUAUGCCAUGUAUGUUGCCACGUGAUAAUUACAUAUGUAAAAUAAGGAAAUGUCAGGUGGGCAGCACAUAGCUAUCUCAGCUUUGCUAGUUAACUAAAUAAAAUAAAUACUUUUAAAGGCACAAACUACUCGCUUAUGGNNNNNNNNNNNNNNNNNNNNNNNNNNNNNNNNNNNNNNNNNNNNNNNNNNNNNNNNNNNNNNNNNNNNNNNNNNNNNNNNNNNNNNNNNNNNNNNNNNNNNNNNNNNNNNNNNNNNNNNNNNNNNNNNNNNNNNNNNNNNNNNNNNNNNNNNNNNNNNNNNNNNNNNNNNNNNNNNNNNNNNNNNNNNNNNNNNNNNNNNNNNNNNNNNNNNNNNNNNNNNNNNNNNNNNNNNNNNNNNNNNNNNNNNNNNNNNNNNNNNNNNNNNNNNNNNNNNNNNNNNNNNNNNNNNNNNNNNNNNNNNNNNNNUCAGGUGGGCAGCACAUAGCUAUCUCAGCUUUGCUAGUUAACUAAAUAAAAUAAAUACUUUUAAAGGCACAAACUACUCGCUUAUGAAAUUGGUUUACAAACAAAGCAAUAGAAUUUUUUUAUAUGCUUGGAUACAUUGGAAUAAUUGAUUUCUACCUAUUAAUAAGGUAUCCUCAUCAUGAGCAUAUAGUUAUUCUCGGUAUAUUUAAGAUAGCUUGAUAUAUAAUAUCUAGAAAUAAUUAAUUAACCAUAAUGUAUGCAUGAAUCUUUCUAUGAUCAGAUUUAAAUGGAACACUACACCUGAAGAAAUUGAAGAGCUUAUAUUCAUUUGGCAAUUAUCUACAGCCAUUCCCCUCAUUGUACAAGCAAACUUCAAUGGAGGCCCAAAAUUUGUCUUCCAAUCAGCUUGAAGGUACAUGUAAAAUAGAAGACAAUACCUUGAUAUGUAAAGUUCGAUGUUGAGAACCUUUUGUCAAUCACAGGUGUGAAUCUUGAGAUGUUGGAUCUUUGGGAUAACAAUUUGGGGAAUGAUACUUUCACGGACAUUACGAGGAUGACAUCUCUUAAGACCUUAAUCAUCGGUGAUUGCGGAUUGAAUGCCUCUUCAAAGUUAUUGGAAGGUACUUCUAUGGAAAGGCUUUCGUUUAUCAUUAUUAAUAACUUAUCAUAGGAGCACAUACAGUUGUUUGACCAUAAGUAAACCAAUGUCAUGCUUCAAUAUGUUAUGAUGUCGGUGAUCCUUAAAAGUUUGAUUUUUUUUUUCAACUUUUCCCUAAUCUUUGAAGAUUGAAAUUUAGUCCCCAUGCUUCUAGUUUUCUGCAACUUUUUGUGUGGGCCUAUUUGAAUAAUAGUGUAAUAUCAUAACAGAUUCAAGGAGCCAUAGCUAAGAAGAUUAAAUACUGAAAAGACAAUAUACCAGAGGAGUUCAAAUAUUAUAUAGGAAUCUUAACCAAAUUAAAAGCAAAAGUUAAUCAGAAAUCAAAAUCAAACAAUAUUUAAAGUUUACUUAUUAAACCACAAUGGUAGUCAAACUUCAGGGAUUGCAAGUGUCAAUAAAUUCAACAAAGCCAUGAAGCCUAAGAAAUUAAAUGACACUAAAGCUCAAACAAAGCAACCUUAAUGGACAUACGUGUUUACAUUGAUUUUUNNNNNNNNNNNNNNNNNNNNNNNNNNNNNNNNNNNNNNNNNNNNNNNNNNNNNNNNNNNNNNNNNNNNNNNNNNNNNNNNNNNNNNNNNNNNNNNNNNNNNNNNNNNNNNNNNNNNNNNNNNNNNNNNNNNNNNNNNNNNNNNNNNNNNNNNNNNNNNNNNNNNNNNNNNNNNNNNNNNNNNNNNNNNNNNNNNNNNNNNNNNNNNNNNNNNNNNNNNNNNNNNNNNNNNNNNNNNNNNNNNNNNNNNNNNNNNNNNNNNNNNNNNNNNNNNNNNNNNNNNNNNNNNNNNNNNNNNNNNNNNNNNNNNNNNNNNNNNNNNNNNNNNNNNNNNNNNNNNNNNNNNNNNNNNNNNNNNNNNNNNNNNNNNNNNNNNNNNNNNNNNNNNNNNNNNNNNNNNNNNNNNNNNNNNNNNNNNNNNNNNNNNNNNNNNNNNNNNNNNNNNNNNNNNNNNNNNNNNNNNNNNNNNNNNNNNNNNNNNNNNNNNNNNNNNNNNNNNNNNNNNNNNNNNNNNNNNNNNNNNNNNNNNNNNNNNNNNNNNNNNNNNNNNNNNNNNNNNNNNNNNNNNNNNNNNNNNNNNNNNNNNNNNNNNNNNNNNNNNNNNNNNNNNNNNNNNNNNNNNNNNNNNNNNNNNNNNNNNNNNNNNNNNNNNNNNNNNNNNNNNNNNNNNNNNNNNNNNNNNNNNNNNNNNNNNNNNNNNNNNNNNNNNNNNNNNNNNNNNNNNNNNNNNNNNNNNNNNNNNNNNNNNNNNNNNNNNNNNNNNNNNNNNNNNNNNNNNNNNNNNNNNNNNNNNNNNNNNNNNNNNNNNNNNNNNNNNNNNNNNNNNNNNNNNNNNNNNNNNNNNNNNNNNNNNNNNNNNNNNNNNNNNNNNNNNNNNNNNNNNNNNNNNNNNNNNNNNNNNNNNNNNNNNNNNNNNNNNNNNNNNNNNNNNNNNNNNNNNNNNNNNNNNNNNNNNNNNNNNNNNNNNNNNNNNNNNNNNNNNNNNNNNNNNNNNNNNNNNNNNNNNNNNNNNNNNNNNNNNNNNNNNNNNNNNNNNNNNNNNNNNNNNNNNNNNNNNNNNNNNNNNNNNNNNNNNNNNNNNNNNNNNNNNNNNNNNNNNNNNNNNNNNNNNNNNNNNNNNNNNNNNNNNNNNNNNNNNNNNNNNNNNNNNNNNNNNNNNNNNNNNNNNNNNNNNNNNNNNNNNNNNNNNNNNNNNNNNNNNNNNNNNNNNNNNNNNNNNNNNNNNNNNNNNNNNNNNNNNNNNNNNNNNNNNNNNNNNNNNNNNNNNNNNNNNNNNNNNNNNNNNNNNNNNNNNNNNNNNNNNNNNNNNNNNNNNNNNNNNNNNNNNNNNNNNNNNNNNNNNNNNNNNNNNNNNNNNNNNNNNNNNNNNNNNNNNNNNNNNNNNNNNNNNNNNNNNNNNNNNNNNNNNNNNNNNNNNNNNNNNNNNNNNNNNNNNNNNNNNNNNNNNNNNNNNNNNNNNNNNNNNNNNNNNNNNNNNNNNNNNNNNNNNNNNNNNNNNNNNNNNNNNNNNNNNNNNNNNNNNNNNNNNNNNNNNNNNNNNNNNNNNNNNNNNNNNNNNNNNNNNNNNNNNNNNNNNNNNNNNNNNNNNNNNNNNNNNNNNNNNNNNNNNNNNNNNNNNNNNNNNNNNNNNNNNNNNNNNNNNNNNNNNNNNNNNNNNNNNNNNNNNNNNNNNNNNNNNNNNNNNNNNNNNNNNNNNNNNNNNNNNNNNNNNNNNNNNNNNNNNNNNNNNNNNNNNNNNNNNNNNNNNNNNNNNNNNNNNNNNNNNNNNNNNNNNNNNNNNNNNNNNNNNNNNNNNNNNNNNNNNNNNNNNNNNNNNNNNNNNNNNNNNNNNNNNNNNNNNNNNNNNNNNNNNNNNNNNNNNNNNNNNNNNNNNNNNNNNNNNNNNNNNNNNNNNNNNNNNNNNNNNNNNNNNNNNNNNNNNNNNNNNNNNNNNNNNNNNNNNNNNNNNNNNNNNNNNNNNNNNNNNNNNNNNNNNNNNNNNNNNNNNNNNNNNNNNNNNNNNNNNNNNNNNNNNNNNNNNNNNNNNNNNNNNNNNNNNNNNNNNNNNNNNNNNNNNNNNNNNNNNNNNNNNNNNNNNNNNNNNNNNNNNNNNNNNNNNNNNNNNNNNNNNNNNNNNNNNNNNNNNNNNNNNNNNNNNNNNNNNNNNNNNNNNNNNNNNNNNNNNNNNNNNNNNNNNNNNNNNNNNNNNNNNNNNNNNNNNNNNNNNNNNNNNNNNNNNNNNNNNNNNNNNNNNNNNNNNNNNNNNNNNNNNNNNNNNNNNNNNNNNNNNNNNNNNNNNNNNNNNNNNNNNNNNNNNNNNNNNNNNNNNNNNNNNNNNNNNNNNNNNNNNNNNNNNNNNNNNNNNNNNNNNNNNNNNNNNNNNNNNNNNNNNNNNNNNNNNNNNNNNNNNNNNNNNNNNNNNNNNNNNNNNNNNNNNNNNNNNNNNNNNNNNNNNNNNNNNNNNNNNNNNNNNNNNNNNNNNNNNNNNNNNNNNNNNNNNNNNNNNCGAGCUCGGUUGAAGGAGGAGGAGGAGGGAAAUCCGAAAAAAAAAAAAAAAAAAGGCAUUUGUGAGGGGGACCGAGGGCAGUGGUUGAAGAAAGGGGGAUCGGAGAGGCUGAAGUAGAGAGAGAAGUCGGCCAAGAGUGAACUUGGAGGAGAUCCGAGUGAGAGGGCUUCAAUCGACACCUCGGCCAUGUGCGAGCUCCGUCCGGCAACCUCGCCCAGCAGACGCUCCCACAAGCCAAACCAGUGAGCCUUCCCCAACCAUGUUCCGUGCCCUUUUUUAGGCAUGUUGUGUUGGAGACCACGGCCGUCUAGCUCACGAGAGCUCCGGCCACUAGCCAUCCCUCAUCACGCCAUCACACGUGUUCUAGUUUGUGUUGAAAACGCCGGCACCGGUUCUGAUCCCAUUCGAGCCAAGAGUCCCCCCAUUCCAGUUGCAUGCACCACCCGCUCGACGGAAUGUUUAAACCAAAUCUGAGCUUGUGCCGAGAGUGCUCGUCUCUAAGAUCGUUGGUUUGUCAUGUUGUUUUAUCCUUGGCCAUCACUACCUCCCUUUCUUGGUCAAGGUCGAUGCGUGCAAGUGUCAUCGAAGCAUGGUUUACGGGUGGAGGGCGGGCUGUCCUAUCGAAACAUCGAGGAGGAGCUCUCAGUGAGGUCCAAGGAAUAAGACAGCGCAAGUGCAAGGGGGAGCUCAAGUCGGGUCGGGUCUGGAUCAUUCUCGAGUCGCAGGUUCAACCGGCCCGGGCAUGAGGGUUUUCUUUUUUAAUCCAUGCACGGGCCGGGCGGAUUGCGGGACUAGGCUUAAUAAAUGAGCCUAGUCCGGUCGGGGCCCUAGUUGGCCUUGGCCCGGGUCGAGUUUGGAUUUCCGGGUUUGGUUGUUUAUAUCAUAAUAUUAUAUUAUUAUUUUAAUAUAUUUAAAAAUAUUUUUAAAUAUUUAAAAUAUAAAAAAAGGAAAAUGAUUUAUUUUUUCCAAAAAUUAGAAAAAAGCUUAAAAAAAGUUUCUUAAUAAUUUUCUCCAAAAAAAAAAAUGCAUGAAAAAUCUUCAAAAAAAUCAAACUUCAAGAUUUAAACAACAUUAGAUAUCAAAAGGGCAUUAGUUGUAAUCAAAUUUUCGAUCUUAAUUUCUUUAAUAGCAACUGCUACUUGAAAAUGACUUACAGUUUGAAAAAUCAAAUUAAAAGUUGUGAAUUUGUGGGUUUAAGAGAACUUAGGCUAAGCUUUUGCAAGCCAUUAGCCUUCAUGCCCAGUGGGAGGGCACAAGGAGGUCGUGACAUGAUCGUUUUAUUAUUCUCGAAAUUUUAACUCUUUAGGAUAAAUAUGCACAUUGUAGAUGAAGAUAAAAUAUAUUGAAAUAACUUAUUCAUAUAAUCUAAAAUUUAAAUUAAAAAGAGAAAUAUGUCUUAUUACAUCAAUGAUAUUCAUAUUUUGAAACAUACCUUUUUCAGUGCAGUCAUACAUACAAAUUUUAUCUAGUUUUCUAAAAUUAAAAUAAAAUGAUUUGAAUGGCAACUUACUUUAUCUCUUAUUUUACUUAAUAUCCUCUGACUUUAAAUAUUAAAAUAACAUUAACUCCUUAACAUUUAGGAAAAUUGACUUAUUUCACACAACAUAUUGCAAUUUAUUUAGUUUUGCUUCCUCUGAAAUUCACUUAUCNNNNNNNNNNNNNNNNNNNNNNNNNNNNNNNNNNNNNNNNNNNNNNNNNNNNNNNNNNNNNNNNNNNNNNNNNNNNNNNNNNNNNNNNNNNNNNNNNNNNNNNNNNNNNNNNNNNNNNNNNNNNNNNNNNNNNNNNNNNNNNNNNNNNNNNNNNNNNNNNNNNNNNNNNNNNNNNNNNNNNNNNNNNNNNNNNNNNNNNNNNNNNNNNNNNNNNNNNNNNNNNNNNNNNNNNNNNNNNNNNNNNNNNNNNNNNNNNNNNNNNNNNNNNNNNNNNNNNNNNNNNNNNNNNNNNNNNNNNNNNNNNNNNNNNNNNNNNNNNNNNNNNNNNNNNNNNNNNNNNNNNNNNNNNNNNNNNNNNNNNNNNNNNNNNNNNNNNNNNNNNNNNNNNNNNNNNNNNNNNNNNNNNNNNNNNNNNNNNNNNNNNNNNNNNNNNNNNNNNNNNNNNNNNNNNNNNNNNNNNNNNNNNNNNNNNNNNNNNNNNNNNNNNNNNNNNNNNNNNNNNNNNNNNNNNNNNNNNNNNNNNNNNNNNNNNNNNNNNNNNNNNNNNNNNNNNNNNNNNNNNNNNNNNNNNNNNNNNNNNNNNNNNNNNNNNNNNNNNNNNNNNNNNNNNNNNNNNNNNNNNNNNNNNNNNNNNNNNNNNNNNNNNNNNNNNNNNNNNNNNNNNNNNNNNNNNNNNNNNNNNNNNNNNNNNNNNNNNNNNNNNNNNNNNNNNNNNNNNNNNNNNNNNNNNNNNNNNNNNNNNNNNNNNNNNNNNNNNNNNNNNNNNNNNNNNNNNNNNNNNNNNNNNNNNNNNNNNNNNNNNNNNNNNNNNNNNNNNNNNNNNNNNNNNNNNNNNNNNNNNNNNNNNNNNNNNNNNNNNNNNNNNNNNNNNNNNNNNNNNNNNNNNNNNNNNNNNNNNNNNNNNNNNNNNNNNNNNNNNNNNNNNNNNNNNNNNNNNNNNNNNNNNNNNNNNNNNNNNNNNNNNNNNNNNNNNNNNNNNNNNNNNNNNNNNNNNNNNNNNNNNNNNNNNNNNNNNNNNNNNNNNNNNNNNNNNNNNNNNNNNNNNNNNNNNNNNNNNNNNNNNNNNNNNNNNNNNNNNNNNNNNNNNNNNNNNNNNNNNNNNNNNNNNNNNNNNNNNNNNNNNNNNNNNNNNNNNNNNNNNNNNNNNNNNNNNNNNNNNNNNNNNNNNNNNNNNNNNNNNNNNNNNNNNNNNNNNNNNNNNNNNNNNNNNNNNNNNNNNNNNNNNNNNNNNNNNNNNNNNNNNNNNNNUUUUGCAAUAUGACCUCACUCCGCAUGCUCAAUGUCGGAAAUAACAAUUUUACCGGGGACAUUCCUUCAUGUUUGCUCUCUAAUCUCAAGUCACUUGAAUCUAUUGACUUCUCUUGGAAUGCUUUUGAAGGCUCACUUUCGCUUGCUUCCCUAGCCAAUAAUUCAAACCUUAAGGAAUUGUACCUCCACGACAACCGGCAUCGUUUGGAAGUAAAUACAGAAGAACCCACUUGGUUUCCUUCAUUUCAACUGAAGGCGUUUAUAUUAUCAAACUGUGUGCUCAACAAAGACACAAAUGGCAUAAUUCCUAGCUUUUUGAAAGAACAAUAUGCCUUGAGACACCUUGAACUCAAUGACAAUGGAAUGACAGGAGAUUUCCCAAAUUGGCUAUUGGACAACAAAGUGAACCUAACAGGGUUGGAACUCAGUGGCAACCAUUUGUCAGGUGAUUUUUAUUUGCCUUCCAAUUCGAAUCUUGUUAGCAUGUGGUACUUAGAUGCAUCUGUUAAUAUUAUUGAUGGAGAGCUUCCAUCUUGGAUUGGUUCUAUCCUCCCAAAUUUGAGAACUUUCAACAUGUCGAACAACUUACUGAAAGGUAGAAUCCCUCCCUCAAUGGGCAAUAUGAGGCAACUGCUGUCAUUGGACUUGUCGAAUAAUGGGCUCACGGGAGAGAUACCAAGGACACUAGCUAAAAAUUGUACGGCACUUUAUACAUUGAUACUGUCAAGCAACAAUUUACAAGGCCAAAUGCUACCGAAGAUUUCUAACUUGGGAACUUUGUACAUUUUGGAUCUAGCUAGCAAUAAUUUCACAGGGGACAUAUCACCUGGUAUAUUGAAUACCUCCUUGGAAGUCUUGGAUGUAAGUAAUAAUUCCUUAUCUGGAAUGCUUCCCAAUUGGAUUGGAGAUUUGCGAGACUUGCAAGUGCUAAUGUUGUCGAGUAAUUUAUUGGGAGGCCCUUUACCAUUGAGUUUAUGCAACAUACCUUAUCUCUUUCUUUUAGACCUUUCAAGUAACAACCUCGGGCCGAACAUACCCCCAUGUGCCAAUGUUACAUAUAUGAGGUUCUUGCAUUUAGCAAAUGACGCACUCACCGGGUAUUUUCCUAAGUUUCUUCUCAGAGGUUCAUCGAUUGUCACAUUGGAUCUAAGACACAAUGCCUUGUCAGGUGAGAUCCCUAAUUGGAUCGGUUCACUUCGGAACCUAAAGUUUCUUUUGCUACAAGGAAAUAAUUUUGAAGGUUUAAUCCCUUGGGAUCUAUGUCUAUUGAAAAAUAUGAGCAUAUUGGAUCUCUCCAAUAAUAAUCUUUUUGGACAAAUCCCUUCUUGUUUGAAAGAUGUGAGAUUUGGAAACAAUGAGCUAAAUACAGACUUAUAUGGUGUCUUCCAAACGACACAUAUUGAUGGGGAUGUUUGGUUGAAAUUAGAAGAAGUAGAGUUCAUGACAAAGAGGAGGUUGGAAUCGUAUAAAGGUAACAUUCUAGAACUCAUGUCGGGAUUGGAUCUCUCGCGGAACAAUUUGACAGGCUUUAUUCCUCCAAUGGUCGGCUACUUGAGUGAACUUCGAGCAUUGAACUUGUCACACAAUCAUUUGAUGGGAUCGAUCCCAAAAACGUUUUCCAAUUUAAAAAAUAUAGAGAGCUUGGACUUGUCCUACAACAACUUAACUGGUCCCAUCCCUCCACAACUACUAGAGAUCUACACCUUGUCAAAUUUUAGAGUGGCUUACAACAACUUGUCAGGCAAGACACCAGACCAAAAAAAUCAAUUUGGAACUUUUGGUGAAGAAUGUUAUGAAGGCAACCCUCUUCUUUGUGGACUACCAUUAACAAGAUGUGAUGGAUCAAAUACACUGCCAUUUGUUAAUCAGACUAGGGAGGAUGACUCUUGGAGAGAAGCCUUCUUGUGGAGCUUUGCAGGAUCAUAUGUGGUAGCGUUCUUUGGGGUGGUUCUUUUUCUCUAUGUAAACUCGUAUUACCAGUUCGUUCUAGUCGAGCUUGUUCGUAAACUUAUACCAUCGUUUCCCUAAGUUGAGAAUAUUCUUCUAAGCAUUUUAUGAUGGAAAAAUACGAUGAAACAAUGGAGAACUUUUGUUUUAUAUGAUUAUGAGCAUUUGAAUCUUGACUGCAUUUGAAUAGUUGACUCCCACAGUGUUCCUAUUAUAUUCCUUGACCUACUAAUGUGAAUAUUAGGAUAUUUGAUUUGUUUCAGAAUUUAAUAUUCAUUAAAUUGCAUCAUAUACAGACAUUAGGAACAUUUGCAUUACUAGUACUAAAAAAAUUUAACUAAAAUUAGAAUUAAAAUUAAAAUUAAAAUUGUCUUUUUAUUUUAAAGGGAAAAGGAAAACGAAAAAGGCGAGACCGGGCCCGGUUUAGGCCAGCCCGGCCUCCUUUUUCCUUGCCCUUCCUUCUCUUUGCCUAGCCAACCCUCGUCUUUUCCUCCUUCCCCCUCUCUCCACAUGUGCGACAAAAGAGCACAGAGGAAGGACAACACUGAGAGGGAACAUGAUAGAGUGAGGACAUCGCGUGCGAUGCUAAGGAAGGACGUUCAGUUGGGGCAGCUGGCAAGGCAAUAAUCCACGUGCAUCUAGCCACCGUCUCCGAGCUAGGUAGGGAUCCCCACAGCUGAACCUAAUUCCGCAAACCUCUUUACCCUGCUUGACCUGUCCUAUCUUGAGUGAGGUGAGUGUUGACUCCAUUUCUUUAUCUCUUGCUCGUGCCAAACCUGAAUGAGUUGGCUUUUGUUGAAUUCGAACAUUGAGUGUUGAUUUUUUUUUAGGUUGGGUGUGCGCUUAAGCUCCGAAUUGGUCAAUGUUUUCUUCCCCACUCGCUGCUCACGAUGUGUUCAUUGGAAUGCUGCGUACGGUUCAUUUUGUUUCUGGAUUCAUUGUUUUCUUGGAGUCUUAUAUUCCAAUGACAUGUGAGAGCUAUGCUGGAGCAGAAAUAACAUUGCUGAUCACUCAUGAAANNNNNNNNNNNNNNNNNNNNNNNNNNNNNNNNNNNNNNNNNNNNNNNNNNNNNNNNNNNNNNNNNNNNNNNNNNNNNNNNNNNNNNNNNNNNNNNNNNNNNNNNNNNNNNNNNNNNNNNNNNNNNNNNNNNNNNNNNNNNNNNNNNNNNNNNNNNNNNNNNNNNNNNNNNNNNNNNNNNNNNNNNNNNNNNNNNNNNNNNNNNNNNNNNNNNNNNNNNNNNNNNNNNNNNNNNNNNNNNNNNNNNNNNNNNNNNNNNNNNNNNNNNNNNNNNNNNNNNNNNNNNNNNNNNNNNNNNNNNNNNNNNNNNNNNNNNNNNNNNNNNNNNNNNNNNNNNNNNNNNNNNNNNNNNNNNNNNNNNNNNNNNNNNNNNNNNNNNNNNNNNNNNNNNNNNNNNNNNNNNNNNNNNNNNNNNNNNNNNNNNNNNNNNNNNNNNNNNNNNNNNNNNNNNNNNNNNNNNNNNNNNNNNNNNNNNNNNNNNNNNNNNNNNNNNNNNNNNNNNNNNNNNNNNNNNNNNNNNNNNNNUGCCAGUGGGAGGGCACAAGGAGGUCGUGACAUGAUCGUUUUAUUAUUCUCGAAAUUUUAACUCUUUAGGAUAAAUAUGCACAUUGUAGAUGAAGAUAAAAUAUAUUGAAAUAACUUAUUCAUAUAAUCUAAAAUUUAAAUUAAAAAGAGAAAUAUGUCUUAUUACAUCAAUGAUAUUCAUAUUUUGAAACAUACCUUUUUCAGUGCAGUCAUACAUACAAAUUUUAUCUAGUUUUCUAAAAUUAAAAUAAAAUGAUUUGAAUGGCAACUUACUUUAUCUCUUAUUUUACUUAAUAUCCUCUGACUUUAAAUAUUAAAAUAACAUUAACUCCUUAAACAUUUAGGAAAAUUGACUUAUUUCACACAAACAUAUUUGCAAUUUAUUUAGUUUUGCUUCCUCUGAAAUUCACUUAUCUAAAAUAUAGCUUAUUUCAUAAGUUCUACUGAAAUUUUGUUUUAAUGGUUCAAUUCAAAUAAAAUUUAACUAAUGGAUAAGGAGAAAAUGAUCUCAAUUUUUUAUUUGGUUGAAUGACAAUCACAUUUAAAGAAUAAGAUGUUAAUUAGGAAAUCCACACAAUCUAUCAUAAAAAUUAUAAUUAAAUCGAAUUUGUGAAGAAGCUAUUACUCUUAUCUAAUUAUUUUUGUGUACAUCUAUUUAGUUACAAUUUUUUAGAUUAAAAUUUUCUUCCGUGUCUUAUAUGCCCAAUUUUUGUGUACAAAACAAUUUAUAAUGGUGUAAUCGAUGUUACAAAUCUAUAAUAUACAUAUAAAGCUAUCUUUGAAAUAUUGGUGUCCACUGCCUAAAUUACUAUCGUACACUUUCAGUUACAACCCCAUAAUUUUAGUAUAACUAAGAGUUGAGAAGAACUUGACAUCUUCAUUACCAUUGCCCAUUAGCUAGCCUCCACCCCCUUACGACGCUUAGACCCAUCAUGACACCAUAAAGCUCAGUCUUUAAUUGCCACCACCAGAGUCAAAAUCACUACUGCAAGAANNNNNNNNNNNNNNNNNNNNNNNNNNNNNNNNNNNNNNNNNNNNNNNNNNNNNNNNNNNNNNNNNNNNNNNNNNNNNNNNNNNNNNNNNNNNNNNNNNNNNNNNNNNNNNNNNNNNNNNNNNNNNNNNNNNNNNNNNNNNNNNNNNNNNNNNNNNNNNNNNNNNNNNNNNNNNNNNNNNNNNNNNNNNNNNNNNNNNNNNNNNNNNNNNNNNNNNNNNNNNNNNNNNNNNNNNNNNNNNNNNNNNNNNNNNNNNNNNNNNNNNNNNNNNNNNNNNNNNNNNNNNNNNNNNNNNNNNNNNNNNNNNNNNNNNNNNNNNNNNNNNNNNNNNNNNNNNNNNNNNNNNNNNNNNNNNNNNNNNNNNNNNNNNNNNNNNNNNNNNNNNNNNNNNNNNNNNNNNNNNNNNNNNNNNNNNNNNNNNNNNNNNNNNNNNNNNNNNNNNNNNNNNNNNNNNNNNNNNNNNNNNNNNNNNNNNNNNNNNNNNNNNNNNNNNNNNNNNNNNNNNNNNNNNNNNNNNNNNNNNNNNNNNNNNNNNNNNNNNNNNNNNNNNNNNNNNNNNNNNNNNNNNNNNNNNNNNNNNNNNNNNNNNNNNNNNNNNNNNNNNNNNNNNNNNNNNNNNNNNNNNNNNNNNNNNNNNNNNNNNNNNNNNNNNNNNNNNNNNNNNNNNNNNNNNNNNNNNNNNNNNNNNNNNNNNNNNNNNNNNNNNNNNNNNNNNNNNNNNNNNNNNNNNNNNNNNNNNNNNNNNNNNNNNNNNNNNNNNNNNNNNNNNNNNNNNNNNNNNNNNNNNNNNNNNNNNNNNNNNNNNNNNNNNNNNNNNNNNNNNNNNNNNNNNNNNNNNNNNNNNNNNNNNNNNNNNNNNNNNNNNNNNNNNNNNNNNNNNNNNNNNNNNNNNNNNNNNNNNNNNNNNNNNNNNNNNNNNNNNNNNNNNNNNNNNNNNNNNNNNNNNNNNNNNNNNNNNNNNNNNNNNNNNNNNNNNNNNNNNNNNNNNNNNNNNNNNUCUCUUAUGCUCUGUUUCCAUGUCGCUGGCUAGAGUUUGUCAAAUCGUAGCAUUCGCCUUGUCGAGUGGAGUUGAGACUAUCUUCUCUCAUUUGGAUGAAGCUGGUCCAGAUUUUCGGGAAAACGAAGUCGAGCCCUGUCCUCUUUAGCUCGUUUGAGAAUCCAUUUUUCUAGAGAUCUUGGUUCUAUCGUCUGUAGCUCCUCUUCAUUGCUCCAUCAACAUUUAGGCUCUAUCUCCUGUCCAGGGACACCAGUUUUUCUUGGUUUGGUGCGUCUCAUUCAUUCUAGGGGCUAGUUUUGCCUCUGUUCUCCCUUGUCCAUGGAUCAUUUUGUCAAACCAAAAUGACCCGACGAUGCUGAGUUUUAAUCAUUGUCCAGACCAGUCUGAAAAUACUAUCUGGUAUCCUCAUGCCGCUCACCGGAAUUGCUUCCUGUUUACUUAAGUCAAACCUAUUCAGAUUACUGAAUUAAUAGUUGUUGAUCCAUCGCCUUCGAAGACCAAAAUCAGAGCCAUCUUCCACUACAAACCCAAUGACAACAUCUCUAGCCCGACGCUAUCUCCAGCAAGCUAGAGCCUGAACUUGUCCACUUCAUCCAUGGCUUGCUAGGAUGCUCAUACCUGUAUCUUGAAGCGCUUAUGGAUGCGGGGGCACAUUAUCACAUGAGGCUUCUCAUCCAAGAACAACCAGCUCCUGGUGACAUUGGAUUUUAACAACCGGGUUACUCUUGUUCGAUUGAACUUUAGAAUCAUUUUCGACUCAUUCUCCAUCGGUCUCUUGAUUUUUUAUUUUACUUUGCUUCUUUUUUGUGUGGGCACUAGCUGAUAAUACUCACUGGCCUUGAGGUAUACUCCAUUCGGUAUCUGAACUGAUAUUUGGUAGCAAAUUUGGAAAAAUAGUCUUUCUCGGGUGUUCUCGCAUUGCUUGUCACUUUUUGGUAGAGUUGGCAAAAUGACCAAUUUCAAAAUAAGUCAUAAAUGGGUCUAUCCCAAAUUUAAAUAUAAUCUAUUAAUAAUUCAACUGAGAGCCACUGUUACUUUUCAAUUUUCAUGACACCCUGCCUACGUAUCUCCAUCAUCAGCGCCUUUGCUCUUGGUGGAUGCCAUCGCCUUCACCACUGCAGUCUUGCCUGCUUGUCACCGUCCACCACCCCAACUGUGUCGCGCUCGCCAUCGUCUCUUCAAGGUUCUGUCGCCUCAAUGGGCAGCUCCGUUGUCGCAGCUACGGAGGUGAGAGACUUGGGGAAGGAAUUGAGGAAGGGGCUAGGAUUGAGGGAUUUGACGGAGAGGGAAUCGGAGGUGGGAGGGUCGGCAGGGAAUCGGAGGUGCCUACAAGAAUGCUAACACAGCCCCACCAACUACGCGACGCGUGCAUGCCGUCGCUUUUACCCUUUUAGCCCAUCUUCCCUCUCUCUCUCUCUCUCUCUCUCGGCCUCCCGAAAGUCCCUACUUUUCUCCGGCGGAGAGGCGCGUUCUUGAUCCGAUGCGCCGCGCGAAAGAAUGAGAGAGAGAGGAUGUUCAGAUGCGAGUGCCUGUCUUGGAAUGAAGCCGCCAGCCGCACACCCCCCCCCCCCCCCCCCCCCCCAAGCCCCGAGCCCUUCUCUCUGCCCGUUUUGCUCCGUUUUGGUAAAAACCCAAGACCGAGAUUGUUGUUCCUCAUUCGCGCUUGUGCUGAAUGUGAUUGGGUCGCCGCCUAUUGAUUUCCUGUCCUGAUUGUUGAUUCUUUGUGGAUUACAAUGUCAGCUCGAGUCUUGAAUGAGUCUAGGCUCCUCCCCAAGUUAAUGCCCGCUGGAUGUUCAACAAAAUGUCUCAGCCAAACCCUCCGGUCAUGAUUGGCGAUGAUGGUAUAAAGUCGGUCGUGGCGCUCGCGAUAGUGUUGGCGUUAGAAAUUAAGGUCGAUAAAAAGGGUUCCGGCAUCAGAUUCCCUGUGAAGAACGGCGCGUUCUCUUGACAAGAACAGCAGGCUCUCGGUGAAAAAGGAGGUGAAUGGGAAAGAAAUAAAAAUAGUAAAAGAAAACAAAAGAAAAUUUUUUUUUUUUAAAAGGGCUGGAAAAUAGGCAAUGCGGAGACGUUCGGGAGAAAGGGGGUUGGGGUUGGGGUUGGGGGUGAGGCUUUUGCUUAGGAGACCUUGGGCUUAGUUCUGCUGAGUAGGGAGCUGGGUUGGUCAGGUUUUAGGUUUUUUACAUUUUUAAUUUUAUUUAUUAAAUUUUGUUUGUUUAAUUAACUUCUUUAGUUUGAUAUGAAUUUUUUGUCUAAGUAAUAUACACAUAUAAAAAGCUUAAAGUGGGUUAAAUGGGUUCUCCCAAAGUACAUUAACUAUUAAUCUGAUUUGGUAAUACGGGUCCAAUACAGGCCGAUAAAUUUACAUUUAUUGAAAAUAUGUCAAAACAGGUUAAACGGAGCAAUAUAGAUUGGAUCAUUUUCAAUCUAAUCCAAACUCGACUUGACCCAACUAUCAACCAUACUUUUUGGCAUUAGUUUACAAAAGUGAAUCAUCAAACUUGAUAUGAGAUGGUAAUUGAAGCCUUUAAAUGCCGGUUUUUGUUGUGAAUUUCAUCAUGGAAUUGUGCAAAAUAAUCAUAAACACUUGCUGUCCAAAUUUAAAUUGCAUUAUUCAUAAUCAAAAUGGAUUGAGCCUAAUGAAGCCCGAUUAUGUCCCCGGAUGUUAAUUGUGUGUGCAUGAUCGAUUUGACACAUGUUUUGAUUGUGAAAACUAAUGAAAGGAGAGCGAUAUUAAGGUAAACAUCAUGCUGCUACAUAUACCUGUAUUGUGCCCCCUUUUUUUUUUUUUUAACUUGAUCCAAGUGUUUACCAUAAUGGAUGAUUUGCCCAAUUCACUUCGCAAUUAAUAAGGCCCAUAACUCUGUAUCUUAUUUCUAUUCUAAUAACAUAAAAUCAUUGCUUGAAGAAAAUUCCCACAUAUGGAUUGGUAUUAGAUAUAUUACUGAAGAGUAGGUUAGUACAAUCCAAUCCGAAAAAUUUCAUGAACUCAACUUGAAUAAAUCUUUUCAAAACUUGAUCCAUGUGAACUGAGCAAUGUUAGUAGCAUUAAAUCUUUUGAAGGGGGAGGAUUAUCGAGAAAAAAAAAAUUCCAAAAUGACCUUUAGUAGUUAAAUACAAUCCAAAUUUGCAAAGUCAGCGACUCGGGUUUUCCAUAUUUGUGGUGCCUUGUUUCGAGACCCCAACAAACCAGAUCAACAAACUGAUUAUAUUUGCCUUCAACCCAUCUAAAUUAAAUAUUUUACCUCUAUACCAUGUUUAAUGACGUAUAACACUUGUGGCAAAUAUUUUUAAAAUGUUGACACUUAAGUGAUCAAUUAAAACGUUAUAUGGCACACAAAUGAUCAGAAAAAUGUCUACAUUUGAUCUAGAGAUUAUUACUCAUUGUCUUGAAACAUUCAAUGUCUGGGAUUUGGGAAUUUGCCUAGGCUCGAAGAGUUGUUCUAAGUUGCAUCUAUUUAAAAACCUCUAAACCUUUCUUGAGGGAUGGAGUGUUUUGAUUAAUUAACUUCAUAAUUGAAGAGUUUUAUCUUAACUCCGCAUUGUAGACGUUCGAAUUUCGUCGACCAUUUUUAAAUGCAUGAUAUAAAUUGAAUUAAUUCAUGAACUAGGAAAAUUACAAUAUCGAGUCCUCGAGCCCGUCAAUCGAAAUUUUGACUGACAGAUUCCAACAGGUUCCUCUCUUCCUCCUCAAUGAACACCAUCCGGCUCUCUUCUCUCUCUCUCUCUUUCUGCAGCGCGUCUCUCACCUCCUGCAUUCCAUUCGGCCAAAACUGUAGCCAGCAUGAGGAGGUCGGUUUCUUCCUCCCUCCAUCGCUGUUCCUCCUCCAGUUCAAGAUCGCUGCUCAGCUCAUAACCGGAAGCUCACCUCCAGUUCACCGAGAGAGCCGCCUCGGCCUUACUCUCCUCUCUUCUGCUCUGUUUCCAUGUCAGUUGGCCAGAGUUUGUCAAAUUGCAGAGUUCUUAUUGUCGAACGGAAUCGAGACUAUUUUCUCUCGUUUGGAUGAAGCUGGUCCAGACUUUUGAGAAAAUGGAGCCGAGCCCCUCUCCUCUCUUUAGCUCAUUCUUAUUCCAUUUUUUUUGUGGAGAUAUUGGCUCUAUUGUCUGUAGCUCAUCUUCAUUGCUCCAUCAACAUACAAGCUCUGUCUCCCCUCUAAGGACGCCAGUUUUUCUUGGUUUGGUGCGUCUUAUUCAUUCCGAGGGCUGGUUUUGCCUCUGUUCUCCCCUGUUCACGGAUCGUUUUGUUAAACGAAAAUGACCCGAUGAUGCCAAGUUUCAAUCACUGUCCAGACCAGUCUGAAAACACUAUUCGGCAUCCUCGUGCCGAUGUCCAAAUUUAAAUUGUUUGAUACCUUAUCAAAAUGGAUUGAGCCUAAUAUAGCCCGAUUAUGUCCCCAGAUGUUACUUGUGUGUGCAUUGGUUGAUUUGAUAUAUGUUUUGAUUGUGAAAACUAAUGAAAGGUGAGGGAUUUAAGGUAAAAAACAUCAUGCUGCUACCCAUAACUGGUAUUGUGCUUAUUUUUGUGAUUUUUACUGGAUCCAUAUGUUGAUUUGUGUGCGCUUGUGUUUUCCCAAUGACAUAGUUUGUUAAAUACAACCAUUGAUUGCACAUUUUCAUACUUGUUUUAUAUGUCAAGGCAUCUUGGAUCACUUGUCAUGUGUUUGAAAUAUUGCAUUUACGAGCUGGCUCUUAACCAGCCCCUAAUAGGUUAAUGGUGUCCCCAAUUAGAUAAAACAAUUUCAUAAAUUAAUUGAAUCCCUCAACGUCACAAUCGGUUAGGCAUUGGGAGAACUUGCGAACAAGAGUGCACCUCAAAUAGAUGGAUCGUCCGUUCCCGUUCGACAAACUGUUAAGACUUCGCUUCGCCUAAGAUGCACCAGUGGUGCGGCACCACAUGGGACAACCAACAAUUGCUAGAUUGCCACGUUGGCCGUUCCUGGCAAAAAUCAGCUAGAAUGACAACAUUUCUAUGAGGGGAAGUGAUGCGGAUGAUGCCAUUUACUGGUUGGUUAGAAUUCUAGAAAGAGGCGAGCAGCCUCUUUACGUUGCGAGGCGAUUGAUCAGGUUUCCAAGCCAUGAUGUUGGUUUGGCCGACCUGCUGGCUCUUAAUCAGGCCGUUUCUUGUUACCAAGCUUGCCAUUUCAUAGGGAUGCAAGAAUGCAACGUGGUUCUUGCACAGUGCGUUGCCUACUUGGCUUUGCUCCAAAAUCAAUUGCCAUUUAUCGAGUGAUAGGAGCUGCACAGAAGGUAGUGAGAGUAUCUGUUGGGCAAAAUGAGGUAGUCCCGCUGCAUCUGAGAAAUGCGCCUACCAAGCUGAUGAAGGAAAUCGGAUAUGGAAAAUGCUUCAUAUAUACUCCUGACGAUCCUCAGGCAACGCAAAGCUACAUGCCACCCUCACUUCAAGGGUACAAAUUCCUGGACUGGCAGAGUACUAAUACCCGAGAAAUGAGGAGCCCGUAAGCUCCCGCAAAGCAGUCUUUGGAGCUCUAACUUUUGCUUGUUAGGCACUUUUGUCCAUUCCCAAAUUUUGUUUGUUCAAACGACUUAAUAGCCUCUUUUGCUGUUGCAUUUAUAAUCGCAUUGUUUGUUUUGAAGUAGGUCGAUCACAAGCACUGUAAAGUAUCUUAAGACUGUAAUUAUGAAGUUUAUGAAGACGAGUAUAGGAUGCUGAAUGUGCGUACUUUUUUCCUAACUACAGUGAGUGCUCAUAUGCUAAUUCUACCCUACUCCUUUUAAGACAGUUUGACAACUGAGACAUUUAUCUUCUCAUGCUCCGGCCCCAAGAGAUUGUCUGGUUUCUUGCAUCUGACGUUUAUUUUUUGCCGAAACGAGACAGAUGCAUCCUCAGUGUUUGAGGUGACUAUUGGCUUCAGACAAUGUUGAUGCUGAAACAAGAAGCAAUUGAAGCACAGCAUUGGAAUUCUCGAGUUUUGAACCAGAGGAGUCUCAGCUCGCUUGACAGAACCUUCUUCCAUUCAAGCGGCAGACCUUUCUACUGUUUAAUCUCAUCAUUCACCUUGUAGUCUUCGGAUCAUUAGGUAACAAUCAGUACGAGCGAUGGAGAAUUGCUGCAUCUUGUCUUUCGUGUUGUGAUAGAUUUGAUCUUUCUUUCAGUAGUUGUCCUCAUACGUUAGUGAUUGUAUUUGACACGAUUAACCACACCUAUAGUCUGAGGUUCCCAGUCAGAGAGUCCAUUACUCCGAGCUACCUCACCAUUGAAUUAGUGCAUUCCUAUCUUGGAAACUUACAAACUUUUCGGCUUUAACAAUAUCGUCGGCUCCAUAAGAGAAGGGCAUCGCUUGAAAUCACUUACUUUCGUUAGAAGUCAUGUACUGCUCUCACUACCUACCUUCAAAGAUCCUUCAAUUAUAGCAUCCUUCAAAUAGAAGUCUCCCCAAAGACCCCUUUAAGAAAUCUCGAGUUUUGCCACUUUGUUUGUCCUGUAUAAUAAUUUCUUAUUAAGCAUAAUCGAAGCAUGUUUGACUUAUAACCUGAUGGGAUUUUGAUGAAGACAUGUUCGACAAUAAUUGUCCUUUGUUCCUAGUAACUUGACAGCAUUCCAUGUCUUGAUGAUGCAGCACCAUAGAAGCACCAGCAAAAAGAUUUUUUUGUUAUUGAUAACAGCGACAGUUGGUUUGACCACCCUUUUCGAGGAAUCAAGAAGAAUCCCAGAGUCUCAUUGUUUUGUCAUCCAUUCCACCCAGAUCUUAUGCAAGCCAACUCGAAAACGUUGCUACUUGUUCAAAAACUUGAAUACGAACUGACCCAACAUCUCAAAGGUCCCAGAGAAGAGCGGCCAACCAGCCAAGAGCAAGGACAGUUGCGCCAUUUCAUGCAAUUCCUGAGUAUGAGAUACCAAACCGUUUGGUCAAUAACAACAGAGCAUUGUAAAGCAACCCAAACAAAAGCACAAACUUUUCUUAUCGGGCAAAAAUAUUCAUGAACUUAUAACCUUAAACAAAAAUAACAUCAUUUUUCUAAAGACCCCAGAAACAGCAUUAAGUUUUGCUUGAGAGGUAUAUAUAUGCGUCCGUUAAAGAAGUUUAUUUGGCAUUCUAAUAGCAAUGACGUGACAUGUUAGCCGAGCCAAAAUGACACUGUUUUGUGUUUGUCAUAAUGGAUGAUAUGCUCAAUUCACUUCGCAAUUGACCAGGGACAUAACUCCGUAUCCUAUUCUAUCAAGAGUACGUAAGUUUGACCCAACACGAAAAAUUUCGCGAACUGGACUUGAGUAAAACCAUUUCAGAACUUGAUCCGGUUUGGGUGAAGCAAUGUUAGUAGCAUUACAUCUUUUGAAGAGAUGUAUUUGCGGUGCCUUGUUUCGAGAUCCCAGCAAACCGAAUCAACAAAGAGAUGUAUUUGCCUUCAAUCUAUCUAAAUCAAAUAUCUUAAUCAGAAUAAAGAGAAAUGUGGCACAUGGUAUACCAAUACGCUAUCAUGCAAAAUCAAAUUCCAUGCAUAUAUACAUGAUUGUGCAAACAUGAUACUAUCUCGACUGCUCGAUUGGAAUAAAUUUAAUCGGCACUGAGUGAGAGAUGCAUCAAAUGGUGGAACUCCCAAAAAAUCGACAUUAUGACACAAGAGACAACAUCAUUUGUUUGCCUAGAAAUCACAAUGUUAAAUACACACAAGAUGAAAGCAUCUCCCACCAAAAAAAUAGUAGAGAACUCAAACAAGGCUGGUUAAUCAAAGACGUGCUCUUUUGGAACAACAAACCCAAAAAGCUGAAUCCGAACUCUCUCAAAUGCAAAUCGAUUAGGGUCCAUAGCUCAAUUAAUAACCAUGCAAAUCGCACUAGAAUUCUCUCAGAUUGACCAAUAACAGAAGCAAAUCGAUGAGGAGAAGAAAAUGAGGUGUUCAUUUUAAAAAUUAUCGUAGACGAAUCGAUGAAAACAGGCAAUAGAAGAGGGAUACGUUGCCAGAGACAUCACUGGUCGAGAUUGAUGAUCGCCUGAAGGAGAGAGAUCAUAAUGGACGGUAACGCCGGGACCUAGAACCGUCAAAGGGAGGAAUAGACCUAGAUUGUGUACUUCGGCAGCGAUGAAUCUGAAAUAGGGGCGAACAUAGCCUCUUCACAGCCACAGAACUAGAGGCGAUCGGGCAGCUCCCAAUAGUUGUAAUUGACGCGACUGAGAGGAAAUAAAGAUGGAGAAUCCUCCGGAAACCGAUUCUCUGAGAGAGAAUUUUCUCCCUGAGCUCCCCUUGUGCCCCUGCUUUGUUCUUAGCGGAUGAGCUCUCUGCGAUGACUGCGUGUGUCGACGGCCCGGCGAUGGAAGAUCGGCGAUGGCUAGCGGUGGCCUCAGGGCGAUGGAGAGGGGAUCGCCAUGAGAAGCUGCGUAAGCCCGAGAGAGUCGGACUGGCUUAAUGGACCUGUGGGUUUAAUGGGUUUGAUCUCUGGGCCGAGGCUUCCUCUCAUGAUGGGCUUGCUAUGGCCCGGGCUCUUAUUGUGAAUCUGGUCUGGGCUGUAUGAACUGGAUAAGGUCCUUUCAAUUAUGACCGAAUUGGAGUCUUUUUUUUUUUCCUUUCUUUUUUAUUAUAUAUUUCUUCUGAAGGAAACAUUUUCUUUUUUUUGAUAAUGGACUUUGCACAUUCCUUGAAUUAACCCGUUGUUUUAUUUACUUUGGACAAUAUUAUCUUAAUCACGUACACUAUAGUUUUGGCCAUUAAUGAUCAUUAUAAUUAUAUAGCUAAAUUCUACAUCAAAAUAUCAAAUUAUGUUUUUAAUACAAUUAAUUGACCUAUUUAAUGCAGAAAAGAAAGAAGCAACACGGUCUAAGACUGCCGGGGACCUUCCAUCUUUAAUAUGGUAUUUUGUCCUUUUUUUUUUUUUUUUUGCCUUUUUCACAAUUAUUUUACCGGUACAAUGACUUUUGAAUUUCUGAAUAAUAUUGACAAUUCAUUGACUACCAUAUAACACACUUUCGUACUUUAAUAAAACAAAAUCAUAAGGCACCAAUAUAUUCAGGGGAUACGCACCUAUGCUUAUGUAUAUUCUUUGAUUGCUGUCUUUCCUUGUUCUAUUAUGCUAUUGUAGCUCAUAAUUCUAAAAUAACGUGACAGUCAAUUUUAUGAAAACUCACUUUGACUUUUGUCAUUCUCUUUAUAAAUAAUCACUUAUAAAAGAAUUUCCAAACUACUAAUUUAGUUCUCGAGUCUAUGCAUAAGUAGUCUAAAUAUAAUAAAUAUUAAAUCUCUUGUCAGUUAAAUACACAAAGUUUCCAAUUUUAUACCCCCAUAUCGCCUCAAAAGAAAUUCUACCAAAUAUAGAGAUAGAUCAAUCAUAUACAUGGAAAAGCAGUUCGUACUAUGUACUAUAUUUAUUAAUCUUUAAAAAAUUAGUUAACCUAUUGAUAAUGAUAAUUGUUCAGUCUAUGAAAUUGAGAGAACAUGGAUGUUACUUGUCCUUCGCCUUCAGUAGGAUAGACCACAUUUAAAGGUUAAAGGUCCAUGAUGGUGCAAAAGAGAAAACGAAGCUAACAGUGACAGUCAAGAGGUUGUAAUUUUUUUUUCUAAAAAUAGUUAUUUGUAUUGGUUAGAAUGUUCAUCAUCAACAAUAAUCUUUACCCAAAUCUUUGAAAGGCCAUGUAAUCACUACAAAGCCAAUUUCCACGUAGGACCAAUCUAGGCUCCCUGGUCCAGAUCCUGCCGCCCGGAUUUGGGAACAAAUGAGAAAAAAAAAUGAAUAGGAAAAAUACAAUGAAAGAUGUCAAGUUUUGGGAUGAUUUUCAUGUAUAUGUGGGUGAGAGAGAGCAAGUUGAGAGGAGAGGUUGAUCAAAUUUAAUAAAAUAUUACAGACACAGGAAGCUGAGAGUAGAGGAGGGGUAAACAGUGAGUUAACAUGGAGAUACGUGGAAAUUAUAAAUUCUUUACAUUAGAAAGUCAUCUAUAUCAACCGCUGUCUUUAGGAUGAUUAAGUACGAUUUAACACAUGGUAAUUACAAACAAAUACAGACCUUGAAGGAAAUUGGGAGUGGAUUUACAAAAAGAAAAAAAAAUGUGAGGAAAAAGAGCUUCAUCAUAUCUCUAUUUUCAUCAACUCAGCUCAAAAAGAAAAAAAAAAUGGAAGGGAAUAAACUUCUAAGUUAGUGACUAUUAAUGGAUGAAUUACUCAAUCACGAAAAUCCAAUUAUACAUGUUAAGUUAAUUUAUGGCAUUUUGAAUAAAAUUUCUCAAAAGAUCGGAGCAUUUUUUUUUCUAUGGUUAAUAUCACUAGAUAAAGUUAUUUUAGACUUUGAUAAAUUUCAAUCCAUUUUUCAAAUCCGCGGAGGACAAGGGUCUGGUCACCCUUGCUUGACCAAUUUUGGAGUAUUGGCCAAAUGCUUUACGAAAAAAGAAAUAAUUAAUCAAGUGUUUUUUUUUUGGGGGGGGGGGGGGGGGGGCGGCUAGCUCAGAGGGAGCGAGGGAGGAACACGUGGGACGGGGAGUAAAGCAGCAAAAUCUCAUCCAAGAUUUGAUUGAGAUGGAAAGAGAAAUGGGGGACUCCGCCGACACUCUUUUCCAUGAUCCUCAUAAUACUUUUGGAUUAAAGAAACAUAAAUUUCAUCAGUGUCUUGCCACUUAUUUUCUAUAAUGGACAUCCUUGUCAUAAAGGUAAAGUAUUUUUAAGCUUUUAUGGUAAACAGCCAAGACGAUUUGGAAGAAAUCCGGGUCAAGCUAUAAUAAGCAUCCCUAUGCAAAAAGUAAAAAUCUCAUCCAAGAUUUGAUCGAGAUGGAAAGAGAAUUGGGGGACUAGGCCAACACUCUUUUCCAUUGUCCUCAUAUUACUUUUGGAUUAAAGAAACAGAAACACAAGCAAACGCACCCUUACUUUCUAUAAUGGACAUCCUUGUCAUAAAGGUAAAGCAUUUCUAAGCUUUUAUGGUAAACAACCAAGACGACUUGGAAGAAAUCCGGGUCAAGCUAUAAUAAGCAUCCCUAUGCAAAAAGCAAAAAUCUCAUCCAAGAUUUGAUCGAGAUGGAAAAAGAAUUGGGGGACUAGGCCAACACUCUUUUCCAUUGUCCUCAUAUUACUUUUGGAUUAAAGAAACAUAAAUUAGGGUCUUGCCACUUACUUUCUAUAAUGGACAUCUAUGUAGCACAGACACUCUCCGGAAGCCUUCGUGUUGUGUCUGACACUCCGACACGCGAUCAACGAGUGUUGAAAAAUUCGACACGUGAUCAACUCUCUUCGACACGCGAGUCCAAAAUUCUGACAUACGAUUCCGACAUGCACAGGGUCAAUUUUAAAAAUUUCUAAUACUUGAGGGGUCAAAAUAUAAAUAUACACAAAAGAAGUAAUAAAAAUAAGUAAUAAAAUUGCUAUAAAUAUACACAUAUGGGGUUAUUUUUUUUUUCAAUUUUUUUUAGAAUUGUUUUAUUUUUUUAAAAGUCUUUUACUAUGAAAGAAGUAAUAAAAAAUGCUAUAUAUGAUAAAUAAAUAAAUUUAAAAAUAUCAUUUCAGCAUUUUUCUUUAAACAAUGUUUUUUUCCUCUAAGUUUUGUGUAUUAUUGUAACAAAUUAAAAUAAUGAAUGAUAUUAUUUAAUAUUUUUCGUGUAAAUUAAUUCUAGGCUAUUUUUGUUAGUAUUUAUUUAUGUAUUCAUAUAUAAAAAUAUUUUAAUAUAUAAUGUGUCGGAACAUGUCGAAAUUCUCUAUUUUUAAGAAAUGACGUGUCAGCGUGUCGUGUCGUGUUGUGUCGCAUGUCUGUGUCGGUGCUACAUAGAUGGACAUCCUUGUCAUAAAGGUAAAGCAUAUCUAAGCUUUUAUGGUAAACAACCAAGACAACUUGGGAGAAAUUCGGGUCAAGCUAUAAUGGGCAUCCCUAUCCAAAAAGCAAAGUAUUUCAUAGCUUUUAGAGUGAGUGACCAAAAUGAUUUGCUCAAAUUAUACAUGAGUUCCUACAUGAUGAAACAUAGAGGCGAUAAAAAAAAAAACCACCCUGACUGCACUAAAUCGACAUAAAAAACCACCCUAACCACACUGAAUCAACUUGUUGGAUUUAGUUCUUAGUUUCACUAAAUUGGAACUAAUGAUUUUGGGCCCCAUUCUCGGUCUCAAGAAUACAAUCGACCAACUGGAUCGAACCAGACCAAUUAUUAAUUUUUGAGUGUUUAAUUUUAUUUCUUAUAUACAUAUAAAGAUCUAAUUUAAACUAAAAUUUUCAUGGAAUGAAAAAGUGCAUCAAUUCAAGGCCUUUCUCAGUACUAUUGAGGCAUCAACCUCACAUGUGGUCAAAAGACCACUAAAACCAUUUCAUUGUUCCUCACUACUUAAAGAGAAAGCCUACUUGUAAGUUUCUUCUUCCACCUGGGACUAGGCUCCAAGAGCCACACUCUCGUCUCUCUCUCUCUUCUCAUUUGCAAGAGACAAGGUCCUCAAAGCCUCCAAGAGUACCAUAUCGAGCAAAUACUCAAAGAGUACAAGAGAGAUUGCCCAUAAAAACCUAAGGCAAGCAUCUCCUUUAGACAUGUUGUUCAUGGCCUUUUGGCCAAGAUUGAGCGUGAAAUAUAUGAACUGUGAUCGAUGCUCACAUAAGUAGAGUUUGAUUUUUUUUGCACGUAGGAACAUGUGUUUGAAGCACAUGCGAUCCAUUGGACUGCCCAGGAAUUGAAUCGGAUUGAUCGGUCCAGUUCCAUCCGAUUCUAGCCUCCUUCGGUCUGGCCCUCAGUUCUGAAAAUGGGGAACCAAUCCUUUCAAUCCGGUCCCUAGCUCGAUUCCAAGGUACUAGGCACCCCUAAUGAAGCAAGCAUUUAAACAUUCAAAAUGCCUAUUAAAUACACAAAGUUUUCGAUUCUAUACCCUGAAAAUGCCUCAAAUGAAAUUUGAGCUGAUAAACUAAAAAUAAAUCAUAUAACUAGACAAAUAGUUGGUACCGUAUGCUAUUUUUAGUAAUCUUUAGAAAAUCAGUUAACUAAUUGAUAGUAAUACAUAUAAAAUCAUUGAAGUUGAGAGAACAUGGAUGUCACUCAGACUUAGGAGAGACAUAGCCUUUGGUAGGUUCGACCACAUGGAAAGGGUAAAGGUCUUCAAUUGCCAAAAUGAGAAAAAUAAACUAUUGAAAGAGGUUGAGUUUUGGAGCUUACUAUUUGUGUGGUGAUUUCAUGGAAAAUCAAUAAUUUGUAAGAAUUUGUGCAAAAAUAAUAACUUGUACCAGUAAAAAUGAUUAGUUAAGUUUUGAAGCUUCAUGCACAUGAGUGCGACACCAACAUUUCCACAUAUCCCAUCUGAUGCCUCGUGGGGAGAAGCUCAAUCAUUUUUGGGAUGAUUUUCAUGUUUGCGUGGAGGAGAGAGAAUGAGUAGAGAGAAGAGGCUGAUCAAAUCCAAUAAAUCAUUACAAACACAAGGGAAGCUUAGAUGAGAGGAGAUGAGGGGUUGAUAAUGAGUUAAGAUCGAGAUACGUGGGAGUUGUAGAUUCUUCACAUUAGAAAGUCAUCGACUUCAAGGGUUGUCUUCAAGAUGAUUAAAAACAAUUUAUCGAAUUAUAUUCACCAACAAUUUUAGCCCAUGAAGGAAAUUAGAUGUGGACUUACAAAAAAAGAAAAUGUAAGGAAAAAGAAGCAUAUUGGAGGGAAGUGGAAAUUGACGGUGUGUUUGGAAGAAAGAUGCCUUGCUCAAGAUUAAAUCCGCCUUCUGUCGUGGUACAGUGUUUAAAAAGAUUUUCAUCAAAUACUAACAAGUAUUUGAGAGAUGCGGAAAUUUAAGACUAUGUUCUUUUAUAUUGGUCUAUACAAUGAUAAUUAAUUUAUUUUGGGUUUACUGAUACUACAAUUAAUUAUGAGAUACACUGAACAUUUAUCUGCACUGUCUUAACCGCUUCAUUAAAUUUGAUGGAAAUUGCCUCUUUUUGUUCCUUCAAUAAGUCCAAAUAAGUACCCAUUUAUUCGAUAGUUCCUAGAAAAAUAACACUUACUGAAAAUUAACAACACCAUCUAUCUCAGUUUUUGUUUUGUGAAGCAAUAUUAGGGCCCAUAUUUUUCUUUUGUAGCUUUGGUGAAAUCAAAUCGUUAACUUUUUUUUCUUUUUUGAUUUGCUAAUAAUAAUUUUUUGUCAUUUUAUAAUCUUCAUCUCUCUAUUUUGGAGAAGUCCUAGGUCAAGUCAAUAGCGAUGAUCACGGGUUCCGAGGAGUUGGCCCCAGCAGACUUGACUUUGCCCACGGUUUUUUCGUGAUGUUGGCCCAACCGUGGUCAUCACUCCAAAGGGAAAGACUGCACAUAUAAAUUGAGGAGAUCACCCUUGUAAGUUUGCACAUGGUGAAGCAUAGGAAACAGACAAACGCACAAAACAACGUUAAAAACAUGAAGUGUCUUUUAUUGGGUAUGUGGACUUGGGCAUUGCUUGUUUUGAUGGGAAGUGGAAGAAGGAUGGGGUGCUUGGAAGAAGAGAGGAAUGCACUGCUUAACAUUGAGGCUGCCAUCUACCCCCUCAAUGGGUCUUCUUUUCUGUCGUGGCGUGACAGCAAUAGUGACUGUUGCUAUUGGAAAGGCAUUGAGUGCAAUUACACCACUUCGCGUGUGAUUGGACUAUAUUUGGGUGAUAGAGAUAAUUCGGAAUGGGAAGCGCGGUGCGGUAUGACAGGAGAGUCUAGACCUUGGGAUAUUGAUGCCUCUUUAUUCCUUCCUCUGGAGGAACUUCAAGUGUUGGAUUUAAGUAGAAAUCUUCCCUUGGAUAGAACUCUUUUCUCAGGUGAAUUUCUCUCUAUUAGUUAUUUCAUAUUUCUUAUUUCAAUUGUGUUUUUAAGUAAUCGUUUACUUUUUGAACAAUGAAAAAAUGUCAUACUACGGUGCUAUAAAUCAUAAACAGUGAAUUAAUGGCAAACACAUUAUCACACUAAUGAUGCAAUUCUUAAGGUAGUUGAUUGCAGAUAUCAUAAAUUAAUUACGAGACUCAUCUCCAUGACGAGAUAAGUACGAAGAACCUGAAUAGAAUUAGCUUGGCAAAAAUGAUUUACCAAAUUUUGUCAUUUUUUUUAGUCCAUUUAGAUGGGGAAUGUCACAUUUAGUGUUGUGCAAAUAAGGCAAUCGAACACAAAUAGACAAUAAAUAGAAGAAGAAAAUAGAUUACAUAUCGAUUAGAUCUACAUGAUUCAAUCGAUCUAACCUACAUACACUGAGAAAGAACAGUAAGAGAUUCCAUUACAAAUCAGAUUGGGCCACGUCUUUUCCACUCUCUUUUGCUAAUACACCCCCUAUAAUAGUGUUUGGAUCAUAUUAUCUCUAGUGGAUCCUACUUGUUUAUAGGUUAUAUCCACACUCAAAUGAUUGAAGUGUGGCCCAAUUCUUCCACUCGCUUCGCUGCUCUUCUCUUGAAUGUAUCCAAUUUGGGAAAAACAGAAGCGAAUCGUAGGGGAUGAAGUACUCCUAAAAGAGUAAACAAGCUCUCUUUCCCAAUCGGCUUCCCAAAUUUUCAUCACGACUAGGCCCCACCUUCGUUUGAGCCAUAGGACGUCGUCAGAGACCCAGCACUUGGGCCUUGAGUUCGACAAGGCUACCCAAGAGCCAGCCAACCCCCACCUCUCUUCCACUUUCUCACCGCUGUGGCAACUCCCCAGUCGGGGCUCAACGGCGGCCAUUGACCUGAAAAACCCAAUUGCGGCUUUUGCUGGUCCCUUUCGACCUUGGAUCGAUCCAAAUCCUAGGUCGAGUUGAGCCUCAGAUGUCAGAUCUAGAGCUCAUCGACCUCAGAUCUGGAAUGUGAGGUUAUAGAAUCUGCUAGCGGAGUUCGUGCUCUGAGACACCAAGAACAAACCACGAUGGCGCCAGCAGAAAAGUUGGAGGCGAGGGUGUUGACCUAGAGCAAGGUCUCCAUCACCGUCCGUCUCUUUCACCGUCCGCGUUUGCUAUUAAAUCUAUCUAAACUACUCUGGAAUUCACUGAUAUCUGUGGAGAGCUCCAUGAUCUCUUUAUUCAUUCUCAAGAUGGAAUUGUCAUCGUCCUUCAGCCAAUUUCUAGGUCAUCUUGUACUCCACCACCUGAACGACCCUUCUUCUUCGGAUGCAACCGCGAGAGAAUUGGUCCACCAGAUGUCGCUGGGAAGCUUCUUCCUGAACUCCGAGAAGGUCUCGUCCAGGAAUGGCGAAUUCGGGACACGGUCCGAGCAGCCACCGGCAUUGUUUCGUCAGGCUAGCACCUUUAUGGUUUCCACCACUCGCCUCUUGUUCACUUCCUCCAGCUCCGCUUUCUCGUUGUUGUCCCUUGUAUUACCGAUCACACCUCCAAAGUUCUCAACACGAGGCUUCUCCGUCUCUUCGGCUUCCGAAUUCCCUCUUUUUUCUCCAUCUUGCUUCGCUUACGUCGAUUAUACUCCGUCGGUUUCUCUUACUUUUCCAGUAUAAUUGCUGCUGGUGACGUUAUAACGCAAAAGAAAAAAGGAAAGUGUGAGAAAAAUAGAAGGGCCGCAGCGGCGAGGGUAGGGAAUGGAAACAAUUCGAGAAAUCAUCAUGCACCACCAGGACACAAAAUGAGGCCCCACAUAUUUUAAUUUGGAUAUAAUCUGUAUACAGAUGGGACAUAUCGGGAUAAAAUGGUCAUACACUAUAGCAGAAGAUGGAUUCGGCUCAAAUAAAAACCCGUACUCAAAUCAUCCAAACAUUCUCCGUCUAUUUUACAAACAAAAAUCUUAAGAAUAAUUGUAAAUUUACUCUCUUCAAAUUUNNNNNNNNNNNNNNNNNNNNNNNNNNNNNNNNNNNNNNNNNNNNNNNNNNNNNNNNNNNNNNNNNNNNNNNNNNNNNNNNNNNNNNNNNNNNNNNNNNNNNNNNNNNNNNNNNNNNNNNNNNNNNNNNNNNNNNNNNNNNNNNNNNNNNNNNNNNNNNNNNNNNNNNNNNNNNNNNNNNNNNNNNNNNNNNNNNNNNNNNNNNNNNNNNNNNNNNNNNNNNNNNNNNNNNNNNNNNNNNNNNNNNNNNNNNNNNNNNNNNNNNNNNNNNNNNNNNNNNNNNNNNNNNNNNNNNNNNNNNNNNNNNNNNNNNNNNNNNNNNNNNNNNNNNNNNNNNNNNNNNNNNNNNNNNNNNNNNNNNNNNNNNNNNNNNNNNNNNNNNNNNNNNNNNNNNNNNNNNNNNNNNNNNNNNNNNNNNNNNNNNNNNNNNNNNNNNNNNNNNNNNNNNNNNNNNNNNNNNNNNNNUGACCGCUAGUUUUGUCAUUUCAAAAAACAAGUAAAUGCAUAGACUGCCAGAACCAAUCAAUUGAUAAACAUCCUUUGAUAGACGAAUGAAGAAACCAAGGAAAACCAAUCAACACAAGCACAAAAGAAAGAGUAUUUACCUCUAUAUUGAGAGCCCAAUGGUCAGUUCUUGGAAGACCCGGAAAGAGAAUGAACCGGGAUGAAUAUGCUACUGCUCAUACAUGGCAAAGUAGAGCAAGAGAAGGGUUUGGUCAGAUUUGAAGAGAGCAACUAGUGACGGUUAAAUGACAGCUCCGUGCUCUCUGUGAUCUUGCCUUGUAUAUUUAUUCCAUGAAUGUAUCUCUCGCGCUCUCUCUCAGUAAGUGAUGAACUGGCGGUGAACUAUUUUGGUAUUGUAGUGAUGGACGGAGAGAAGAGUUCCGAAAUUGAGAUUUGAGAGCGAGAUUUAAUAAUUAUUUCUUGCCAGAUUGAGAAAAAUUAUAAGUGCUUAAGUGCUCGGGGGAAGAAACCGAAAGAUCCAACCUUUGCCCGCCCAACCACCCUUCAACACGGCCGCUGCAAACCCCACACACUGACUCACAGUCAAACCGAACUCGCUCGAACUUGCUCGCUGGAGCCUGAGCAGCAGCGAGGCAGCAAGCGUCGCUGCCCUGCUCGCUCGAGCCGAGCCUGAGCAGCAGCGACGCUCGCUGCCUUGCUCGCUCGAGCCGAGCCCGAGCCGAGCCCGAGCAGCAGCGACGCUCGCUGCUCUGCUCGCUCGAGCCGAGCCCGAGCAGCAGCGACGCUCGCUGCUCUGCUCGCUCGAGCCGAGCCCGAGCAGCAGCGACGCUCGCUGCUCUGCUCGCUCGAGCCGAGCCCGAGCAGCAGCGACGCUCGCUGCUCUGCUCGCUCGAGCCGAGCCCGAGCAGCAGCGACGCUCGCUGCUCUGCUCGCUCGAGCCGAGCCCGAGCAGCAGCGACGCUCGCUGCUCUGCUCGCUCGAGCCGAGCCCGAGCAGCAGCGACGCUCGCUGCUCUGCUCGCUCGAGCCGAGCCCGAGCAGCAGCGACGGUCGCUGCUCUGCUCGCUCGAGCCGAGCCCAAGCCUGAGUAGCAGCAACGCUCGCUGCUCUGCUCGCUCGAGCCGAGCCCGAGCAGCAGCGACGGUCGCUGCUCUGCUCGCUCGCCCAGAUCUCGAGCGAGCAGACGAGCUGCUGUCGCGGAUCUGGGCAGCAACGCUCGCCCAGAUCUGCGAGACUCGCUCGAGCAAGCGGCUCGCAGAUCUGGGCAAGCGCUGGCUCGAGCGAGCCCUAACACUCGAGCUCUCGCUGAAGUGAAGACAAUCAGUGAAGGAGGAGAGGUGACGACGUUUACCUGGUGAAGGAGCAGCAUUUGUCGAGACAGAGGCCGCUGUCGGCGCCGGAGAAGACGAUGGAAUUCUCUGCUCGCAGGAGGAGGCGCUCGUCGCUCGUCGCAGGUCGCCGGAGGAGAAGCUCGUUGCAGGUCGCGGAGCAGAAGCUCGUCGCUCGUCGCUCGUCGCAGGUCGCAGGAGGAAGCUCGUCGCGGGGGGGGAGAGGAGGAUCUGUUCGAGNNNNNNNNNNNNNNNNNNNNNNNNNNNNNNNNNNNNNNNNNNNNNNNNNNNNNNNNNNNNNNNNNNNNNNNNNNNNNNNNNNNNNNNNNNNNNNNNNNNNGUCAGUGUACAAUGACCCGAGGAGGCGUCGCGCCCGGCUUCGGAGAUGAUAUCUAGUUUCACUUCAAUCAAUUGCCGAUCAGGUAACCCCAGCUCUUUGGCUUUUUUGAACUUUUGUUUCACUUUCAGUUCGCUUUUUUGCGGUUUUCUCUCCUUUUUUUUUUUCCUUUUCUUUUCUUUCUUUUUUCUUUUCUUUACUUUUGCACGCUAUUUUUCAUCUUCUUUCUAGAAAACUGAGAUCACUAAGGGCGCGUUUGGUAACGUUUCUGUUUAAAAAUUGUUCCAGGAAACAGAAGGGCGCGUUUGGUAACGUUUCUGUUUAAAAAUUGUUCCAGGAAACAGAAAUAGAAAAAAGUGUUUCUGUUCCUGGGAACAAUUUCUGAACAAAAAAACGCGUUUGGUAAUUGUAUAAAAUUUCUGUUUCUGGAAUAGAAAAAGAACAGAAACACGUUUGGUAACUGGUAAAAAAUUAUGUUUCUGGAAUAGAAAAAGAACAGAAACACGUUUGGUUAUGUACAAAAUUUCUGUUCCAAUUUUUUUCCAAUUGUUUUUUUUUUUUUAUAAAAUGUGAACUUGGUAUUGAAUUAUCAUUAUCAUGAAAUGCUUAUCAAUUUAAUUUUGUUCAUAUUAAGUGAAAACAAACAUUCUAAACUUGAUCAUAUUUGCUUAGUCGGAAUAAAUAUUUUAAGUUCGUACCAAAAUUUUCCCAUUUGUUUUUUUUUUAAAUAAAGUGUAAACUUGACUUUGAAUUCUCAUUAUCAUAAAAUGUUCAUCAAUUUAAUUUUGUUCAUGAUGAGUAAAGUCAAACAUUAUGAACAUAGUUAUAAGUGCAUACUCUGAAGAAAAUUUUAUAAAUAAACUUUGUUCCAAAUUGUUCUCACGUGCCUUUUUUUUUCAAUAAAGUGUAAACUUGGUAUUGCAUUAUCACUCUAAUGAAAUGCUCAUCAAUGUAAUUUUGUUCAUGGUUGGUGAAGACAAACAUUUUGAACAUGAUCAUGUGCAUACUUGGAACAAAAUUUCAUAAGUAAAAAUCUCACCAUAAGAGCUACCUGAAAGAAGAAUACUUCAUAGAUCUCUACGUAAACCAUUUCAUACAUAACAUCAUAAUAAUGAAGUAAUAUAGUUCAUUGUUCAACUUCAUCACAUUGGAUUUGAUAAGUGAAUACUUAAAAACAAAAUUACAAAAGUCGGAAACACAAAGUCAUGAAAUUUCAGGCAUAUUAUGAUCCCUCGCCAUUUUAUUUGCAAUCCUUGUCCUAAGCAUGUUUAUUCCAGGUGAAUCAUGCAAUGUAUCAUCUGCAACCUCCAAUUCUGUAGGUCCGCAUGGAUAUUCCGAACAGAGCAAGGGAAAAAUAAUAUGUCUUCGUGGAUUGGCACCGGCAAGGCGGAACUUUGGAUGGAUCCACCGAAGUUCUCAAAGCAUCAGUGUUCACCUGAGAAUGAAUCAACCAAUUGAGGAUGUACCUUAAGUAAAGAAAAAUUCAAGACAAGCAAUAAGGCAACAACGAAACAACACCCUCCAUUCUCUGCAAAUCCAUAACUUAAAGAGAAAAAAUCGAAGCAUUAUAGUCAUAAGAUAUCAAGGAUCUCGCAUAAUGUAUAAUCCCCAACAUUCCUACAAAAAAAAGUCGAACAACGUUGUUCUUAUAGAUUCACAAAGAAUGUACUAAAUGAACAAGUCGACAACGUUGUUCUUCUCACGUGCCUUUUUUUUUUUUUUUCUGUUCUUUUCUAUUCUUUCACUUUUAUUUUUCUCCUCCCCUUUAGUCUACCCCUCUACACGUUCUCUUCUUCGGGCGUCAUCUUCUUCCAUUUGUCUUUCUCACUUUUAACACCCAUUUUUUCCUUUUUCUUCCUCGACUUCCAAUUGGAUCAAAAUGUGGCUGAGUCGCAAGGGUUCAUAGAGACACACAGAAAAUACUAAUAUUAGACCAAAUCCAAGCAAUACGGGGACAAAACGCAAAUGAGAACAACNNNNNNNNNNNNNNNNNNNNNNNNNNNNNNNNNNNNNNNNNNNNNNNNNNNNNNNNNNNNNNNNNNNNNNNNNNNNNNNNNNNNNNNNNNNNNNNNNNNNCAAAAGAACAAAAAGAAACAGAAACGCGUCCAAACGCGUUUCUGUUUCUUUUUUGUUCCCGGGAACAAAAAAACAGAAAAAUUGUUUAAAAACAAAAAAAAAAAGAAUACAACCAAACGCGGCCUAAGUCGCUCUAUCUCUGCAACAACAUAUUUCCCUGGAAGGUCUCGGCGGAACCCUAGCCAUUUAAGCCAUGGAAACAUAUGCACCCUAUACUAAAACUUCCAUCUUUAAAUUUAGUUUAUGUGAACAUAUAAAUACAUUGUUCAAAUUAUUGUUUUCAAUUCUAAAUAGAAUGUAAAUAUGAUGCAUUUUAAAUGAAGUCAUGAUUUUUAAUAAUUUAUAAUUUUAAAGACAUAUUGCAAGUUUAAAAGUUUCAUCGUAAUCUUCCAAGCGAUAGGAAUUUAUAUUUUGUUUAACUUCCUUAAUUUUUGUUGGUCAAAUACGAACUGCGUGGCAAAAUUAUGCCAUAUAUCUUGCCACAUGGCUGUCGUAGACGUAAAGUCAAAUGUCACAUGAGAGCAAACGUGGGAAUAUUUUCUCAGCUCUGUUAGUACAUAUGAUAGGCACUGGUAAAGCUAUAAGUAACCUGUUAAUGAAAUUGGUUUACAAAUUCAUGCCACAGAGACUUUUUUAUGCUCAGAGAUGUUGGGCCAACUGGUAUCUAACUAUAAAUAAAUUAUCUUCGUCAUGAGCAUAUAGUUAUUCUCAAUAAAUACAUAUGAUAUUUGUGGAUAGUUAAUUGAUUAUUGGGUAUGCAUGGAUCUUUUCAUAAUCAGAUUUUCAGAUUCUGAGCAAAUUGACGAGGCUAAAUCAAGUCCCCUCAUUGCAUAAGCAAACUUCUGCGGAGGUCCAUAAGCUGUCUUCCAACCUGCUUGAAGGUACAUGUAAAAUAAAAGACCAUGCCUUAAUUCUGUAAAAAUGCUUUCGUUUAUCAUUACUAAUAACUUAUCAUAGAAGCAUAUACAGUUGUUUGACCAUAAUUAAACCAAUGUCAUGCUUUCAUGUCUUAAUUGAGGGUUCAUUAUGUCGGUGAUCCUUAAAAUUUUAAUAUUUUCUUUUGACUUAAUCCCUGAUCUUUGAAGAUUGAAGUUUAGUCUUCAUGCUUUUAGUUUUGUGCAACUUCUUUUACGGGCCAAUCUAAAGAAUAGUGUGUUAACACAACAGAUUCAAGGAAUCAUUCCUAAGAAGAUAAAAACGUCCGAUAUGACAAUAUUCCAGAGUUCAAAUAUUGUACAAGAAUCAUAACCGAAUUAAAUGCAAAAGUUAAUCGGGAUUAGAAUGAAACAAUAUUUAAAGUUCACAUAUUAAACCACGAUAGUGGUCAAAAGUCAGGUAUCGCAAGUGUCACUAAAUUCAACUAAGCCAGGAAGCCUAAGAAAUUAAAUGACACUAAAGCUAAAUUUAUUUCACAUAAAAUGACUAAUUUGAAAAAUAUUUUCCUAAAAAUGAUUACAUGUAUUGCUUACAAAAAUGAAUUAACGAAAAAAUAUUUUCAUCCUUCACAAAAAUGUUCAAAUAUAAAUUGUUAUUGAUAAUAAAAGCAUUUUUCAUUAAUUAAUUAUUUCGAGCGACACAAUCAAUUAUUUUAAAAAAUAUAUUUUUUAAAUCAUUCAUUUUUUACGAAACAAAUGGAAUUUGAAGUUAAAUAAAGAAACCUUACUGGACAUACAUUUUAAGAUUGAUUUUUACUUUAUCCUUUUUGCUUAUUCUAAAUCUUGGGGAUCUUUCACUUUGGCCCUUUUUUUUCAUUGGAAACACCCGAAACAUGUACAACUGUGGAGACAUAAUUUGUUGUAUUAUUUUUAAAUUAGGUUAUAUUUUAGAUUUUGAGAGUAUAGUAAAAAAACAAAUUGUUUUGUACAUUUCACAAAGUUAAAAAAGACGCACGUCAUCUAUUGUUUAUGGUAAUACUUAAUGAUUAACUUACAUGUACAAAUUUAAGUACAAUAAUCGUGUCAGUAUUCAAAAUUUUCUAAUUUGACUAUCAAGAACCCUUGAUAUUGAUGACAAAGGGGAACGGUUUAAUUUGAUUAAUAGUGAUUAUGCUAUUAAAAGCAAAGUAUUAAUCCAAACUAGCUAUAUUGAUGGUCUGAUGCUAAAAUCUUUUUUUAUUUUUUUAUUUUAUAAUCUCUCUAUUUGAAUAUAAUGUGAUGGGAAAAUUCCAAAUAAGGGUGUAAAGUGAAUAUUAUUUCAAAUUAUGGCAUGGAGUGCUAUCAUUUUCUCAAAUAAGAGGAUGAAGUUUAUUUCAUUUCAAAUAAGAACUUGAAGUGCCAUGUUAGUCUCAAAAAAUGGUAUGGCUCACCAGCUGAUCAAGGGCAUUUCCAUCAUUUACUUUUUAAAAAUUGUCUUUCCUUUUUUUUUUCCAAAAAGACCAACCGAAAAAAGGGGGGAAAAGCUAACUUAAAAGUAGAGGUUUGGUAGCCCCCCCUACGGCUAGUCCCUUGCCUUAGUUCAGGUAAGGAUUGUUAGCCCUCACCAAAGCGCCAACAACCUUGAUGGCCAUAGGCAAGUGGUUUGUGGUUAGUCCUACCGCCUGUUUCUUUUUUCCUUUUCUUUUUUUUUUUAUAAAAAUAUUAUUUGUUUUUUUAAGUUUUAAUUUUGUUUCUUUUUUUGGGUUUUUUUAUUAAAAAUAGAAAAAAGUAAAAAAAGAAUAAAUUUAAAAAAGAAAUAAAAUGACAGAAAUGCCCUCAAUCAACUAGUAAGGUCAAACCCUUUUUCAAGACUAAUAUGACACUUCGGGCUCUUAUUUGAAGCAAGGUUCAUUUCAACCAUUUAUUUAAAAUAAUGUUUAUUUUAUGCCCUUAUUUGAGAAAAUGAUGACAUUUCAGGCUUUUAUUUAAAAUUUUUUUUGAUAGAGUUGAAUAAACGGGAACUGAAAAAGAUAUUCAAGAUUGGGAUGUCAACAAACAAUAUGUUCAGGCGCUACAUUUUAAUAAGCCCAUAGAUAGCCUUUACCAAUUAGCACCACUUAAAAACAAAUAAACACAUUUUUACACACAUGCAUCUACAAAUCUAUUAUUUAUCCCUUAUGUACGGUUAAAACCAGAAAUGAGAGAAUGUUCUCUCAUGCUCUUGUCACGUAGCCCUUCACCUUGCUUUUGUGAUAGCUACGUGAGAAGAUACAUAACAUACAUAUGCAAAAUGGCCUACAUUGGACAAAUAAGGUUUUAGCUAAUUGUUCGUCAUUUCAAACUUCAAUAUCUCAUUAUCUUAAUUAUUAAAAUAAUGAAUGAAGAGAAAGCAUAUUUCACGUGACACUUCACUUUAUGUUUGUGACUUGGCAAAGCAUAUUGCAUGGUUUUUACCAUGUGAUCUAAAUGUGACAAAAAAACGUAUGUAUUAGCUUAUUGAUUUAUCACCCAAAAUUCUCCUCCACUUAAUUUGAAUUUCAAAUAAUGGAUAAAGCGAAAGAAUAUUCUUAUAUGACGUAACUAACUUUGAAAGCAAUUUAUAAAUAGUUUAUCAAGAGAACAAUUUCUAAUUGUAGUUAAUCAUAAAACUUAUUCAAUUUGAAAUUAACUUUAAAAUAUAUACUAUUUAAGUAUAUAUUCUAUUUAUCAUUUGAAAUUUAGCCUAUUUCAUCACUUAAUUAAAAAGUACUUAGUAAAUAAUUUUACCCUUUUGGUUUGUCAUUGAAUAUUUUAUCUCUUAUUUGAAUGAUUUUCAUUUAAAGUGAGCUUUCACUUAUCUACCAAUUUCAUAUAUAGUUAAAGUCAGAGAUAUGUUCGUUCAUAUACUCAUCAUGUGGCAAUUUACUUUCACUUAUAAGCAUUGUCUUAUUAAUUUGUCAUCAACAAGCUUUUAUCUUUAUUGAAUUUAAAUUUUAAAAUUACGUAUAAAGAGAAAGUACCUCGAAAAACUUUUCCAGUUGAUCUUUUUUGACUUUUAUCUUUCGUUCAUUUUAAUUUUGAAAAAAAAGUAAAUAAAGAUAAAUCUCAAAUUAUAAAAUAUAACCAUUUGAUGUGAGAUUGCUCCACACAUGCCACUUCACUCAAAUAUGUAAUUUGCCGUGUGCAUAAAUUGCGGAGAAAAUUUGCCACAUGGGAUGCAUUCGGCUAAUAAGUUCUAAAAUAUCGAUUUGUUAUUCUUGAAACUUUGUCUCUUUAGACGUAACAUGAAAAUCACAAAUAAAGAUGAAAUAUCUUCAAUUGACUUAUAUUAUUCCAUGAUUAUCUCCUUCAACAUUUAUCAUUCAUUGAUUUUAAGAUUGAAAAAAGUGAACAAACAUAAAAUAUCUUGAACUAGGUAAUUUAUUCAUGUAAUCUAAAAUUUAAGUUAAAAAGAGGAAUAUAUUUUAUUACAUGACUAAUAUUCAUAUUUUGAAAAAUAACCUAUUUCAGGGCAGUCAUAAAUAUAUAAUAUAUCUAGUUUUUAAAAUUAAAUUAAUAUAAUUCGAAUGGCAGCUUAUUUUAUUUCUUAUUUUGCUUAAUAUUCUCUAAGUUUAUAAUUAAUUCCUUAAACAUCAGAAAAAAUUAACUUACUUCACACACACGAAUAUUUACACUUUAUUUAGUUUCGCUUCCUCUAAAAUUCACUUAUCUGAAACAGCUUAUCUCAUUUAAAGCAAGUCCAUUUAACAGGAAAUAAAAAUGAAAAAAUAUUGAUCCAAAGUCCACUUAAUUUGAAAUUGAUUUCCAAAAGAGAGGGAGGGAGAGAGAGAGAGAGAGAGAGAGAAUUUCGUAAGUAUUAGUCAAUUUUUGUUUCAAUGUACAAUUCAAAUAAAAUUUAACUCAUGGAUAAUCAGAAAAUGAUCUUGAGUUUUGGCUUAGUUAAAUGAAAAUCAUGUUUUGAAUGGUGAAUGAAAAUUGUGUUUAAAGACGACGAUGCUAAUAAGGAAAUCCACAUAAAUAUAAUAAAAAAAUAAAUCGAAUAUGUGAUGAAGAUAAUGGUAUUACUCUUAUCUUAUUGCUCUAUUGUACUGUUUAGAUAAAGUUUUUAGUUUAAACUUUUCUCCCACGUUUUGUUUGUCCGAUUUAACGAAUAUCUUUUUUUGGACGGAUAACGAAUAUUUUUUAUUUUGUGUAUUUCAUAUCCAAUCAGUAACAACCGCAAAUAAAAUAUAUUCAAAAGUUACUUGCAUUAAUAAUGAAAAGGAUAAACACAUGUAAAAAUAUCUUUACCAACAAUACAUGCCCAUGCAAAGCAUGGACCACGUAACUAGUUGCUUUGUCAUUCUCAAACUUUUAUGUGUUAUUGAAUCUAAAUUUGAAAAUAUAUAUAUAUAUAGGGGUUGUAGGUUGUGCACCUUUAUUGGUUACAACCCCAUAGUUUUGGGAUAACUGGAGUUGAGAAAAAAUAGAAAACAGAGGAAACGGUUUCCUUGCAUUUCUCGUUAAACUGAAAGUGUUAAGAAACAACAUACGGUUGAUCACACUAAGUCAAAAGUCUUGCACGCCAUAUGCGUGCUUGCAGACUAGGUAACAUAGAAGGGAAAUUUAAAAAGCUAAUAAUGCAUCUCACUUAUUAUCAUUUCAAUUUUUGCUUAUUUCAUAAAGUAAACACAUUUCACUUAGAUUAAGAUAUUAACAUGAAAAUUGAUUUUAUAAGAAAUUGAAAAUUUAUAUCAGCAAACUAAGAUGAAUAAAAUCUAACAAAGUAAAACACAUCUUAUAAUGGAUAGAUUAAUUUAUUUGAAAAAUUAUUUUUCCCAUUAAAGAAAUCAAUGUGUAGAAUUGAAAAAACUUAUCAUAAUAUGAAAAACUCAUUCGAUCUUGAAAAAACUCGGCAUCUUUAGCACCACUGUCCAUUGCUGCCUCCGUCCGCUGCAGCUCAAACCCAUCAUAGUACCAUGAAGCUCGGUCACCAUUACCACCACCAGAGUCGACAUCCCCACAGCCAGAAGACCCCGCACGCCAUUUGGUUCAAGGCACGACGACCUCAUAUUUGAAGUAUGGCCUCAAAUUAGAGGUUGCAAUGCCUCAGAACUGAGGUCACGCGCCUCAAAUCUAAGGCUUGGAGAAGAGGAGGAAGGGGUGGGGGGUGGGGAUGGGGAUGGACAGGCGGUGCGGUGGCGGUGAUGGACAGCGAGCUGGGACAAUGGUGCGGAUAGUGGCGGAGGACGGCGGGUUGCCUUGGUGAGUUGCUGCGGAUGACAUGGAAGUGCAAGGAAGAAGAAGAAGAAAAGAAAAUGGAAAGAAGAAAAAAGUAAGCACAAUAUAAAAAGGAAAAAAAAAAAAAGUGAAUCGCAAGUCUAUACAAUAUUUUGAAUCGUUUUUUGAAAAGUGCAAGAUUGCACAACCGUUUUAGGGGCUGCCCAUAUAAUUACGCCUUUAAAUCUAGGGAUAACAUCUAUUUUACAUUUGUUUUCAAUCCAAUUCGAAAUUUGUCAAACUCUGGAAGUAAUUAAGCUUCUCCUUUCUUGUUCUAAUUAAUGUAAAGCAAAGAAUAGUGGAAAUGAAACAUUGUGGUGAUGUGACUCAACUACAAAGCUCCAUCUUUUCAAUUUUUCUGUGAAUAUUGGAUAAAUUGCACAAUUUUUGCUAUCCUCCAUUAUAGGCACAAACCAUGAUCUCUGAGUGUUUUAAUCAUACAAGUACAAUUUACCGAUGAUGCUCAUAGUUGUAUUGUCAACUUCAAUAGGCUUGUGCAGAUUGAGGAACCUUGAAGAUUUGGAUAUUAGUGGUAAUGGAUUUUCGGGUCCUCUUCCUUCAUGCUUUUGCAAUAUGACCUCACUCCGUACACUUGAUGUCCACAAUAACAAUUUUAGUGGGGCCAUUCCUUCAUGUCUCAUCUCUAAUCUCAAGUCACUUGAAUAUAUUGAGCUUUCUGGAAAUGCUUUUGAAGGCUCACUUUCACUUGCUUCCUUGGCUAAUAAUUCUAACCUCGAGGUAUUCCGUCUCCUCGACAACCGUAACCAUAUGGAAGUAAAUACAGAAGACACCACUUGGUUUGCUUCAUUUCAACUGAAGGUAUUCAGUCUAUCAAAUUGUGUGCUCAACAAAGAUGCAAAUGGCGUAAUUCCCAACUUUUUGAAAGAACAAUAUGACUUGAGAAUUGUUCAACUUAGCCAUAAUAAAAUGACAGGAAAUUUCCCAAGUUGGCUAUUGGACAAGAAUGUAAAACUAGAACAAUUCGACCUCAUCGGCAGCAAUUUGUCGGGUGCUUUUGACAUGGCUUCCAAUUUGACUCUUGACAAGAUGUGGUGGUUUGAUGUGUCUGCUAAUGUUAUUGAAGGAGAGCUUCCAUCUGGGAUUGGUUCUAUCCUCCCAAAUUUGAAAUAUUUAAAUUUGUCAAACAACUUAUUGAAAGGUAGAAUCCCUCCCUCAAUUGGCAAUAUAAAAUCACUAGAAGCAUUAGACUUGUCGAAUAAUGGUUUUGUGGGAGGGAUACCAGAGACACUGGCUAAAAAUUGUCAGUUACUUUCUGUACUAAAACUAUCAGGCAACAAUUUGCAAGGCGAAAUGCUACCGAGGUACACCAACUUGUCAAGUUUGGCAUCUUUGUAUCUGGAUAGGAAUAAUUUCACAGGGAACAUAUCACCCGGUAUAUUGAAUAGCUCAUCCUUGUUGAUUUUUGAUGCUAGUGAUAAUUUCCUAACUGGAGCACUUCCCAAGUGGAUUGGAGAUAUUCAAAACUUGCAAGUGCUUAUGAUGUCGAACAAUUUUUUGGAAGGUUCUUUACCAUUGAGCUUUUGCAAGUUACAAAAUCUCGAUCAUUUAGACCUUUCAUAUAACAACCUUGGGCCAAGCAUACCUCCCUGUGCCAAUUUUACAUUACCGAUGAGGUUCUUGCAUUUAACAAAUGACGAGUUUGCCGGGCAUUUUCCUGUGUUCCUUUCUAGAGCUUCAUCAAUUGUUAUAUUGGAUCUUAGACACAAUGCAUUGUCAGGUGAGGUUCCCAACUGGAUCAGCUCACUUUGGAACUUGAAGGUUCUUCUUUUGCAAGGAAACAAUUUUGAAGGUUCAAUCCCUUCAAGUCUAUGUUUGUGAAAAAUAUAAGCAUGUNNNNNNNNNNNNNNNNNNNNNNNNNNNNNNNNNNNNNNNNNNNNNNNNNNNNNNNNNNNNNNNNNNNNNNNNNNNNNNNNNNNNNNNNNNNNNNNNNNNNNNNNNNNNNNNNNNNNNNNNNNNNNNNNNNNNNNNNUAAGAGCAACGUCCCUUCAAUAAAAAGAGCAUUGAAAUUAGCUUAUAUGGUUCUGCGGAUGAAUUAGUAGAAGCGGACUUCAUGACAAAGAGGAGAUUGGAAUCUUAUAAGGGCAAAAUUUCUACGACUCAUGUCGGGAAUAGAUCUCUCGCAAAACAAUUUGAUAGGCUUUCUUCCUCCAGAGUUCAGCUACUUCAUUGAACUUUGAGCAUUGAAUCUGUCACACAAUCAUUUCAUAGGAUCGAUCCCACAGACAUAUUCGAAUUUAAAGAGCAUAGAGAGCUUGGACCUAUCCUACAACAGCUUAAUCGGUCCCAUGCCUCCACAAUUAACAGAGCUUUAUGCGCUGUCAGAUUUUAGUGUGGCUCACAACAAUUUGUCGGGUAGGACACCAGACCCAAAAUGUCAAUUUGGAACUUUUGGUGAAGCAAGUUAUGAAGGUAACCCUCUUCUUUGCGGACCGCCAUUAACAAGUUGUGAUGACUCAAAUCAAGAACCAGGGACACCACCAUCUUUGUAUCAUACCAAGGAGGAUGACUCUUGGAGAGAAGCAUUUUUGUGGAGUUUUGCAGGAUCAUAUGUCGUGGCAUUCAUCGGGGUGGUUCUUUUUCUCUACCUAAACUCACUAUUGGUACCAGCUAUUCAAGCUUGUCCCUAAUCUUAUCCCAUUAUUUCCUCAGUAGAGAUAUUUCUUCUAAGCAUUUUGAGAUGGAAAAGACAAUGAAACAAUGGAGAACAUUUACUUAAUAGUAUUGUAAGCAUUUAAGUCUUUAUUAUGCCUUUUGAACUCCUGACUCUUGGAGUGUUCGUAUUGUAUUCCUUGUCCCGAUAAUCUGAAUAUUAGUAGAUUUGAUUUUGUUGUGAAUUGAGAGUGGAUACUUUAGUUCACAACCAAAAUGAAUCCAACAUUAAUAAAUUCUAGUAAAUGUUACCCAACUUGUGAAAUAUCUUAUGGCUAUGGCCAGCAAUAUCAAACCGACCGUUUUAGCGUCUCAAGGCAAGAUCCUACUAACAUAAAUGAUUGGGCGUUAGGGAUUGCUCCAAUUUGACAAGAAAGGCAUGCACUACUUAUCCACACUGAAUGCAAUAUUGCUCGGAGGAUAAGCUCAAUUCCACUACUGAAUUUUAAGAGCGGAUGCGAUAGGAUCAAUGAUUGUGCCGGAGUUUCUUUUCCCAUCACCUUAAUAUCUUGUUCAAAAUAGAAUAUAUGUCAAGGGUCCACCAAAUCACAUCUUUUAUCUGGAAGAAAUCUGGGUCAAGCUAAAUUGAUAGCCUUGGAAGAAAAGAAGCACAUAAUGCUAAGCUACAUAUAUUACACAUACCGAAUCAGACAACGACACAAUGCAACAGUUAAACAUUAAGACAUGGAGUGCUCUUUGCUAGUGCUGUCAUAUGGUGUUCAAUGAUGUUGAUAUUGGCUAUUGCAAGUCCUGACCACUAAACAAAAUUUUGCAUAAUUUUUCGUCGCAUUUGGGCAUUUAGAAAUUAUAAAGCAUGUCCACAUCAAAUAAAUUUAAUCUUAGUUAGCCUUAUCAUGCUUGAAUUCGAAUCAAGGAGUAGGAAAGUACUUUUGGUCAGCACAUGCUAAAUGGCGCACAAUUGUGCAAAUAUGUUCGGAAUAUGCUCGGUCUAAUGAGGGACUAUGAAUCUCGUCUUUAAUAUGAGAAAAGGGACGGAUGGAUUGUGCACAUGAGAACAAGAAAUAUGGAAGGAAAUCAGAAGUAUCCUUUCUUUAUACUUGAGGUUCACGACCUCCACAAAAGGGAAAGUGACCAAUCAAAGCAAGGAAAUCCUUCCAUGCCUCUCUUCAGCAAAUUUCGGCCAUAAAGUGCUAGAGAUCACCAGAGGAUAUUGGUGGACCGAUUCCAUGGGACUAAGAAGGAAAGUCAAGAUAGGAUUUUCAUGAUUCUUCACCCCCUAAAAAGGAAAGAAAACGCUUGGCAGAGGACACGAGGGACACGCAUAAUACACAGAGAGGCCAAGAGAGGGCAGAGAGAUGGCCGUAUUCUCCUUUUUUGUCUCGGCAAUUUCCUUUUGGAUUGGUGACUAACCCCCCUAGAUUUUUACCAUCAUGAAAGAUCACCAUCAUCUCACAUCUCACAUCAGGCAUGCUAUCGAAUAAGGCCGGAUAGCGGAAAUGCCUGUUGCCGCUCAUCGUUGAUUUUUGUGGCCACGAACACCCCCUCUCGUUCAAGCGCGGGAUUGUGUUCUCCGUUCCAGCCGCACACUCAGCGCAUCAUUCACCAGAUAACACGGUCGCCUUACAUGUUCUUGCCGCCAGUCGUCAUGCAUCUGCCGUGCUGAUGCUGAGAUCGUGACCAUAUUCAGUAGCCGAGCUGAUGUCCACCGACUUGACUCAUCAUCACCGGACGGACUCAAGUUGUUGUUAUGAUAAAACUGUGAUGUUUGUUGAAGCUUGAAAAGACCGCACCUGUAAACAAGCCUAGAAUGAGGAUGUUUGGUAAAACGUGGAAAAACUAUCAAGGUGAACAACUUCAUAGAGUCAAAAUAGUCAAUAUACUUGGAAGACUAGAAGAUAGAAGAUUUGAUUAUUAUCAAGAGCAACUGAUCAUCAUCGGGACAGCAGAUUGUUGGCAAGAGCAAUUGCCCAUAUAAGAUGAAAAGCACAUAAUAUGAGAAGGCUUUGAUAAUACCGAUGAUCCUUUGAGAUUGUGACAAUAGCAAUGAUACUUGUGAGAUUAGCAAAGACAAUGAAUCGGAGGAAAUGCCCUAGUUAUUGAGCCACAGUCCUUAAUCGGCUUAGGUUCUCCCAAACCCUUACUUUGUGCAACAUUGGAUUUUCAUUUAUACUAUAGCUAUGUAUUAUUUCGGUACCUAAACUUGAUUAUUUGUCAUAUAAGGUGUCAAUGCAGUCUUUUUACAAAAUUAUGAAUUCUAAGAUUCUCACCUACUUGGAGCGCAAAUGAUAACAAUUCUAUUUCUCUGUAUUUCUAUUUUCUUUUUUCUUGGGAAUAGGUUUUGAAAAAAAAAAAUCGUUUGGUAAAACAAUUUCAUUUUUUUAUUUCAAGGACAAAUUUUUAGCCCAAAAAUAGGUUUGGAACAUAAAUGACAAGUAGAAGUUUUCUAUUUUUCUAUUUUUGGAAAACAAAUGAGAAAUAAAAAUUCUUUUCCUCACCCACCUGCCCACUACCUCCUACCACUGUCCACCAUCGACCGUCCACUGCCACUGCCCACAAGGAAGAUAUUUAAGGAGGUCUAUCAAAUGAAUUUUAUUAGGAGAACAAAAAAAUUGUGUCAUUAUCAAAUUCGUAUUUUUACUCAGAAACUCGUUUAGGGAAUAGAAAUUAAAAAAAAAAAACUAUUUGUAAACAAAAAUUGUUUCCAAUAAUAGAAUGGUUAUUAUUUGUGUCCUAAAUGUCCAUAUGAUGUUUUUAUUAAUUUUUAUUAUAAUCCUUAAAAAGAGGUAACCUAACCAUUCAGCUAAAGCAUGCAAAUCACAACAUAUGAAAAUAAUAUAAAACGGCUUUGUUAUUAAGCCAUAGGAUAGCAACCCCAUGAGCUUGUUUCAAAUCAAAUUUGAUUUCCUCAUAAAACUAAUUUUCCCUGACCUAUACUAGAGAAAAUCAUGAAUUAUCCUAAACCAUGCGUGUAAUGUCUAAAUGAAACUAAACUAAUUCUAAUAACAAAAUCUAACAACCUAAUCAAGCGCCUAUUUCUCUAAUAAAUUUUCAAUUUUUUUUUUGAAUUUGUAUUUAUUUUCUGAAAACAGGAACUCGGGUUGGGCCCUUGGACCCGAUCCGAGUAUGGGCAGCGGAUUGCAAUCCCAUGGGUCCAGGCCAUGGACAGAUUAUUGGGCUUAUUGUAUUGAGAUGCUUCGAAGAAAAUUUUGGCUCAGUUCAUAGAAUUUAGCGCAAUUUUCCCUAGAGAUCAAUCGAAUCCAAAUCUAUAUGAAACGGGUUCAGCCCAAUCCCCAUUAAACCGAUUUUGAGCACGACAGCAUUGAAGCCCAUCUUUUAAUGCCCUUCUUCUUCUUCUUUUUAUACCCGUUUUCAUUAUCUUUUUUUAUUUCUAUUUCUUUGCCUGAACAUCCGCACUUUCUCACUUAAUGUCCGUCACCCCCGGAUUCAUCUAAAUUAUCACGUUAAGGAUUCAAACGAGACUCCAUCUGAGACCACUUCUGACGUUCACCAAUCAACUGCCACUUUCGGCCAUCCCUGAGGACAGAAUCUCAGUAUUGCAAACCAUGCAUUAAGUACAUUACUAGAGACACGAUAAUUUGCACAUCAGUGACUCUCGCUCAUUUUCCUCAUAGAAAAUUCCCAUGAGAAAGGGAUUUUUAUGCCGAUGCAGUACAUGAAAACAACGGGAACAGAGGCGAGGAGAAGGAGAAACGAAGAGCAAAGCAAAGAUCAAAGCGAACACGUUACAAUUUCGGACACUCGACUCCAUUCGUGCAGAAAAUUCUGCUCCAACCGUGGACAUCAACAAGAGCAGAGGCGUUUUUGUCUUGCUCUCUCUUUACUUUGCCUUCUGUGUGAGCCCCCUUUCCACAAGUUAUUUUGAAAAUGUGUAUAUACAGUAACGCCAAAUUUCUGGUGCAAAUCAUUCCACGUCGGCGUUCUGGAAGAAAUGGUGUGACAUUUAUGAGCAAGAAUCGAUUCUCCUUCAUUCUCUCCGAUUCUCUAGUGCACGCGAUUAUAGCUAUCCGAUUUUGGGCUGUCUUAUUAUUUUUUAUUAUUAUCUACUUUUAUUCUUUUUUAUAUCCGAAUUUUUUUAAAGAAAAAAAUUGAAUUGUUAAUCAAAAUUCAAUUGACAGCAGCUCUCUAAUUCUAAAUAUCGAUUAUUUGGGCGAAUUAUCUCUCUUAAUUCUAUCGUGUAUUCAUUUGACGGGAUUGAUUCUAAAAACAUUCUCGGAUUAAAGUAAUAUAGAGAGCUUGGACCUUUCCAAUAACAAGUUACCUUGUCCAGUUCCUCCACGGUUAACAUAGCUAUACACACUUUCGAUAGGCAACACACGAGAUAGAGAAUCAAUUUGGAAUUUUUUACAAAGCAAGUUACAAAGGCAACAACUCUCCCCCGUGGAUCAUCAUUAAUAAGUUGUAAUAGCUUAAAUCAUGAUCCAAGAACACCGUCAACUGUUGACAAAGAUGGUGAGGAUGAGUCCUUGAAAGAUGCCUUCUUGAGUUUCGCAUGAUCAUUCAUGGUGGCAUUCGUUGGGGUCAUCGUUUUUCUCCAUUGCCAUUUUUGUCUACUUAAACUCCUACUAUCUCAACUUAGCAUUUGUUUUGUUUGAAAGCAUAUCCCAUUGUUUCCGGAGCAUAGCUCGUGCUUGCAAAUUUUAGACAUCUUGAUUCUCCACUAUGCAUGUUGAACCAUCGGAUCGUCGUAUUUUCCAUCUUUUCCUGUAAAUUUGGACAUGAGUACCAUUGGAUUUUCUUUUGGUUGUGAAUUGAAGGGAAAGAUUAUUGUGGUGACGGAUACAAUAACCUUAAAAAACGAAAAAGUAUGGAUGUGACUUGUUAUCUCAUAUUGACAAGUGCUUCUCUGAUUUUCUUUAGGAAUUUCUACGAUACACUAGUAGAACCUACUGCCUCCGUUUCAUGACCCUUUGAGCUUGGUUAAAAUGGCUUGUAAAACAAUUUGAUAAUGUGUUUCAACGUUUUUGGACUUUAACUUCGAUGAAAUGUUGUAUGGCUGAUUUUGCAAAGCCAGAUUGGCUGUUAACUAUCCUUUCCAAAAGGUAGCUGAUUCUUUUUUGAGAUUUAGCAGCAUGACUGCCGGAAUGAAGCUUCACUAAAAGUGCAAAUUAGAUCGUCUGAGUUUCCUUUCUUACUAACAGCGGCUCCUUCUUGGACUUCGAAAUUCUUCACAGCUCAUGCUUCUUGAAGACACUUUUUUUUUUUCUGUCGCAGAGCUUUGAUAGAUGAAAAAAUUGCAAAUGGGCUGGAGCAAGUUCCAAGCCUGCAACGAAGCUGGAACAUCCAUCCUUCUAUUUUUUAUUGAUGGAGGUUUUCUAGUUUUUGUUGUUUUUUGUUUCCUUUUGUUGUUGUUGUUCCUUUUUUCUGGUAACCAUGACACCCUUACACUCGUUCUAGACUUUUGUCUUCUUGAGUGUCUGUUUUUGUUAGUGCCAGGCCUCCCUCUUGUAUUCUUUCUUGCAAAAUCAAUAUAUUACUUACCUUUACCAAAAAAAAAAAAAAAAUUCCAAGCUUGCAGAUUCUAUCUACGUACAUCUGUUGCUCUUUCCCGAACCCUGUUUGGCAGACUCUUAGUACUUAUAUAUGUUGUAUUGGUUCAUAAUUUAUCUUCUUAACAGUCACCACACAAAGUACAAAAUAAUUCACCAUCCUCCUGCUCUAGCUUUUUUUCUUUUGUACAGAGGAUGAUACACCGGUUAAAAAAACUAUUAUCAUGGUGGCGGCGGCGGCAGGUAGCAGUACCCUUCAGCGAAAAAGGACAAGUAAUAGUAGAAGAAAUAAAAUUAUGGAGCACCAAUCUUGCAAACAACUCAAAAUAACAUGAAACCAGAAAAGAUUAUUACCCGCAUAUGAUCACAUUGUAAAAUCAAAUUAUCCACGGAUAAUGAGAAGUAUAUAACAAAUACAAUGAGCAUUCCACUUCUUUAUAAAUGGAGGCAUGUCCUCUGUCAUGGAGCGCCAACUCUCCUUGAGGCUUCUUGAUUUGGGGUGUACACACACUAACAACGUAAUAUCACGAACCCCCAGCAAAUAAUAGCUCACACUCUCUUCAAUCAAAAUGAAUCGAAUUUUGACAAAUUCUAGUAUCGUUACACAGUUCCAUUGCACCCAACUCUAUCUCGCCACUGUAAGAGCAACAGAGUAGCGCCAUAAUGAGCCAAGGCACCCAUGAUCACAAAGACGUGAAAUAUCUGAUGGCUGUGACCAGCAAGGUCGAACCAACCCGGUUUUAGCCUCUCAGGAAUCCUGCUAACAUAAAAAAAAGUUCCUGCAAUGUAAGAUAGCGCCAUGGCCGACUCAUAAGCAAGCGUGAUUGAGCGCUGGGGAUUGCUCCAAUUCACAAUGCAGCCAUGGAUUGCAGGUACGAUACCGAAAAACCCCAUGGAUGAGAAGAGCAUUGCCCGAAAUGCCCGGAAUUUCCCAGAAGAAAGAGAAGGGGUUAGCAGUGUCAUGACAGUGAACAUCCCCAUCGCCGUUAUUCCACCAAGGUAGAUCAGUUGCCAAUGGGGCUCGCACUGGAAAAUGUAGUAGAUUGGGGGGAAAAAUGAGGUGAUGAUCAUGACCGUGAUACCCACAUAGUCCAUCCGCAGCAGCUGGAUGUUCAAGCAGGGUGAGUGGCAUGAGAAAAGGUGGCAAAUGCUGCUCGAGAGGAGGCAGAACAUGGAUCCGCCUAAGAAGACGAAGAACGGCCACCGUGUCACCGCCGCUUGGAGUGAACCAACCUUCAUUUCUUCUUCUGUUAUCUGACUCAAGUUCACCAAAGAAUUUG
rnacentral:lncRNA from 1 species